rnacentral:lncRNA from 1 species
UAUAAGAUAACCUUAGGAGGCAUGGUAGCUCAAAAGGACAAAGGAAGUAAUAAACCUCCUUCUGAGAAAGCAUUAUAAAACUUCCCAAUCCCCACGUGCCCUUCCAGCGACGUUGGAGAACUUGUCCCUUUGGCUGCGACCCUCCCCCAUGCAUUCUUUUUUUAUUUAUUUCCAAUUAAAUAACUCCGAAUGCACUGCGCAUAUUACUGCAGCUGAUUGAUAUAUAUCCAGGAGCAGAAUCCAUUUAUGUUUUCAAAUUUGAACUUGCAUCUUCAAGGAAAACAAAAUAGAGGCAACUCAAACAGAAGAAAGCAUAAUAAAAUCAAAAUUUGCGACAGAUUUGCAAAGAUUUAACUGUUCUUGCUAGAAAGUAAAAUGACAACUUUUUGUCCAGCUCUCUUCACUAGAUUGAUUAUCAUCAUCGCAAUCAGCCCCUUGAGCAGGGAAAAUUUUCUCCACCAGUCAACAUCAGGAGAGAGAUUUAAAGUCCAUCAUCAACUACGAACUACACAUAUACUUUUGAGGGGAGAAAAAUAGUAGGACAAAACAGUAGAGAUGGGACUGGUGGACCAUUUUCACUGCUUGUCAUGUCUCGUUCUCAGAAUAUCUUGAAGAGCAGGCCUCCGUGUGUGGCGAAGAAUGGGGCAAAGACAAGUGAUUCAACGGCCAUCAGUUUGAUGAGGAUGUUAAGUGAUGGUCCUGAUGUAUCCUUCAAUGGGUCCCCAAUGGUGUCACCAAUAACAGCUGCCUUGUGUGGAUCUGAUCCUUUAGGGCCAAGAGAUCUUGCAUGCUCAGAAACACCAGCCUGUUUCCAACAGAACAAUGCAGGGCAUGUUAGCAUUACAAAACCACGAUUUCAGAAUGCCAAAUUACAAAUGAAGGAGUGAUUGCGCCCGCUUAAUGUAUACCUCAAUAUAUUUCUUGGCAUUAUCCCAUGCACCACCAGUGUUGGAGGCAGAGAUGGCAAUCUAAAAUAUUGACACGGGAGAAAUAAAUGUUCAGACACGUUAGCAGGACUCCUAAACCUCAAUAAAUAUAAUCUCAAGUGUAUGUAACUAGAGAAAUUCUGUUAACCAGUAGCCUUUACCUGGACACCAGACACAAGGGACCCAGCAAGGACACCAGAGAGGGUUUCAACACCAAAAAAGAUCCCAACAAUAAGGGGUGUGAGCAUGACAAGUGCACCAGGUGCGAUCAUCUCCUUGAUGGAAGCAUCGGUAGAGAUCUUGACACAGGUUGCAUAGUCAGGCUUGGCAGUGCCUUCCAUCAAGCCAGGGAUGGUGUUGAAUUGCCUGCAUACUUCCUCAACCAUCUUAAGAGCUGCACUUCCCACACUCUUCAUUGUCAUGGCAGAGAACCAAUAAGGAAGCAUUGCACCCACAAUCAAACCAAUGAAAACUUUAGGAGUCAACACAUCAACCGUUGAAAUAGCAGCACGGCUGACAAAGGCACCGAAUAGGGCCAGGGAGACGAGAGCUGCAGAGCCAAUGGCAAAGCCCUGAAAAAGGCAGCACAAAGAUAAUUUAGAAGUUUGCGAAUAAAACCUUAGGUUCUGUCAGUGCAACAAGUCAUUGCCAAAUACUCUCUCAGUCAAACGAGAUUAAGGAUGUCUGUUCUACAACUAAUGAUGUAAAUGCACUUUGCUGCGAAAAUGACUCAAUCUGACAACAGAUUACAUAAGAAGUGGUCCCAGGACUUUGCAACGAGUAGGCAAGCAUCCAACUUGUCUGAUCAUAAAAUAAAAAAAUCCAAAGUUUCAUUUCCCAAAGAAUAAAACAGGGGAAAAUCCAAAACUAUUGCUGAGGCAAGUUGCCUAUUUCCUUGGUUGCGUGCUGAGAGCACCACUUGAAAGUGGUCCCAUAAGAAAAUAUUUCAGUAAACCACUCCCUAACACAUCAAUGCAUGAAAACAUAUGCAGAACUGCAUUUUAACAUGACAAUUAAAGGCGAUUGCAGAUGUCAAGUACAUCUAAAAAGGAAGUGAUCUAAACUCAAGAUGAGAGAUUUUUCAGACCUUCCCAAUAGCAGCAGUGGUGUUUCCGGCAGCAUCAAGGGCAUCAGUUCUCUCUCGGAUUCUGUGGCUCAUUCCUGCCAUCUCAGCAAUACCUCCGGCAUUGUCACUAAUGGGACCAUAUGCAUCAAUUGCCAACCCAGUGGCAAUGGUACUCAGCAUUCCAAGGGCAGCUACAGCAAUACCGUACAUAGCAGCAAAGGAGAAACUAACAAAAAUGCUGACUGCAAUCGCAAAGAUAGGAAUAAUGACAGAUUUAUAUCCCAAAGCAAGCCCAAAAAUAACAUUAGUGGCAGCUCCAGUUCGGCAGGAAUCGGCAACGUCUUGAACAGGGCUGCAAAUUUAUGUAAAGGUCGAGUUAACUAAUUGUUUAGGGAAAAUAAUAAGGAGAAAUAUGAACAGGAAAAAAGCUUACCUGUAUGCAUUGCUAGUAUAGUACUCAGUUACAAAUCCAAUAACAAGACCAGCCCAGAGACCAACAGCAACACACAAGAAGAGUUGCCUGCAAGUAGAAUUCAAUGCUAUAAGCAAAUACUCCUUGAAUGUAAAGAGUGAGAUGGUAAAACUCGACUAGAAAGACACUAAAUUUUUCUCAAAGGAACAUCAAUGAUACAUCUUACCAAUUCUUGACAACUUUCUGGGUUCCGAAAUUGAAGAUGGUAAAGGAAGAUGGGAGAGCAAUCCAACUAACAAUGGCAACUCCAAUAGUCAUCAGAACAGUGGAGAUGAUGAGUUGAUUCUUUAGUGCUGGCUCAAUUUCAUUCACAGCCUUGAUCUCGAAGAAAUCGGUUGCAAAUAAGGUGGUGAGCAAACAAACAAUGAUACCCACAGAACUGACAAUAAGAGGAUAUAGCAUUGGAGUAAACUCAUGAUUGAUUCCAAAAGAGGAGAUGGAAGCAACAACUAAGGCAGCACAAGAGGACUCGGCAUAUGAGCCGAAAAGAUCAGAUCCCAUGCCAGCUAUAUCACCAACAUUGUCACCUACAUUGUCAGCAAUCACCUGCAAUCACAGAAGGAAAUCAGAUACAACCAAGACAAGAAAUCACGUCAUUUUUCAAGGUAAAAUGUUAUUUCUACAGAGGAUUACUUACAGCAGGAUUUCUUGGGUCAUCCUCGGGAAUGUUCCUUUCAACCUUGCCAACAAGAUCAGCACCAACAUCAGCAGCUUUGGUGUAGAUACCUCCUGCAACUCUGCCAAAGAGAGCCAUGGAAGAUCCUCCAAGUCCAUAACCAGUUAUAGCUUCAAAAAGCCCUUCCCAGUCAUCUCCGUAGUAGAGCUUGAAGAGAUUGAUGGCAAUGUAAAGCACCAAUAAACCAUUUGCAGCAAGGAGAAAACCCAUGACUGCCCCAGAUCUAAAUGCAGUGAUGAAAGCCUUCCCAACACCUUUUCUUGCCUCCAGGGUGGUUCUGGCAUUUGCAUAGGUGGCAAUUUUCAUCCCGAGAAACCCAGAAACCACUGAUGUGACGGCACCAAGCACGAAGGCUAUGGUGCUGAAGCCAGCAGUGGCAAGAGCAGGCUUGCAAAGCUUCAAUGGGUCAUAGGUGCAAGGCUGACUCUUUGUGCUAAAUCCCUCAACAGAGCCAAGGAAAACGAAAAUCAAGAUUGCAAAUGCAACCAUGAAAAUUCCAACAUAUUGAUAUUCAGUGAAAAGGAAAGAAGUUGCACCUGCAGAGUGAAAAAAAUCCGCAUCCAUAAUUAGUAUAAAAAAAUGAUAUUAACUAAAAAUUACUGUCACAACAUAAUGAUGUAAUGAUGAAGUAAAAGACCACUAUGUUGCAAAAAGGAUCCAAUACAAGAAAACAUAGCAAGUCAAUGCAGAUUAAAUUUUCAGUUAUAGCAAGUCAAUGCCGAUUAAAUUUUCAGUUAUAUAUAAGCAAGAAAUCACUAUUAUUGAACAGUGAGAACAUAUGUCAAGAUGUCAGAUACAAUCCUGGAUAUGGCCUCUUCAAAAAGGUGAUUUGUACUUCAUAGCUUACCAUUCACCAAGAAAGCAUGAAGUUAACCAAAGGGACUCGAGAAGUAUCAGUCAUCUGUCAAAGACAGAUCGAGAAGACACAUUUGUAUGAUCCCCUAAACAUCUGGUUUCUGGUUUUCACAUCCUAGUUAUCAUUCGAAACAAUUUUCAGCACAUGAAAAAACGAGGCCAAGUCCUCACAGUCAAUAAUGCAAAUAAUAACUAAGGAAAGUAAAUUCACCACAAAAAUCCUUAAAAAAAGCCAAGAGCAACUAAUCAACUUUAUCAACAAUCCAUAAUAAUAAAAAAAAAACCAUGUGCAAAACGCUUAGAUCUAUUGAAGAUUUGCAAUAACAUCAUCAAGACCUGUAGAUCUAGCAAAAUUUCAAGGAACACUGUCAACUUAAAACGGCAAAAAGUACCAUUCCCGCCCCGUAGGAAUCAGGGUUGACUGGUCGGUGGCAGCAUAUCAAUACCAGAGCACACAUGCCAGAAAAUAUCGCAUUUACCAUUGUAGUUAUGACCAAACGUCCAAAAUCUUUCUGCCUAUCCAUGCGUUCUCAUUAAAAAAUUAUUACCAUAUUUCCAACACGAGAAACAACAAAAGAAUUGCGAGAUCUCGAAAUUUUCCACCGACUAAAAUAUUAUAAAAAUAAGAAUAUAAAAGCUGGAUUUUGUUUCUUUUAACUAAAAAAAAAUAAACUUUAGCAAAUAAAACAAAACAAUAAUCCCAAAAAAAAUCCAUACUUUCCACAGCACAUAGAGCUCUGACUAAAAAUAACCGCAUACAAAAUCCUUCACAAAAAAAUACACAAGAAAAGCAAUUCCUCGCGUAGAAUAACCAAACUUUACCAGCAAAAACAGCUCAUUGUCUUCCAUUUCAAAACCAAAACACCGAAUCAAGCAGGGAUCUAAACUCAACAAGCCCAAAAACCACCAAACUUCAAAAAAAAAGCAGCGAUAUUACUAUAAUUUAUUAUACCUUCAGAGAUGGCGUUUUGAAUCUCAGCACAUUUAAGAACAAUAUUAUGGUCAUUAAGUCCUUCUUCUUCUUCAAUCAAGUAAUCACCAUGUCCAUUCUUUCCAGCACCUCCACUGUUAUUGGACGCCGCCGAACCCGGUGUAAGCUUGACCUUGGAGACCAACAGCCAUUGAAAGAGAGAAAAUCCGAUUCCGAUAAUGGCACAUACCGGAAUCAGAAUCUCCGUUCCCAGAUCUGGCAAAAUCGGCGAACCCAUCCCUACGAAACCCUGAUUUUAUCUUGUUUGUUUGUUUCUCCACUAACAGGAGAGAAAGAGAGCGAGCGAGAGAGAGAGAGAGGAGUGUGCUCCUGAUGAGGAAUGUGUGAUAUGGUGAAGGGGAGAGAGAGAGAGAGACUGUUAUUUAUAGUGAGUGACGAACGGAUCUCAUAAAAAAGAGGGCCAGCCAGAUGGUAAAAGUCAAAAACAGCACAUGGGGUCGAAUACAAAUUUACUAUUUUUGGUUCUGAAGGCUUAAUUGGGAAUAUGCGUUUUUUGUGCUCAAACUUGCGGUAUUUAUGGUAGUUGGGGGACUAGAUUAGAUUUUUUUUUUUGGUAGGAGGAUGAGAUUCGAUUUUUUUGGAUGUGUUAGAGUUUUUUUUUUAUAGUUAUUGAUGUUAUUUUAGAGGUUAUUUUUUAAAAUAUUUUUUUUAUUUUAAAAAAUUUAUUUUGACAUUAAAAUAUUAAAACAAUAAAAAAAAAAUUAAAAGAGGUGUGAUUGAGUUGCCAAAACAAUAGUCUUUUCUUUGUGAGAGUUUUAAGAUGUGUUCUUGACAAGAAGUGCUGCCGUAAAGGUAAGUUCUUAACUUCAUUAAGAUUUUUGGUAGAGUUUAACCAUGUCUUAAUAUUUCAAGGAUGAUAAUUACGAGGGAAGUAGUUAAACUAAUCAUGUUUUAAGUUUGUUUUCUAGAAAUUAUCAGUUUGAGUCUUAUAAAUUUCAUAGUCACUGGAGGCUUAUAUGAUCGUUAACUUCAGGGUCCGUGGGAUUAGUCGAGGUACACGCAAACUGGUCUGGACAUCCACGUUAAUAAAAAAAAAAAUAAUGCAAUAUUAUUAUUAAGGCAAUUACGAGGGAAUUGAGGAUGGAUAUGUAUGAUUUAAAAAUAUUUGAAUUUGACACACAAAUUGAUCUUGAAUUACCCUAAAUCAUUGUAAAAAAAAAUAAAAAAAAACUUUCGCUAAAAACAAUAAAUCAACAUCAUUAUACACAAUUACUAGAUAGAGAGGCUGAUUUAAUUUUUUAUUUCGACAAAUCACUCGUCAAGGGUAAAUUUACUACAACAAAACAAUGGGUAUAAAAUACAAUGUCGAGGGUGGAGUAUGGAAAACAGGAGCGACCAAGGAUUACUGAUUUUCUCUUAACCAUGGAUGGAGGGCAUGCAUUUAGGGUUUGAAAAAUUGACAUGUCACUUGUCGUCGUAAAAUUCACACCUAGAAAUUAAGAUAUAAACUUAAUUAUUUAUGAAGUGUGAACCUUGUAUAAGAUUAUAUAUUAUUUGAUUAACGUCUCAUCAACAAUAAUAUAUUUAAAAAAUUAUUGAGUUGACGUUACUCAUGUUAUUUUUAAAUAGUAUUGAUAUGUUAAUAUUAAAAAUAAAUUUUAAAAAAUAAAAAAUAUUAUUUUAAUAUAUUUUUAAAUAAAUAUUUUAAAAAACAACGUGUGUGCCAUGUUCUAAAAGAAUCAUUGGUUAUAAAAAAAAUUGUAUAGCAUCAUAUUGAGUCGGCGUUACCUCGUAUUAUUUUUGAAUAGUAUUGAUAUGUUAAUAUUAAAAAUAAAUUUUAAAAAAUAAAAAAUAUUAUUUUAAUAUAUUUUUAAAUAAAUAUUUUAAAAAACAACGUGUGUGCCAUGUUCUAAAAGAAUCAUUGGUUAUAAAAAAAAUUGUAUAGCAUCAUAUUGAGUCGGCGUUACCUCGUAUUAUUUUUGAAUAGUUUUAAUAUGUUAAUAUUAAAAAUAAAUUUUAAAAAAUAAAAAAUAUUAUUUUAAUAUAUUUUUAAAUAAAUAUUUUAAAAAACAACGUGUGUGCCAUGUUCUAAAAUUGUAUAGCAUCAUAUUGAGUUGGCGUUACCUCGUAUUAUUUUUGAAUAGUUUUGAUAUGUUAAUAUUAAAAAUAAAUUUUAAAAAAUAAAAAAUAUUAUUUUAAUAUAUUUUUAAAUAAAUAUUUUAAAAAACAAUGUUUGUGUCAUGUUCUAAAAGAAUCAUUGGCUAUAAAAAAAAUUGUAUAGCAUCAUAUUGAGUUGGCGUUACCUCGUAUUAUUUUUGAAUAGUUUUGAUAUGUUAAUAUUAAAAAUAAAUUUAAAAAAAUAAAUUUUAAUAUAUUUUUAAAUAAAUAUAAAAAAAAAACAACUUGUAUGCCAUGUUCUAAAAGAAUCUUUGGGUAUAGAAAAUUGUAUAGCAUCAAAGUCAACAAUAAAUAAGUCAUAAAAUCUAAAAGACACAGCUCUAGAAUAACAAUUACGUGUUAUUGUAAUUGUUAAGGGUAAACAAGUUGACGUGUCACUGGACAAAAUAAAAUUGAAGACUCUCUUAUUUUAAUUAACAUCCCAUCAACAUUAAUAUAUUUCUAAGGAUUAUUGAGGUGGCCAUUGAUGCACCCGACUACACACCCCCCUAUCGCCUGCCCGAGUCAUAGUGAGUUUUUGAGAGUGUGUAAUUCUGUCUCUCGAUGUUUUUUUAAUGAUUUUAAUAUAUUAAUACAAAAGGAUAAUAAAAAAUUACUUCUUAUUUAAUAGUUUUAAUAUAUUAAUAUUAAAAAAUUAACAAAAAUCUUUUUAAGCGACAAAAUAUUUUAAAAAACCACCUUGUUACGAGGCAAUACCUAUUUGAUUGUUUUUGUUUGUUUUUACGUUUCAAAAGUGUUUUUAAAAAAAUUUAAAAUUUUUUUCUUUACUUCAAAUUAAUAUUUUUUAAUUUUUUUAGAUUAUUUUGAUAUGCUGAUGUCAAAAAUAAUUUUUAAAAAAUAAAAACAAUUAUUUAAAUACAUUUUCAAACAAAAAUACUUUGAAAAAUAAUCAUUAUUACGCUCUCUGGCACCCUAAUUCUUUUGUGAUCGGUGUGCAACUCAAUCCAUUUGCUGGUUAUUGGAUAGAUUAACUAACAACUUGACAUUCAAAAUCGAUGGAUAGAUGAUCAAGGAUUAACUUAUAAGUUUGUUAUAACAAGGGAUUAACUUACUAGCUUCCUAGAAAUACAUGGACUAAGUUGAGCUUUUAUUUUAACUUUUGUUUUUUCAUUUUCCUCCUCGCUCUCUUUUUUUCUUUGCUAAUUAGCCCACCCAAUUUUUACAACAAAACAGAUAUAAUUAUUGCAGAAAAGGCCAAGGAAAUUGAAGAGAUGUUUAUCCUUAGAGGCCCUCUCUCAGCCAAGGAAAUUUAUGACAUUAAAACAGAUAAAUUUAUUUAUUUAUUGAAAACUACACAGCAAACCUUAUCAUCGAAACCCACAAACCGUUCAACUUUCGGUCCUAUGAGAGAAUGUCAAUCUGGCGAUGCAGUGGGCAGUGAGAGCAUUAAUUUUGGAGAGUUUUGUUUUGUCCUGAUGGGUUUUUUUAUUAUUAUUAUUUAUUUUUAAUCUUCCGUGCUGCUCCAUCACCAUUGAUUGGUUUCUAAUUUCCAGGCUUCGAUCUCAUCAUGACGUGGCGAUUUUAUUCGGAUAACUCUCACAACAGCAGCGUCUUUUAGACGCAUUCCAGAAUCCGACUUUUUAUCUUUCCUGCGCCUAUUUUAAAGCGUAAAAGAUAAUAUGUUUUUUUAAUUUUUUUAUUUUAAAAUAUAUUAAAAUAAUAUUAUUUUAUUUUUUAAAAUUUAUUUUUAAAAUCAACAUAGAAACCGAUUCAAAAAUAAAAAAAAUAAUUUGAAUUAAAAAUAUUAAAAAAUUUAGAUAAAUAAUUCAACCGUGCUUCCAAAAACACCUUCAUUUCUUUUUUUUUCUUUAUUAUUUUUUAACCUUUUUAAUAGUUAAAUUCUAAUUGUAAACCCCGUUCCGAAGUUAACUUGUAGUAAGCCAAAUCAAGAAGUUUUGUCCCAAUUAUUUUUUAAAAAUAUUUAAAACAAUAUUAUUUUUAAAAAAAAUUAAUAAAUUAAGAGCCUAGUUUUAACUAGGUGAAUGAAUAAACUUUGAUUUUAAUCAGAUUAAUCUAGUUUUUUUUUGUUGUUAUAUUUUUUUAAUUAAAAUUGAUCCAAGUUAGGCGUGUUUCAACUCUACAGAGUCCCAUACGAGUUUUACGAAUAUGAUUUAUUUUUUCACUAGUCAAUUAAACGACAAAGAAGAGAAUUUAAGCAGGUCUCAGUCUUGGCCCCAUUACUGAUUUCCUUAGCCUUAUUAGAAGUGUCGCCUCAGUUUUAAUUCUAACAUGGUGUGUGAAGGUCUAUCCAGGUACGAGGGAUGGGCUGAUACUUGUCGGAUUUAUGCUAAUUAUCCAUUUGAUUAAAAAAAAAGAAUGAGGUGUUUUUUUUUACUAUCUUGUCCAAAAUGCCAACGAACCUUGUUUUUAUAUAUAUAUAUAUAUAUAAACUAAUUAUGGGAUCAGCUUGAAUUUGGUACCUAAAGCUCAAAAAUCAACUUUUUUAUCUUUAGAUUUAAGUUUUUUCUUCGUAUUAUCCAAGUAAAUUUUUAUGCCAACAAUUUUUUAAUCAUUUUUAUUAUUAUUAUUAACAAUCCGAGUUUGUUAUAGGUUAAAUUUUUUAAAAAUUAGAAAUAAUAUAAUCAUGGAGAGAUUUUGCCAAGAAGUUAUUAUAAUAUUUUAUAUAAAAAACCCUAUUAAUACUAACUACAUAAAUAAAAAUAGCAAAAUUGUUAUCUUUAGAUAGAAAAACAUAAUAAUACUAAAUAUAAAAAUUUAUACUUUAUUAAAAAACCAUCCUUCACUAUAAACACGUUAAGCACAAUGUUCUUGAGGUAUAACCUCCUCGAUCGAAAGUCCAAUGGUGCUAUCAUCGAACAUAACAUGAACAUGAUGCUCAUUCGAGGGAGAGAAAAAAAAGUACGAGCACAAGGAAUAAUCCGAGGGUUUAUUAUAUUUAAUAUCCAUCGAAUUAAUAUAAAAAUACACCAAACAACAAAUAAAUACAAGAAGGUGUGAACAAUAUUUUAUUUCCAAUAAAUAUAGAAAGGUGCUGGAGCACAGUCAUGCCCGUUGGGAUCAUGCAAUCGAAAUAAUAGGUGCAUGGUACAUGUGGGUAUCGUGCACAUUAUUGAGGCUGUAAUGUCGAAUCAUCUUAAUACCAUGUCGCUUAACAACCACAAUAGAAUGAGUUUUUUUAUUUAUUAUUAUCGUAGGUAUUCGGGUCAGCUCGUGCGUAUCUCAACUAAUCCUACGGGUUCUAAAAUUAAUAAUCAUGUAAGUUUUCAGUAGCUCUAAGAUUUAUGAAACUCGAACAGGUAAUCUUUAAAAAAUAAAUUUAUAACCUAACUUAUUAAACUAUAUUUAUCUUAUUAGAUUUUUUUACUAAGUGGGAUUGGGAUUUGCUUUUUUUUAUAUAUAUAUAUAUAACAUCCUUUGGUUAAAUUACUUUGAUUGGACCAUCUCAAUUCCCGAAGGGAAGAGAUGAGGACCAUUUACCCAGAAUCUGACAAUGGCCGAUCAGCCACCACCACGCAAAACACAUGUACAGGGCAGAUCGAAUCUGUUCUAUUUUGAUGCCAUAUCUCCUGAAACAUUGGACCCGCUUCUUGGUAUCAAUGAAUAAAUAUAAAGUAUUAUUUAAAUUAAUUUAAUUUAAUUUCAUUGUUUUCUUAAUCUGAUCUCUCUUAUUUGUUGCUGAUCAAAACUCGACACCUCACCUGAAGUAUACAGCAUAAAUUCUUAGUGUUCUCUGUAACUAGAAUCUUAAACGGUGAUUUUUGUCUCUGUUUUUUAAAAUAUAUCUAUAGGAAUGUUCGGUGUCGAAAAAAUAAAAAUAAAAACAAAGAUAAUAUAUUUAAAGAUAUAAAAAUUCAUUCCAAGACCAUUUUUAUUUUAUUCUAUCUUUAUAUUUAUGUGUCUUUAGCUAAAUAUUUUUUUAUUUUAAUUGUCUUCGUCUCUUGUACGAGACACCAAUCAAUUGCCACAUUACAUAUAAAUAUUAUUAUGUUAUCUAAAUAAUAUUUACAAUACAUAAUAUAAUAUUUUUUUAUUGAUUUCAAUACAAAUACAAUGUAAACUAUUUAUUUAAUCGAAUAAUUUUAAUUAUUUUUUAUUGUUCUAAAAAUUACAUCAUUUUAAGAACUCCAUCACUCUAAAAGCUCACAUCCAUUAUCCUACCCUCUAAGUUAAAAACACAUGUUAAGAUGGUUGGACCCUGUAGUUGCUAAUAUGAUGGUCACUAAAAGCUUACAUGGUCGUUAACUUCAGGGCUCGUAGAAUUAGUCGAGGUACACGUAAACUGACCCGAACACCCAUGUUAAUAAAAAAAAACACAUGUUAAGAUCAUGUUUCUAAAUCACAUUCUAGAUAAAUCAUCUACAUCUAAAUUAACGUGCUUAUAUUAAAAAAAAAUUCUUAACAACGAAUCAAGUUAGAACAUAGAACAAUAAUACAGUCAUAAUCUUGAUUGUCUUAAUAUCAAUAUUUUAUUGUAGUAGCUAGACAGUUUACACCGCUAAGUUACUCUUUAUGUCCAGAUCCUUUGUGUUCGACUUCAAUAUCUGACAGACAAAAGAUUGCAAUAUCUUCACAUAUAUUGUUUUUUUUUCCCCUUUAAAUAGUAGUUAAUUAGGCAUCACUUUCAAUAGUCUGCAUAGCUAUUAUUUUAAUGCAUUUAUAGUUUAUAAUGCAUUUAUAUUAAAAAUAUAUAUUAUUGUAAUGCAUUUAUAAUUAAAAAUUAUUUUUAAAAAUAAUGUAAUCACAGUAAAAAAAAUUCAUAAAUGGUCAAUUCAUGUGCUUUGAUUUGAUUUUUGCUUGUUGAAUUUAAAAAAAUUAAAAAAAUGUUUUUUUUAUCGUUUUGAUAUAAUAAUUUUAAAAAUAAAUUUUAAAAAUAAAAAAUUUUUAAUAUAUUUUUAAACAAAAUAUAUUUUUAAAAAAUAAUCUCUAUCAAAAUAUAAAUCAUCAAUUCAUGUGAUAGAUUUCUGAUCUGCUAUUAAUUAAAAAUUAUGCUGAAGGUGUAUUCGAUUUCCUUUUCCCGCGGGCCAUGCAAGUUUUGAUUUCUUGCAAAUCUGAUUUUUGUCCUCUAACUCGUGAAUAGCAAGUAGACAAUAAACUAGAGGUUGGGUCAUGAGCCACUGUAACUACACACCAAUAACAAAAUAUAGUAUGUCGUGGCUCGGGGGACCUUUGGUUAGUGAGGUGAGGUUAGAACGGGACUGUCAUGGCUGUUCAGUGGUCAUGUGGGACCUGAACCCAUUUUUCUUUCAUGAGCUGACCUCGCACCACCCCAUUUGCUAGAUUUUACCUUCACUGAUCUAUCUUUGUGGUUUGCAGGCAAAUCAUUUUGGUGGUGCUAAUUAUAAUUAAAAUUAAAAAAGAAAAUAACCGAGCUAAGUAAAAAGUAGCUGAGCUGGACAUGUAUGGCCCAGAUUGGUAAUCUACGGGCUAGGGCACAUGACUGGUAUCCAAAGCCAACUUGUCUAAUGAACUUUAGCAGGGCAGGGCCAGCUACAAACGAGUACAAGAAUAAAUAUAAAAUUUGCUGUGAAAUAAACUUGGUCUAUUAGCAUCGAGGGUUCGAAUUUCAGAGAAAGUUAUAACAACAUAAUUUAUUAUAAAUAUAGAACCUUGAGACUGGAUCAUCUAUUUAAAAUUGAUUGCAGAUCUGUUUUAUUUUUUAUAUAUAAAAUUCCCUAAUGAUAACCUAAUCAUUAAGCAAUAACUAACACGUAAUUAAUGAUUCUUAUACAAUGAUGGAUGGAUUUGUUCAAGUGUCAUUCAUGUCUCUAUCGUUCUAGUUUACAAAUCCAUUCAACAAUGUUCCUGGCGUUGUUUUCUUCAUGGGCAUUUUCUUUAUCAUGGAGAUUUAAAAGAAAAAAGGUCCUCUCAGCUUAAAAAAAUGAAAAGAAAAGAAAAGGAAGGAAUACAUCGUCGUGCUCGGGAGUUUCUUAAAACCAGGACUGAUAGAGACCGAUGCUUACUGGGGCAUUUACUUUUGUGUUGCACAAGAUAUUCCAAGAACAACUCUUGCUUUAUCACCAUAUAUAGAACUACUUUAGAGGAGGAGUUGCAGCGCUACUGUGGAGGUGAUUAAGAUAGGAACCAUGUCCUCUAACCAAUAAUGGAGCUAAAAAGUAACUUCGUCUAGUCAUGAAAUUUGGUAGUCUGCGCAUGCUGUGGAUGAAGCCUUCUCUUGUACCAACUUCUUCCCCUAUCAUUGGUGGCAAUGGUAUUCAUUCACGUGAUCAAGUCAUCUUUGCCAACCUUCAAUAACUUUUAGGAUUGUGAGACUCGAACUGGUGAUCUUUAAAAAAUAAACUCAGGAUAUGAUCAGUUGGGUUACAACUCUCAGGAUUCAUCUCGACACUUCUCUUAAUUCGAUUCUUCAUACCAUUCUUGGUGCAUGUCUUUCUCUCCUUCCAUUCCUAUAGUACUUUUGUUCGCAUAAGCCCGAGUUAUGAUAUGGUUCUAUGUUCUUUGUAUUCUGACAGGUAAUGUGAAACUAACUGUGUUUAUUUUUGUGGUUGAGUACAAUUUAUUUAUACACAAAAAUCAACUAUAAAAGCUAGAUUUUUUUUAGUUUUUUUGGUGGGUUUCCAUGUAAAAACCUCAAUCUCAAUCACAAAAACAAACACAUCUAAAUAAUGGGUACCAAAUGCUCGUGAAAGAUGUGAAGGUUUGUAUUUUCCAAAAAAUAUAUUAUUUUAUUAUUAGACUUAGUUAGAUAUAUAAUCCAAAAAAGAAUUUGAGUUACUUAAUUAUUGGGUCAACUUAAAGGUUACUAGAUCAUUUGGAUUAAUUUUGUUUUAUAUCAAAAUAAGUUUUUUUUAAAAUAUUCAUUGAUUAACUUGGAUGAAUUUAAAUUAAAUUUGAUUGAGUUAACUAAGUUUAAUAAAGUUAAUAUUUUUUUCAAUUCAAAUUGAACCUGACUGACUUGAGUAAGACUCUGGGUUAUGAGUGAAAUUCUCAAAUUUACCCUUCAAAGAAGGACUGGGUUUAAUAACUAUAUAGAUGUAACCUUUUUGACCCGUUUUUUGACGUUUUGUUUCAUUUAAAGAAAAAGUAAAGAAAGACCUAUUGGGCCUUAUUGUUUCUUAGGCCUAAGGCUACAGAGCCUCGUAACUUGGAGCAGCUGGGCUACAAGGCCACCCUAAUAUCUCAUAGUGAAAAAUCAAGAAGAGGGGAAAUUAAAGGAGUAAAAUUUCAUGAACAAAUCCCAGAAAGGAUAGCUUGCAUGUAAUCAGACCGAAAAUCCAAAAUAUGAAAUUAGCUUGAGAGCAUGAAAACUAAUAGCUGUGAAACCAAAAGGAAGAUAACCAUCUAGGUGGUGGCCAGUGGUAAGAAUUUAGGAUCAAGAGGUUUGCUCCCUCUGUGGUCUCAGGUUCGAAUCAUGUGGUUGCUAAUAUGAUGACUACUGGAAGCUUACAUGGUCGUUAACUUCAGGGCCCGUGGGAUUAGUCGAGGUGCGCACAAGCUGACCCGGACACCCACAUUAAAAAAAAAAAAAAAAAGGAAGAUUAAGAAAAAAGAUGGAGUUCAUCAAGAUAAAUAAUGGAGGGUGGCCUGCCUAGUAGACCCUGGCAGAGAUUGCUUCCACGUUCAGAAUUCGAGCUCUUGCACCUGUUCCAUAAUCAUUCCAUGAUAUUACUCCAUAGGUGGAGUUAACCAGUCCGAGUUAGCUGAGUUGGUCCAUCGAGCUGCCUAACACCAGCACAGCACACCUUCCAUAAUCAUUCCAUGAUAUUAUUUGGAGGAUCUUCCUUGAUUUCAAAAGAAUAAAAAUUUCUUAGCUUUCAACCUCCUUAGCAUGGCUUAGGUUAGGUUUUAAUUUUAAAGGCAAUUGAACCUCUAACCAAGUGAUCUUUGCCCACAUGUUCAAUAAUCGAUAUUUCCCAUGUCAUUAGUUUCCUUAAUAUUGGCAUUUUCACAUAGUGAAAUAAAAAACUAAUAAUAUCGAAUAGGAAAACAAAAGAAAACCACAGAAUUAUUAAUUAUCUUCUAAUAAACUAGUUGUCUAAUCAAAUAAACCUAACAAAUUCUAAAUAUUAUCAAUUAAAAAAAAUAUUAUAAUAAAAUUAUUUAAGGUAAAACCACAUUAUACACACCCGUGUCACCAUUAGAAUAAAAAAGUAGCAAUUUAUUACCUGGCUACUAAGUAAUAGUCUCGCAUAUAAAAUUCUAAGGGGUGUGGUUUAACUAGUCAGGCUCUAGGUUUUCACAAAUCUCAUGGCCACUGAAAGUUUACGUGGUCGUUGACUUCAAGGGCUAUAAGAUUAGUUGAGAUAUACGUAAGCUGACUCGUACAGUGUUUUAUAUAUAUAUAUAUAUAUAUAUAUAUAUAUAUAUAUAUAUAUAUAUAUAUAUAUAUAUAUAAACAUAGUUUUCCAUAGAAAUAAAAAGAAACACGGCAUGCAUCCUAGCUAGGGCCGGCAUAUAUAAAAAGCUUCGAUAUAUAUAAAACGAAGCAUUCACUGAUCAUAUAAUGCCACGCUACCCGAUCAUUGCACUUUGCAGCACAGAAAUUCUUUGAGCAAUAGCUAUGGAAGAUGGCUGUCGAUCUCUAAUUGGUUGCAAAACUGAAGAAAAAGGCAAAAGUCUCACGCAAUAUCAUAAACAAAAAAGAUGGAACCAAGAGCACACGAAACUGUCAAGAAGUGGUAGAACACACUGUUGACUUUUGUGCUUUUUGGAGAAGAGGUCCCUGCCUAUGUGCGGCUUGAAUUGAAAGUAGAAAUUGAUUGAUUAAUGAUCCAUCCACAAACUCAUGCUAGGAAAAUUCUUCAUUCUUCGUUCUGUCUCUGAUAAGAUAUUUCUUUGAAAGAGAAUCUGAGGAACUUCAAUGGUAAUUAGUAAUUACUACUACUUUGGAAAAAGAUCUCUUGGAGUUGACCACCGAAAAACGAAACCUGUUGUACUGAAGAAUGAAGCUAUUUGUAUCUUCAAUUUCCAUCUUUUCAUUAGCUAGAUGAGACCUAAAACUUCCAAAUGAGAAUUUCGAGUUUUGCUGAUAUCCUUCUGGGAAAAUCUACUUUUAAUUUAAUGAUGUUUUUUUCAUAACAAAGAAAUAUUAUAGCAUAACUUCGAUGAAUUAAUAACAUCUUGAUAACCAUCCAAUAGAUGAUCUAGUGGUAAGAAUUUGAGAUCAAGUAAUUUGCUCUUUCUGUAGUUUUAAGUUCGAGCCUCAUGGUUGCUAAAAUGAUGGUUACUGGAGACUUACAUGGUCGUUAAUUUCAGGGCCCGUGAAAUUAGUCGAGGUGCGCGCAAGCUGACCCGGACACUCACGUUAAUAAAAACAAAAAUAACCUCUUGCUUAAUUAAUAAGUUUUAAACAGAGAUUUAAUUGUAUAUAUAUUAAAUUUAAGUUUAAUUUUUUUAUAUUAUUUAGCCAUUAAAAGUAAAUACAAGAAAAUCAGCUGAUAAAUCAUCGAUCAGGGAUAUUUCUAGUACUCUAUGUGAUUAUUCUGCUAACAUGAUUGAUUUGGUCAUGCUUGUCAAUUAAAGUUGUAGAUAAAAUCGGGAAAAGUUGGUGAAACAUGACAUCAAGAAUCCUUUUCCUUUUCCUUUUCCUUUUCCUGGCUUUAUUUACUUUCGUUUUUUCAUUUUCCUGGAAAUCGCAAAGAGAUGCUUUCGGCUUUUUAUGCUACGUGAGGUGGCUAAAGUGCCUAAUUUUUUGGAUGAUACAAUAAUACUCAUCAAGACGAGUGAAUUAAGUGUUAUAUUAAUAUAAAAAACAAUACAAUUUAAUCACAAUAAAUAUAAUAAUCAAUAAUAUAAUUAAAAUGUUUAAAAUAAAUAGGUAGGGGAGAGAAAUUACAAGCUCAAAUUUUUAACGUGAUUCAGCAAACUUACAUCCACAAGUCAAGUGAUAAAUCGGUUUUAAGUAUUGUAUUAUUUUACUAGUUCAAGUUCAAUUUUAUAAUUACCGCUUUAUGAAUUAACAUUAAACUUUUUAUAUCACUAAAAGAUAUUUUAUUUUUAAGAUUUUUCUUCCACCUGAAAAAUAUAUCAUUUUCAAGAUUUUUUCUUGAUGAAAACACCUAAUCAAUGCUGAGAGUGUUUACCUAACUCUUAAAUAUUUAUAAUAGUGACCUUGAUAUCACUAGUAACUUUAUUAAUAGAAUAUAUGAUACAAUUCAAUAUUCUAAUAUCUUUGUAUCACCAUUAAUUCUAUUAUCACUAGAAGAUAUUUUUUCUUCAAGAUUUUUUUCUUGAUGAAAACAUUUUAUCAAUACUAAGAAUUCAUGCAUCAUUUUAGAUUUAUCAGUUUUAACUUAGAUAAAUUCUUAUAAUCAUCUUAUCGAUCUUUUUAAAUGUAUGCAUAGUAAAGUCCGUGUAUUCAUUUUAAUUUAUUCUUAAUCAAGCAUUUAAUAAAUCAAAUUUUUAUAUUAUUAUUUUCAUCAUCCUCUAUAUAUAAAAAUAUAAAUAUAUAACCUUAAGGUUAACACCUUCAUCUCUUUUCGUUUCCUUUCAUGUUAUCUUCUAAGCAAUCUUCCAACUUUAGAAAUUAGAAUACCAUUUUCCAUUUAUAAUUUAUUUCUUGACCGAUGAUAUUCUCCCACCUAGGCUUAUAGUCAAGUGGUAUGUCGUUGACUUGAUAAGUAAAAAUUGAUUUGCAAAAAUAAUAUAAUAAAAAAAAAGGUAGGGUGUGGUAAUUUUGAAUUGUAGAUAGUUUGACCUUUCGGACCUCUGAUGUAAUCAAAACAACCAGAAAGUGUUAAGGUUGGGUGGGGAUGAUUAGGUAAAUCUUGCAUUGCCUUUGAGAAAGUAUCAAGAAUCCAUAAUAAAAACACCAAUGAAUUUAUAUUUCAAUUGGUAUAUAUUGCUUUAAUUUCCAGGUAUUAAACUUUUUUCAUUAAAAAAAGAAUUUUGAGCUCAAGAUUUCUUCAAAGAAACAUUAAUACUUAUUGAUGUAAAAGAAUAUGUAUUUAAUUAAAAUUAUUAUGCAAUUAAUUUUAUAUAUAUAAUAAAUAAAUAAAAAAUCUCCAUAAAUAUAAAAGUUUGCGAUGAUGUCAACCUGCUGUUGAACUAUUAUAAAAAACUUAUGAAUUAAUUAACAACCUUUUAUCCCUAUUUAAUUCCAUUCUAUUACUUUUCAAUUUAUUUAUUUUUAAUUUCUAAUCUUCCACUCAUCGAAUCUCAUAAAUGUGACCAAAUCCCACCCAAACUCAAGCGGUAAAGGUUCGGAGACCAUUUGCAAGGAUAUAAUCUUAUUAUUAUUAUUAUUAUUAUUAUUAUUAUUUAUUAAUAUAAAUAUUCGAAUCAAGUUACGUGUAUCUCGAUUAAUUUUACAGGUCUUCAAAUUAACGACCAUGUAAAUUUUCAGUAGGCCUGAAAUUGUAAGACUCGAAUUGACAAUGUAAUUAUUAUUAUUAUUAUUAUUAUUAUUAUUAUUAUUAUUAUGGAAGGAUAUAAUCUUAUUAAUCUUUUUAGUAAUAACUAGUUACAGCAACAUUUUCAAAACCUAUUUUUAUGUAAUUCUAAGGUAAUUAUAAUAAAAUAUUUGUAAGAUUUUCAACGAUUUCAAUUAUAGAGAAAAAAAUGUUUUUUUAGUUAAGAUUCUCUUUUUUUCAAUGCAUUUCUCUCUUCUUUUUUUUUUAUAAUGAAAAUACAUAUAUAUUUUUUAUUAUUAUUAACAUGGUUUUUUGAACGAAUACUUAACACAAUUAAAAUAAAUAUUAUUAAGAACUCAAAUGAUUUAAAUCAACGAGAAAAAAAAUGUAUUGCUUUAGCAAAACUCCCUUUCCUUGUAUUUUAUUUUCUUACAAAACAAGUCCUUUUUAUUAGAAGCAUGACUUUUAAAAUAAAAACAUAUGUUGUGAUAAUUUUUACUCUCAUCAAAUAUUUAUGAAUAUUUUUUUAAAUAUAUAUAUAUAUAAUACAUAAAAAAAUAAAAAAACAUAUAUUUUACUCUCAUCAAAUAUUCAUGAAUAUUUUUUUUUAAAUCUGCAUAUUAGAUUUGUAUAAAUUCUUCAUAAAAUAAUUGAUAAUAUUACCAUAAAAAAAUAUAUUUUUAUUUGAAAAGUAUGGCAUAAUUGGAUAAUUUUUAAAUAUCAUUGUAAUAAUAUUAAUUAAAAAUAAUUUAAUUAAAAAAUAUAAAAACAAAACAAUUAAAUAAAAAAAUAAAAAAAGGUGAAGAUCUAAAUAAUCAAGCCUGGAAGCAUAUGGAUUUAAAAAAGAGCCCAAACACGCUCAGCCUUAAAAAAAAAAAAAAAAAAAAAAAAAAAAAGUAGCCAAGUGCCUGGAAAGCAAGAUGUUGCUAAUUAUUUUUCAAAACCUGCAGCCAGAUAACAUUCCAUUGCCUACAACAAUUCCGACCACUAUUAUACUUGAAAAAUUAGGGUUAAUUAGUGAUUGGCUCGACCACGUCAACCUCACAAAACUAACCUUGGUCAAUUUUAAUAAUAUUUUUUAAAAAUAAAAAAAUUAUUUUAAUAAAAAUAAUUCAUAUAAAUUCAUCAUGACCUAGUAAUUCAAUAACCAUGAUUUGUUUUCGAGAUUAAACAUCUAGUAUCAAAUUAUUUAUGGAUUACUAUGUUAUUAAUAAGAAAAUUUAUGUUUUGUGAAAUAAUUAUUGAUAUUAUAUUAAAUAUUUUUUUAUGAUUUAUUUAAAAUAAAUAAAUAGAUAUAAAUAGAAAAAAUAAAAUAUAAUUAAAAAUAUUUUUAUCAAUCCUAAAUUUUGUUUUUUAUUACUUUUUAAAGACUAAUAGAAUAUUAUUAGUUAUUUGUUUUUUAAUUUUUUUCCGAAUAACCAGGACACAAACAAACAAUCUCACACAAACUAUUUCGCACUUUAAGACGGCUUCUCUUUCCCUUCCUAUGUGUUUGAUGACCGUAGGUUCACUUCAUCACACACAAAAGUUCUUCUCACCGCAAAUUCACAGGCCCUUUUAACAGUUUAAAUACAAUUAGCCACCACCAAACCAUCAAAGUCUUUUAGUUUGUUUUGUUUUUGUUAUGGGGAAGAGAAAGAGAAGUAGCGGUGAUCAUAACAAGAACAAGUAUAAUUCUUCUUCGGGUAAUGUGUCUGUUCUUUCUUCUUUUUUUUUGAAAAAAAAUGAUUUUGUGGUUGUUUGGUUGCCGGACAAAAUGGUGAGAAAUGAAGCGAAAAAAGGGAAUUUUGAAUCUUGAUGAGUGAAUGGAAAUGGGAUUUCGACAAAGGGAUUAUAACUGCAGUGAAGGGAAGCAAUUAUGGGGUUUCUUGAAGUGAGAUUUUGUGGUUUAUGAGAAUCUGAUAUGUAUGAAGCUAUGAAGAUUAAAGAUUUGAUUUUUCUCUGUCUUAAAAAAGAGGAGUCUUUUUUUUUUUAUCUUAACAGUAAAAUUUAGUGUUAGGGUUUGUUUGCCUGCCUUUUCUUCAAAUUGUUUUGCCUUGGUUGCUCCUGUUUCUGGAUCUUUCUGAUGUUUCUCACUGUGAGAAAUGCUUUGGGGUUAUUGCCCCUUGAUCAAGGCUGGAUUGAAUUAUCACGACUACGUUUUUGUUUAUUAAGUAAUUCGAUUAUUGUUUGAUCUGUUGGAAAUGGUGUUUUGGGAUCCUAGCAGAGAAUGUGUGCAAUUGCAACAUGAAUUCUGAGGAGAGAAGUGAUUGAUUUUUCGGGGAUUAAGUCUAUGGGCAUGGAUUUCGAGUGUCAGAUUGGGGAAAUUGAAAUGAAGAGAAAGGUGAAAGUGUUUAAAUUAAUUAACCAAGCCAAAAAGUAAAGGGAAGGAAAACUAUGAAUUGAGCUCUUAAUUUGGCUUACAACAUUUUUCAGUACACGGCUGGCUUUCUGAUCUCUGCGAUCUCUUCUGGGAUUGCUAUCUUGUGUUCACCGCCAUUUUCUGUGAUUUUUACCUUUAUAUUCCAAUAUGUUCUUUAUAUUCGUAGGGUUUUCAAAAUUGUUUCAGUGGAAAUAUUUACUAUCUGAAGGGAACCACCUGUCAAUACAUCUUAAUUGGCAAUUAAACUCUGGAUCAGUUUGAUUUCUUGAUUGGUAAUUUUAUUUGAUGGAUUGCUUUCUUUAUCUGUCCUCCCAGGGAUUUGACCCGCGAGCAUUAUUUCAACGCAUGCCUUUCUAGCUUUUUAAGAUUGAUAACUAGUCCAUGCAAUGAUAGAUUGGAUUAUUUUUAUCUUCCAAUCUGUCCUCUCAUCAUCAAUUUAAAUGUUAUUAUAUGAGUUUUUUUAUUGCUGUUAGAGCUUUUCUGUACGUCUUUUACAUUUGUGGCUGGCUGACCUGCUUACAAACCUGUUGAAGCUUUCCAAUCAUGUUACUUGCCCUAUUUUGUGGCGAUUCAUUAGUUGCAUUUUCUUCCUUUGCUUCAACUUUAUAAUCAAGUCUGCUUGACAGUGUUUCUGACAAAGUGGUUAAUAAAAAUGUAGUGUGAGUUGAAAGUGCAUGAUACCUGGCUAGAGAAGAAGGAUUGUAACCUUUUUGUGUCAAGUAAUUGGUUAGAAUAGAAAAUAGUUCUUUUUCAGCUCAUUCUUAGUGCAAGUAGAAAUGAUUGGGACUGAAAUAAUCACUGUAUUUUAUGGCGCAGAUGACAUGCCAUGCUCUUCUGGAACAGAAUUAUUGUCCAGACAGGUUAGUCCUUUUUUCCUUAGUUAUGAGACAUUGUAAUUUCUGAUUGCAUGUUCUGGUUUAAUCUCUUUUGAUUGUUCCUACUGGAUUGAUGAUGAGGGGUUAAUUGAAAACUUGAAAACUCACGUCCGGGUCAGGAUACUUGGUGCAGGACUUGACAUUUUUUAUUUCUUUCUUUUUAUUCACUAUGACCAUAUAAAAAUUUAAUUGUCUUUUUCAUAAAAAAAACAAGAAAAAUAGAAAUAUAAUUGUUUGUUGUUUUCCUUUUGCAGAAAUCUUAUUUGCUAGACUCUAGUGAGCUAAGGCCUCUCUCACCCAGGGUGGAUGCUUCGGAUGGUUCUUUAAAGCUAUUGAAUGUCCACCAUUCUCAUGCACAUCAGAAUUACAACCUUGGCCGUUCAAUAGUCUUGAAACGAUCACGUCACCACUAUGGUCAUCAAUACUCUCGGAGAAACUCAGGGAGUCAUGCCGAUGCAUCAACUUCUCGUGGGAAGACUGCCCUGUCAUGUGAUGAGAGGCUUACAUUCAAGUUGAGCAGUCAUCUAGGCUCUGAGCCUGGUUGCCAUACAGGUGAGAUAUUCAUAAUUGCAUGGUGUUGAAUACAAUGUUUUUUCUCUCCCCAAGGAAAUAAAGUAGCAUGCAGCUGCUUUAUACACAUGUAUAAACAAAUGGGGUACCUAAAGAAUUUCUCUGUUAUUCCACUAAACAUCAGAGGUGGUAUCAUUUUUUACAAGUUCGGAGCAAAUUUCUAUGCGCACAAGAUGCAGGAGUUUUACAUCUACUUUUCAUUAUUAUGAAGUUUCAAUGCAACUCUAAGAUUCAAAAUAUCAGCUAUUUACAUUUACUUGUGCUGACUUAAAUUCUUUUCCACCUUUUCAGAAAACAAGGAAUUAGAAUUUAGCAGGCCAGACAGGGUUAGAUUCAAUUCCUUGGUAAUGGAUGCAGUUUCAUCUGAUGCACUGAAGAUAGUAUGUGGAAUCUGUCAGAAACUAGUGAGAAGGAAACCUUACUUUAUAGGAAAUGCAUUGACUGCUGGUGAAUUCUCUGUUGUGGCCAUUCUAGUUUGCGGCCAUGUUUAUCAUUCAGAAUGUUUGGAGCAGAAAACAAGUCUUGAAGAUAUGCGUGACCCUCCCUGUCCAUUGUGCUCGGGCUUGCUCUCUGAAGAAGAUGCCCCCAGAGAACAAGAGUAAUGUGUUGUUGACUCACGUCUAUGCUAUUAAUUAUCUAGAACAGACAUAGCAUACUUAAGAUGGGGAACUUGGACAGAAGUAUAGGUGGUUGAAAUAGUCUUAGCAAGCUGUGUUAGAGAAUUUUGAUCUGCGGUCCUUCGCAGUCAUUGCUGUCAAGAACGUUGAAAAAGAAGCAUGACCUGCAGUAUCUCUCUUUUAGUGCUAGGCCUAGAGAGACAUACCAUAGUUUUUGUCUAGGUAUGGACACCAGUUAAGGCGGCUUUUUCGGGAGAAUAUUAGUAAAUGACAAUCUUGGUUUUGUUGUAUGAGUUUACAACAUUGUACACACAUUUGUAUUGGUGUAUGAAGUGGCGAUGCAACAAAUACAAAAUAUUAGUAAAUGACCAUCGUAGUUUUUGUUGUAUGAGUUGACCAUGUUGUAAUUGUAUUGGUGUAAGAAGAGUGGCAGUUUAAAUUCAAGAACGACAAUGUCGUAUGUCUUCAUCUUUUUUCAAGUUGUUCCUGCAUGGAAGUUUUGAACAGGGAUAUAUAGGAUUGACUAGGGUGGCAUGUAAUACGUCCCCCUUGGUGUUGUCAAUUCCACAAUGCUGCUAGUUAAAAAAACUACGAUAAGAGUGCCAAGGCACAAGCACAAGCACUUGCUAUACAUGAGCCGAAAAGGUUGUCAAAUUCUCCGCCAGAAAAGAUGAGAGCUACUAAUUUAAGAGAAGGCACCAUGUUUUACUCUCAUCUCUCGCUGCAUAAGAUGCAGCCAAGGAAUGAAGACGCAUAUUUGCAAUUAGAUUUAAGGGGUGGAGUCAAAAGAGUAUUAGAGAAAUGACCACUCGGGGUGGAGAUUUACACAUUUCUAAAGGGUUGGCCACUACUUUCCCCUUGACAGAGGAAAAGUGCCUCUGAAAUACCUGCUGGUACCAUAUAUCUACAAGAAUCCUUGAUUCAAAUUGACUUGUAUACAGGUAGGCUCCAUUCAAUGCAAACAAAGCAAGCUUCCAUUCUUGCAAGGAUUGACAAACUAAAAUUCGUACCAUGAAUUUCAGUUCUAAAAGGAAAUGCAGCUACAAGAAAUAUCACAAAAAUCGAUUCCAUAUGGAAUUAAGUGAAAUAGUACCAUUAACAAUCUAAUAUACGAAAGGGGCAAACUGCAGUUUGUCCCAGGGUGGUGAACUUCUUGAUGCCCCAAGUUUAUGGAAGCUGCCCUCAUCCCCUGCAUGAAGUAGAAGGCAUCCAUAGGAUUUCCUCUUUUUUUUCCUCACGUGCCAGGAGUUCAGGACCAUGAGUUAUGAAUCAAUGCCGUUUUCACAACCAGAUUGUGUAGACUUUCAGCAUAGUCCAGUUUUGGCAAAAAUGGUUCCAGGAAAGUGCAAACUCGAAUGUUAGAAUUCCUGCUGUUCAGGCAACAAAAAGACAAGGCAGUUUCACACUGACACAGCAAUAUUUCAUUCAUUAUAUGAAGUGCAGAGCACUUCCGAGCUGAUAUAAUGGUGAGACUACAUAACCUGCAUAAACAUAAAGGUGUACAUUAUUGCCUAUAAUGGAAGGACAGUCCCAUCAAAGUCCCAUUUUUUAGUAGUGAAUUGAGCAUAUUAAGGAACUUUAGCUGAGCUCGGACUACCAGGACAGGGCUCUAUCAAUGUUGGCUCUUCAUGUUCCAACGGUUCGGCUAUCAAUGUUGGAUCUCUGCCACCUGGAGUUGGGGCUGGGGCAUCAGGGGCUGGGGCAUCAAGGGCAAGUGCUGGGUCAUCUAGGGCAAGUGCUUGGUCAUCAAGGGCUAGUGCUGGGUCAUCAAGGGCAAGUGCUGGGUCAUCAAGGGCUAGUGCUGGGACAUCAAGGGCAAGUGCUGGGACAUCAAGGGCAAGUGCUGGGGCAUCAAGGGCUAGUGCUAGGGCAUCAAGGGCUAGUGCUGGAGCUGGGGUUGUAGUGUGUUCUGAUGGUUGGGCGGGUUGUUUGCAUGUAGCCUUGUUGUGCCCUUCUCCCUUGCAUCUGCUGCAAGACAUUACCCUUGUGGGUUCUCCUUUUCUGUAGUAGUAUCGUUUUUCCUCUGGCUGGAUUGGAGGCCUCGGGGUAGUAGGAGGAAGCACCUGCACCGACUCUGGGGCAUCCCUUUCUUCAUCCAGAUCCUUGAAAUUGUCUAAAAUAGGGAGUAUGGAUUUCGAAUAUGUACUGCGAAAGCUAUCAACAGUAUAGUAUUUUGAACAAUAAUCAUAUACACUACUGCCUUUGCAUUUGAAGACAGCAAUAGCAUGGCGACAAGGUAGCCCUGCCAGUUUCCACUCAAGACAAGUGCAUUCCCUUUUUUCAGUAUCCACAACAUGAAUAGAGUCAUCAUGAACCUCAAAUAAUGUAUCGGUUGAGAAUAGUACUUUUAAAAAUUGUGCUCGGAAAGCAUCUUCUUGUAGCUUUUUCUCCUUUGACGGAGUAAGUUUUGUGGUCCAGCCAUUUGAAUCCCUUUGACAAGUGUGGAUCAACCCUAUUAUCUUGCAUGUAAGCACUUCCAACUUCCUUAUGAUAGGCAGCUCCCGCACUUCUUCAAUCCAGUCAGCGUAUGUCGCUGCAACAUCUACUAUGAUAUGAUUAUAAUGCUCUCCCUUGAAUAGUGCAUUUGUCCAGUAUUCUGGUUCAAUCUGCAUAAGCCAAUCAUACACUUUCGAAGAAACCCGUUUAAUUUGCUCAGUAUGCAUUCUAAAACCAUCAAGCCGGACUGCAUGGGCAGCGGCCACUAAACUUCCAGGCAAAGAAACUUUCCCAUCUCCAUGGAAUGGCCCCUUCCAGUUCCUCCUCAAGUUUUCCAGCAGAUGGUAUAUAGAGUAACCAUGGUGAGCAUUCUCAAAUAAUUCAAGCACCGAUUUCAUCAACCCCUUCUCUUUAUCAGAGACAAAAGUUACUGAUCGUGAAGUGNNNNNNNNNNNNNNNNNNNNNNNNNNNNNNNNNNNNNNNNNNNNNNNNNNNNNNNNNNNNNNNNNNNNNNNNNNNNNNNNNNNNNNNNNNNNNNNNNNNNNNNNNNNNNNNNNNNNNNNNNNNNNNNNNNNNNNNNNNNNNNNNNNNNNNNNNNNNNNNNNNNNNNNNNNNNNNNNNNNNNNNNNNNNNNNNNNNNNNNNNNNNNNNNNNNNNNNNNNNNNNNNNNNNNNNNNNNNNNNNNNNNNNNNNNNNNNNNNNNNNNNNNNNNNNNNNNNNNNNNNNNNNNNNNNNNNNNNNNNNNNNNNNNNNNNNNNNNNNNNNNNNNNNNNNNNNNNNNNNNNNNNNNNNNNNNNNNNNNNNNNNNNNNNNNNNNNNNNNNNNNNNNNNNNNNNNNNNNNNNNNNNNNNNNNNNNNNNNNNNNNNNNNNNNNNNNNNNNNNNNNNNNNNNNNNNNNNNNNNNNNNNNNNNNNNNNNNNNNNNNNNNNNNNNNNNNNNNNNNNNNNNNNNNNNNNNNNNNNNNNNNNNNNNNNNNNNNNNNNNNNNNNNNNNNNNNNNNNNNNNNNNNNNNNNNNNNNNNNNNNNNNNNNNNNNNNNNNNNNNNNNNNNNNNNNNNNNNNNNNNNNNNNNNNNNNNNNNNNNNNNNNNNNNNNNNNNNNNNNNNNNNNNNNNNNNNNNNNNNNNNNNNNNNNNNNNNNNNNNNNNNNNNNNNNNNNNNNNNNNNNNNNNNNNNNNNNNNNNNNNNNNNNNNNNNNNNNNNNNNNNNNNNNNNNNNNNNNNNNNNNNNNNNNNNNNNNNNNNNNNNNNNNNNNNNNNNNNNNNNNNNNNNNNNNNNNNNNNNNNNNNNNNNNNNNNNNNNNNNNNNNNNNNNNNNNNNNNNNNNNNNNNNNNNNNNNNNNNNNNNNNNNNNNNNNNNNNNNNNNNNNNNNNNNNNNNNNNNNNNNNNNNNNNNNNNNNNNNNNNNNNNNNNNNNNNNNNNNNNNNNNNNNNNNNNNNNNNNNNNNNNNNNNNNNNNNNNNNNNNNNNNNNNNNNNNNNNNNNNNNNNNNNNNNNNNNNNNNNNNNNNNNNNNNNNNNNNNNNNNNNNNNNNNNNNNNNNNNNNNNNNNNNNNNNNNNNNNNNNNNNNNNNNNNNNNNNNNNNNNNNNNNNNNNNNNNNNNNNNNNNNNNNNNNNNNNNNNNNNNNNNNNNNNNNNNNNNNNNNNNNNNNNNNNNNNNNNNNNNNNNNNNNNNNNNNNNNNNNNNNNNNNNNNNNNNNNNNNNNNNNNNNNNNNNNNNNNNNNNNNNNNNNNNNNNNNNNNNNNNNNNNNNNNNNNNNNNNNNNNNNNNNNNNNNNNNNNNNNNNNNNNNNNNNNNNNNNNNNNNNNNNNNNNNNNNNNNNNNNNNNNNNNNNNNNNNNNNNNNNNNNNNNNNNNNNNNNNNNNNNNNNNNNNNNNNNNNNNNNNNNNNNNNNNNNNNNNNNNNNNNNNNNNNNNNNNNNNNNNNNNNNNNNNNNNNNNNNNNNNNNNNNNNNNNNNNNNNNNNNNNNNNNNNNNNNNNNNNNNNNNNNNNNNNNNNNNNNNNNNNNNNNNNNNNNNNNNNNNNNNNNNNNNNNNNNNNNNNNNNNNNNNNNNNNNNNNNNNNNNNNNNNNNNNNNNNNNNNNNNNNNNNNNNNNNNNNNNNNNNNNNNNNNNNNNNNNNNNNNNNNNNNNNNNNNNNNNNNNNNNNNNNNNNNNNNNNNNNNNNNNNNNNNNNNNNNNNNNNNNNNNNNNNNNNNNNNNNNNNNNNNNNNNNNNNNNNNNNNNNNNNNNNNNNNNNNNNNNNNNNNNNNNNNNNNNNNNNNNNNNNNNNNNNNNNNNNNNNNNNNNNNNNNNNNNNNNNNNNNNNNNNNNNNNNNNNNNNNNNNNNNNNNNNNNNNNNNNNNNNNNNNNNNNNNNNNNNNNNNNNNNNNNNNNNNNNNNNNNNNNNNNNNNNNNNNNNNNNNNNNNNNNNNNNNNNNNNNNNNNNNNNNNNNNNNNNNNNNNNNNNNNNNNNNNNNNNNNNNNNNNNNNNNNNNNNNNNNNNNNNNNNNNNNNNNNNNNNNNNNNNNNNNNNNNNNNNNNNNNNNNNNNNNNNNNNNNNNNNNNNNNNNNNNNNNNNNNNNNNNNNNNNNNNNNNNNNNNNNNNNNNNNNNNNNNNNNNNNNNNNNNNNNNNNNNNNNNNNNNNNNNNNNNNNNNNNNNNNNNNNNNNNNNNNNNNNNNNNNNNNNNNNNNNNNNNNNNNNNNNNNNNNNNNNNNNNNNNNNNNNNNNNNNNNNNNNNNNNNNNNNNNNNNNNNNNNNNNNNNNNNNNNNNNNNNNNNNNNNNNNNNNNNNNNNNNNNNNNNNNNNNNNNNNNNNNNNNNNNNNNNNNNNNNNNNNNNNNNNNNNNNNNNNNNNNNNNNNNNNNNNNNNNNNNNNNNNNNNNNNNNNNNNNNNNNNNNNNNNNNNNNNNNNNNNNNNNNNNNNNNNNNNNNNNNNNNNNNNNNNNNNNNNNNNNNNNNNNNNNNNNNNNNNNNNNNNNNNNNNNNNNNNNNNNNNNNNNNNNNNNNNNNNNNNNNNNNNNNNNNNNNNNNNNNNNNNNNNNNNNNNNNNNNNNNNNNNNNNNNNNNNNNNNNNNNNNNNNNNNNNNNNNNNNNNNNNNNNNNNNNNNNNNNNNNNNNNNNNNNNNNNNNNNNNNNNNNNNNNNNNNNNNNNNNNNNNNNNNNNNNNNNNNNNNNNNNNNNNNNNNNNNNNNNNNNNNNNNNNNNNNNNNNNNNNNNNNNNNNNNNNNNNNNNNNNNNNNNNNNNNNNNNNNNNNNNNNNNNNNNNNNNNNNNNNNNNNNNNNNNNNNNNNNNNNNNNNNNNNNNNNNNNNNNNNNNNNNNNNNNNNNNNNNNNNNNNNNNNNNNNNNNNNNNNNNNNNNNNNNNNNNNNNNNNNNNNNNNNNNNNNNNNNNNNNNNNNNNNNNNNNNNNNNNNNNNNNNNNNNNNNNNNNNNNNNNNNNNNNNNNNNNNNNNNNNNNNNNNNNNNNNNNNNNNNNNNNNNNNNNNNNNNNNNNNNNNNNNNNNNNNNNNNNNNNNNNNNNNNNNNNNNNNNNNNNNNNNNNNNNNNNNNNNNNNNNNNNNNNNNNNNNNNNNNNNNNNNNNNNNNNNNNNNNNNNNNNNNNNNNNNNNNNNNNNNNNNNNNNNNNNNNNNNNNNNNNNNNNNNNNNNNNNNNNNNNNNNNNNNNNNNNNNNNNNNNNNNNNNNNNNNNNNNNNNNNNNNNNNNNNNNNNNNNNNNNNNNNNNNNNNNNNNNNNNNNNNNNNNNNNNNNNNNNNNNNNNNNNNNNNNNNNNNNNNNNNNNNNNNNNNNNNNNNNNNNNNNNNNNNNNNNNNNNNNNNNNNNNNNNNNNNNNNNNNNNNNNNNNNNNNNNNNNNNNNNNNNNNNNNNNNNNNNNNNNNNNNNNNNNNNNNNNNNNNNNNNNNNNNNNNNNNNNNNNNNNNNNNNNNNNNNNNNNNNNNNNNNNNNNNNNNNNNNNNNNNNNNNNNNNNNNNNNNNNNNNNNNNNNNNNNNNNNNNNNNNNNNNNNNNNNNNNNNNNNNNNNNNNNNNNNNNNNNNNNNNNNNNNNNNNNNNNNNNNNNNNNNNNNNNNNNNNNNNNNNNNNNNNNNNNNNNNNNNNNNNNNNNNNNNNNNNNNNNNNNNNNNNNNNNNNNNNNNNNNNNNNNNNNNNNNNNNNNNNNNNNNNNNNNNNNNNNNNNNNNNNNNNNNNNNNNNNNNNNNNNNNNNNNNNNNNNNNNNNNNNNNNNNNNNNNNNNNNNNNNNNNNNNNNNNNNNNNNNNNNNNNNNNNNNNNNNNNNNNNNNNNNNNNNNNNNNNNNNNNNNNNNNNNNNNNNNNNNNNNNNNNNNNNNNNNNNNNNNNNNNNNNNNNNNNNNNNNNNNNNNNNNNNNNNNNNNNNNNNNNNNNNNNNNNNNNNNNNNNNNNNNNNNNNNNNNNNNNNNNNNNNNNNNNNNNNNNNNNNNNNNNNNNNNNNNNNNNNNNNNNNNNNNNNNNNNNNNNNNNNNNNNNNNNNNNNNNNNNNNNNNNNNNNNNNNNNNNNNNNNNNNNNNNNNNNNNNNNNNNNNNNNNNNNNNNNNNNNNNNNNNNNNNNNNNNNNNNNNNNNNNNNNNNNNNNNNNNNNNNNNNNNNNNNNNNNNNNNNNNNNNNNNNNNNNNNNNNNNNNNNNNNNNNNNNNNNNNNNNNNNNNNNNNNNNNNNNNNNNNNNNNNNNNNNNNNNNNNNNNNNNNNNNNNNNNNNNNNNNNNNNNNNNNNNNNNNNNNNNNNNNNNNNNNNNNNNNNNNNNNNNNNNNNNNNNNNNNNNNNNNNNNNNNNNNNNNNNNNNNNNNNNNNNNNNNNNNNNNNNNNNNNNNNNNNNNNNNNNNNNNNNNNNNNNNNNNNNNNNNNNNNNNNNNNNNNNNNNNNNNNNNNNNNNNNNNNNNNNNNNNNNNNNNNNNNNNNNNNNNNNNNNNNNNNNNNNNNNNNNNNNNNNNNNNNNNNNNNNNNNNNNNNNNNNNNNNNNNNNNNNNNNNNNNNNNNNNNNNNNNNNNNNNNNNNNNNNNNNNNNNNNNNNNNNNNNNNNNNNNNNNNNNNNNNNNNNNNNNNNNNNNNNNNNNNNNNNNNNNNNNNNNNNNNNNNNNNNNNNNNNNNNNNNNNNNNNNNNNNNNNNNNNNNNNNNNNNNNNNNNNNNNNNNNNNNNNNNNNNNNNNNNNNNNNNNNNNNNNNNNNNNNNNNNNNNNNNNNNNNNNNNNNNNNNNNNNNNNNNNNNNNNNNNNNNNNNNNNNNNNNNNNNNNNNNNNNNNNNNNNNNNNNNNNNNNNNNNNNNNNNNNNNNNNNNNNNNNNNNNNNNNNNNNNNNNNNNNNNNNNNNNNNNNNNNNNNNNNNNNNNNNNNNNNNNNNNNNNNNNNNNNNNNNNNNNNNNNNNNNNNNNNNNNNNNNNNNNNNNNNNNNNNNNNNNNNNNNNNNNNNNNNNNNNNNNNNNNNNNNNNNNNNNNNNNNNNNNNNNNNNNNNNNNNNNNNNNNNNNNNNNNNNNNNNNNNNNNNNNNNNNNNNNNNNNNNNNNNNNNNNNNNNNNNNNNNNNNNNNNNNNNNNNNNNNNNNNNNNNNNNNNNNNNNNNNNNNNNNNNNNNNNNNNNNNNNNNNNNNNNNNNNNNNNNNNNNNNNNNNNNNNNNNNNNNNNNNNNNNNNNNNNNNNNNNNNNNNNNNNNNNNNNNNNNNNNNNNNNNNNNNNNNNNNNNNNNNNNNNNNNNNNNNNNNNNNNNNNNNNNNNNNNNNNNNNNNNNNNNNNNNNNNNNNNNNNNNNNNNNNNNNNNNNNNNNNNNNNNNNNNNNNNNNNNNNNNNNNNNNNNNNNNNNNNNNNNNNNNNNNNNNNNNNNNNNNNNNNNNNNNNNNNNNNNNNNNNNNNNNNNNNNNNNNNNNNNNNNNNNNNNNNNNNNNNNNNNNNNNNNNNNNNNNNNNNNNNNNNNNNNNNNNNNNNNNNNNNNNNNNNNNNNNNNNNNNNNNNNNNNNNNNNNNNNNNNNNNNNNNNNNNNNNNNNNNNNNNNNNNNNNNNNNNNNNNNNNNNNNNNNNNNNNNNNNNNNNNNNNNNNNNNNNNNNNNNNNNNNNNNNNNNNNNNNNNNNNNNNNNNNNNNNNNNNNNNNNNNNNNNNNNNNNNNNNNNNNNNNNNNNNNNNNNNNNNNNNNNNNNNNNNNNNNNNNNNNNNNNNNNNNNNNNNNNNNNNNNNNNNNNNNNNNNNNNNNNNNNNNNNNNNNNNNNNNNNNNNNNNNNNNNNNNNNNNNNNNNNNNNNNNNNNNNNNNNNNNNNNNNNNNNNNNNNNNNNNNNNNNNNNNNNNNNNNNNNNNNNNNNNNNNNNNNNNNNNNNNNNNNNNNNNNNNNNNNNNNNNNNNNNNNNNNNNNNNNNNNNNNNNNNNNNNNNNNNNNNNNNNNNNNNNNNNNNNNNNNNNNNNNNNNNNNNNNNNNNNNNNNNNNNNNNNNNNNNNNNNNNNNNNNNNNNNNNNNNNNNNNNNNNNNNNNNNNNNNNNNNNNNNNNNNNNNNNNNNNNNNNNNNNNNNNNNNNNNNNNNNNNNNNNNNNNNNNNNNNNNNNNNNNNNNNNNNNNNNNNNNNNNNNNNNNNNNNNNNNNNNNNNNNNNNNNNNNNNNNNNNNNNNNNNNNNNNNNNNNNNNNNNNNNNNNNNNNNNNNNNNNNNNNNNNNNNNNNNNNNNNNNNNNNNNNNNNNNNNNNNNNNNNNNNNNNNNNNNNNNNNNNNNNNNNNNNNNNNNNNNNNNNNNNNNNNNNNNNNNNNNNNNNNNNNNNNNNNNNNNNNNNNNNNNNNNNNNNNNNNNNNNNNNNNNNNNNNNNNNNNNNNNNNNNNNNNNNNNNNNNNNNNNNNNNNNNNNNNNNNNNNNNNNNNNNNNNNNNNNNNNNNNNNNNNNNNNNNNNNNNNNNNNNNNNNNNNNNNNNNNNNNNNNNNNNNNNNNNNNNNNNNNNNNNNNNNNNNNNNNNNNNNNNNNNNNNNNNNNNNNNNNNNNNNNNNNNNNNNNNNNNNNNNNNNNNNNNNNNNNNNNNNNNNNNNNNNNNNNNNNNNNNNNNNNNNNNNNNNNNNNNNNNNNNNNNNNNNNNNNNNNNNNNNNNNNNNNNNNNNNNNNNNNNNNNNNNNNNNNNNNNNNNNNNNNNNNNNNNNNNNNNNNNNNNNNNNNNNNNNNNNNNNNNNNNNNNNNNNNNNNNNNNNNNNNNNNNNNNNNNNNNNNNNNNNNNNNNNNNNNNNNNNNNNNNNNNNNNNNNNNNNNNNNNNNNNNNNNNNNNNNNNNNNNNNNNNNNNNNNNNNNNNNNNNNNNNNNNNNNNNNNNNNNNNNNNNNNNNNNNNNNNNNNNNNNNNNNNNNNNNNNNNNNNNNNNNNNNNNNNNNNNNNNNNNNNNNNNNNNNNNNNNNNNNNNNNNNNNNNNNNNNNNNNNNNNNNNNNNNNNNNNNNNNNNNNNNNNNNNNNNNNNNNNNNNNNNNNNNNNNNNNNNNNNNNNNNNNNNNNNNNNNNNNNNNNNNNNNNNNNNNNNNNNNNNNNNNNNNNNNNNNNNNNNNNNNNNNNNNNNNNNNNNNNNNNNNNNNNNNNNNNNNNNNNNNNNNNNNNNNNNNNNNNNNNNNNNNNNNNNNNNNNNNNNNNNNNNNNNNNNNNNNNNNNNNNNNNNNNNNNNNNNNNNNNNNNNNNNNNNNNNNNNNNNNNNNNNNNNNNNNNNNNNNNNNNNNNNNNNNNNNNNNNNNNNNNNNNNNNNNNNNNNNNNNNNNNNNNNNNNNNNNNNNNNNNNNNNNNNNNNNNNNNNNNNNNNNNNNNNNNNNNNNNNNNNNNNNNNNNNNNNNNNNNNNNNNNNNNNNNNNNNNNNNNNNNNNNNNNNNNNNNNNNNNNNNNNNNNNNNNNNNNNNNNNNNNNNNNNNNNNNNNNNNNNNNNNNNNNNNNNNNNNNNNNNNNNNNNNNNNNNNNNNNNNNNNNNNNNNNNNNNNNNNNNNNNNNNNNNNNNNNNNNNNNNNNNNNNNNNNNNNNNNNNNNNNNNNNNNNNNNNNNNNNNNNNNNNNNNNNNNNNNNNNNNNNNNNNNNNNNNNNNNNNNNNNNNNNNNNNNNNNNNNNNNNNNNNNNNNNNNNNNNNNNNNNNNNNNNNNNNNNNNNNNNNNNNNNNNNNNNNNNNNNNNNNNNNNNNNNNNNNNNNNNNNNNNNNNNNNNNNNNNNNNNNNNNNNNNNNNNNNNNNNNNNNNNNNNNNNNNNNNNNNNNNNNNNNNNNNNNNNNNNNNNNNNNNNNNNNNNNNNNNNNNNNNNNNNNNNNNNNNNNNNNNNNNNNNNNNNNNNNNNNNNNNNNNNNNNNNNNNNNNNNNNNNNNNNNNNNNNNNNNNNNNNNNNNNNNNNNNNNNNNNNNNNNNNNNNNNNNNNNNNNNNNNNNNNNNNNNNNNNNNNNNNNNNNNNNNNNNNNNNNNNNNNNNNNNNNNNNNNNNNNNNNNNNNNNNNNNNNNNNNNNNNNNNNNNNNNNNNNNNNNNNNNNNNNNNNNNNNNNNNNNNNNNNNNNNNNNNNNNNNNNNNNNNNNNNNNNNNNNNNNNNNNNNNNNNNNNNNNNNNNNNNNNNNNNNNNNNNNNNNNNNNNNNNNNNNNNNNNNNNNNNNNNNNNNNNNNNNNNNNNNNNNNNNNNNNNNNNNNNNNNNNNNNNNNNNNNNNNNNNNNNNNNNNNNNNNNNNNNNNNNNNNNNNNNNNNNNNNNNNNNNNNNNNNNNNNNNNNNNNNNNNNNNNNNNNNNNNNNNNNNNNNNNNNNNNNNNNNNNNNNNNNNNNNNNNNNNNNNNNNNNNNNNNNNNNNNNNNNNNNNNNNNNNNNNNNNNNNNNNNNNNNNNNNNNNNNNNNNNNNNNNNNNNNNNNNNNNNNNNNNNNNNNNNNNNNNNNNNNNNNNNNNNNNNNNNNNNNNNNNNNNNNNNNNNNNNNNNNNNNNNNNNNNNNNNNNNNNNNNNNNNNNNNNNNNNNNNNNNNNNNNNNNNNNNNNNNNNNNNNNNNNNNNNNNNNNNNNNNNNNNNNNNNNNNNNNNNNNNNNNNNNNNNNNNNNNNNNNNNNNNNNNNNNNNNNNNNNNNNNNNNNNNNNNNNNNNNNNNNNNNNNNNNNNNNNNNNNNNNNNNNNNNNNNNNNNNNNNNNNNNNNNNNNNNNNNNNNNNNNNNNNNNNNNNNNNNNNNNNNNNNNNNNNNNNNNNNNNNNNNNNNNNNNNNNNNNNNNNNNNNNNNNNNNNNNNNNNNNNNNNNNNNNNNNNNNNNNNNNNNNNNNNNNNNNNNNNNNNNNNNNNNNNNNNNNNNNNNNNNNNNNNNNNNNNNNNNNNNNNNNNNNNNNNNNNNNNNNNNNNNNNNNNNNNNNNNNNNNNNNNNNNNNNNNNNNNNNNNNNNNNNNNNNNNNNNNNNNNNNNNNNNNNNNNNNNNNNNNNNNNNNNNNNNNNNNNNNNNNNNNNNNNNNNNNNNNNNNNNNNNNNNNNNNNNNNNNNNNNNNNNNNNNNNNNNNNNNNNNNNNNNNNNNNNNNNNNNNNNNNNNNNNNNNNNNNNNNNNNNNNNNNNNNNNNNNNNNNNNNNNNNNNNNNNNNNNNNNNNNNNNNNNNNNNNNNNNNNNNNNNNNNNNNNNNNNNNNNNNNNNNNNNNNNNNNNNNNNNNNNNNNNNNNNNNNNNNNNNNNNNNNNNNNNNNNNNNNNNNNNNNNNNNNNNNNNNNNNNNNNNNNNNNNNNNNNNNNNNNNNNNNNNNNNNNNNNNNNNNNNNNNNNNNNNNNNNNNNNNNNNNNNNNNNNNNNNNNNNNNNNNNNNNNNNNNNNNNNNNNNNNNNNNNNNNNNNNNNNNNNNNNNNNNNNNNNNNNNNNNNNNNNNNNNNNNNNNNNNNNNNNNNNNNNNNNNNNNNNNNNNNNNNNNNNNNNNNNNNNNNNNNNNNNNNNNNNNNNNNNNNNNNNNNNNNNNNNNNNNNNNNNNNNNNNNNNNNNNNNNNNNNNNNNNNNNNNNNNNNNNNNNNNNNNNNNNNNNNNNNNNNNNNNNNNNNNNNNNNNNNNNNNNNNNNNNNNNNNNNNNNNNNNNNNNNNNNNNNNNNNNNNNNNNNNNNNNNNNNNNNNNNNNNNNNNNNNNNNNNNNNNNNNNNNNNNNNNNNNNNNNNNNNNNNNNNNNNNNNNNNNNNNNNNNNNNNNNNNNNNNNNNNNNNNNNNNNNNNNNNNNNNNNNNNNNNNNNNNNNNNNNNNNNNNNNNNNNNNNNNNNNNNNNNNNNNNNNNNNNNNNNNNNNNNNNNNNNNNNNNNNNNNNNNNNNNNNNNNNNNNNNNNNNNNNNNNNNNNNNNNNNNNNNNNNNNNNNNNNNNNNNNNNNNNNNNNNNNNNNNNNNNNNNNNNNNNNNNNNNNNNNNNNNNNNNNNNNNNNNNNNNNNNNNNNNNNNNNNNNNNNNNNNNNNNNNNNNNNNNNNNNNNNNNNNNNNNNNNNNNNNNNNNNNNNNNNNNNNNNNNNNNNNNNNNNNNNNNNNNNNNNNNNNNNNNNNNNNNNNNNNNNNNNNNNNNNNNNNNNNNGAUAUUAAGCUCCGUACGGUGUCGGUUGUUUUUAAACUGCUCAUAACUUUAAUUUUUUUUUUUUGGUUUUCAUUGGUUAAAUUUGUUUUUUCUUCUUAAAUUGUGAUAAAAACUUGAGUUUAAUAAAAGUUAUAAUUUGUAGCAUUUUUAAACUUAUUUUUUCAAAUAACAACAAAAAAUAUACCGCAAUACCAGACAUGAACAUGUUUGUUUUUAUGUUUUAAAAAUAUUUUUGAAAAAAUUUAAAUUUAUUUUAUUUUUUUAUUUACUUCAAAUUAAUAUUUUUGGAGUUUUUAUAUCAUUUUGAUAUGUUGAUAUCAAAAAUAAUUUUUAAAACAUAAAAAACAUUAUUUUAAUGCAUUUCUAAUUGAAAAACAUUUUAAAAAACAACUACUAACAAACUCACAAACAAGAUACCCCAUUAUUAGCAAUAGAGAUUUUAGCGUUGACCUCUCUUCUACGAUUGUGUUCGCAUGAAUAUAAGAACCAAAUUCUUUAUUAAUUAUUUUAAUUAAUAUAGAUGUUGAAACUAUUUACAUAUAUCUUAAUUAAUUUUAGAUUUAAAAUUAACAAUUAUAUAAAAUUUUAUUUUCUUAAUUACUAUGGUUUUGAUCUAAGAUCAACUCGAGUACAAAAUCUGAGUGGUCAGACAAGGACUUAACAAUGUCCAGGGCCCAUCAGUUAGUGCAUGCAGGUAUCAAUCAAAUUAGACAAUUGAACCAGGAAGAAUUCAUUGUCUAAAUCAAUGGCACCGAAAGGUACUCUGGCUCCAUUCCAUAUUGUUCUUUAUCUAGUACGUCAUAGUGCUUUAUAAUCCACACUAGGACCAAAGUCUUGAUAAUUCCCAUGGUUUCUGUAAGGAUUUUCUGAAACCUUCUAAUAAUUCAACGACUUUCUAUUUUCCUUUUCCACAACAAUCAUGCGCGUGUGCAUCUCCUUCUUCUUCACCCCAAUCUCUUCCGUACAAUGUCCAUUCAAAAACUGGUUAGGUUUCCCAGUCACAGAGUCAACUUCUAUACACUCUUGACAUGCACUGGACUGAAUUUAAAAUCCUUCCAUGUAACUUGUAAUGCAACAGAACCUAGUCAGCAUCCACCAAGUGUUCAUGAUGAUUCAAUAAUCAUUCAAAUCACAGGAUGAUAAUAUCAAAAAUGUUAAUAAACUAUGAUAUCUUAUGUACAAAAUCUUUCUCCACCCUAAAAGAUCUCCACCAUUUCUGCAAUAGUACUGUUAACUCCUAUCCAUCUCUCUCCAUCUCGUUAUGUCCUUCACUUUGUUAUGUAAAAGGAGGUUUCGGUUAAAUUCAUAAUUUUCCUCACAGUGAUCCUUGGAUAUCGAUGUCAGCUUUACUGCAACAUUUCAUGUUUCCCACCUUUUAAUUAUCCGUUACUUGACCUGUGCUUGAUAUAGAGGUCAGCUUUAUUUCCUCCAUUCUUCUAAUUCAGUACAAUCAUAUAGUGGAAGAAAGAAGAUCAUGAGAUGGAGGGCUUCUAUAUUUAUACUCUAGCUGGCUAAUUAAGCAAGUUUAGUUAAUGUAACUAUUUAGUAACUAAUAGCGUAUUGUGCAGGCUUCUAAUUCUGCAAUAACCAAUCUUUAGACUGGAACCGGCCUAAUGGGUUGACUUGGUGAAUUGUUAACUCUAGCCCCGACGUGGGACGGCAAGUGGAAAAACCAGAUUUUUUUUUUAUCAAAAUAAUAUUGUUUUGUUUUCUUUUUUUCUUUUUCCAAAAAAAAAAAGUGAAAGGUUGAGUUGAUCCUCGUCAACCUCUGAUCUUGGACCACAACCAUUGAGCUGAAUCUCAUAACUAUGCUCUUCUAGGUGGUGAUAGUGCUAGAAGCCGAGGUUGUCACAGUAAUAAAUUUCCUAUUGAUUACUGCAACAACAUUAAAUAUGAAAACCACUUUGAUAUUAAUGGAUGUGUUGCUACUGGGAGCAAAAUCAACUAGCUUCUUAGCAUAUUUUUUUGAGAAAUUCUUAGCAUUAACUGUUGAUUGAACUUGAACUUUAUAUAGAAAUUAACAUUCUGACAAGAUCAUCAAUUCUUUUAUUGUGAUCUAGUUUAUCUUGUAAGGAAUAACAAUUUAAUAAGAAUAUCUUGUGCUUUGAAAGUAUAUAAGAUCAUGGGUUUAAUUAGAUCUACAAAACCCAGCAGCUAGCUCUUAUGUCAGAGUUAAAAAAAUACAUCACUACUAGCCAAGGACAUGAAAUAAAAGCCAGUCAUUCUAACUAGAUAAGAAAAACUAAUGGUGUCUAGAUUUGUGAUGCCUGGGUCCACAGUAAUCUUCAUGAAUGCUCGGUAACCAGUGAUGUGAAGAUUUCUUGGACACUGAUCUUUUCUUCAUGGUACCUAUACAAUUCCCUUCUUUGCAGAGAAUGGGCUUCUUGUCCAAGAACCCUAGUACUAAUUUCCUUCAAAGAAGUAUUGUUAUUCGCCUGCACAUCACAAGAACUCCCAUCAGAACUGAAGCUGAUAUGAAAUACUAAAAAGAGUCAUUAAUUUUAAUGCAUCAUACAGUGUGUAAAGAACUGAGCACCCACCUGAACCUUUUGAGCUCCAACUUGCAUGAAUCCUUUUUCCAAGCAAAUCCCUGCACAAAAUAACAACACAUGUUCAAACCUAAAGACAUACAAAGCAAAAUCAGGUCUCUUAACUUAACACGACUGAUAUUUUUGGCAUAUAUACCUUGAGACCCUUGAAGGACAAACGAAAAAAGCAGAAGAGAGACUACUAAAAGAAGGUCUCAUUCAGAAAAACAUUGAGAAGAAGAGAUAAGAGUAAUUAAGAGAAGGAAAAGAUCAAGCAGUUCGCUAUAUAUUUCUGAAGUCUGGUACAGAAGCUACGGAUUAAUGUGGGUUUGGCCGAAUUCUAAGUAAUUUUAGAACUUGUAUUCUGUAGAGAUUGUGCAUGAAUGGAUUAUAAAUACUGUAGCUGGAGGGUAGGUUAAUUAUAAACACGGUUUUUAGGGCCACAAAGCACGUAGUUCUCCAACAUGAAACUGUAAUAGAAAACGGGAUUUUUCUUCCACUACCUUUUGUUUUUCCUCUGUCUUUCUAGUGUAUAGUGAAAAAGUUCCUCAAGAGAGGUAGUGUGAUGGUAAAGAACUUGAAAUCUACAUAGCAAGUUUUGAAUUUGAAUCAGGACGUGUAUUUUUUGUAAGAGUCUGGUAUAAUUGGGGUUUUACUCACUCACUUGGACCCACAAAAUACGCUUCAAAUUAUUGAAAUGACUAACCAUUGAUUAGGGCAUCCUACUAAAUUAAUUCAAUUAAAAAAAAUGAAAAGAUAAUCAGCCUUUAUUUUCAAGUGGGCGGGGUUUAAAAGCUUAAUAAUGGUGUCAAAUUCAGUAUAAAAUCAACAAUCUAUAUGUUUUGUCUUAUAUAUAUUAACCUACAUAGAAAUUGUUUACUUAGAUAGAGUUUGUUUAGGAUCUCGGGAUAGAAGCAACGAAGAUAGUUGGAUAGAACAUACCUGUUUCUAAGUUUUUUUUUUAAAUGACUUAAAUUUAUUUUAAAAAUAUUCAAGAUAGAUUUAUUUUAUAUUUCUGUUUUUAUUUUUAACCAAAUAUGUGUUAUAUUUUUCCUGUUUUUAUUCCUAUUAUCUUCAAACACCAACCAAACAUAAACUUGAUUUUGUUUUUAUCUUUUUAACUAAAUAUAUUUAUGUUUUUCUUGUAUUUAUUCUUAUUAUCCUUAAACACUAACCAAACACAAAUUUAGAACAAAAAAAAUAUAAAUAUUGCAAUGAUUUUACAACAUGAAAAACUUUAGGGUGACAUCAGGAAAUCUAUCUGGGAGGGAAACUAAACAUUUGGUGAAAGAAAUUGAAAUUUGACAAGAAUCGACAAUCAAUCAACUAAUUAGGAAAACAUGUUUUUGGUUCUUCAGUUUGACAUAAAGACAAUACUGCUGGUAACUAUUUUUCUUGGGUUUACAACAAUAUGCUUGCUAGACAGUUUCCGUAUCUCGGCAUGCGCCUAAAUGGAAAGCCGAUAUUGGUAUGCGACAAGAAUACUUAAUUUGAGCUAAUAAUAGAAUAUCCAAAGCAAAAAAACAUGGUAUUACACUUUGAAAAGUUCUGUUGUAAUUAAAUAUGCACGAUCCAGAGUCUUAAUGACUAGCUAGCUAGGAAUAUCUACUCAGCUUUUAGGUAACUCAAAUUGAAAUAAUAAAGAUAAUUCCUGCCAUGAUAUUGCAAGGGCCUGCAGCCAGUGGUGAUGCCACUUAGGAAAAAUUCUUUAGAACUACUUAUUUACUUCAGCGCAAGAUCACUCUUCUUUUGAGUUUUGAAGAGCAAAAAACAGUACAGCAUACCCAGCAAUAUCUGGGAUCUGUCAACGAAUAUUAUCUGUCAAAAAGAUACACAGCAAUCGAUAAAGAAACAAGUUGAGUCACAAAUUAGUGUGGAUGAGACAAAGAGAAAUAUGUUAUUAGAAUAUAAAUGUUGAAUUUGUAAUUAUAUUAAUCAUCAUCAAACUGCAUCAUAUCAAGUCUCAUGUCUGCAUUAUAAAUACUGUUAAAUCAUAGACAUCGGUUAUUAUGAAUCCUAGAAUUAGAAAUGAAACUAAACUUCACUCACCGCAGCCACAGGUAAAUCCACCGUCAGGGUGAUUAAUCUUGGAUACCAGUGAACAAAGCCUGCUACUGUUGACAGGAUCUGCAGCACAAAUAACAAACAGUUUAUUAAGAGUAUAUAUCAUCAAUGUCGUCGACACCUUGAAGGGUCUAUAUAACGAGCUGUAAACAUUCAAAAUGUGGCAAUGUGUCAUGUGGAAGGAUAGGAGAAUUAGUAAGGGAAUAGAAGAUUUGUUAGAGAAAGAAGGAGAUUGAAUCAGAGAACGAACAUCGAAGAACACACCUCAUUUCAAAAAUAAAAUAUAAAAUUAUGAAUGAGGUAAUCAAUUAUAUGUUUUAAAAGCAUAUGUAUACGAGCAUCAGCUAUCCAUUAGCAAAUUCCAGAGAGUGGAGCUUUGAGCAUGAUUAGUGAUUUUUUUAUUCCGACACAAGCAAAAAGAUAGAAAAAGGAAUUGAAACACACACACACACACGAACUAUGAUUUCAGAACGAGACAUUCAAGGAAUAUCUUGGAAUGGUGACGGGGGACAAAGCGUUUUCAUGAUUCUUUUUUUUUUCUUUAUGAAUGGGAUCAAAAUUUUAUGGAGUAGAAAAUAAAAGCAGUACAAAUAGAAUUACAUGUUCUGCAAAAUAAUGGUCAUUGAUCAAUGUAACCGAAGCAGAUGGAUACUCGUCAAACAAAGAGCAGGAACCUGAAGAAAAAUAACAGGGCAGUGAUAACUGAUCCUCUCAUCAAAACUAAAACCCUCAAGUGAAUCACAUGUUGUGGAAACGUACGUACUUUGUGCUAAUAAAUAAAAAAAGAUGGAAUUGUUGAAAGAAUUGUUAUUGAUUAUGUAUCUUUAAUUAUAAUAUGAAGAUAUAUAUUUAUUAUCCGUAUUAUUUAUCGACAAGCAGUAGUUAUUGAAUCUAUAGUAAAUUAAUACAUUUUUAGUAUUAAUACAAAUUAUAUUAAUUAAUCAGACUUGACUUGAAAUCUAACCUCAAAAAAAUCCUAGUUAUUGGAUCUUCGAGUCAAUCAAAAUUAUAUUUUUAUUUAAAAUAAUAUUAGUUUUAUUUAUUUUUAAAUUUUUUUUAGUAUUGAUCACCUAACCAGAUCUAGAUAAAUGUUAGCUAGUUCAAUAUUAAAAUUCAUUAAAUUUUAAAUUCAUUCUAAGUGAGAUAUUGAGUCUUGGAUUUUCAUCUUGAUGGACCAAGCCGAAUUAACAUCUAUGAUACAAAGGCAUUGAUAUAUAGUCAAUUUAGUAGCCAUAUAAAAAAAUUUAUUUUGAAAAAAAAUCUCAACCUAAUUAAUUCCUUUUUAGAAUAAAGUAUGUUGUUUUAGAAUGAUCAAAUGACUUGUAUUUACAGUGUUAAGUGACCAAUAAUUAAUUUUUUAAUUAUUUAUUUAGAAAUUUCAAUGAAUCUUUUGUCUGACAUAUUUAUCUUCAUCAAUCUCAUGUCUUGCCAAGAUACAUGAGCUUACUCUUGAUGAUAUCUCGAUUAUUAUUAAAAAAAAAUUAACAAAAAUGAGAUUACUCUUGAUGAAUUUCCACAAGUUUUCAACAUGCCUUGUCGAUGACAAUCCAAUUGCGCAGCGUGUGAAAUACAAGCAGCUAACAACUCCAUUGUCAGCCCACUAAAAGGAAUUUUUCGCCAAGAUGUCUCACAAAGAAAGUAUUAAAGGUAAGAAAAUCUUCGACGGACACCAUUGUAAGCCCAAAGAUAGAUACGUUUGUCUUCCACGUACACCAAUUACAGCUCUCGGCACACUACCUUUUGCAUUCAAUAAGUGAAACAUUUUGGACCGACCCAAAAUCCCUUUUGAAAGAAAGAAAACAAACAUCCAGGUCCUGGUAACAUAAAUGAAGAACACCAACUUCAUUGAGCAAACCACAGUUGCUUCCUCUGUAGUAUAUUCACACCUACUUCCUUAUACACAUAGGCCGUUUCGUUCCUGAUGCCUAUAUUUUGCUUCAAUAAUCUGUGGUCACUAAAUUGGAGUGAUAGGACUUAGGAGACCUUUGCUAUCGACCUAGCUAGCACACGCCUCCAAAUACAUUUUGAUUUUUAUUUUUUUUUGGGUUUGGGGGGGGGGGGGGGUGUUGAAUUACAUGGUUAUUUACUUGGUAGAAAUAUUUUGCUAUUAUUUCCUUUUAGAACUUCUCAUUGAUUGGUCUUUCGGCUCAACCAGUGCAAAUCUUUUUUUUCAAUAAUAGUCUAGGAUUUAAUAAAAUUAAUGCCAGUGUCAUAUGUCUAAGAGAAUUUCUUUUUCUUUUUUGUUCUUGAACAAAUUUAAUCUGGUUUAUCAAAGAUUAAUUGACUUCAUAUACGUUAUUCGAUUUCAUUCUACUAGUGUUGGUGUCUCAAAAUAAAUUUUUAUUAUAAUAUAUUUCUAUUAAUUCUAUUUUGAUUUUCUAACAUCAUAUUUAUAUCUUAAGCGGAUUCCGUGAACAUGUGAUUUUUACUUUUAAGAUUCAACCUAAUAGAGAGUUAAUACUUUGAAGGGUUAAUAUUUCACUGUAAUGAUAAGAUAGAGCGUGAAACACAAUUAAAAACUCGUUGAAACUUAACUUGAAUUAAUUAUAUAUUUAUAUUAUAUAGUUAUAUUUGAAGAAAUUUUUAUUCUAUAUAUAUAUAUAUAUAUAUAUAUAUAUAUAUAGAGAGAGAGAGAGAGAGAGAGAGAGAGAAGAGAGAGAGAGAGAGAGAGAGAGAGAGAGAGAUAUGCAAUGAUAUAAAGAAUAACUUCCGCAGUUACAAAAUCUAGUCAGCUUCCACAAAAUACUCAUGAUGAUUCGAUAAUCAUCAAAAUCACAGUACAAGAAUAAUUAUAAUAUCAAUAAAAUAUGAUAUCAUAUGUACAAAAUCAUUCGUAGCUAGCCCUAAAAAGCUGCAGCAUUCCUGUGAUGCUGUUUAACUUAUAUUCACUUUAUUAUAUCUUGAAAAACUUAAUUAUCUCUCCCUCUCUCGUUAUUAAUUUGUACCUACUGCACUUAAUUGUGUAUUGGAGAUUUUCUCCUCGCUGGAGAAUAGUCCAUUUGAGUUAAGUCCAUAAUUUCCUCAUAGUGAUCCUCGUUGACUUUAUGGUCAGAAUUCCGCCAAGAAUUUACCAAUAGUUUUUCACGUUCUCCCACUAUUUCUUCUUUACUUGAUCUCCGCUUGGAUAUGGAGCCAGCUUUAUUUCCUUCGUUCUUCUCAUUCUUCACAAUCAUAUAUAUAGAGAAGGUAAGAAGAAAAGGUAGGAGGUCUUAUAUACAUACAUACAUACACAUAUGUAUGUAUGUAUGUAUUGUUUCUAAGGUAGUUAUUGAAACUAUAUAACAUUUACAUAAUAACCAACCUUAGAGGUGGUGAUAGUAGUGCUAGAAGUAGAGGUUGUCACAGCAAUAAGUUUCCUACCCAUUCCUGCAAGAAUAUAUAUAGAAAAUGAUUUAGGAUAUAUGAUUGGAUGAGGUGUGGUCAACAUUUUCAUUGCUCGUUGUUCAUGUGAAGCUUCCACUCAAAACAUUAAGGACAAGACCCCAUUUAAUGAUCGAAGCUAGUUUAAUCGGUGAAGAUGAAAAGUUUGACAAUCAAUUUCUUGGGGACAAAUUUCCUUUUUAGAGUACUAAUAGUAUACGAUCAAGGGUUUGAAUCUUCUAAAACCCAGCAUCAGAGACUUCUAAAAUAAAUAAAAGUCAGGCAUUCUAGCUAGAGAAACUAAUGGUGUUUAGGUUUGUGAUUCCUAGGACCGUAGUAAUCUUCAUGGAUGCUUGGUAACCAGUGAUGUGAAGAGUUCUUCGACGCUGAUUUAGAAACUCUUUUUUCCGUACUGGUAAUGGUACCUAUACAAUGCUCUUCUUUGCAGAGAAUUGCUUCGCCAAGUACACCACCAUUAGCACUUCUUUCUUUUAAAGAACUCUUGUCCCCCUGCACAUCAAUCACUUUCCCAUCAGAACAGUAUUCACUUGAAUGCAUCACGAUAUGUGUAAACUAAGCAUCAAGAAACUGAACAACCCACCUGGACUUUCUGAGCUCUAACUUGCAUGAAUCCUUUUUCCAAACGAAUCCCUACAGAAAAUAUCAGCAGUUGUUAAGACCUAAUGACAUGCAACGCAAAAACAACUCUUUACAGCUUUAAAUGAUUGAUGUUUUCAGCAUAUUUAUGUAUACCUUGAGCCUCCUGGAGGAGAAAGGACAAAAGCAGAAGAGAAACUACUAAAGAGGGCCUCAUCUGGAGAAGAGAUUGUAAACAAGUAGGAAAUGGGUAUCGGUAUUUUAAAACUUCGUCUAAGGCCAGGUGUUGAAGAAGAUACAGAAUUAAUUUGGAACUGUAGUGUUCUGUGGAUAUUGUGAAUGAAUGAUAACAUCAGAAGAGAGCCACAGGUUAGAUGUAUAAAUGUACAAGGUUUUUGGACCCACAGGGAAGCUCUCCAGCAGGAACUUUCAUAAGAAGGGGGAUUUUUCUGCCACUGUCUUUUGUUUUUCCUUUGUCUUAAUUUCUAGUGUAAAGUGCAGCCACUUGUCAAAGGAAACGACUAAUCAUUGAUUCAUUAGGGCAACCAGCUAUCUUAAUUCAACAAGGAAAAAGUUAAGCUUUGUGGGCCUUUGUUUAACGUCAUAUAAUUUUCUUGCAUAAUUAAUUAAAUAAAUCUAAAAUUAUAAUUUUGAUGUAUUUGUAUUUAUGUUUCGAUAAAGAAGAGAUUUAAUUCUGGAAUAAUCAAAUUGAUUGGUCAAUCAUUUAAUACAUUGUGUUUACUUUUUAGACAUCAAAAUUCAAAAUUAACUUUAUAUUAAAUCAUGUGCUUGGUUAUGUUCUAUAAGAUCGUGAUAUUGCAAAAAAGAGUGUUCAAAAGAGAAAUUAACUUUUAGAAUUUUCCCUAGUUGAAAAUUAGGUGAAGUAGCACAGCUAGACUUCUUUUUUUUUUGUACAUUUCCGGACAUGCCCUGCUCUUUUACGGUAGAAUGAGGAUCUUGAGAAUUCUCUGCCAGUUUUGUCUCAUUGAGCACAAGUUGAUCUUCCCAAAUGCAUGCUAACAUCCCAUUACAUGAGUAAUAUUUGUCUCGUUGUGUUUUAGAUCUCAACUAAAUGGUUUGCUAGCGCUACAUAGCAGCAGGUAGGAUUAAUUUUUUAUUACGUUCAUUCAUGCUUUGAAGAAGAAGAAAACAUCUUAAGGGCUACUGUGCCCCAUGCUACUACCGUGGGUGGAUAUCCAGGUCAAUUUACACAUAUUUCGACUAAUUCCUUGAAGCCAUGAAAUUAAUAAUCAGGUAAGCCUCCAAUAACUUUAAAAUUUAUGGCACUCGAACUAGUAAUAUCUAAGAAGCAAACUCAAGAUCUGACACUUCUCAAAGUUGAGUCUAUUUUCAUUUAUUAAGUUCAUGGGCUAUAACUAAGACGUUUCUUCUCUCCACCAAAUGCGGGUUAUGUGACAUAUGAUAUGUCCAUCCUUUUUUUUUUUAUGAAAAUAAAUAAAUAAAUUUGAGUGUUCUAAGAAAAACUCAAAUUCAAAAUUCCAUCAAUUUAUAAUUAAUGUUUAUAUGUUAUGAAUCUAGGUAUUCUAGGAAUAUUACUCCUCUACCUACAUGAAAAUAUGGCCUAUCAUGCUCGUAGAAUCUAUUUUAUUACAGGUGAGAAAGUAUUGUUAUAGUUGUGGUUUUGAUUAAGAAUUUGAAUCAUUAGGUUGAUGGUUCAAUCUCAAAAUAAUAUUGCUUCCAUGAAUUUUUUAAACUAAACAAUAUUAUUUUAAAUAAAAAUUAAAAAAUAAUUUUUAAAGUUGAUCCAACUAGAUCUCAUUUGAUUUUAGUCAGAUCAACUGAAUCAUAAAUUAACCCCCUAAGGUUACUUGAAUUUAACAAAGACAAUGUUCAAACUGGUUUAAAAAAAAUUGAUCCAACCUAAAUUCCAGGUUGGUAGAACAUUGGGUCGACUCAAAUAUUCCCCAUUCAAUUAUAAUAAAUACUCUAUUGUUUUUUAAAGUAUGGAAUUUGGAGGGUGUUUAAAUGCAUUAAUACUAUAUCAAUUGAUUUUAACAAUCCUAAUUUUAUUAUAUUGUUUGAUUUUCAAAUUAAAACACAUCAAAAGUAGAAUAAAAAUACCGUGUGAAAAAUUUGACCCCUAAAAUUUGUAAAAGAAUACCAAAAAAUUAUUAAAUUAAAGAAUGUGUGUCUGAGUAGAACUAUUACCAACCAUGCAUCUCACAUAGAAUAAUGUUAUCAACUGUUACAGUUUUAAAACCUGAUCUGGAACAAGAAUCGGGUCAUGGAUUAAUCCAAAAAACUAAGAGUUAACGAGUUGAUAGCCGGAUUAAUUAAAGUUUUUUUUUCUAUUGUUUUUACAACUUGGACUAAUCAACAUCUCGGGUUAAUUGAGUCUUAAAUCAACCUGUCAAGUUAGCCUGGAUUUACUAUUUAAAAAUUUGCGUAAGACAAUUAGCAACCGAUUUUUUGAUUGGAAAUUUGUUUGGGAAAAAAUUUACCAAUAGAUUUUCCUAAUUUUACUAACCAAUCUUCUUCUUUCCAUCCAAUACAUAUAUUUUUAGUGUUUCUGGUUGGUGGUUGAUUAUCAAUCUUUUAUAUUAUUUUAUAUAUUUGUAUUUCUUUAGCAUGAUAUAUAUAUGUUUCAAUAACACUCUCCCGCAGAAUAUCUACAAAGAUAGCCCUCCAUAGAUUUGUUUAGUCACUAAUGCACGUAUUCGCCAUUUCAUGGAAAGGUUUCCACAUGGUCAUUGUAAAACAAAGAAAAAAAUGAUGCAUGUAAUUAUUUUGUGUUUAAAAUAUGAUGCAUGUAAUUUUGGAGUGAUAGCUGCUAUCGUACGUGGGAUUCAGGAAGGAAACAAAGAGAAUUUUGAGAUUUUAUUUAGAAUCGACAAUCAGUCCAAUAUCUGCAACAUGUUUUCAGGUUGUUAGUUUUUGUCUUGUAAGAAUCCUACUCAACUUAACAGGUAAUCAUCCUUGGCUUUCUAGCUAGUGCUAAUAUAUAUAUAUAUAUAUAUAUAUAUAUAUGCUCAUGGAAGACAAGAUCUAUCGCUUGCCAGCUAUAGUUUCUCUAUUUUAUUGUGUAGUGGAAAUUAGCAGAUAUUGGUAGGCGCUAAGUUAAAUAUUUAAAUUAUCAUUGAUUACCAUCUAAUACAAACAAUAAUACGGUAGCACUUUGUAAUUAACUACUAUAUAUUGUUAAUGAUACAAAUGUACUAAGCAUUAAUUUCACUCAAACACAAAUUACAUACAUUAUUCCUUCCAUAAAAUAGUAGAAGCAUCCAAAUUCUAAUUACUAUAGAAUAUGGACUCCAUUUUAGUGAUAUCACAUUGGGAAUAUUCUUUUAGAACUUCUAAUUUAUAUUAUUAAUUAGUACGAGUUCAAUCGAUAUUCUUUGGAUAUUUGAAGAGCGAAAAAGAGUUUUCUUUAUAUGGAUACUUGGGGUUUUUGCAACUGAAACCAUGAAUUUUUAAAAGAUGAACUAUAUAUCUUCAUGUUUUUUAGGUUUUAAUUAAUGAAUUGGACUUUAGCCAUCAGUUUUUUUGAAACCUAUACAAUUGUUACUCUUUUAGGUUUUAUGUUUUUUGAUCACUUGUUAAAAAUUAAAAAAUAUAUAUAUACUUACAAAGAAUAAUGUUUAAGUUUUAGAAGCUAGCUAGGGACCGGACUGAAGUCUUUUUUUUUUUUGUGCUCUCAUAGAUAUAAUUACCCUUUUUUCAUGUAAUUUCAUCACCAACGUUAUUCAUAUUGAGAAAUUUCUAUAUCAAAAUAUUCUUCUUAGUAUUAUAAAUUAAAGCAUAAUGUGAAAUAUUCUUUUUGAUUCAAAUUAGUCGAAACUCAUGAUAUUUAUUUCAAAGAGGGGUAUAUCUAUCAAUUAAAAUAUGCAUUUGAUUUGGGAAAAAAAGAGGCGUUGCUAAAUAAUUUAACACACAUUUUUUUGUCUUAGUCUAGAACAAGGUGAUUGGUCCUAAUUACAAGGGAUCAGUGGACAUAAUUUUUUAUAGUUGGAAUAAACUAAAGAUACCAAAAAGUAAGCAAGAGAUUAACGAUCGGCCGACCAGGAGACAUCACUUGUUUCUCGGACGCAUUGGAACAGGUUGGAGCACUUAUCAAAAGGGCACUCCAUUUUACUGUGGAUACAUGCUUUAUGAUAUCAUGUCUGGUUUUAACCGAACAAUGCAUCUUCACAGGAUGGAUCAUCCUUCAAUUGGUUGGGAAUUUCUUUCCACUUUGGAGUCCCUAAAUAAUUCCAACUUCUUGUUAUUUUAUAGCUUCAAUAAUAUAUUGUUUGAACUAGCUAGGGCAACUACAUUAAUAAACAUGCCUUUUAGCUACGUGGGAUCCAUUGAGAGAGCAGCUCUAUAUAUAUAUAUAUAUAUAUAUAUAUAUAUAUAUAUAUUACGACUCUAUAUAUGGCUCAUGAUACUUGAUCAAAGGAUAUAAUAAUGUACCAAAGGAAACUAUCGAUCAAUUACAAAUUGUUGAGUGUUAUCCUUGAAUGUGUUUGCAUAUCUAUGAACUUCGGGUCCCUUGUGUCAAAAACUGCUGAAGAUCCCUUUAUAACUUGAGUUGUCCUAGCUCUCGGAAAAUGAAGAGGAGUUGUUACAUUUGAUACCUUAACCUCGAUGCAAAUUAAGAACAUGCUGGUGAAGUAGUAAAUGUGCAGAGUACUUUAUUUUUUUAAUGUUAAUUAAAAGUUAUAUUUUUUUUAUCAGGUAAUUAGGAGAGUACUUUAUUUGAGUACUAAAGCUAAAGUUAUAUUAAUUUUACAACUAAUUUUUCAAUCCAAAAUUUUAGCUAAGAGGUUUAAUUUGACUAAAGCUAAAGGUAAUUAGUAGAGUACUUUAUUUGGACGAAUGUCAACAGUUCUCUAGGAACCAUGCACGAAAGACUUUUAUCUCCUAAGAGAUAAGAUUAGGGUUUUGCUAUUAGGUAAGUCUCAACCAGGGACUGAUGGUUGAAAAUGUAGAGUUUUGUGGAAAGACCAUCCUCCAUUCACUAUCCCCAUUAAGCCUCCUUAGUCCUUAUUAGAAGAAAAUUCAUAUGUAGAGAUGUUCUUCACCCGAUUGCCCCAUCACUUCUCUCUACCUAGGUUUUGUACUCGUUAUUGGAAGAGAAUUCCAUGACGACAUGAAUGAAACAAAUGAGCAUAAUAAUGUCCCCACAUCCUUUAUAACAUGAACAAGAUCGUCAAGCAAGAGUAGGAACCCAUCUUCUCAGACGCAAGUAAACAAAACUCAGUUAGUCGUAGAUGUUGAAUUUUUUGUUAACCUGUCUCACAAAGCGGGCCGGCAUGCAAGGCAAACAAAUCUUCCAUUUAUAUGUCAUUGACAGCACAGAGAUAUAGAUAUGAUGGCCUUGUUCGAUCAAACACACACGUCCCUUUCAAUGCCCCCCCAUACCUACGUGUUAAAACCCUCACAUGUUUUCGUGUUAACAUUAUCACAUGGGCAAGAGUCCCGCCAGCAGUGGCAGCUUGCGAUCAAGUCAGUAGGGUCAGGAUGGUCCGGCGAAGUUCACCGACAAUAUAGAAAUUAACUCAUUUGAUAGACUUGAUGCCGUUCAUGGAGUGCCAUAUACACGUGUGUGUGAGAGAUCACAAGACUGUAUUUGAUGUACACUGUAAUAAGAAAUUAACAGAGACAAUAGAAUACAUACCCUUUGUCAUGAACUGAGUAAGUGUUGAAUUGUCUAGAAAAAAAUUGUGCUGUAAAAAAUAAAUAGUUUUAUAAUCCAUGACAAACCUUAGGUUACUGUGUAGUAUCUCGUUCUACAUGUUAAUAUCGAAAACAAAAUUCUAUAAAAAGAAAUGGCAGGAGCGGCCCCUGAGGAACAAUCCCCAGUAACGAAUAAAUCAUCAGUUGGGGUAAUUUUGGACAUAAUUGAAUGACAUUUUCCCUACCUACUAGCUAGCCUGAUGAAAUUAAUCAUUAUUAACAAAAAACAAAAAAAAAAAUUCUGACAUAAUUCAACCCCUUGUUAAAUUUCCAGGUGAUCGUUGUUCUUGUUUAAUUAAAAGAACAUAUUUUGAGAAGGGUGAGGUGAUCAUGCAAGAAAAUGAAAGGAGAAUGUCUAAUAUUUGAGUGACACGAUCGUAGGCAAGCUCCAUUCGAUCGAGUGUCUGAACUCUGAAUGGGUAAAGAUCAUUCAGGUAAUGCAUUAUUAUUUGUAUUGGUUAAUUAACUUUAAUGGCUAUUGUUCUUGUAUAUAUGAAACUGGAUACAUUCUUAAUUCCCUGUAGAUUCCAUGACAGAACUUUGAUGAAGAGAAAAUGGCGAGGAGGAAUCACUAUUUUUUUUUUUUUUUUUGUAAUUUUGAACUUAGGACAGCUUAGGAGUAGAGAGUACUGUACCUAGCUAAAGCCCCAUAACCAAGAGGCCUUUCUUUUUCUUUAUACCCCAGCAGCAGCAGCUGCACCUCUAAUUUUAAUCAAAAUUAAACAAUUUUGAUACAAAAUAUUUUUUGGCCAUUUUGUACCAUGUUUUAAAUUAAUAUUUAUUUUUAACUGAAAAUUAAUUUAAAUUAAUUCUUCCAUUUCCUAAUUUUUUAGCGAUUAAUCCCAGAUUUUUGCUAUAAAUAUGUUAAUAUCACUCCUUAUAAAAUUUUACUAUAACAUGAAUUGCUAGAAAAAAAAAUCAUUUUAUAAACUGACUCCAUAUUUAUAAAACACCUUUGACGUACGUACUAGCAUUCUUUCAUUAAGAUAUAAUAAAAGAAAAUUAAGAGCAUUCCCAUAUAUAUUACUUUUAAGUUCUUAAAAUAUAUCCCCCUCGGACUCUGUUGAUUUCUUGCUUUGGAUUGCAGGUCUUUUAAGGUGUGAAGUGACACCAACUGGUCAUCACAAGGGGAACUUUAAGCCCUCUGAACUUCGUCUGAAAUCUUGGAUGAACAACCUAUGGAACAAAGUUUUUCAAUGCUUAUGAAGCCGAUGAGUGCUGAUCAAUCGAGUCAAAAAGUUCAUUUCCUAUCCCAAAUCCAAGCAUCCUGGCCAUGUCACUGGUCUUCAGUCUAGGUUUUGGAACAUUAAUAUGCUGUUGCAAGCCUGCAACCAAGAGUACACAUCGAAAACUUUCUUCAUUGCAAACAAUUUCAGUGCCUCAGGAUUAAAAACAAUUCCUGAUUUCAUAUUUACCUGCCAGCAGAAAAUUUAAAAGUUCUGCCUUUCAAUCAUGCUCUAUUAGCUCCUUAAAUAAUAUGCAGUCUCAUCCAUUAUCUGUUAUCUGAUGAAGGACUAGCAUUGCUGCAUAACGAGCCAGCUCUCCAGCUCUCCAGCUCGCCAGUACAUCAAGACAGGUAACCAAGGAUAAGUAGCAUCAAGUCUCAAAAAUAACAAUGAUAGCAAUCCAAUGCGCAUGAUAUUCAAUAGAGUAAACCUUGAAGUUAGCAUUAUUCCAUAAUGCUAAGAAAAUACAAAUUUUCAAGCACAAAAAAACCAAGAUCCAAAAUUGAAUAAUUAAAAAGAAACGAAAAGAAGCAAUGCGGGAUAGAUCUAGAAUCAACAAAUCUUAAUCUUUAAUGGGGCUCUCUCCUUUAAAAAAAAAAAAAACAAAAAAAAUGACUACAACCAGACCAAAUCUGUGGUGUUUUUGUUUUUGUCUCAGUGUUCUGCAAAAAAACAAAUUAGAGAUAGUGAGAGUUGUGGCAAUGAAAAAGAAACAAAUAUAGUAGAGAUCGGAGAAAUGUGGAUCAUUGAUUAUGUGCCUAUCCUCUCUCCUCCCUCUGAAACCUUUUUUUAUCCAUCAUGGAUCCCGUUUUUUUGCCUGACGCCUCCGUUCCCCCUGCAUCUGUCAGUUUGCUUUAGAACAACAUCACCCUCUCCGCGUAGAUUUUUCUCUCUGAUCUGCCUUCUUUUUUUCUCCUUCCUCUCUCUGUUUUGUACUUGUUUUCUCUUCUAUGUAAUUAAAAGAAGAAACUGAUGGGAGAAUGGGUGGAAAACAUGCGCCCGUUAAAAAUACCAAAACACCUUCCACAAACCACAGAGACAUCCAACAGGUUGAAGUACAUAAUUAUUACUACACUAUUAAAAUUCAUAAUGAAAUUACCCAGUCCACAGUACACGCAUUCAUUUAGCACUUUUAGUUUUUUUUAAUGUUCAAUACCAAUAUAUAAAAUUUAGGCAGCGAAGUAGAUAUAAACUGGAAUUUUAAAACCACUAAAACCCAAGGUAUCCCUUUGCCAUAAAUUAUUUUCUGCCUUUCACAGCUUGCGGGAGCAAGCAUAUACAUGCAAUUACAUGGUUUUUAACUCGUGAUGGAGCUUUCUCAAAGUUCGGGAAACCUCACUUGCUGGUGAGACCUGAAUAAUCUGUUGGUGUAUAUGGUAUAAACAAGUCUGCUAAAAGUCCUUUCUUUCUUCUAGGAUUAUAUCCCAUGUCCUUGCAAAGUUGGUCAUUGUAAUAUGUGCUAAAGUUACUAAUACAAGCUCUCCUGAAGUAGCGGCCUGUAACUUGUUUGAUGUGAUCUGCCCACAUGUUUGCUUCCUCUUCCAUGUCUCUUAUACUUGGCAAUUCAAGGUUGCCAUCGAGGAAAUGUGAUAGCCAUACACUUUCGAUUUCAGAGCGACCCAAACUUGAGAAAUUCUCAUUGUAUCCUAUUAUAGCCAAUUGAGGAAUUCGAGGAUGAAUUAUUUGUCUGCAGAAAUGACAAAGAGGGUGUCAUAUGAAUGCUAACCAUGCAAUAUCAAGCUGGAUGUUUGUAUUCAUUGAUCACUUUAAAAGACAUGCAGAAAGAAACAUGGCAAGAAAUACGAAGUUAGCAGACCUGUAGAGGGAAACUGUAGCGGUAGGUGACCCGAUUAUGUAGUUUUGGAAAACUGGAGACUCAAAAAUGUUUUUCAGUUUUUCAUCACCCUUGAAUCCUGUAGCAAAAAUCACAAGAUCAGUUUCAAAUGGACGAUUUUCUCCAUUUAUAAUUAGACCUUCUGGGAAGAAGCUUAAGCUUUGUGAAUUCUUGAUAAUGAUGCUUCCUUCUUCAACUCUGUCAUAGAAUUUGUCAGGCAGCAUCGCAAUCUGACAGGAAGAUAUAUCUUCAAGAAAGCUGGAUUUUGGUAACAUUCCAUACUUCUUCAGAGGAAUAUUCCAUCUAAGGUAGAUCUCAAUGAAUUUUGAAAUUCCCCAUCUCUGAAAAGCAAGAUAUUGGCAUCAUAAUUCAGAGCAAAUCACACAUAUAUAACAUUCAUGGACAAAGGCAAUUGCGAGAGUGAAAUAGAAGUUACCAAGGGUGCAAGUAAGGUGGCCAGAAAACUUAAUAGAAAUGUUUCACCAGGUUUAUAGACUAACAAUUCCGAGAAUCGAUUGUAGCACAGGAAAGCAAGCAGAAGUCCACUCAAAUUGUCACGGGGAAAAAACCAGUGGGCAUUCCUUUGAAUCAUUGUGCAAGGGUACAUAACUCCUGAAUGAUAGAUUAUAAUAAGGCUGUUUGAACUUCGAAUGACAACUAAGCAGAAUUCUAUGAAACAUUCUAUUCACUCAUUUAACUAAAUCCAGAGGAUGUUUUGAACAUCACAGACUUUAUUGCUCAUUAAAGUAAAAGUCUUUUUGAUAAUCUGAUAAAAGACUUAAAAGUAGGAAUAUUUGCUUGACAGAAUGUUUUCUUACCAUUUGCGUUGGCACAUUCUGCUGCUAUGUCAACUGCAGAUUUAUGAGAACCAACUACUGUAAUUCUCUUUGUUCUGAUCAAUUCUGAAGCAGUUGAAUUGUCUAGGGCUGAGAAGUCUUCUGAAUGCAUCACCUUGCCCUUGAACACUUCAGGUCCUUGAUUUGGAAGGAACUCUGGAAUAUUUGGAAGGCCACUGAAUUGUCCAAUGCAAAGAACUACAAAUUCAGCAUGAUACACCUGACCAACAUAAUUCACCAGUGAUUUAAUAUUUAUAUAUGUAUAAAAGAAAUAGCCACAACAGUGGAUAUAGAAUCUUUCAAAAAAUAAACAUACUUGUAUGCUGCAAUUUUUUGUGUCUUGAACUUUAACAUGCCAUUUCCCUUUGGAGCCAAAGGGCUUGCCUGUCCCACUCCAAAGAGCCCAUGAAUCCAUCUCUUCGUUAGACUCUCCAAAAUACUCUAUACCAAUGACCUUGGAAUUGAACUUGAUGCAUGCAAAGAUAUUGAAAUGCUGUGCAUAAGAUUCCAGAUACUCCAUCACUUGAUUGUGAGUGGGAUACGUGUUUUUUAUCGAGGAAGGCCACGGAAAAUCAGAAAACUGGUAAAUUUCUUUGCUGUUUUGGAGUCUGGUUGACUCUAGAGUAUGUGACCAAACUCCACCAAUUCGUUCUUCAGCUUCAAACACAAUCGGGUUGAGUCCGAUUUUGAGUGUGUUCUUACAGGCAAGAAGGCCACUUACUCCUGAUCCGAUGAUUACCACUCGUUUCUCCAUUAGUCCACUCUGAGAUCCGUUUAGGGUCAGGGCAUUAAAUACUAGUUAUGUCUAAGAAGCCAUCAAACGGUCUUCAGGAAAAUCAUCUAACAGUGCGUUCUUUUGUGCUUCUAUGGAUAGGUCGGUCACCUUAUCCAAAUAAUGUCGACCUUCAUAUAAUAUCUCUCAGCUCAAACGGCCACCAUCUUGAUUGGCUGGGCUUGUGGGGGGUCAGAAGUGGAUGAUCGACACCUUCAUGUCUUCAAACAAGACACCAUCAUUUCUUCAAAUAAGACACUAAGCUCACACUACUUUGUUUCUGAGUGUAAGGCAUGUAGUCGGAGGUUGUCGGUAUGGAUGUGGGCAGUUUCUAAGCAGCCCAUAGUUAAGUAUUGGGUCAGGUAGGUGGCCCAAACAAGAAAAUGGACUGGACUAUCCUGCCAUUUCCAACCAUUCUGAUUUCUGGAUUUUUGAAAAUAAGAACUUAAUUUUCGCACGCGCGGUAAUCUAUCUUUCGAGUUUUUAAGUUUAUAUUAUAAAAUCAAUAUUUAAAAGAAUUUACCUUUUAUCAUUCUAUCUAGUUUCUUUGGGGUAACUUUUAAUAACCAGUUAGCUUAUAGAAUGAUAGUAUGUAUAAUUUGAUUACUUCAAAUUAUAAAAUUUAAUUGCUUGAUUUUUUUUUUAUAAUAUUCUCUAUCAUAUACAAAUUUUUUUAUAUAUAAAAUAUACAAAAAAAUUUCCAUUCUACUAAGGUUUCGAGUUAAACAUGUUGAUUCAUAAGUAAAUAAAUCAAUUUAAAUUUUAAUUUUUUUAUUUAUUAAAAAAUAUCUAAAUCAAUAUUAUUUUGGUAAAAAGAAAAUUUUUUUUCAUUAACAUAACCUAAAUCAAGUUUGGAUUGUCCUAUUAGACUGGAAUAAUUUUAAGAUUAAGUCAUUUUUUCAUUUUUUUUCCUCAUAUGAUACAAUGAUUGAAUGAAACGGUGCUUUCAUGCAAGAAUUUUAUACAAAUGAUUACAACAUCAUGAAAAUUUGUGAUCACAUACAACAUGGGAUUUGAUGAUUGCAUUAGAAAAAUCAAUCUUUUUCUUAAUGGUCUUCUAGAAGCAUUGCCAUUUAUUGGCCUAUAUAUAUAUAUAUUGUUGUUGCUGCUUUCAAGCAAUAAAUCAGCACAAAACUUGAGACGGCAAGGCCAAGAUGGCAUCAAUAGCAUCGGCCUUUGCUUAGUGUUUACAGGAUCAAACACAGAAGUCUUGGCUCUUUUUUGUUGGAAUUUGGUAGAUAAAUCCAUCCCAAUAUGCUAGAUUAUCAGCCUUAAUUGCUAACUAAGUUUAGAUUAGUGAUAAAAUAUUUACUAAAAGGUUCAUGUCAUUCACAAUUGAACCACGCAGCAAGAGCUUUCUCUGCUUCCAACAAAUUAUUAAAUCAACUUGUUUCAUGUAACAGAUAUAAAAUUAAAUCAACCAUGUUUAUUGUUUGGAUGUUUUGAUAGACGAUUAAAAAAAAAAAGUAUCACUAAUGAUAAUAUAAUUAUUUGAGAGGUCCACUUAAACUAAAAUUGUCCCCACCAUCUCCACAAGAAUUUGAACGAGGAAGACUCCCCUCCCUGAUCAUGUCUUUGCCUCCACACAAGAAACCACGCACACAAGAAAGGAAAAAGGUGAGAAAUUUUUUGAAACGUAUUCAAAUCUCUCAUGGCAAUGGCUUCCAAUGCUCUUCAUCACCCUCUUCACCAAUCUAUAUCUCUGAAAUAUCCUCAUCUUUCUCAUAUUUCACGAUUCUCUCCCUCUUGUCUUCGCUUCACCUCCCUCCGGUUUCCCUCUACAAUUCGCGCCACUUCAGCUGUCGCUCUUGAACCGGUAACACCUUCAUCUCUACUUUCUCUCUUUUCACUUUUUUUUUCUUUUUUCUGGGUUAUACAUUCCAUUGCUUUCAGUUUUUGUUUUACUACUAAAUUACCUUUGCCACUACAAGUUUUUCUUGAAUUGGAGUAUUUUAUCAUAGUUUUUUUAACGCAUUUGAGAUAUGACAGUGAAGUACUGGUAAAGGGGUUGUUCUUGUUUGGUUGCUGAGAGAAUUUGUAUUGUCAAAUGUCUUUUUUUUUUCUUUCUUAUUCUGGGUUGUUUUUUAUUCAUUAAUUGAGGCGAUGAGAAUGUCAUAAGGAAUAAAAUGGGUUGUUUAAAAAGGUUUUAGUUGAAUCUGGCAUUUUGUCUGGGAAAAUAGGAAUGUUUCUUUGGUUACUGAGAAAGUUUUGAAUUUUGAAUAUAAAAUUUCUCAAUUAGGACCUAAAUGGCUAAACUUUAUGGAACUAGCUCAAUGGAUUGAGUUAAAUGAAAGAAAAAAUUAAGGGGCAGUGUUUAGUGUUUGAUGGAUUUUUUUUAUAGCAUAUACAGUAUUGAGUGGUCACAUUUGAGACCAAAAGUUGUCUUGACUCCUCUUACUUUCACUAACGCAGGGUGGCUUUCAUAUCUGUUUUAGUGGAGGUUAGAUAGAAGAAGGAGAAUUGAUUAGUUAUUCUAUUUGGUGCAGAAAUUCUCAAGCUAAUAUUGAUGCCGGCUUGUUUUCGAAUAAAUUUUAACUGGUGGCUUUUAGGUUCAUCGUUCAGCACGCAUUCAUUUAUUUAUAUUAAAUCUGAGGAGUAAUGAUUUUAGGUGGCGGUGCAAUAGCAAGGGAGUAACUUGCUUAAAGCUGCUGUUUUUUUAGUUCUGUGGCUUAAGCAGAGUUGUUUGCUGGCAACAAUUCAAAACUUUGCUGUUUAUUCAUAACUAUGUUAAGUUAAUGCUCCUCCUAUUGCUACAUAUGUUUCCUCCCGUUGUUGUAUAUUGGAUUUGACAAGAAUUUAAUCUUUCAGGAGUUAAGCACACAGCAGAAUCAAGCAAUAUUUGCUUGUCCAGUAUGUUAUGAACCUCUAAUAAGAAAAGGUCCUCCAGGUUUUAACUUGUAAGUUGGGUCACAUGAUGGUAUAAAAGCCUUUUCUUCUUUUUGUUUCGAAUUGUCUGAUAUGGUAAUAACUGCAAAACCUGCAGGCCUGCAAUAUAUCGGUCCAGUUUCAAGUGUAAAAAAUGCACCAAAACAUACUCAAGCAAAGACAACUAUCUGGAUCUUACAAUUACUGCUGGAAUGAAGGAUUACACUGAAAUCAAUCCAGUUAGGACCGAGCUAUUCCGGUAUACAUCUGGUGAUGAUGAUGCCACGUAAUCAUGCUCAGUAUAUUGAUGCAUCCAUGAUGUACUUGAUCAAUUCAAAUUUGAGCAUUACUGCGCAUGCAUGCAUAAGCUUACAGGCCUUUCAACCUUGAAUUAAUGUCCAUCCCACGCCUAUGUAGCAUUUUAUGGAUCUGUUACUGUUAAUUAGAUGGGGUACCCAAUUUUGGUUUUGACUUAAGAAGGAAUAAAGAACAAUGGAAUGCAUUUUGAAAAUCGGAAUCAGAUUUUAUAGUAAAACUGAAUUGUUUGAGGAAAUGUUCAUGCUCAUGUCAGUUACUUUCAUCUUCUCAGGAGUCCACUUGUUUCAUUCUUGUAUGAACGAGGUUGGCGCCAAAGCUUUAAUCAAAGUGGAUUUCCUGGUCCUGAUGAAGAGGUUUGUGUUCCUUGGUUUGUUUCUAGGAAUUCAAAUACACCAGUUAGGCAUGAAAGUUUAAUUAAGCUUAUCUCAAAAGAUUAGUUUGAGCAAAUAUUACUUAUGGUUUUAUGAAAUCUUUCUAUGCAACUUGGUAACUUGGAACAUUGAAAAAUCCCACGAAAUGGCAUUGGCAUCUCCGAAAAUGGGAGUAAUUAAUAUCAUUCUCAUUCUUCUCCUCUUUUGAAACUGCUACUGAAUUUGAAAACAUGAACUUGACUUUGUGAUGGUUUCUCUAAUGCAGUUUGAAAUGGCUCAGGAGUACUUCAAACCUGCCAGAGGGGGUCUUCUAGUAGAUGUAAGCUGUGGCAGUGGCCUGUUUUCUAGAAAAUUUGCCAAAUCUGGAGCAUAUUCAAAAGUUAUUGCACUUGAUUUCUCUGAAAACAUGCUUCGUCAGUGCUAUGAUUACAUCAAGCAAGACGAUACUAUCUCAACAACGUAAGCUUCUUUUGCCUGACUUGAGUCUCAAAGUUACAAUAGCUGUUAUGUGAGAGUAAUUAUAAUUUCAUAACUAUAUUUCAAUUUGAAAUGAGGAUUGACAAUUUCUUUUGCUGGAGAAUGUGCAGAAAUCUUGGUCUUAUCAGGGCCGAUGUUUCAAGACUUCCAUUUGCAUCGGGUUCAGUUGAUGCUGUUCAUGCUGGUGCUGCCAUGCAUUGCUGGCCAUCUCCUUCCAAUGCUGUAAGUGAUCUUUCUUUCUUUUGUUUCUUUUGUGGAUUUGAUGGCAUAAACUUCCAGAUAUACCAGUCCAGUCUGGUUUGCAAGAUCCAAAUUCCACUAGAAUUUGGAAAAGGCACUGCAAUCUUUUGUCUAUCAUGAUUUGUGACUUUGAUGUCCUUAUCCUGAUGCUGGCUUGAUCUUGUCCCUCAUGCUACUCCCUUAGGGCCAUCUCUUAUGCAUUGACCAUUGACGUGUAAGACACCAUGUUAUUAUAUGCUGUGAGUUAAAGAAAAUUCUAACCUCAUGAUGUGGGAUUGACGAGAGGAUGAGUAAUACAAUGCUUAAAACUAGUCCUUUACAAGUUACAAGCUUGAUUGUGAUGUGGUCAAUUCCUGUCAAGUCUAAACCAUCGAGGACUUCUUUUCCUAUCUUUGGAUUGAAACUUUAUCAGGGUUCAGGAAAUCAGUAGUUUAAUGUGCUUCAUUGCACCAAAAGUGGAAGCAAAAAGAAUAUGAAGUUCAAUACGCCACUUCUUACUUGACCAUAUUUGAAAAGGGUUUCAAGUCAUAACCUACCAAAACUAGGUGUAAAGAGGCAUGGAACACUGAGUAGAUUGAGUCUCCAGGAUAAGAGUUAAAAAAACGAAAGAUUGUAGUCGUGGCUUUUGCCUUGCAAAGAGCUGAAGUAAAGGACACCUUCUCUAGACCUCAGGAUGCUUGAGAUCUCUAUUACAGAUAUUUUCUCUAACAAUUACUGCUGCCACUGAAAACACACAACACACAGAUUGCAAAUGAAAAACAUUAUAACUUGCUGAAUAUGUAAGUUAUCACCUUUUGUUUCAGAAUCUACUAGAUAGUGUCAGACAACAGUAGUCAGCCUCCAAUCUUAAUACAUAAGGCGUUUACAUUUGUGGGUUUGUGAACAUAAUACUUGUAUCUAUAGUAUGACAAAGUCAACUACCUUAGGUGCCCAUCAUGUGGUUCUGCACUUUGGUCUCAUGGAACUGAUAACAACGUUCUACCAGUGGCAAGGCAGUGCCUAUAGCACAAGAUAUCAAAUUAUAUGCAAAACAUUUGCAUUGCUUUGAUCAAAUCCAGCAAUUAUCUUGGUUCACUGGCUAUGUUUUGGGAAAUUGCGAGAGGUGGUUUGUUAUGUCAUCAGCAAGUAGGUUCCGUGGCGUCUUGUCCUGAGAAGUACACAUCAUAAACCCCUCUCCCAAGUUGUGUUUAUGUGUGUUUUAAGUGCUUUCUCAUCAUUUGACUGUAUGUAGAAUUAUUUUAUGAACCUGCUGUUCAACUAGUGACGUAUCUAAUAAUGUCAGGUUGCUGAAAUUUGUCGUGUAUUGCGAAGUGGUGGAGUUUUUGUCGGAACCACUUUUCUUCGAUAUAGUUCAACCACUCCACGGAUAGAACGACCUUUCCGAGAGGUAAUAAGCUUUUUUUCCUUCAUUUGAUCAAAUCAUAGUCAUAGAGUGAUAAUAGCUGGGAGGAUUAAUUACUAUGCCUAGGGUUACUUCCUUUUGGCUUUUGAUUUUAUGUGCUCAUGUGUUUGUAUAUUUAAAUGUUAGUUAUUCAGAAUUGCUCUCACCCAAGCUGGCAACGGUGAAAGGAACUGUCCAAAUUGAAAUUAGUUUGUGAAUAUAGCAAAGGAAGCAGUAAAGCAAUGAAGUACUAGUGUUUUCAAGUUUCUACAAAUUUCGGGUUAAGUGAAACUUACCCAGAUUUGUUUGUUGAUUUCCACGCCACAAAAAGUUCACAUUUCAAUCAUAUCGUAACACAUUUCAUGGAGAUUUGUACACAUUUUUCAUGAAGACUUCAUUUAUCAUGAAUGUAUAUUAACUGAAGUCUUAUAAACUAUUAUGGUUUGGGUCUGCUAGUUUUUAAUCUUAACAUUAUGCUAUUCUUGGAAUGCUUGCUUCUUUGAGUUACAUGUAAAUUAAUAGGUGAUGUGUUAGCUCAACAUACAACAGAGAAAAUUGCACAUCCCAAUUCCUUGGAAAUUAGGUUUUUAGUAAUGAUAGGUCGUUGUGAGGGUGGAACUCCAUCCAAACUGGUUGCAGUUUGCACAGCCAGAGAAUUGUAGGGUAAUUCCAUCUACACUCACCAUUGUUAUAUGCUAUAAUUGGAUCUAAAGAUCUUCAUGUGUCUGACAGAGGAUUUCGCGGAACUCUAACUUCUUCACGGAGGAGGAAAUUGAAGACUUGUGCUCAACAUGUGGUCUUACAAACUACUCAAAGAAAGUUCAGCAAACGUUCAUAAUGUUCUCUGCUCAGAAGCCAUGAAGCAAGGUUUAGUUCAUUUAGACACAAUUCUCCCUGGACUUGACAUUGACAUAUCCGGUGCUGGUUUGGUAUAUAAGAUAUUUCAAUUGUAUAGACUUUUUAAAUAAACAAGACCUAAAAGGUGAUAUAACCUGGGGAGAUGCAAAGUGCCAUUGUUAAUAAAAAGAAGUCUAUAAUUACUGUCUGGUUUAUAUAUAUAAUGAUUCGACCCCUGCUUUGAACUUCAGCAGUGUCACUAAUCCCAGGGGACUAGCCUUUCUAUUUGUAGAUUUUGCUGGGAGUGAUCUGAAAGCAAUGCUUCUGAGAUAGUCCACAAACAUACACUACUAGCACCGAGUCUGUAGAAUGCGCUAACAAAUUCUUAGCUUUCAGCUUUAUCUGAUGAUUAGAUAAAAUUCAUACUUGUUUUUGUCAUGAAGUCUGUUUAAUCUGUCCGAACUUCUUGCUGGGAUUGGACUUGUCAAGGUGCUCUAUGAACAAUAUGCUAGACAUUUCAUGUCAACUGCUAUGCAUCAGUAUCGUCCUGCAACACAAUUCUUGUGACUCAAACGGACUCAUGGUUUUGGACUGAUAUCUGUGACCUAUAAUCUAUACAGACAGGGCUCAUGAACCCGCAUGAUGUGAGUUUAUUAAAUGAUAAGUCAGGAUCUGGUGGCGAGGCUUUGCACAUGACGAGUCCUCGAGGAUUUGGGCAAAGCAAAUAUAAUAGCCCCCGGGGAUGUGGCUGAGCCAAUAAAGAAACCCUUUUUAGCAGGGCAAAGUGUGUCUCUGAAGUAUCAAAUAUGGGCAGAGAGAGCCCCUCGUGCGGCUCACAAGCUGACCAGCUUUCUGUAUGUUCUUCUACAGUUCUACUACACUGUUUGCCCUAAAGGAACCCAUCAUUACAAACCCUGUUCACUUCUGGAUCCUUGACCUUUGACCAUCCAACAAGAUGCACAGCUGGACAAGAAAAAUAAGAGAGGAAUAUUUGAUCAGUCCAAGAACAAGGAGACCUCUUAGGGUUUAAUUUGGUUUAUUUUUCAAAGUGAGGACAUUGGAUCCCUUGCACGUGACCUUCUUUCCUCCUGCAAUCCCAUUUUGCUUUCCAUGGCACGUGGGGUCGGUCACCCUUUACCUUUCUUUUAUUUUUUUAUAAUUUUUUCUGCAAAUUCUUAUUUGUCUUCGUUUUUUCAUUAGAAUAAUGUUAAUCCAAUCGGAAAAGCUCACUCAGCAAUGGCUGGGAUUUUUUCCAAAUAAUUUCGAAAAAAAGUCUUUCAAUAAAAUUAGCUUUUUUUUUUCUGAAGGAAGAAAUGGAGACUGGUUUUGCUAAUUGAUUUGAUUAUUAUUUGCCACGUGCAUUGUCUUACUGCAACUCUUAAUUAUGAUUACAGGAGAAUAAUGAAGAUUAAUGGGGUUGCUUUUAAUUAGCUGUUUCUUGAAUUCAAAAUAUAUUUUUCCUGGGUAAUUUGAAAAGAGGAAAGGUACAGGGGCAAAUGGUUUAAUUAAGAUGAUAUCGUGCAUCACAUUUCCUAUUGAAUUGUGCAUAUUUUUUGUUGUCACUAUUUGAAGGCUUCAUAAACUUUAUCAACAUUAAUUAGCAAGUAACUUUAUCAGAAUUAAUUAGCAUAUUUAAAUCAACAUUAAAAAGAAUCAAUUUAAAAAAACUAUAAAAAAACCUGAGUCAAUUGAAGUUAACUCGAUUAAUACACGACCUACGAUAUAAAAUUAGGAUAAAAUUUUUUUUAAAAAAAACCUGGAAAACAGAUCGAAGUUAAACAAAAAAACAUUAAAAAAAACUAGAAUAACUCCACAUAAAGAAAAGCGGAAAAAUCACAAAGGUUAAAGCCCAAUAAUUCAAUGUCAAAUAAUAAAAUUUAAAAAAAAAUUAAAAAAAGAAACGUUGGGAAAAAAAACUAAGUCAAUCUAGGUUACCUCGACUAACCUGCGAUACACGAUCGGGAUAAAAAAAAUUAAAUUAAAAAAAAAACCUAGAAAAAAGGACCAAAGUUAGGUCAAUAAAAAAAACAUCGAAAAAAACUUAAGUAAACCCGGAUUAACUUAACUCCCUUGUGACCUGAGAUAACCUCAUUGAAAGGAAGUAGAAAAAAAUCACAAAGUUAAAGGCUCGAUAUUCUAAUGUCAAAUAAUAUAAUUGAAAAAAAUCAAUUAAAAAAAAACAUAAAAAAACCCGAGUAAACCCGGGUUACUUAACUAACUCAUGACUCGGGAUAUAAUAAUCAAAUAUGGUAUAAAAAUAAUGAAGCAAAAUUCCUAAUCGUCAAAAGUUGAAAACAAAACAAGUACCAAUCAAAUAAUGAGAAUCAAAUCUGGCAUAAAAAAUAAAUGAAAGAAAAUAACUAGGGAUUAAAUUAAAAAAUAAAAAAAAGUAAGAAAAUAAAAAAAAUAUCAAUCAAAAGAAUGAAGAACAAAAUUGAAUAAAGAAGUUUAAUCAAAUAAAAUAUCGAGGGACAAAAUUAAACAAAUCAAGAAAAAAAUAAAAAAAAAUAGUAAUAAAAAAAUAAAGGUCAAACUAGAUAUAAAAAUUAAAUGAAAUAAAAUAUUUAGGGAUGAAAUUAAAAAAAAAAAACUUCUAUAAUCACUAAAAAAAAACAAUCAAAAAAAUAAAGACUAAAUUGAAUAUAAAAAUGAGUCAAAUUUUAUUUCAAAUUAAUUUAUUUUUUCAAGUUAAAUUUGAGUGAGGAUUUAUCGGAUUAAUUCUAAGGAUUUUUUUAAAAAAGGUUUGUCCAAAAUAAUAAUGUUUAAUUUUCUAAAAAAAAUAAAAUAAUUGUUUUCUCAUGCAAGUCCGGUAUUCACCGUUCAUAAUCUCACUCUUGCUAGUGCGGGUGUUGGACUUUUCAGUAAACGUGAUUGUUUCUCGUAGCUAAUUGAAAUAUUGUUAACAACUUAAUGAUUUAACUUCUUUUCACUAAUAUGUAUAUAAUCAGUUGUGAUUUAUAGUGAAUUGCAAAACCAAAACCAGCACUAAUGGAAAAUCUCUCUGCUAGAGAACAAAGUUCAUGUACCCAAGCAGAUUUCCUCUUGCAAGUUGCAAAGAAUAUCUACUCGGGGACCUUUACCAAGUUUCAAGUAGAAAAAAAACACACAAUUCAAAAAAUAAAAUGGAAUUAACCAAUUCGUAUGCCUUGUGCUUGCAGCCUUUAUUACAUGGAGAGAGGCAGUGGGAAUUAAGAAUAUUAUCCAACUAGCCGCCGGGGAAAAUAUUUCGGCCACCACCAUUUAUGCAGCGAAGAUUGGAUCUUUUUAUACAUGGAAUCAUGCUCAUACACAUUUUCUGUGGACUGCAGGCAGCAUAGAAAAGAGCAGAUAUUUCUAGUUAAGGGACAUGUCAAGCUUGGAAUUAUGCCAUGUGUAUCACCAGGGAAGACUUUGCAGAAAGGAAAUCAUAAAAACGAUUCAUGGUUCAUGCAUGGAAAAUGAUCGCCAGCCAAUAUGUUGAAUUCAAAUGUUGCCUACCUUGAUUCCUUCUAAUAAUGUUCAGAUCAUUCGACUCCCUAGCUUUGUGUAAAGAAAAAAAAAUACAGUAGCCUAAACAACUUUGUUUCUGGAUAAAUUACACGAAUCACCUCGAGAUUUGUUAUUGUUUAAAUACGUAGAUUACAUUAUGGAUUGUUUUUAAAUUAUAGCUCAAGUGCUCCUCCUUUCAAGAGAUUUUGAAUUUGAAAUCUUUACUUUAUAUAUAUAUAUAUAUAUAUAUAUAAAUUUUAAUUCAAUAAUCUAAUUAGGUUGAUUGUAAAUAAAAAAACGAUUCAUUAACAAAAACUAAUUGAGUAGGAAAAAUCAUAUCAUUACUCUUGUUCUCUUAAAGUAUUAUUCAUUAGAAUAAUAGUUUUUUUUUACUCUUUUUUUUAAUAUUAGAUUUAUUGGAGGAUUGAGCUUUAUAAUUUUUUUUUUUUAAUGAGGUUGUUCUAGUCUCAUGAUCCGGAUCACAAGUUUUACAGAUUAACCUGGUUGACUCGAGGUUUUUAUAGGGUUUUUUUUAAUUAUUUUUUUUUUAAUUUCAUCCUUCACCAUAUAGGUUGACUAGAAAUUAAAAUUCAUAAUUUAUUUCGAUUUGGUUUUUAUGAGGUUAUCUCAGUUUCAAAACUCAAGUUUAGCAUGUUAAACUAGGUUGACUCAAGUUUUUUUUUUUAUUGAUAUUUUUUCAAUUCUAUCAUUCAAUGUUGGAUUGAUUGGGAAUUAAGUUUUAUAAUUUAUUUUGAUUUGCUUUUUAUUGGGAUAUCAUGGUUUUAUGAUCCCGGUUUGACAAGUUAAUCCGAGUUAAUUCAAGUUUUUUUUCAUCUUUUUUUAAUUUAUUAUUUUCAAUUUAAUUCGUUUACAUUGGAUUGAUUGAGGAUUGAGUUUCAAUAUAUUUUUUGAACUGCUUUCUAUGAGAUUAUUAUAAUCUCAUUACCCGAGUCACGGAUUUUAUAUUUUAAUCUAAGUUGAUUCAAGUCGAUCUAAUAUGUUAUUGUUUCAAUAUUAAAAAAUAUAAUGUCAUAUCAUCUUAAAAAAAAUUUAAUUAAACUAUUUUUUCAGUUGUCUAAAUUGUUUUUAACUUGUCAUCAAAUUAAUCUCUCUGCACGUUUGAAUUUUAUUUUUCCUCCUUAAAAACACGUUAACAAUGACAAGAUAUUUCUUUUAACUUUUUUUUUUUUUUUGGAAAUAAUACAACUCAUAACGCGUUUUUGUUUUUCGUUUGGUUUGGUUGCGGCGGACGACAUUGUGGUCUACGAAACCAAGCUUGGAUUUAUCUUUCAAAGAAAUCAUCAUGGAUCUACAUCAUGUCAAAUAAUUAUCCCUGCCGAGGGGCCUCAAAACAAGCAUCAUUGGUUGAUGAUCGGAAUGGUGAAGAAAGCAUAGGUCGGCAGCACCAGGCUGGGCUGCACUCGAAAGUUUCUCAUUUGCCAUAAUAAUAGGAGAUAACAAGCAAUAAAAGGCAAAAUGAAAUCGGGCAUAGAGCUAAGGUAUCGUCCUUGCUCUCAGAAAUAUUAUUUGCCUUUGAAUGAGUAUUUAUUAAAAAAUAGGAAACAUAGCUUUAUACAAGAGAUUGAUCUAAGUAUAAAAUGCAACUAAGCAAACAUACAAUUAAUACAGUAUAUUGGUCAAUGCAUGACCGAAUGAAGUGCCAUAUAUUAUUGUUAUUCUUCAUAUUUUUUUAGGUGUUUUUUUUAUAUUUUUGAUGUACUGAUGUUAAAAGAAAAUAUAAAAAAUAUAUUAUUUUAAUAUAUUUUUAAUUAAAAAAUAUUUUAAAAAAACACCAUACACCACAGUACUAAAUACACAAAAUAAUCGAUCAUUUUUCCAGUUUUUGAGUAAAAUAUUUUACCAAAAGAAGUGUCAUGGUCUAGUUAGAUAUGAACUAAAAAAAGGCAUAAAGGAAAGAGAAAUAAAAAUACAAAGAAUGGCAAAAACCAAGAUUAGCUCUUGGCCAGAGCCUAAAGACAAGAAAAGCUCCCUCAAAAUUAGUAAAAGGGCUAAUAAAUCUUACUAACAAGUGCUUAAUGAGUGGUGUUUGUCUGUCUAAUGUUCGUCACAAGAGCACACAUUAUCGUUCAAAGCACAGCUCCUGGCUCUUUACUCUUUAGUGGAGUAGUUGGUUGAUUAAUGUUGCCACGUCUGAUUCCCAUAAAACCGAGUUUCCUCGUACGUGUCUGUUCAAAGUCCAAUUGAUACUGUGAUGUUAAGUCCGUAAAUACCGACCAGAUACGGGGAAGUAAGAAAUAGAUUUUCUCUAGAAGCUCCGGUCAUGAGUUAAUCUAUGCUGUUGAUAUUCCCACCGAGCUGCUUGUUCAUCGCUUGCUGUUGAAGUUAAUUUUAAACCAGAGAGAAAGAGAGAAAUUAUGUAAACAAAAAAAAAAACACGUGAUGUGAACAAAAGGCAAUGUUUAAGUUAAAGCUAAAUGAAGUUCUAAAGAAAAGGUGCAAUUUAAUAGCGAAUCCUACUUUAAUGUUGUGUUCUUUCAACUAAUUAACUUUUUGACGACUAAUUUAUAUAAGAUAUAGAAGGAAUAAGGACCUUGAUUCUAACCGUAUUUUAUACUUACGUUGAUAAAUUGGUAAAUGAAUAUAUAGUUUAUUGCAAAAAAAAAACCUUUAUUUUCUAUUUUCUUAUUAUUUUUAAUUUAGAUCGAUCUAAUAUAUUGUCAUCUAAAUAUAUAUAAAAAAUCAUCUUAAAAUUCUUUUAAAAUCAUACAAUGUUUUUUUUUCUAGUUAUUUGAGUUAUUUUUUAACUCACUAAAUUGAUCAUUAAAUUGAUCAUGCCACCUUAUAUGCAUGUUAAUUUUAAAUUUUAAUCGAAAUCAAAUCAGGAGAAUUCAAAAUUGAAUCAUUAAAUUAAAGUUAACACUAAUAUUAAAUAAUUUAUUUCUAAACAGUUUUUUUACGUAAAAAAACUUUAUCUAACCCCACAGUGUAAUGCAAGCUAGGAAAUUAGUAACUUUCUAAGAAAUCAUAUAUUGAAUGAAUGGAAUAUGAUUGAAAUUUUUCUAAAAAUAAUUUGGAGAAGAAUCUUUAAAUAAUAUUAAUAAAAAUAUUUUAAUUAUAGUUGAUAAAUUUGACUUGAAAUUUGUCUAGAAGAAAAAAAGCUAGAUAAACUCAGAUAAAUUAUUUUGUAUCAAAAUAAUAUUGUUGUUGUGUUCAUUUCAAAAAAAUUUUAAAUAUUAAUUUGACUAGAUUUAUCAAUCAACCACAUAAUUAAACAUACAUAAAUCAAUGUUAUUUUUUUAAAAAAAAAAAUUUUGGUGUUGAUUCAACUAGAUUUGGUCAAGUAAAUCUAACCACGUAAUUAAACAAACCUAAAUAUAUGUUAUUUUUAUUCAAAUUAAAAUAUUUCUAACUCAAAGUCAUAAAAUUCUUGAAAGUACUGAUUUUAAUAAGUAUGAUUCUAAUCACAUAUCUAACACUUAUCUAUUAUCGCUAGCUAUUAACAACUCGUUAAAAUGACCAUUUAUGAACAAAGUAACCCAUAUAUUGAUAACCUACCACAGUAACAAGCACAGACAUAAAACAAAUUGCAGCGUCUCCCUCGUCUCCAUCUCCAAGUCCAAAUUCAAAUAUGUAGCUCAACUAAUUUAAAAGAUGUUGAUAAUUUAAUAAAGAAAUAAAUGGGCAAAAAAAUAUACAUGUUAGGGCAGCUGCUCCAAGAAGAGCUUAGUAAGUUUAGCAUUAGAGCUCUUAAGCCAAGAAGAUCAGGAAAAAAAAAUAGUUUAUGGAGGUGGCAGAGAAAGGGAGACACAGAAACAGCUCCCACGUUCUCCUCAUACCUGACUUCUUCUCUUUAAUAAUGCUCUCUCUCUCUCUCUCUCUCUCUCUCUCUCUCUCUCUCUCUCUCUCACACACACACACACACACACACACACGCUCACACACACACACACACGCUCACAUUCACACUUAUAAGUAGAAGCCGUCCCUAUUGACAAAAUGAUGCCUAUUUCUCAAGGGAAUAAAUAUAUACCCGUUCAUCUCUUGUGAACCUCCAUAAAUACUCUUAUCUCCAUACCCUAAUCUCUCUCUCCUCUCUCUCUCUCUCGUUACACCACUAUCUUGAUAACAGUUCAAGAGGGCUCAUCAUCUCUCUCUUUUUUUCUGUGAUCAUGGUGAGUGUCACUCCCCCUUCCCUCGCUUGAUCGCCAAUAUCUAUUGCAAAAUUCUGUUUGAGUUUUGAUUUAUGUGUUGAAUUUUUAAGUGUCUCUUUUGCUUAAUUCUGGUUGGUAUUUGUGAUCAUGGUGUUUUUCAGGGAAUUCAAAAGCCUGCAUGGUUGGGAGCUCUUUACACACAAAAGUUUUUUGCAGGGUGCUCUUAUCAUGAAGCUGCAAAGAAGAAUGAAAAGAACGUGUGUUGUUUGGAUUGUUGCAUCAGUAUUUGCCCUCACUGUAUACCAUCCCAUCGCUUCCAUAGGCUUCUUCAAGUUCGUCGUUAUGUUUAUCAUGAUGUUGUCCGAUUGGAAGACCUCGAAAAGCUGAUUGAUUGCUCAAAUGUUCAGGUUAGUGGCUUAAACAAUCUUAAUCUUCUUGCCUCAUAUGUUUCUCUAGCAAGAUUCAGUCUGUAGUUUGCUAAUUAACUUAGCUUUGAUUAUAGGCCUAUACCAUCAAUAGUGCGAAAGUGGUGUUUAUCAAGAAGAGAGCUCAGAACAGGCAAUUCAAAGGGGCCGGAAACUAUUGUACUUCCUGUGAUAGAAGCCUUCAAGAACCUUUUAUCCAUUGCUCUCUUGGCUGCAAGGUACAAAGCAAUUUUCAUGCUAAAUUCCAAGAAGGGUGACUAAAAGUUUUUUCCACAUGCAAUUACGACCCUUUUAGUCAAAAGAGCAUAUCACGAUAAAGUUGCGCUCAAUUAUGAUCAAAUCUCCAUGGACCGCCUUCAAAAAAAGGAAGAAAUUGUUGUAAUCAUUUUGUCUUUUUAUUUCAAUCGUUAUGUCUUGAUAUCAAUUUAUAUGUUAACUAAACUAACUAAGUGCGUAUAUUUAGAAAAAUAAAUUCAUGUGUAAAAAAAGAAAAGAAGCAAACAUCAUUAACGAUCAGACCAUCAAUACAAGUGAAUUUUACUCGAAUCAUGCACAAUUAAGAAAACCAAGAAUUGUGUAUUGAAUUAGCCAGAUUAUUUCUAGGAGGGGUGUCUUAAUUAUGACCAUCAUUCUUAAGAUCGAUCCUAUGAUCAUAUUUAACAGAAAGAUUUCCUUCAAUGUUUUCUGCAGGUGGACUUUGUGCUGAAACAUUACAAGGACCUUUCUCCAUACUUGAGGAGAUGCAACGCAUUAACUCUUGGUCCUGACUUCUUUAUCCCUCAAGAUAUGGCAGAUGAUGAGAUGACCAAUGAGACGCCUCACUCGACAAUUGUGGACUCCGAUGAGCCGAUGAGCUGGUCUUCAAGUUCAUCGGGUUCCGAAAACAUGAGCAUCGCUAGCACUGGGAUUGUACGGAAGAAGAGGAGUGGAUUAUACGUAUGUGCAAGAUCAUUGAGCAAGGUUUCUGAUGAGGACAUGGCUUCAAGCAUGAGUAGAAGAAAAGGCAUCCCUCAUCGAUCUCCUCUAUGUUAGGAAAACAAAUUAAACCAAAAAAACUUUUAUUUCUUACUAUAAUUAUUAAUUAGUUUUACUUGGAUAUUUUGACCGACCUUCAAAUUCAAAGUGUUCUCUCUCACAGUCACAUCAUCUCUCUUCACUCUUCAACUUGAGUUAAUUAAUAACUUGGUCGGGGGGUUUUGUCUUAAUGGCAUCACGUGAUUCCCAAUUCCAAGUUAUGGUUUUGUACAUUUUUCUAUUUUUUCUAUGCUCAUAUUAAUAAUUCAAGCCAUCAAUCCGAGGACUUUAUUGUUCCAAACUUGUACACCUCUGGGAAUUACACAGUACAUUUAUGUAUUUGUUAAUUUCCUAUGCAUUGGUACACACACUUGCUUUUACCGGGUAAUUCAAGAUUCUGUUUACGAGAAUAUCAGGGUUAUGUUUUACAAUGUUUUUUAUUUUAUUUUUAAAUAUAUUAAAAUAAUAUUUUUUGUAUUUUUUAAAAUAUAUUUUUGAUAUUAACACAUCAAAAUAUUUUCAAAACACUAAAAAAUUAAUUUAAAAUAUUAAAAUAUUAAAAAAAUAGUAAAACUACUUUUUUUAUAUCAGCACAUCAAAUCGAUCCAAAACACUAAAAACUUAAUUUAAAAUAUAAAAUUAAAAUAUAAAAAUAUUCAAAAAUAAUAAAAAAAACUAUGGUUCAACCACAACACCAAAUAUAUACUAAGAGACCAUUUGGGAACAAGAUGCAAACCACGUUCUCUCAAUUUUUUUUUUGUUUAAAAUUAAUAUUUUUUGAUAUUUUUAAAUUGUUUUGGUGUGCUGAUAUUAACAAUGAUUUUUAAAAAAUAAAAAAAAUAUUAUUUAAUACAUUUCCGAGUAAAAAUAUUUAAAAAAAUAAUCGCAACCACACCUCAUACACGCUCUAAAAAGAAAAGGUAGCUAUAUAUGGAUUUUGCAAGCAAAAAUACUCGAACUCCAACAAAGACAAAUUGGUUUCUUGACAACAAAAGGAGAAGGGUGGGUUUCGAUUAACCAAAUUACCGUAAUUUCUUUAUGGUUGUUGGCAAUUGAGAAUUGUAGACAUUUCUCAUCCUCCUAUACUAUAUAUAUAUAUAUAUAUAUAUAUAUAUAUAUAUAUAUAUAUAUAUAUAUAUAUAUUUUGUAUUUUCAUACUCUUAAUGCAUGGCUAGAGUGCUCAAAACCAUGUUAUGAUGAAAUAUGAAGCUUAGAAGUAUGAAUAUAGUUUACUUGGUCUUAAAGUUAUUCUUGGCAUUUAAAAUGGAAGAAUAAAUCCCAAAUUAGUAAGAUUUAUUGGCAUUAAAAACCAUAAGAUUUUUAGCACCAUCUCAUGAUGAGAAGGGAUUCGUUUGACUAUUAUAUGUCUACAUCUACAGUGUACUGUCUCUUCUCGGAGAGAGUGCUGGGGUUUGAGAUUUAACCACUAUUUUUGACCGGUCAAAUUCUACCCCAAUUGACAAUUUAAAUCAGAUAAAUAAUCACUAUUAAAUUAAGGGGCAAUUUAAAAUUGUGGUGCAAACGGAGUUUUUAAAAAGUUUGAUUUUAAAAAGUAAAUUAUUAUAUUUUUUUAUUUUUUUAAUAUAUUUAUAUCAAAAAUAAUUUAUUAAAAAAAUAUAUUUUUAAUAUAUUUUUAAACAAAAAAUAAUUAUAUUAACACAUUCUUAAACACAUCUUAAAAUAUAGUUCGUGGGGGAUAAAAAAUUAAUUCAGUGAGAAUUAUAGUUACAUGGAGCCAGCUCAAUCUGACAAUGAUAUCACCUUUUUAGACAAGUGGUGUUAUAGUAAAAAAUAAAUAAAAUUGAAUGCUAUUUUAAUACACUGUGUUCUAUAAAAAUAUAUAUAUUUUUAAAAUAUAUUAAAAUAAUGUUUUUUAUAUUAAAAUAUCAAAACCAUAAAAAACAAUAAAAAAAAUCAAUUUGAUAUUUUUUUCAAGCCUUAUAUAUAUUUAAAAUGCAUUCAAACACAGUUUCAAAUCCAAAAAUAAAUUUCCCAUGAACAAUGAUAAUUUAUAUAUCAAAGUUGAAAAUUUUAGGAUAUUUACACUCACCUAUCAAAUUUAAUUGUAUAUUGUCUUAACAAAUUUGGAAUAAUAAGAAGUCUCAAAUCAAAGCAUCGGGAUACCAUGGAGCAAGUUAAUUCACCGUUGGUGGUUUGUAAAAUUUUGUGAGAUGGAUUAUCCCAAUGACGGCACCACAAGCAGUUACUCAGGUGAGGAUUCUAGAGGAGGUUUUCUUGGUAACUAAGUAGGCCAAUAAUUUGUGGUGGCCUACAGUCGAAAUUGGGCCGAGAAAUGCUGGGCCCACCAUUUGGGUAUUUACUGGGCUCUAGAGCACGGGCUUUUGUUGCCGAAAACAUGUAAAUUAAGCUAAAAAGGGAAGUGCUAUUCGGCGUAUUCGCUAUUCGCACGAGAUGGCAUGGGGUAGUUCAUGAAAUAAAAUAUUUCGUGUAGGUGGCCCAAUUUAUAUUUCAGGCUAGCCCAGUAACAUGACUUCUAAAACUAAGCCCACAAAACAAUCAUCAUUAAAAAUAAUAAUAAAAAAAAAAACUGAUAGAAUUAGAGGAGGGAAGAAUAUAGUAGAUAAAGGAAAAACUGAAUUUAGAUCUUUCUUAGUUGAAAUGUCUUGACAAUGUCUAAGCCCACUCAACAAUGGCAAAUAAAUAAAAUUUCUAAAAUCUUUUACUAUAAAAUUAUUUUUAUAUUUGUUAAUGUAGUAUACGUUGCUUUUCAAUUAAAAUAUAUUAACAUAAUUUUCUUAUAUUUUAUUCUUUUUAUCAAUGGAUCAAAAUCAUCAAAAAAAUACAUAAUUAAAAACAUCAAUUAAUGUUUUUUUCAAAUAAAAAAUAAUUUAAAAAUCACUUUGAGAAACAAAUAGCAUAUAAUAAAAUAUUUAUCACCAUUAAAAUUACAAAUGAAAAAUUUAACCUUUUAAGAUUAAUUAUUAGGUGUUUGAGAUUAUUUGACUUUGCUAAAAAAAUAUGAGAAAAAUACGAGUUAUUUUGUAUAAAGACAAAUACGAGUUUAAUUGGGAAUUUGGACAAGGGCAAGAUCCAGAAAAUUACAAAGAAAAAACAUGUCAUUAACCCUUGUACAUAGAGAUUGUUCUAAGUGUAGUUUAAGCAAGUGGAUGCCUCAGCCUUUUCUUUUUAAUCCCUAAUGUUCAAUGUUCAUCUUCAAACCAUGGCUUAGACAUUUGGGUUAGCCUUUAUUUGUUAUCCUUAUAACUAGAUUUUUUUUGGUUCAUCAGAAAUUCUCCUGGCAUAAGUGUUGUAUUUACAAGGAUUUGUUUCUUCACUGGUGAAGGUAUAAAAAUCUGUCCGUUAUUAUUUUUAAUGAUUAAGAGGUAUUUGAGAUAAUAAUAAAUAUUAUUUUUAAUUUUUUUUAUUUGAAAAUGUAUUAAAAUAAUAUAUUUUUUUAUUUUUAAAAAAUAUAUUUUUAACAUCAGCACAUCAAAACGAUUCAAAAACGCUAAAAAAAAUUAAUUUAAAAUAAAAAGAAAUUCAAUUUUUAAAGAAAAGUUGUCCAGCAACAGAAAUUUUGAGCGAAAUUGAAUUUUUUUAGAAAUCCAAUACUACUUGAGAAACCAAGUCAGUAAGUUUACAGCCUCGAUUCAAUGCCUUUGAGGUGGAUAAAUCUUGAUCCCCGAUGAGAUUAGCCUUGGUAUAAACAUGCAUGAUAUGCACAAUGGGAGUUUCUUUCUUUCCUUUUCCCUUAAGGAUCCUCAAAGUACAUUCUUAUUAUAUAAGAAAGAAAAAGAAGCAAAAAAUGUUUUCGUGCCGGCACAUCGCAUCAAGCAUAAAGGCAGCAGCACAGUUCUGCCGCCUUAUAUUAUUCCCAAAGGGGCCAGCCUUGCCGAUCGAUAUGUUUCUGAAACUACCUAGCAAGGGCACCACUAUCUAUUCAACUUUUCUAUUAAUUGAUGAAAGUGUACGUAUAUAUAUCAUAAACACUUGAUUUCUUCAACACAGCUCUUGAUGGACCUGCCAUGCCAGGCCAUGAGAAACAUGAUUAAAGAUCGGUAGAAGAAAUGUGCCCAUCACUUGGAAAUUAGAUUGGAAAGUUGAUUUGAUGAAGCAUCAGCAAGUGGCAAAUGCUAGCUUUAUGUCUACGUAAACAUCUACUACAUAACUAACCAUUCUCAUUACCUACCAUAUAAUUAAGCUGCAAGUUUUCUUCUUUCUUUAUGAGCUGUGUGUACGCUUAACAGAUUAGUCCCCUCUUUCUUCAAGUGAGGAUCACUCCACCGUUCGGCGUCUAGCAAAUAAUUUCAUAUGUUUGUACAUGAUAGGAGACAUGCCAUGCAUGUCUGUGUGUCUGUGUCUUCACUAAUUGAUAAUCUUUUUAUUGAUAUAAAUUAUUAACUUUAGACCUAAUUAAGGUUAAGACUUGAUUGGAUUGUACGUAAUUUGAUAUAGAAAAUGCUGUUGUUGAAUAUUAUGAAGGAAAUCCUUUCUCUUGCUUUUGAAAUGCAAUUCUUUUCCUUUUCAUUUUCCACAUCCAUAUAUACAGAAGGUUUCUAUGACUGCAAGACUACAAAAACGCAGGUCUCUGUGUAUAUAUACGAGUAUCAGGUCUCUGUAUAUAUACUCUGUAUAUCAUACGAGUAUAUAUUAAUAUGAUCAAAAGACUUGCUUCAGACUUUUGCUUGCAGCAGUACUAGCUUAGAUAUUAGAACUUGUUCAUCGUCAAAACAAGCCAACAUGAAGCUUAAGGUGUACGUAAAUUUGCUUCAAAAUCAAGCGGACUUAAUUUACAGUUUUUAAAAUAAAUCAAUGCUUCAUUUAUGUCUUCUUUUAAAUGAAGUACUCAUGUUUUUCAUGAGAACAAUUAUUUCUUAUUUACUUUGUACCAAUAUAACGCUCCAAAAAUUAUUGCUGUUCUGCUUUUAUUACAAAUUAAGUCUUAGAUUUAAACCGUAAAAGAUCCGUUGUACACUUAGAAAAUAAAGGAAGAAAAUCAUCCUUUUCGUAUUAUUAUAUUUUUCAAUCCGUCUAAUUAAUUUAAUUAACAGGAUUAAUUAUGACCCUAGAGAAAAUGAAAAUUUGAGUUGGAUCUUAAUCAUUUGCUAACGUAUCUGAAAAAGUAAUCAUAAAUUAGCAAGCAAACAGUCAUAAUUAUACGUUUAACCUUGCUCUCUCUGUUAUUUGCCCGUUCCAUAUUGAUUUUUCUUACUGUCCAAUUCAUUUUCUUUGCUCUCUGUUUUUUUUUUACAAGGAUAUAAUUCUCAUUUACAUAAAAAAGAUAAGAAUUUUUACAUUAUGAUCACUUGAAAUUAAUCCAAGGAAAAACUUCUUAUAAAUAAAAACCUGAGGACACCUAAUAACAUACAAAAUAAAAAAAAUACAAAAUCAUAUCUGAAAUUGAAAAUUAAAUUACAAGAGAAAAGAAGAACAAAUUAAUUAUUAACCUCGGGAAUUUAUUUAUCAUAUCAGGUGUUUUUAAUUUAGUGAGGUGACAGAAAAUAUUCCACAAAUCAUUUUGCUCAAAUAUUGAUACACAAAUUAGUCAGCAUCAUGGUGUUGUUAGGUUAAACUACUAGGUUGAAUACUUUAAACAAGAGAUCGAAGAGAGUUCCAUUUUUUCUAUCAAAAGAAAGCGGUCCAAAACAAUUUUCCACUCAUGAACAACUCUUGACCUCUCUCCUCCUCUCCUAAGUAACGUUGGUAGGUCAAGAAAAUCGAUCAAAUUCAAGAAAACAAACCCUAUUAAGAAUCACAAGCUCCAAACCCUAAAAUAGUAAGAUUCAACAUCAAAACAUAAAUUAAUAAACCCGUAAAUAAAGACCUUUCUGAAGUAAGCUAAGCCAAAUCAAGAAAAUGGGGGAAAGGUGGUGGGUAGGCACGUUUGUUAUUUGUAAUCAGUGAGAUUGACAACUGGGGUCACAAUGUGACAAGCAUUCGCAUAGGAUUUGAAGCACACCCUGCCACGUUCUCUUUUGUUAACAUCAAAUAUAUAUAUAUAUAUAUAUAUAUAUGGUUUGUCAGUUUGUAUGGUGGGCUUAUGCCCUUUUUUUUUUUUAUAUGGGUAAAAGUAUAGUUUCCUACUAUAGAUUAAGAAAUUUUUCAUUUUGAUCUCUAUAAUUUGAGUUUUUCCUUCUUUUUUUCAAUUACGGCUUCUUUAUUUUAUUUUGUUUGAUUUCUUGCUGAAAUCUCCACAAAACUGGCAGUUUCAAAAAGGAUAAAGCUUUUGUCCAAUAAAUUCUCAAAUGUAUAUCGACAAUAACACUACUGUCAAGUGGGUUUGUUUAUUAAUAAUACAAUGAACUGAUGAAAAAAAAUUACACUGUGAAAAGACAGAGUGCACCUCUAUUUUUUAUAGAUUAAUGUUGGUGUUCGGGUCAGUUUAUGUAUAUCUUAAUUGAUCCUACGAGUUCUAAAACUAACAAGGCAUGAAAUUAACCGGACAAGAAAUUUUUGCCCUAAAAUGUUUUUUAGAUUAAAAUAUAAUUAUAUAUAAGAUCUAGUUUUAAAAACAAAAAAGAAGCAAUUUUUAUAAAUUUAUUAAAAAUUCAAAAAACAAUCCUAACAACUUCAAGAAAAAAAAGGCAUGAAAACUUCCUCAUAACAAAAACGUUGUAACCCAAAAAAAUAAAAAAGAGAAAUAAUAAUAAUAAUAAAGAAAGCAACACCAUCACAGCAAAGGGGUAUUCUUGUCCAUAUAAUAAUUACGGACAAAUAAACGUAUAGAGAAGAACUUAAAACUUUUUUACAAAUUCAUAAAUGUGUUUUUCUUAACCGUUAAGACUUAAUAUCUCACAAAUACCCAUAUAAAUCACCUGUAUUUAGUAUUUACACACUGGCUCGACACUGCUCUGUCUUUGUCUCUCGUAGAGACGAACAUAAAAACCAGGCAGAGCCGACGGCAACGCCUAGAAACAGAGAGAGAAACUGAAACACAAACGAAAACAUAACAUGUCCUGUAAUAACAGAUCAAACCCACCAUUGUUUUUUCUCCUAAGCUUUCUUUUCUUUUUCUUUAUCUUUACUUCUUCAACAGCAACUCCCAGUUCUUUAACUUCCCAGUUUGAAUCUUUUUCCGUUCCUGGUAGUUCAUUUAUUAAUUAAAGAUUUUUUUUUUGUCUAAAAAUUAUGAUUUUUGUGAAAAAUAUGAAAUCUUUAUGUGCUUUUUUUUUUUUAUAACAAGAGUAAUUUGUUUUUUUUUUUUGUCAAUGUAGAUGUUGUGGUUGGUGGGAGAGAGAAUGAUGGUGUGGUGGUUUCAUGGGAGAUAAGGAGGCAUCUUGCAGAGGAAGAGAACACAGCAUCUUCUUUGAUAUUGGCUGCAAAGAAAACAAGAAGAAGAGACCCUUUAGAGAACUUUAAAUUCUACACUUCUGGUUACAAUAUCAGCAAUAAACAUUAUUGGGCUGUGAGUUCUUUCUUUAUUACCUUUUUCUGGUUUAUUUGACCAUAUUAAUACAUUUUCUUGUACUGAUUGUCACUUCAAUGAUGCAGUCUGUUGGUUUUACUGCGGUUCCAUUCUUUAUCUUAGCUUUGGUUUGGUUUGUGAUAUUUGGACUCUGUUUGUCCUUUAUCUGCCUCUGCUAUUGCUGUUGUCCAACAGAGCCUUAUGGCUACUCUAGAGCAUGCUAUGCCCUGUCUCUCAUUUACCUCAUCCUCUUUACCAUUGCUGCAAUGUAAUGACCCCUCUUUCUCGCUUUGGCUAUGUGUUUUGAUUAAUAAUUUUAUGACACCCUCAAUGUUCCUCUGCGAUUACAGUGCUGGAUGUGUUGUUCUGUAUACUGGUCAAGGGAAGUUUCACAGUAUUACAACACACACAUUGGAGUAUGUAGUCAAUCAAGCAAAUGUUACUGCCAAAAACCUCAGGCAUGUGUCAGAUUAUCUUGCUGCGGCUAAGAAUACUGGUGUAGAGUCAGUUUUUCUGCCACCCAGCGUCCAAAAUGACAUUGAUAGCAUUCAAAAAAAGAUCAACUCCUCUGGUACUACUCUUUCCAGCACUACACAGGAUAAUUCAGAAGGCAUACAAAAUGUUUUGGAUAGCAUGUGAGUAAAAGCUCUUAAAACUUCUUCUGGUGCUUGAUUGGUUUUGGAAUUUUUCAUAAUUGCUCUUAUUUUUUUGUUGUGCAUUGCAGGAGACUGGCCCUCAUUAUCCUUGCUGCUGUAAUGCUUGCUGUGGCAUUUCUUGGAUUCUGUAAGUGUUAUUUUCUUGCAUUAGAGGUGCAAAUUUAUAAAUUGUUUGAUUUAUUAUAGCUAAAUUAUUUGCUUAUAUUAUUUAUAUGAUGACAUUGGUUGCAGUAUUCUCCAUUUUUGGGAUGCAGUGCCUUGUUUACUUGUGAGUGACCUGAUUUUUGAGCCGUUAUCUGUUAACUAUUUUGAACUUGAAAACAAGUACAUGUUAUGGUUAUGAUUUGGCCAAUUUUACUGUUUAAAUUCUGUAGUCUGGUGAUCCUUGGCUGGGUUCUUGUUACGGGCACAUUUAUUUUGUGCGGUGUAUUCCUUCUCCUUCACAAGUAAGUUCUUCCUCCUGUUCUUUUUUUAUUUUUAACUUUUCUGAUAUAGGGUCAUAAAAUGCAUAAAGGAUUUUAUGCUUGAUGUUUAUUUUUUUUAAAAAAAAGGUGUGUUGAAUUAAAUUUAUGUUUUGGAUGCUUUGUGCACACAUUCUGGUGUAUAGAUGCAUGCAUAUACACAUGCAAGCACACACUUGUGGUUGUGUUGUUUCAUUGUGGCAUAUAGAGCUUUCAUGGUCUUAAUUGUUGAUGUCCAUACACACUCGCAAACACUGUUUUAGUUGUGUUGUUGCAUAACUCUGGCGUUUAGAGCUUCGUGAUCUUAAUUGUAGAUAUUCAUAGCAAACACACUUUUCUAGCUAUAAUUCUGAUGGUUGUCUUUUAAAUGUGUUUCUGAGGCAUUAUGAACCCAUUGGUUGUGGACUAGAAGUUUUAGCAUUGCUGAUGUUAAUAAAUGGGUCUUUUAUAUCUUGAUCUUGGGAUCGUCGAACCUCAUUUUCUGUCGUGUCACUCGUUGAGCUUACAGAUAGGUAAAAUGAUUCCAUAUAAUGUCAUUUCCUGGCAGAGUCAGAUUGAGAAUAUGUCUAAAAUGAUGCACUCUUCUUUUUCUACAUGUACAUGGGUCUUUUAGGAUUAUUUUUCCGCAAGAAUAAGUUUCCAUUAAAAUUGGUACUUGGAGUGGAAGAUGAUAAAUAACCUACAGCCACUCAUAUAAAGAGAGAGGAAGAAAGGAUUUGAAUAAGUAGUAGAUAUCAAUAAUUAAAAGCGCCAACAAAACUUUCAAGAGUUCUCUCACUUUGUUUUGACAACUCCUGGGCUGCAUCUUUUGCAGAGGGCUGAAGACUGAAUGAAAGUGGCUGGUGAGAACAUAAGAGAGAAUUUGAUUCUCACCUCCUCAAAAGAUUUGUUGCAAAUAAUUCUAGGAAAAGAUGAAUGUACCUAUUCAGUGCGCAAUAUUCUAGGAAAAUCAAUAAUUGGAUUUCUCAGGCUGAAAAGCACAGAAACCACAAAGUAGGCCAUUUUCAGGAGAAGCUGUUCAAUAUUGGCCAAGCAAAACUACUUUGAGUUCGCAUGAAAUCUUGAAAACGCACAAGGAUUCAGCUUCGAUAGGUUACAAAGUGACAGGCUAACUUCUUAUAUCCCGGGCACUUCUCUAGAUUCUGUUAUUUAAGGUUUUAACCAAUAGAUCUUGAGCUAUCAGCUCCUUGUCUGAACAUUGGCUAAUCACUCUUCUUCCUCUUAGUUCAUGAUUGUAUGGAGUUCAUCUGUACAUAGUAGUCGGUCAAUCUCUCUGAAUAUUUGGGCUGAUCAAGAAAUAUUCCUGAAAACCAUAUGAUUAAGAAAUUUUCAAUCCGGCUUUUUACAAGGAAAAAAUGCCCUGUAAGCUAUGGAAUCAGAAGGCUUUGUUUUCUAGUGAAUUUAAAAUCUGUACGCGGAUAGGAAAUUUAUUUCCAACUCCAUAAGAAACAAGCACACCUUAGGUUUGUAAAAGUAAUUUCUGUUAAGAUCAGGUCUAAUGAGGCUGCCUCUUGGCACUUGAAUAACUUUACGCCUCCAAAGUACCACGGUAUCCUGUUAAUUGAUCUACGUAGUUGGUUGAAGCUAGUGUCAUAUAAGAUCACUAUUUUAAAUGGUAACAUUAUGAUUCGAAGCUGUCUUUAAAACCAAAACUAUCAUUUUUCUUAAGCACGUUGACACUCUUGCACACAUGCAUGUAAAGAGAUACAUUUGCAUUGUGUUAUGGGAAACUUUCAUCUCUUGCACUUUAAAGUAUUGGACUUGGAAAAUGUUUGAAAAUGACUAUUCUUAUGAUAGUACCACAGGGCUUCUAUGUCAGAAUCAGUGUUUCUGUGCUUCUUUUCUGAGUGCGUCCCUAAAUGUGUUUGUUUGUUUGUUUGUUUAUCUGCUAGCGUGGUUGCCGACACUUGUAUUUCUAUGGAUGAGUGGGUUCAGAACCCCACUGCCAAAACAGCAUUGGAUGAUAUAAUCCCAUGUGUGGACAACGCAACUGCUCAAGAAACCUUGAGGCAGACCAAGGAGACAACCUAUCAACUUGUCAAUGUUGUUGACUAUGUAGUUAGCAAUGUCUCCAACCGAAAUUUUCCACCCCAAGCUGGAGAUCUAUAUUACAAUCAAUCCGGCCCACUGAUGCCUGUUCUUUGCAACCCAUUCAAUUCUGAUUUUACAGAUCGUAAAUGUGCUGCUGGUGAAGUGGACUUGAGCAAUGCUACCCAGGUAAUAUAUGUGAACAUGAAAAGUGUAAAUAGAAGGGCUGAAAGGCAUUUUAUUUUAUAUACUGGAUUUGCUGAAGAUUAAGCUACCAAUAAUCCAUCUCACUAGCAGAUGCCAUAUUAGAUUCAGUUGCUAGUUAUAAUCAUUGCCCGGAAUGUAUGUUUGUCAACAUCAUCGUUUUAGACGAUGUUUAAAUUUCCCAGUCGUGCAAAAUCCAAAAUCUUACUUGGCCUUCUCUGUUUAACUUGUGGUGCCAGAUUUUUAAAGUGAGAUUUUGGGGGCAAUUUUCUUGUUUCAGUAUAUUUAUGUGCUUUUCAAUUUUGAUUAAGAUUAUAAAAUCAGUUCACGACCUCCUCCUUAGUCAGCUUCUGCUUACCAAUUUUACCUGAUUUGUAAUGUAUUUAGAGUAUGAUUCAGAAAGGCUUACUGCUUUUGUUUUCUGUAUCGAGCAGGUGUGGAAGAAUUAUAUCUGUCAGGUUUCAUCAUCUGAGAUUUGUAUUACACCCGGUCGGCUUACACCCAGCUUGUACAACCAGAUGGAAUCUGCAGUAAACCUAAGUUAUGGGUUGAAUCGUUAUGGUCCGUUCUUGGUUAACCUGGAAGACUGCACUUUUGUGCGAGAAACAUUCACCAAGAUCAGCCAUUCUUAUUGUCCUGAUUUGCGGCGAUACUCACAAUGGAUAUACAUUGGGCUAGUAAUUGUAUCUGCGGCAGUAAUGCUGUCACUGAUCUUCUGGGUAAUUUACGCAAGAGAGAGAAGGCAUCGUGUAUAUACCAAGCAGUUCAUGUCCUCAUUGGAAGGCCCUGGCAAGGCAUCGUGAAGAUGCCCUAAUCUAGUUACAAGGUUGCUAAUUAUUUCUAGUCCAUAUCCUGGAUCGCUUGCUAUGCGGAUAUUCUUGUGCAUUAUGCUAAGCAUCCUUAGGCUGGAGUAUCGUUAGUGCGUUACUAAGUACAGAUCCUUUUCUCAUGACUUGUAGUUUCCUGCCUUUUUUAUUUUCGCUUGUUCUAAUGGAAUCUCUCUUGUGGAGACUGUUUUUUUGCGUAGUGUCCUGUUUUAACUUAAUACAGACCGAGCAAGCAGAUGUAAAGAUAAGUUACUUUUGCCUGAGCUGGCAAGUCCUUCAGCCUUUUCAAGUCGUGAGGCCCAAGCCAUCAUUUCUUGCACAACUGGAAUAUUGAAAGUCUUGGGGUCAUGUCUUUAAAUAGCUGCAAGAUACAGGAAAACCAUGCCAUCAUUUCUUGCACAACUGGAACUCAUUUCCUUGACAAGAUAAGAAGAAGACACCAUGGGAAGGAUCACUGACCUCUGUGCAUUCUAUCUAUAUCUCAAAGCCGUUCAAUCAAUGAUCCCCAGCUCGAAUUCAUUUCCUUGACAAAAAAUCAGUAGAAGCUAAGAUCGAAAAAAUCAGGACAUAACUUAACACCGCUACUAUAUUGCCCUAUGGACUAACGAAUCAACAUCAAUGAAAGCUUUUGAUCUAUCCCCUAGCUGGUACUACCACCCCCACACACAAGCACACUUGUAAGACUUUGAGUGAAAGUAAAAAAGUGGGGUCCUUAAGCCAUGCCCAUCAUCAUCGUAAAUAACAAAUUAUAGAGACUCGUGAACAAGUUUUUUCGUGACGCUUUGUUACGUGUCUGAAUUCUGUGUUGCUUGCUAAAUAAGGACGGUAGGUGUGGUAGCAACUGGCUAGGCAGGUCCCUGCUGGGAUUAAUCGACAUGGCUGGAUUGCCUCGCUCUUGUUGCUGUGGCACAUUGCCGACAUCGAUUUGCUCUGUGUGUGAACCCACACGACCGACGUAAAGCAUGCAUAGUCAAGUUUAAAAGUUAAAACCAAUUCUUGUCUGGCCAAAUUUGCUGCUGCUGCUCCGUGUGAACUGGUUUAAAAGUAUGAAGGCCUAAAGCUGGCUUAUGGCUUGAGGCUUCAUAUCUUUAUGGCGCCAAAUGCAGGAUAGCACUGAUUGCAAAAAGCAUGUAUCAAAAUUGAAAUCUCAGUUGACAGGGCAAUUUAAUUCGCUAGAGAUUCCUUGCUUCCCAGACAAGUCUAAUUCGUAUUCAAUGGUUUGGACGGCAAGACCAAUCUUGUACCCUAAACCUUCAUAAUUGCAGCAAAACAAUCAAAAGGACAAGAGGAGUGGUUGUUUUGGCUUUUGAAGCGACAAUAACAGCGCCUGAGACUUGAAUUUGAAGUUUGUUCCCUCUCCAGAAGAAGAGUGAUUUUUUUCAAUUAUAUUUAAUAUUUAUUUGGUAUUGUGACGUAGUGUAUUUUUAAAUUGAAAAUAAUUUUUUUUUUUUUAUGGCUUGGAAAGCUUAGGAUGGAAUAGGAUCCGGUCAGGUGAACCAAGCGUUUUAGUAUCAAAAUAUAAUUUUUUAGGAUUUCUUUUUUAUUUCUUACACUAAAUAUAUUACGAUUAUUCAAAAACUCCUAAAAUAGCAUUAAUUUAAUAUUUAUUCAGAAAAAAAAUACUUUGUAAAGUAGAUUGCAACUCAAAACAAACACAUCCUUAUAAAAAUAGUAGAAUGAAAGAAAUUUUUAACCUCAAUUCUUCACCGCUUAUUUUCAUAUUUAAAUUUUAUUAUUUUUUGUGCAUUUAAAGAAAUUUACCAGUUAUAUGUUGGAAUCUAUAUUUAAAAUAAAAGAUAAAGCAUUAUUAUUAUAAUAUAGUUAUAUCAUAAUUAAUUGUUGUGAAAGAUGAAAAGAAUAAGGACAAAAAUAAAUUCACAAACUUAGAUCAUUCAUUUUAUAAUCCAUUGAAGGAAAAAGAUCAUCAUAUUAUUUUUCUAAUUUGAUUAUCACAUUAUUUUUGGAUUUAAUCUUUUUAUUUAAUUAAUUUUGUAAUUCAUAUCUGUAAAAUUUUAAUAUGUGUGGAGAGUACGGAUCAAGAGCUGGGAAUACAAUCCUAUUUUUUAUUUGUUCAAUAAGAAUUUCGCUUGGAUUUUGAAUUACACAGCGCAACACACUUUUAUAUAUAUAUAUAUAUAUAUAUAUAUAUAUAUAUAUAUAUAUAUAUAUAUAUAUAUAUAUAUAUAUAUAUACUGUUUUGAAAGUAACUUUAAAAAAAAAACGUUAAAUUAAUAAUUUUUUAAGAGAUUUUAGUUUGAUAUUAUCUAUAAUUUAGUAUAAAAAUAUAAACUAUAAUUAUUUGACAAUUAGAAUUAAAAGUUCUAGAUUUAAGUGAUGUGCUGUUUUUUUUUAAAUAUUUUUGUUCUGAAAUAUAUUAAAAUAAUAUUUUUAUUAUUAUUUUUAAAAAUUUAUUUUUAACAUAAACAAAUUAAAAUGAUUUUAAAAUAUUAAAAAAUAUUAAAAAUUAAAUUAUUUUUAAUAUUCACACGUUAAAAUAAUCUAAAAACACAAAAAAUAAAAAUAAAAAAAAUUCUUUUUUAAAAAAUACUUUUAAAAUACAAUAUAAACAUGCUAUUAAUAUCUAUUACGUUCUAAUCAGGAAUUUCCUGUGAGUUGCCGUGGAGUAAUUGUUUGGAAAAACUGACGGACUCAUCCAAAUGUAAUGUAUUAUCCAAUGGAUUAAGGGGUUGAUUAGUAACACUAAGAUAUAUCUUCUCUUUCUACAAUACCCAACAACAUCUUACGUUAUUACACUAAGUAACACUUAACCAGGUUGUCAUUAGUACCAAAUCAAAGGUCAUUAAGUCCAAAGGAGGCUAUAAAAGUGGCCAUAAAUCCUUCCAUAGGUUAGCUUACCUCACAGGAGACAGGAUCCUAACAGAUUCGAAAGAAACUAUCUUAUAUUACAUUAUUACAUGCAUGGCAUCUAGAAGUGGACCUUGUCCUAAGUCACAUACACAGCAAGCAACCAGGACAUGCCUGUGUUCACCCACCACACAUCCCGGAUCAUUCAGGUGUGGUCUGCACCGGGAUUCCCUUAGGGUGCCUGCCAGAUCAAGAAUCGGUCGUGCUGGGUCGAAUACCAAGGGGGGAUUGGCUUUGAUUGCCAAAGCAAAUUCAUUCAAGGCAAUCUUGUUACAGAUUAUCAAGCCGUCUAGUCAUGAUCUUCACAGGAGGAGGGAUUUCCAGCCAAGGCUUACCAGGUUUUGCCUAAUGAAUGCCAGUAGAGAUAGGGUUGCUUGUUCUUGAUCUUAGUUUUGUUAGAUUCAAGAAAUUUGGUAGCUUUUUUGUAAAUUUUGUUAGAUUAAUUAGAUCAGGAGAUUUUGCAGUUGUUCUGGUAUGUAUGUAUAUAUGUAUGUAUGCGGAUUUAUGUACUUAAGGUUAAUUAAUUGAGUGCCAGGGAGUCUGAUGCAUCAGGAAUUUAUUAAAAAUAUGGAGCUCUAAGAUUCGUACCAGAAUUAAUAAAAAUACAUACGCAUAAGUCCACGCAUUUAUCAAACGAAAGCAGUUUUAAGGACUGUCUGUUUAUAUAUUUUUUUUAUAAGUAUUUUUAAAAAAAUUAAAUUUUUUUUUGUUUUAAAUUAAUAUUUUUUGAUAUUUUUAUAUCAUUUUGAUAUACUGAUAUCAAAAAUAUUUAAAAAAAAAAUAAAAUAAAAAUUAUUUUAAUGUAUUUUUAAGAAAAAAAACACUUUAAAAAACAAUCGUUAACACACUCCGAAAUACCCCUAGAAAUAUUUAAGUAUAUGUAGAAUCUUGGGUUCGUUAAUUUCUUGGGUGUACAGUAGAGUUUGGUUAGCGUUCUAAGAUAAAUUAAUAAAGAAAGGAUAAAAAUGUUUUUGAUUGGAAAAACAAAGAAAAAAACAUAAAAUAAAAUAAAUGUCUUUUCAGUUAUUAAUAAAAAAUACAUGGGAUAUACAAUCCAUCUUUUUUAUAUAUCUUGAAAUAUUAAUCAAACAUCAACUCACAUAUAUAUUCUAAUAUUAUUAAUUAAUCAAUUAAUACAUAAUGAGACUUUUAUAAGUGUAAUGAAGAUAGAGUUAACAGCAUGACAAUUGAGUUAAUUAAUAGCAAUCCUUGUCCUCAUUAAGAUUGUAUAUAUCACAGUUGGAAGAUUCAACUUGCCAAAAUACCUGCAGGAAUUGACCGACCUCUUACACUUGCAAUUCUAACCCUAAUACAUUGGAAUUGGUAUCGAUUCACUGGGGUUCUGAUGAACAACAUUCACCGGGAAAUUCAAUAAACCAUUUCCAACCAUCUAAUUCAGAUAGAGUAAAUAUUGAAGAUUAUAGAAACAGAAGUGAAAGAGAGAUUAAUUAAAAGGGAAAUAUGCCAAAUUUAUCUACAUACGAUACAUAUCUCCAUACUUGAAAUUAAUUAAGCUUGAAAUAGAGCUUGUAAAUCUUUGAUUUUUCAUUAGAGCUUGGGCGUAUCACAUGGAGUCCUCUUCAAAAACGAGUAUCAUCAAUUUAGUCCCUUGUAGAUGAUGAUGGACCAUCAAGGCCAAAUUAAGUAUCCACUAUCAAAUUGUACUUGGUUAUUUGAAAUUCUAUAAAUUAAUAAACCGAAUCCUGAAUGACGUUCUUACACUUGAAUACAUUAUCUCUUAUCAAACCUGGCUUGCUCGCCUUCAACUAUGAUGGCAAAACAUGCAUGCAUUCAUUAAAUGAGGAUAGCCAUACAUAUCUUCUAGAGAUUGAUGAUGUUAUCAUCGAUAGUCAUAUAGAAUCUCAAAACCCAGAACUUAUAAGAUAUUUUUUUAUAGUGAUAUGUUGUCAUUUUGAUCUUUUUUUUAUCUCCAAAUAGUCCAAAACUGUAGAUAGUAAGCACGGUGAUCAUCAUAUCCUUGCAUGAACACGCUUUGCAUGAACAUGCUUUCAUGAAUUCAUAUUCUUUUUUAGAUGAAGUCGAAGGCUUGAUUUUCUUUUUCUUAUUCAAAUCUAAAUAUUCUCUGCAGUUAGAUAAAUACAUACAUAAUCUCACAAAACUCUCAUCGGUACCAAAAGUCACCAGCUUUUUUUUAUAAAAAAAAACACCUUAUUUUUGUAGAUGUUACAACCAUGUAAGCCCAACCUCCUGUGCCUUCUAACCUAUAACAAUAUUAAGAAAAUCAUAAUUUUUUUUUAAGGAUUUUCAACUAUCUCAUCACAUUUGAUUGAUUGUUUUUUGGUAGGAAAAGGUGUGGUACUAAGUUCCAUUUUAAGUGAGACUUUUUCAUGAUACUCCGUUGUGCUACAGAACCCUAAUGUCCCACACUCGCACUUGAUCCUUUGACAGCUAAAAAUGUGCUGUCUAAGGGCUACCAUUGAUUUAAAAUGCUUAAGAAACCUGCAGUCACUAAUGUGCUGUCUAAGGGCUACCAUUGAUUUAAAAUGCUUAAGAAAAUAGCCCUGCACUAGUCACUAAUUUGGAAAGGCAAGAAGUUACUUGGAAUUAGAGGUUUCAAAAGGGGGCAAAUUUCAUUUUAAGAAAAAAAAAUAGUGAGUUAUAAGGUUAUAACGAGAGAUCCAAAUGAAAUCCUUUUUAUUAUAUAAAUAUAUAGUAUAAAAAAAUAUAACCUUGAAUAUACAAUUUAUAUGGACCAAUUCUACUAUAUUAUAGUGAUUUAUUAUACAUUUAUGAAAAAGAUAUUGAAAUUUAUUGCACAUACGAAAAAGUGUUUUUUAUAUUGAAACAUCAUUUUCUGGAAUUUUUAUUUUUUCUCUUUUGAUUUCAUAUGUUUACAUGGUUGAAAAAGUCUUCAUUCCCAUUUGCUGUAUUUUCCAUGUCAGGGCGGGAUUGGCUGCCGAAAUCAAAACAAUGGCUUCCUUAAAAACUGUACGCUGUCCCAAACUAUGGUUAUAUUUUAUAAAAAGUGUAGCAGCCACAUUAAAUAAGGCCCUACACAUGGCUCAAAAAGAGUACCAAGGACUAGUUCUCUUCCACAAUAAAUAUUCAGGGUCAAAAAGUCAGAUUGAUUUAAAGUUUGACCAUUGAAAUGUUAGAGAGGAAGCAUCGAGUGACAAGCUAGAUAUUAAGAGACGUUUGAUAAUGAAAUAAUGUUAGUUUUUUUAAAAAAAUUUAAUAUAUAUUAAAAUUAUUAUUUUUAUUUUUUAAAAUUUAUUUUUAAUAUCAACAAGCUAAAAUAAUUUAAAAAUAUAUAAAAAUUAAUUUGAAGUAAAAAAAAAUUAUUUUUUUUCAAAAAUAUUUUUAAAAUCCUUAUCUUCUUUAAAGAAUUCGUUUUUUUAUAUAUUUUAAAAUUUAUUUUAAAAAAUAUAAAAAUUAUUUACUUUAUUUUAAAUUGAUUUAACAUACUAAUAUUGAAAAUAAAAAAAUAUAUAAGGCAGUAAAAACCUCCAAAAAUCAUGGGCUUCCACACCAUGUGGAAGAAUAUCACUCUUCUUCUUAUGAAUGCAGAUGCUGUAGUUUUCAAAACCAGUUGCUGAUGCUUGCGAGCAGAUUUUUUAAGUUUCCUGCCAAGGACCACAGCUAGCACAAGUGGGAUGGUUGCGUGCCAUUUGCGUGGAGGUUAAACUAUUCCAUUUCUAGACAAUAUAUUUGCCAUCUGCAUAAAAGUUAAAGAACUACUAGCUCCUUCAAGUUGUUAAAAAAUCAUCUUUAAUUACUUAUUUACUCUAUAAUAAAAAAAAAAGGUUUGUCUUGAGUAAAAAGAAAUAUACUCAAACUUAAUUGAUUUUUUUAUAAUUAUGAUAAUUGGAUCAUCGGCACCUAUAUGCGAUGAUUAAGGCCACUAUGAUGAUCAAGACAAUCUCAGAGCCUAUAGAGACUUACAUGGUUGUUAAUUUUAGGAUUCGUGAGAUUAAUCGAGUUAUAUGCAAAUUAGUUCGAAUAUCCAUGUUAAUAAAAAAAAAACCUAAAAAAAUGUUCAAAAUGAUAGAAGAAUUAAGGAAGAACUUGUUAAAGAAGUGAAAACAGAACAAACCAAUAUUAUUAAUUUCGUAACAUAAUAUGAAGCUAAAUCAAAUUAUCUUGAUCAUGUCCAAAACUUCAGUAACAAGUGGCAUGAUUAGAGAAGGGAUAUUCUCGACGCGUUUUUGCAAAGUAUCUUGCAUUCACUCAUGGACGGUUGUAUCUUGUCAAACAAGCUGAAUUGAAAGGGAAAGAAGGAGAAAUAUCUAUACCAGAGGAAACAGGCGCAUAUGUUUGACCCUAUUUCUAGUUUUUAUAUGCAUGGAUUCCCCUCGUUAAUUAAGUCUUCAAUGGCUCCAGUGGUCUAAUUUGGCACAUAUAUAUAUAUAUAUUGGAAGAAAUCAAACUAAUAAUUAAUAUAUAUUGAGGAAAGGAAAAGGGCAGUUCAGUGUGGGUGGCUGCUGAGGGGAGUUGCUUUACGACUGGUCUUGCUGGUCCACCCAUGAUGAAAGAUGGUUCUAUAUUGACGCUGGUCAAGACCCACAUGGUGCAUGCAAUUCUUCAAUUUUAUUUUAUUUUUAUCAAUUGAAAAAAUAUUUCUGUUUUCGAAUCACAUACAGCCUUAAUUACUAGCUAGUAAACUUCUUACACCCUUUUUACGAGCUCUUUUCAUAUAAGAAUUAUUUUUAUGCUUCUUUAAACGUGACCAAAUCCCUUCAAAUCUUCUGGAUGGUAUGCAUCUGGAGGAUGAAGAUGAGUUUUAAUUAAUUAGGUUAAAAGUAUGCUUCUCCAUGAAGUUCGUUUUCCUUUCGAUUCCCUCAAUAUUAUUCUUUUGAGGCACUUUACAAGUUGUGAUGGAGCACUUGAUGAAUCCAAGAGAUAAGAUUUCCCAUCACUUUUUUAAAUAUAUAGUUGAUGAGAUCUUUAUAGCAAUUUAAUCUAACAAAAGCGACGUAUAUAUGCAACCAAAUGGUCCAGCCAAAUUGCCACCAAUAAAGAUCUUCUUGGUAGAUCCCUCGCUAUAUAUAAAUAUAUAUUAUAAAAUGGUGAUUUCUCGCUCUUUUUACUGAAAUCUUAAGGGUUAAGCUCUUCAAAGUUGCUUUUAAAUUAUACAAAAUGCUUUACUCAAUGAUGAAUUCGAGUAAAGUGGUAAGAAAGAUGGGUAUUGUUGAGAAAACGAUCAUCAAUCAUAAAAUAUUUCAAAAUUCAAAAUUAAUAAUAUAUUAACUAGAUAUAUAGUUAUAAAACAAUUCAUUUUUUUGGUUAAUAACAAAAUAAAAUACAAGGACGUAUCUUUUUUUUUUUUUAUUAACGUGAGUAUUCAUACCAGUUUGUGCGUAUCUCAACUAAUUUCACGAGCUCUGAAUAAUGAUGAUCAUAUUAGUAACUAUAAUUACGUAUUUUUGAUUUAAAAGAUCGUGAAUCGAUACAAUCCUUUUUUUUCAUUAUAUAAUAUUAUCUAAUGAUGCUACGCACAAUAUAUGAAAUGGAAGAUAGCUAGCAAUGAGUCAUGCUGCAUGAAGUCGAGACAUCUUUUUACUAGGGCACACACAAGAGUUCAGAAAACGAAAAAGAAGCAUGACAUAAAGUGAUGAGCACUUCCUCCAUUUCUAUUAUGAUAUUAUACUGCAUUUAUCUGUUGAUUCUGCUGAGCAAGCAAAGAUAACAAGAAAAGCCUCCUUAGUGGGUCAGUGACCACACAAUUGAUAUAAAAAAUUAGAAAUCGGAUAUGAUCGGAUAGAUAAAAAAAAAUUAAAUUAAAAUGAUAUUGUAUUAAAAAAAUAUAACUAGAUUAUGAAUUUUAACCCGCUGAAUAAUUCCAAAUUAAUUUUUUUAUAGCUAGCAUAGUCUAAGAAUGGAUUGGUCAAAGUCCAAUAAUAGUGAACAAACCAUCAGCGGCCGCCAGAAAACAAUGCAUAUGGCCUAGUGGUUUGGGUUUGAUUUCCAAAACCCAGUGUCCCUGACACGUUGUGCCUUUUUAUGAAUUUAAUUAAUUAAUUGACUACAUUAAAAUAAAUGAUCUCCAAAACCCAGUGUCACUAAAAUAAGAGAGUUCAGUUUGUUGACACGACUCUAGUCAAGAAAGCCACCCAUGCCAUGAAAAUGUGAAAAUAAAAAUACAAAUAAAAAUAUAUUGAAAUUCGUUGUUUUAUUAUUAAAAUCUUUAAAUAUAUUUUGAACAUGGUUUUAUUUUAUUUAUUAUUUUUUUAGCUUUCAAUUUCAUAAAAUAUAAAUAUAUUGUUUUGAUUUUUUUUAUUAAUUUAAUUUAAUAAUUAUAAAAUAUUUUUUCAAUAAUUAAAGUAAAUUUCUAAAAAAAUAUACAAACUAGUAUAGAUCUAGAAUUACUAAAUAAAAAAGAAACAAAGCAAAAAAGAAGAAGCACUUUCGUCAGAGAGACAGGGACGAAGGAAAGAGAGAAGAAGAGUUUCCCAAAAUGUACGGUACUUGUUUAGGAAAUUGUAUCGCUUGAAAGUACAAUUUUUUGAUAUAAAAUUAAUUCUCAAAGAUGACAUUAUUGAGUUUUAAUUUAUUAGUGUCAAUGGGGUUGCCAUAUUGUUACUUAUAAUUCAAAUUAAAAAAAAAUCGAGAAAUUUUGUAUGCGUUGUUUAUUUAAGAACUGAUAGGGUUGGAGUAUAAUCUUAUGGUGUGGCAAAUAAUUUUUAUUUUAUUUUCUUUUUUUAUUCUAGUUUGGUUAAUUAGUAAAAAAUAUAUUGAUGAUGAAAUUAAAAAAAUAUAAAAAAAACACUUAACUAUUUAUAUAAACAACUGCAGCAUGGAGUAAAAUACGGUAAAUACCAACAGUCCUCCCAUUGAAAUGGAGAAAGAAAAAAGCACAUGAAUUGGGAAUGUGUUGUAGUUGGCUCAAGAAUUUAAUCAUUGAGAAAGGGUAAAUUUAACCCACAUCCAAGCUAGCAGGUGAGAAGUUCUUUCCAGAUAGAUACAAAUCUUCACCAUAAUCUCAACCAUAAUUAUAUUUGGUUGGAGAAAUUUGAAGCAUUAAGCCUUAUUAUCAUUUGCUAGCUGUAAUUUUCAUCCUGUGCUUAGUGGAGAUUAGCUAAACAUCAUUUCAUGAUGUUAAUUAUGGGCUUAUUCCAUGACCCCAUGUUUUUUGUUCUUCAAGAAACCAUCAUCAUCAUUAUUGCUGUUAUUAUUAUUAUUGUUAUUAUUAUUAUUGUUAUUAUUAUAUAACCAUAUGCUUAAUUUUAAUUCCAGGUAUAUGUAUAUGAACUCCUCCCACUAGAAAAAAGGGGCUAGUUUAACGGUAACCUUUACCGGCUAAGAACUUAGACUGUGGGCGCAGCUCCAAGUUACAAAUUUCGAUCAUAUACGUCAAAGAUUAUAAAUGUGUCCAUGGUUAUCUCGUGAAGGUGUAGUUUUAAAUAGCUAUUUCAUGAAAAAUUAAAUUUUUUAUAUAUUUUAUAUUGUUUUAAUAUAGUGGUAUCAAAAAUAAUUUUUUUAAAAAUAAAAAUUAUUAUUUUAAUAUAUUUCCGAGCCCAAAUCAUUUUAAAAAUUAAUUAUUGCUACACUUUUAAACACCCAAAAUUAAAAUUAAUGCCGCGUGUUUAAUAAGUUUAUUUGAAAUAAAAAAGGCCUCAAUGGUUUUUCAUUGUAGAAAAAAAUAAUUGUAAUUUGUAAAUAAAAAAAUACCCUAAAACAUAACCACGUAUAACAUUAUUAUAAUGGCACAACUUCAACAUUUAAAUGUAUUUAUUGUGUUAGCUAAGAACAAUAAAUAAAAUUAUUGCCUCCUUUAGUUAAGAUCAUAAAGUAGCAUGUGCAGAGCUUCUUCUAGAGACACACACGCCUACAUUGUCCAACAAUGCCCAUGGAUUUGUUACCAUGAAACAACAGGCUGCUAACGAUGCCCAUGGAAUUGCCUAUAUUUUUAAUUAUAUAAUAUUAAAAGUCCCUCUUUUUACGUAAUAAUUAAAUAAUUUAAAAUCAUAAUAAUUAAUUUUUUAAUUAAAUAAGACUUUUAGAUAUAAUAUAAUCAAACUAUACUAAAUUAUGUAAAAAAAUAAUUUAUUCAAUCAUAAAAACUAACUAACAUCAAGCUAUUAUACACGAGAAUAAGCCCGACAAUACGAAUUGCUUCACUAUUAAAAUAACAAUAGUAAUAUAAGAAAAAAAAAUAUUUAUAAUAGUAAGUGUAUAUAUUAAGGCCUGUUUAUUUUUUAUUUUAAAAGUGUUUUUAAAAAAAAUUGAAAUUUUUUUAUUUUUUUCUUUACUUCACAUUAAUAUUUUUUAAUAUAAAAAAAAAUUUAAAUAAAAAAUAUUAUUUUAAUAUAUUUCUAAAUAAAAAUUAUUUUAAAAAAUAAUCAUAAACUGACGGCUAAAUCAUUCUUGCUGCCUCAUCUUUCUGUUUAUCUCCCCAAUCCAAGUGGAAUAAGUACUCGUAUUUACUAUUUACUGUUUACUGUUUACUGUUUAUCUCCACGAUACAAGUGAAACAAGAAUACAAGCGGAUAGACGCGAGUGUAAGGUGGAAUGUAAAGCGCGUGUGAGAGUAUCACAGUAGGAGACAAAGCCUUUCCAAGAACUGUCAGUGAAACGGAUCAAAAUUCAUUGCUUUCUAUUCUUUUUUAUCGUUUUUUUUUUUUUUUACCUCAGAGACGGAGAGAGAGAAAAGAGCCCAUAGAUUUGGUUCGGUUUCUGCUUUGAAAACCAUUUGAUCAGUUGGAUUGUUUGUGUCCUAACUUGGUAACUAGCCCAACCAUAGGUCUUGGUUAGGUCUGGCUUCGCUUUCAACACUGCACCUCUUACCAGUCGUACCAAGUUGUUUUUGCAGUCAUGCCCCCAUACUUUCCCUUUUCUUAAAACUAAUCACUGAUGAUGUUUUCUACUUUUAUGUAUACUUUUUUUUUUUAGUAAGGGUGUCCGGGCCAGCUUGCAUGUACUUCGACUAAUCUCAUGGGUCUUGAAAUUAAUAACCAUGUAAGCCUGCAGUAGCCAUUAUAUGAGCAACCACAGGGCUCAAAGCCUGAGACCACAGAGAAAGCAAAUCUCUUGAUCCUAAACUCUUACCACUAGGGCACCAUCUAAAUAGUUUGUAUACAUUUUUUAUUAUCAUGGUUUGUGCUUGCAUGUUGCCAUUUUGUUCUACUCUUUGUUUUUGUUCACAAGAUUUGGAAUGAAUAAUCUAAUUCAGGGAAUUAAUCCAAUUCAAUUUCCGUGGAAGUCCUAUAUAAAGGGAAAAAAUCCUGUUAAUUCCGUUAUUGAAUAUUGGUAUGACAAGGAGGAAUCAAUAUACUGGAGAGAUUUUCUUUAUUAUAUAGUAAUAAAUUCAAUGUUCUAAACUAAUACAUGGAGAUUGAAUGUUUUUUUUCCUUCAAUGCAUUGGAAAGAAUUAAUAAAUACCAUGAUAAAAUAAAAGAGAUCAAUUGUUUGUAUAAAAUGAAUAAAACAACAAUCUAAAUUAAUUUUAUAUGAAUUUUUUAAAAUGAUUUUAAAAAAAAUCAAUCUCAUGUGAUAAAAUAACAACCAAUAUAUAUUUGUAUAAAAUUUUAUAUGAUUUUUUAAAUUAAUUUUGCGUUAGAGAAGGCCAAAUUAUUUUUUCUCGACAUGAACAUUAAAAAUUAAUUGUCCAUAACCAUGUUAAUAUUUAAUGACCUAAAAUACUAAAACAGAAGAAAUCUAAAACAUUCUUCUCUAUAUGUAAAUAAUCAAAUGUGUAAGGAGUCUAGAGGAAAGUCCAAAUUAAAAUAUCCUAAACCCCUCGAAAUAUCGCGAAAUAUCGAACACCCCCUUCCUCCCCUUCCUUCCCUAUAAAUACAUCGCUAGAGUGAAGUUAGGUUUGCCAAACUCGAUAGAAAAACAGUUUUCUUUAUUUCCCUACAAUCUUCUCCUCAUCUCUCUUUACUGCAACCCCUAAGAACAGAACAACCACCAUCAAAAUGGCGGCCAUGGCCACUGGAUCUUCUAGAAGAACCUCGAGCGGUCCGGUUAUUCGCUCUCUCUCUCCAUCCGGUAGAUUCCACCAGCACUUCUCCAGAUCUCCGUCAGCUUCCGCCUCCUCCAGCCCCUUCGCUUACUCAAGUUCAAGUUUCAUGUCUCGCUCAUCAACUUUCUUCACCAGAUCCUCAUCGCCUACACGGGUUAACAUGUACGGGCACUCCACACCGUCGCCUUCUUCAUCCGUCCGCUUAAAUGCCGUCUCUCCUAACCGCUCAAUCUCCACCGUCAAUCCUUCUCGGAGCCACAACCAUCAGGUAGUGAGAAAACAGAGCACUCCUAAACGGACUUGCAUGUGUUCGCCGUCUACACAUCCAGGCUCUUUCCGGUGCAGCCUCCAUAAAGGCACGGGGUUUGGCAGUUCUACCUCAUCAAGUAAUUACUCUUCAAACAACAAUCGGCUGAAUGCGAGAAGAUCUGCCAUGACCAAUUCGCUAGUGAGAAUCGGCGGCGUGGAAGGUGAUUUGGUGAGAAGAGCCUUGGCCUCUUUGAUCCGGCCGUCUUCUCACCAACAACGCCGGCGUACAGCAUUCCAGUCCCGACCGAGCCGGCUUUCCGUCAUGUCAAAAGCUGAGUCUUAAGGGUAUGUUGGUCACUUCAAGUUUUUAUUUGCUUGCUCACCCGACGAGGACUGGACUCAGAUUGCAGUGGUGGCGCGUGGAAAUCGGGACGGAAAGUUUUUUUAUCGGAAUCCGGUGACGUAACACAAUUCGACGACAGGACUUUUUGAAUAUAUAGAUACAUAACACAUGGCUUUUGAGUGUGUAUAGUUAUCAAAGCUAUAUUAUUCAGUUGCAAAAUCAAGUCAUUUUUAAGGACUUCAAAAUUCUAACCAACAAAAAUUAACAAAUAACCAACUCUAAUCUAACUUGAAAAUUAACUAAACUAAGUAAUCCGUUAAUCAGAAUUUGUGGAUUUCAUCAAACCAUGUCAAUUUCCCAGCUGUGAGUGGAUUUUUCCGUUUGGACUCACGUUUUCUGUGAACUCCGUGUAGGGGUUUUUGUGCUGUGCGCGUGUUGUUUACGCCCAUGAUCCAUCCGUUCACCGUAUUCGUUUAUGUGGUUUAUUUUUCUUGUCGAGGUAAGGGUGUUUUUUAUUGGUUAACUUUGCUGCUUCUUUUUUUAUUUUUUUUAUUUGCAGGUGUGCAUUUUCACUUGCCGGGAAAUUGAAGUGUUUAUAUUUGAGCUGGAAAUUAAAAGUUUGAGAAAUUAUACUGGACAAGGACAAACCUUUGCUCUGCUUGGAUUGGAGAACAUUAUUAAUGAUAAUAAUAAUAAUAAAAUUGAAGUGGGUGAUUAAUAUAUUCAAUUAAUAAUGGAAAUGACGUGAUAUUAUUUGGUCACUUGAUAGGAGAAAUUUAAAUUAAAUAAUUAUAUCAUAAAAUGCAGAUUCAUUAAUUUAUGAAAAAAAAGAUAUUGAGAUUUUUUCUCAAUGAAUAUUAGAAGAAAUUCUUGCUUGGAAAUUAAGUCUUUUGAGGAAAUGGAAUUAUUGUGAACAAUUGCGUUUGGCUAAAGUACCAUAUAAUUACGCGCUGAGAAAUAAGAAAAGGGCUGAGAAGAAAACUGAAAUGGAGAAAAAGGAAAUGCAAGCUUGAAAAUGGAGGGGAAAAACGGAGAAAAAAUGACAGUAUAUUUCAUGUAAAUAAUCUGCUAACGUAAGAUUAAAAAGAAAAAUGAAAAUUGCAGAAGAAUUCGUGCAAAUUAAAAUCACAGAAAAACGAAAAAUACGUUGAAGAACAUUUCUUUUUUUGUGGGAAUACAUUAAUAACAAUUCUAUAUUAAACAGCUGUUAGGUGAAUUCUGGUCCUGGUGACAAUAUGCAUUAUAUUUUUGAAAAAUAUUUUUUAAUUAAAAUACUUUUUAUUAUGUUAUCGACACAUAAAAAUAAUUAAAAAAAUACAUAAAAAUAAUAAGCUAAACAUAAGUCUAGACUCAAAAUGCUACAUCCCUAAAAAAAAACAUAGCUUCAUGGAAGGUCUAUGGAUUAUCUUUAACAUUUAAUUACGGGUGUCAUUUUUAAUAUUGUAUUUCUAUCACCUUAACUAAAAAUACAAUAGAAUUAAUAUAAAUUAAUUUUAAUCUAUGUGUUUUUUCAUUCUAACUAUUUGAUAUUUUUUAGGUUCACUUAAACCUAUUAUUUAUAAGUUUUUAUGUUUUUCACUUGAGUUAGGAAUCAUUACUCUUAGAUCUGGUUUCUGUACAUUUGAAUCACUUAUGAAUUUAUUUUUGAUAAAUUCAAUACAUAUAUAUUCAACAAUUACAUUAGUUUCUAAAUCCAAAAGCCUAUAAACCUUUAAAAUUUGUGCAUAACCAACAAAAACACUAUUAAGACCCUUGGAUUCUUUUUUUUAUAUAUAUAUAAAAAACUUUAUAAAAAGCUACACACUCCCACAUUUUAAAAUAUUUCAAAUUUGAUUUUCUACUAUUUCAUGCUUCUUAGAGAGAAAUAUUUAAUUUUUUUAGAAGAUACUCUACUAUGAAUAUGACAUUCAAUAUGACAUCCAAUAAGUAAAAGUUUCACCCCAUAAAUUAUUUAGUAAAUUAGUAUUUAAAAACGUGGUUUUUUUGUGUGUUUAAAUACUUAUAAACACAUUCAAUUAAAUAAAAUUGAUAAUUAUUUAUGUAAAUAAAUAAAUAAAAUCGUUAACAAUAACUAAAAGUAAAAUUAAAAAAAUUAAAAGUUAAAUGUAAAACAUAUUAUUUCCCCUAUGCUAAAAAGACACAUGUAUUUCCCAUAUGCUAACACGCGAGGCCCAUAUUCUUGCAGUGUAUUGAUUUAAAAAUUCAUUAUUAAGGUCAAAACAUUCAAAUUAUCUUUAAUGAUUAUGAAAUUAAUAAUAAUAAAAAAAACAAUGUGAAAAGAUGAAAUCUCUCCUCAACACAUGCCUUAAUUUUUUACUAUUCAAAAGGGCAUAAAAGUUAUUUUUCUGUUUUGUAAAAUAACAUAAAGACAAAAAUACACUUGGCCAAUAGUUUUUUUUUUUUUUAAUAUGGUGGUAAAUAAGUUGUUUUAAUUCAAAAAAAGUUGGAAAGAUGAAAAUAACCCUUCAUUAAUGGCUGGUUGAUCUUUUGAAAAUACCAAAUCCUCCUCAAAAUCAAGAUCAAGGCUCUCUAUAUUUUUUUUUUCAAAGGACAAAAUUAAUUAUUAAGAGCAAAAAGUUUAAACUAUCAGAAUUAAUAAAAAAAUUCAUAUGAAAAGAUGAAAUCACCCUAAAUACAUGCCUUAAUUUUGUACUAUUCUAAGGGCAUAAAAAUUAUUAUUUUUAUUUUGUAAAAAAACAAAAAAACAGAAAUACACCUUAUCAACAAUUGUUUUUUAAUGAGGGGUAAAUUUGUUGUUUUAAUGUUCAAAAAAAGUUGGAAAAAUGAAAAUAAUCCUUGAUAAUCCAGGUUUAUCAUUAGAAAAGAUCAAAUUAUCCUCAAAAUCAAAGUUUUUUAAUUUUUUUUUCAAAGGAUAAAAUUGUAAUUUAGUUGUCAUAAUGAUUUUUUUUUCGGUGUCUAUAUGCAAAAACCGAACCAGAUCGACUUUUUUAAAGUUUUCUAACCUGUUUUUAUUGGUUUGAUCUCUCAAACCGGUUUUUUUAAUUAGUUUUAAAUCAAUUUUAGAUUACCCGGUUAUUUUGCUCUGGUAUUAUAGUGGGACUCGUUACUAUGAACCCCAUUGUCGCCUCCGAGAUACACACAAACCGCUUCGACUUUCUGGGUGAAAAGAUUUUCUAUAACUGGUCUGUCUCUACUCAAACAAAACUUCGAAAGAUAAAAAAAAAGCUUUGAAUGAUACCUCUCAUGCCCAUCAAUCUACAGUGCAGACCAUACGGAGGACUGCCUCGAAAACAGCUCCUGGGAAGAUAAGGUUUUGAAAAAGAUAGGUGGGGGUGGGUGCCGAGGGAAGGAGGAAGGCAAUGGCAGCUACUGAAUUUUUGGAUGAUUGUCGUUGUCACAAGACUUGUACAGUUGUACUAGAAGAGGUCAAACAAACAAAGAAAUGAAAUCCCACUCUGUAUAAAUCAUUAGCUAUGGAUUGAGAAAUCAGAGAAAAUAUUGUAAAAAUUACGUGUAUCGUCCAUGUAUGACAAGUAGUUUGAUGUCAUCUCAUACUAUAAAAAAAAGUCUUCUUGCUUGCAGAUGAGGUUUUAUCUUGUAAUCGUAAUCAGGGAGAGAAAAAUAUCAUUUAGACAGAUUAAAGAAGAAGGGUUGUGGGGGAUAAGGAGAUGGAUGAUGAUGAUGAGUGAUGCCUACUGAAAGAAAAUGUAACAUGGUUGACAAUGUCAGAGCUUUAUUUAAAACCAAAAUUAAAAUGUAAAUCUACUUGUCUCUGGGUUUAGCAUGUGUUUAAAAACUGUUUUUUUAACAUGAUUAGAGAAAACGCGGUUGAAAUUAUAUUUUAUAAAAUUUUAAUAUAUUUUUUUAAUAAAAUAUAAUUUGAAAAACAAUUAUUACCACGUUCUUGGAUAACCCUCAAGGUGGUUAAUGAUCUCCAAACUAUAAUCCAAGAAAUAUACCCUUACCUAAAUCCUUGCUCAGUUGCAUCUAUAUGAGAGGUUGUAAGAAAUUUAAAGAAUUUUUUUAUUGAAUCUGUCAUAAACUACAAUUCCAGCAAACAAUUUAAUAUUCCAAAUUGUUGAGCAAGAGAAAAAGCCAUGGUUAGGUGCUCAGAUUUGAGAGAGAAUAUAUAAUUUGAAAAGGAGGAAACCACCUGCUCAUACAAUUGGAUUCAAAAUGUCCAGACGAAGAGGUAAGAUUUAACCCUUUAUCUGUUCCAUUUGCUGGUGGCACCCACACUGGGCCUCCUCCCAUACAAAAACACUCAAAAUGGGGAGACCAAAAGCAGCCCACAUGAUUGAAAAGACACGUCUUGAAUGGGUUAUAGCUGUGAGGGGUCACGCCAGCACUAGGGACCAUUGCCUCCAUUUUCUCAUAAAAUUAAUACACAGCAUGGAGAGCCUCUAGCAAUCUAAUUUAAAGUCACACCAAUCCUCUUGAACAUUAUCUUCUAGAUUCCUGCGUUUGUCACGGAGAAAAAAAUAUGUUUUUUUUUAAUAUUUCAUAUCAAUUCUAGAAAAAGUUUGUAAUGAAAAUGCGUGGCUGGGAGCUGUAGGUCCAUCUUACAUGUAAGAUUCUCACCGAGAUUAUAUUUACUAAUCCUUGCAAGAACAGAAAUCCAAUCCUUUGAAAUCUUGUGCACUUUCCCAUCAAACUGAGAAUCCGAAGAUGAAAGGAAAAGAAAAGGGAUGAGUCAGAUAUCUGAGUAGCUGCUGACUCAGGAACUGGUGUCUGUUUGGACGACAGACAAAAUGUACUGCCCAUGGUGGAAAAUGGGUUACCCUAGGAGAAUUUUAGAGUGUAGUUCAUUAGAGCUUCCAUGAUAGAGAGUAGGCCCUUGUUAGGAUGUUGUCAUCUUCCUCCAUGGCUGUUCACAGCACAUGUGCAUGUACCAGCCUCGGAGGUGUUGUAUUGAUGAUGUCGAUAAGGAUAAGGAUAGAUGUCGAUUCUACAUUCGUGUGCUUACACCCUUUUUUUUUGUGCAUUAGGGCUGCUUCUAGCAAAAUGCAACUAAUGUUCCAAAGUCCAUGUACGUACACAGUUUUUUAAUUUAUUUAUUUUUGUUUAAUAUGACAUGACAUAUAAAACUAUUUGUUUUUUUAUUUUAAUUUUUUUUUAAAUUAAAAUUUUAUAUAUUUUUUUAUGUUUCAGAUAUUUUGAUGUGUUGAUAUUAAAAAUAAAUUUUUAAAAAUAAAAAAAAUAUCAUUUUUAAAUAUUUUCAAAUUAAAAACAUUUUAAAAAAUAACUAUUAUUAUAAUUUCAAACAUAUCUUAUAAAAAUAUAAUUGUAGAACGGCUAGGAAGCUGAUUCUAAAAUCAACAUGAAACAUUAGAUUUUUGGGUUAAUUAGAAGUUUAUCGAAUUGUAGGUUAAUCAUUUUAUUAAAACAAUGAUAUCUUUUUUUUGAGAAUUCUUGAUUCUCACUUGAUCGAUUUUAAAUUUGAUUUGAUGGAGCUAAUUAGAUUAUAUCAUAUAAAUAUCUUCUCUGAUUUAAUGAAAAAUCAAGCCUAGAUCUUUUUUAAAUCAACCCACAAAAUCACCAAUAAAUGAUAUGGAACUAAAGUGGUAGUGUGACACACUUCCACCAAGGCUAAUGCAACUUUACGCAGCUGACUUUUCUUUCAGUGAGGAUUGAUCUCUGCAUUUGUCUUUUUCCAGAAGAAGAUUGGUUCAUGCUUAUUCUAACAUCAAUUGGCGUCAAAAUCAUUCAAGGGAGAAAAAGGACGGAGAAAUCUCAACGCCACCUCCAAUAAUAAUGAUAAUGAAAAAAAAAGGAAGGCCCAGUCAUCAAAUCCAAACUGCCGGUGGCUGUAUCAGGCUACAGAUAAGAAUUCAUCAAAUUGUAGAGGGUUUGGCAAGCUAGUCGUAGCCACCAUCGCCGUUAUUUGCACUUCGGUGACAUAUAGGUUAGCAUGGUCGGAAAUAGGUGCCGGUUUAUUGAUAAUGGUUGACGUAUUUCAUUUCUCAGGCAUACUGCUUAGCAAUUUAUACUGUCAUUCUGAUGAAUUUUUAUUCGCCGUGUCCUUAUAAUUCCAGUUCUCUGUGGAGACAUGAGACCUUGAACGUAUUUCUUCUAGUGAAGUAAUAAACAAAAGCUAGACGCACCCAUUUGGGUGUACUGACAGUAUUGAUUGAUUGUCUAAAAAAUUGUUGGAAAAGGUUUUUAGUAUAUGUUUGAUAAUAUAGUUAAAAAUGUAAUUUCUAUUUUAAUGAUUUUGAUAUAUAUAUAUAAAAGAAGUUCAAAUGAUGUUUUUUCAAUAUACUUUUAAAUUAUAAUUCUAAUCCAAAAAAGAAAAUUACAUGAAUCAAAAUCAAAUUAUUUAACCUAAAAUAACAUACGAUAACAUAUGAUAGUUUAAGGCUGAAUCAUAAGCGAGUUGGUGGGUUAAUUAAACCGAGUUUAAAAUUCUUUUUAAUUUUUUUUAAAAUUAAAUCAAAUUUUAACUAAAUUUAAUUUAUUCAUUAAUUUGUUUGAAUUUAACCAUGUAAACUCUUUUUUUUUUUUGUUAUUAUUAUUUUUAACCUAACUAAGCAAAGUUCUGGAUUUACCAUCUCGCAUAUCAAUCAAUCAACCGUAAAAUCAAACCGACUUUAAUGACACUAAUCAAGAUUUUCUGGAGGCCGUCAAGAAGUAAAAACAACGUUUAGGACUUAGUGUCGAAAUGGCCUUGGACUCUUGGUGGAAGGCUCAGAAAGCACGGGCCUUGGGAGAUCACCAAUCUCUAACUCCUUUCGGCGAGCUCGAUAUCUAGCAUGGGUAGCAGAGUGCACCAUGUUAAUAAGAACUAUGAAGCUCUAGCCCAUGUUUCUGGGCCAACACCAGAAAUGAUGGGAAAUUUUAGCCUCUUUGAUUAUAGCCCUCCUUCAGUUUAAGGCGUUAAGAAGAAGCUAUCCAGUCCUUUUCUGCCCGGAUCAAGUGCUGUAUCGUUGCUUCUGGAGAAGGAUACGCAGAGGGUCUAUAAACAGACUAACAGAGUGUGUGAUAACCCUCUCGCAAAAUCAGCCUUAACUAGCAACCCCUUUCUUCAAAAACUCUUUUUCAAAAAACUCUUAUUCUUUGAAAAAGUAGACUUUUCCAUCGAUAAAACCCAAGCAGUUUCUAGCAAGGGAAAGAAAAAUACACAAUCCAGCAGUCCUUGACAAGAAGGCUUGCAUUGCUUUCUGUCAAAAAGAACAAAAGAGCACUGCGUUGAAUGUAGCUGUUGUAUUAUUGGGUCAGUGUAGGCCUACAGAUGCUUGGGCUACUCUUAGCUUUUAGUCAUUGGGCAGCCAAGUUUCAGGGGUAGGCUUGGUUAAGCAUGUCUAUGUUCUUUCCUCUUAGGCUUAUGGUGAAAAUGGUUCUAUCUUUUGAUCUUCAAUUGGGGGGGCGUUUGUUUUUGCUCCGGUCAUGGUUCUAUCUUUCUAGUUUGGUAUGGUUUAGUAUUUUCAUAAAUUCAAGGGUAGUAUUUGGGAAUUGAGAGGGUGGUUAUAGUUAUUUUUAAAGUAUUUUUUUAUUUAAAAAUGUAUUAAAAUAUUAUAUUUUUUAUUUUUUAAAAUUUAUUUUUGAUAUUAUUAUAUUAUUUUUUUUAAAAAAAUAAAUUUUAAUAAAUCUCCUUUUAUAAUAGAAUAGGUUGUGUUUUGAUAUACCAACUAUUUUAUUGGUUAUAAAAAAAGGGUGUCGAUCAAAAUAUUUUUUUAGAGUAAAUUGUUGCGUAAAGUUCUCAAUAUAUAUAUAUAUAUAUAUGCUAAGUCUGUGGAACCUUAAUUCUUAAAAACACACACACAAAAAUAAAAGAAGUUGCAAAAGUAUACAUAAGAUAUAGGAAAAAGCAGAAAUGGUUAUCUUUUAAUUAAAAAAACAGAAAACACAUUUUUAAUGUUAAAAUGCAAUAUUUUUAAAUUAAGAAAAAUUAAAAUAACUAGUUUUGAAAAUUUUAAAAUAUUAUGCUGAGUUUAGAAAACAUAUUUUUAAAAUUCCUUACCGUUUUUCUUUAUAAUGUUUUAAUCUUUUUUCAAAUAAAAAAACUAAAUGAUGAAUAAUAUUGUAUUUUUUAUGUACAGUAUUUUUUAACAAUGAAAAUUUUAAAUUUUUUUUAAAUAUUUUUCAUAAAUUUAUUUUUUAAAUAUAAAUAUAAUGUAAGAGACUUUUUUGAAUUAACAUGUACAAUUUUUUUUAUCAUAAUUUUUAAUUUAAUUUAAAUAAAAUUUAUAUUUUAUAAUUUAAUUAUCAGAAAUAUAAAAUAUUAAGAUAAUUAUCUUAUGUUAUAUUUUUUAUUUUAUAAUAAAUAAUUAUAAUUUCUAUUCAUUCUUAUUUUUCCCGUAUAAAAAAAUUAUUUUUCAUUCUUGACAAAGCCCUAAAAAAACACCCAAUUUUCCUCUUUUCCCUUCAAUUUUUUACCCUUUUCUUUCCUUCUUCUCUUCUGUUUUCGGUCUUUCCUUUCAUCCUUCCCUUUUCCUUACCCUAGCUGACCAGCCUCCCUUCCCACCACCGCUGGUUGAACUCCAAUCCCCAUCAACAGCACCUCGCCGGAAAACGGAAACUCUCACUCCUACACCGACCCAUAAAUAAACAUGGUUUCAGCCCUCCCUCGUCUCCACCUCAGCCAGCCACAACAACCACUGAACUAACCACCACAACGACCGCCGAACCGAACCAGCAACCCACGCCCCUAGCUCGCCAUCCCCCCCCCCCUAUCUUCAUCUCCUUCUCCUUCUCUUUUAAUUUUUCGUAAAAACCUAAUCCGAACAACCAUUCCAUCGCCACCCCUCCAUUCAUCCUCUUUUCCAUACCGUAAACGACCCCGACAGCCACUGCGCCAGCAACGUUCCCUCGAGCCGAUCUCCUCAACCAAAGUGGGCAAAGGUGGAGAAGAAGAAGGCGCAGCUGAUCUGACAGGUAAGCUCCUGUCAUUUAAUGCCUUUAUGUCUUUUUGAUAAACCUAAAUGGAUUCGCAUUCAUAGCUAAAAGAGGCAGAAUAAGCCACUUGAAAAGAAGAAGAUAUAAAAGAUUUGGAAAAGGAAGCCAAGGAAAGCAUGAAACAAGACCUUUUCAUGCCCAGAAAAGAUCACCAUAAGCUUAAAUAGAGCUUGAUAGCUUAAAAAACAACAAACCAAUACCAUAAGUAAGUGGAUAGCAUAGUAGCAAUUCAAUCCAACGUUAGCAACAUCAUAAGAGGGUGAGACGCUAGUGCAAUAGAUAGGAUAUCCAAAAUAGCGCAGCAAAAGAUCAAUCUUCUGAGCCCAGGACAGCAGCUCGCUAGGAAUCUUAGUUUCUUGAGCAAAAAAAUUAAUGCUUUAUCAAAGACCAUCUAAGCCAAACCACUAGAACCUCUAAUCUAGACACCUUUUGAUUCCCUAAAGAAUCUGCCACUCCAUUCGCUUCCUAAUUGGCAUGGACAAUGGUUUUACAAACUCUUUUUUCAGUCACCUAAUGCCUUUUGAGGAGGUAAUUUUAAAAUAGGAUAUAGCCCAAUAAUGUUUAGAUCUGGACGGAAAUUUAGAGCUCAAACUUCAACUAUUUCAGCCAUGUAUGAAAUCAAUUCCCUAAAGCAAGAUUUAUUGACAACACCAUGAUGUAUUCUAGUUUUCCCAGCUAGUUUAGUCAUUUAUGACGUAAAUGUAUAUUUUAGUUCUUAAAUAAUCAAAGGCAAUGGAUUCUCAAAAUUGACAGCUUGUAAAAACCAAUCAGCUAGGUUUAAGCAAACCAGAAAGUGAUGUAUAAGGAAUGUGGAUUCUAGAGAGCAAGGACUAUAAUCAAUGGGGAACGGACCACACCAUCAGGCACUAUGGUAGUAGAUUUUAACCAUCUAAUACGUUCAAUUCUAUCUAAAUAACAGAUACAAUCUCCAAACAUUUGUUCAGAGGAUCCAAUCUCCUAGAUCUAGAGAUAUAAAACUCCCAUUUAAAUCUAGAAUCAUAUCCGAAAAAAUCAUGUCCUAACUACAAGAAAUAAACAAAAAGAUAGAGAAAAAUAUCAACAGUAUAAAAGAAAAUGAAGGAAAAACAAUAAAAAGGUUGUUGUCGAAUUUUUUUAGCUGAGUGUCCCAAACUAGAGUUUGAGAGGAAGUAUUUUGUCGAGAAAAGUGAGAGAAAUAGAUAGAACUACAGGUUAUUUGUUUUCAGUGAUAUAAGACAUGUCACAAUUUCGUACUAGAAGGAAAGAAAAAUCAAGCUGUAACACUAAAUGAAGUUGAAUCUAAUAGUAGAGCUCACAGCAAAGCUGCAAAGGAGAAUGAAAAUGGCUAUAGGAGUUUUAUGCCUUAUUAUUAAUGUAUACAGGUUUUGUAUUUUCUAUAAAUUUAUAGUUAAAUACUACACCUAUAGAGUUCAUGAUAAGAAUGCCUGUACACCAAAGGUUGUGUGAAUACCCCAUCGAAGUUUUUUUUAAAAUUACCUACCUUUAGAAAAAAAACUCGAUCUCUUGAUAGGAUAUAAACAGGACAACAUCUGCUACAGAACCCAGUAUAAAAAGCCUAAGGAUCAUGUUUAUUCUAUAAAACACAUGUCUUAGAAUUGAUGGAAAAGAAUUGAGUCAUUGAGAGGAGAAGAGACAAAGUGAAACCCUUAUCUUCGUGUAAACAAAACACGCUGAUCUGUAUUUGUCUCUCGAUUGUAGCUGCUUUACAUAUAGUGAUUAGCAUUAUAUUUUAACUAACAGGUAAGUAAUGAUUAAAUAAUGCAUGGUUUGGUUAGUGAGAUUUAGUUAUGGUUCAGGGUAUUUUUUUUUAAUGAGUUUUUUUUUUUUAAUUUUUUUUUGGCAGGGGUGCUUAAUUGGAGCUAUUGAAAAAUUGAAAAUGUUGUGUAGUGAUGGGGAAAAAAAGUUAUCCUUUUGUAGAUCAAUUAAAGAUGGAGAUUUAGUUAUUGUGUACGAGAAGAGAGAUGUGAUGAAAGCAGUGAAAGUAUGUGAGACAUCAGUGCUUCAAAACCGUUUUGGUGUUUUUAAACAUUCGGAUUGGAUUGGAAAGCCUUUUGGGUCCAAGGUUUUAAGUAAUAAAGGAGGUUUUGUUUACUUAUUAGCUCCAACUCCUGAAUUAUGGACUCUGGUUUUAAGCCACAGGACUCAGAUUCUGUAUAUUGCUGAUAUUUCUUUUCUCAUUACCUACUUGGAAAUUGUUCCUGGUUCUUUGGUGCUCGAGUCUGGAACUGGCAGUGGAUCUUUAACCACUUCUCUUGCUAGGGCUGUAGCUCCUACAGGACACGUAUAUACUUUUGAUUUCCAUCAACAAAGGGCUGCCUCUGCCAGGUAAACACGCCUCUUACCUUUUUUUCCAUCUUACAUCUCUCAAGUAAGUCUCAACUCAUCUCAUGUUAGGUUGUUUUUAUUACUUGUUCAAACAUGUGAACAAUUCAAACUUUAAAUAUAGAAUGAGGCAGCAAUAACAUUGUGUUUGUUUUGUACUUGAUAUCAUUGUAAUAAGAUUAAAGCUUUGCUUUUAUUUUUUUAAUUUGUUUAGGGAAGAUUUUCAAAGCACAGGAGUAGGCAGUUUAGUUACAGUGGGAGCAAGAGAUAUCCAAGGCGAGGGAUUUCCAGAUGAGUAUUCUGGGUUGGCUGAUUCCGUAUUUCUGGACCUACCCCAACCAUGGCUGGCCAUUCUGUCAGCUGGGAAAAUGUUGAAACAAGAUGGGACUUUGUGCUCUUUUUCACCUUGCAUUGAGCAAGUACAACGCACAUGUGAAGCUCUAAAAUCAAACUUUAGAGGUAAAUCUAUAGUAUUGUUGUCUAAACCUCUUUGGCUUUGUACCUAUUAAAAGAGAGUCUAGCAUCCAAUAAGAUGGAACCGUUCUUUAUUUGAUUUCUCAUACUGUCAUGGGUUCAUCAAUUCUUUAGAAAAGCACAUUUUAUUUGUUAAAAUUUCUGUAGUCUAUAUAGGAUAUUUCUCCGCCCUCUCUUUGCAGUGUUUGCAUGAUAAAAGUUUUUCUGUGUAUUUGUUCUGGUCAAGCAGUUUAUUAUAAGCUCAUCCAGCAUCUAUUUCGGUACACUAAUGUGUAUGUGUUGGCAUAUAGAUAUAAGGACAUUUGAGGUUCUCCUUCGGACAUUUGAAGUUCACGAAGGGAAAAUGGAUAGUUGCCAGGGCGAUGAAGGUGUUUCUGUUGGGUCUCCUCCGUACAAGAGGAGACAACGGUCAAGUGAAGGAAGCAUUGUGCAGGACAGCUCAAGUUCUCCUACAAUCAAGGCCAGGCCAUGUGCUGAUGCCAGGGGUCACACUGGCUAUUUGACAUUUUCAAGACUCAAAUGUCUCUCAUGAAGAAACUUCACGUGACAGGUUAGACAUCCAAAUGUUUAUAGCCCUUGUAUUUGAGAGGCUAGAAAAGUUUUGAAAGAGAAUUUUGCCCGAUGGCAUUUGGUCAACAAUUUUUAUUUUCCUUCCGACUUAAAAGAUAGGCAGCGAAUGCCUUAAAACAUUUCAUCGUGUUCGUGCUUUUGUAUCUCACUCUCUUGGCGAUUGGUAGGCCACUUGAUUCAAUCAAGGAUAGCAGUAACAGUAUAUUUUCUGUUUUUGGAAACAUUGCUGGUAUCAAACAGUGGCCUCUAGGUUUACUAAAAAUUUCGUAGAAUUUGGGUUCCUGGACCUCGGGCAGAAAUUUAGGGUGUGUUUCAUACUGUGCUAAUCUUUUGAAUUAUGGUUUGAAAAAAAUUGAUUCAGGAAAAUCAUUUAGUUGUGGCUGGAUGGAUAAAAUGUAUGGUUAAAACUAUAAUCGAAUAAAAAGCAGUUUUAAGGUGAUUCGUUAAAAUUGUUUUUGAAAGUGAUUUUAAUAAUAAAAUGAUAAACUUGUAGUAGUUUUGUAGUUUUUGAUUUAAAUUAUUAUAAAUUGAAUUAAAUUGUGAUGAUGACCAAAUUUUCAAAUGUUAUAUUAUAUUAUGAUUUUCUUCUAAUGUAGUUAUGUACACUAUAUGAAAAAUAUAAUAUAAACUUGGAUUGUAAAACAAAUAGUAAAAUGAUAAGUAAAAUUUUGUCUAUAUAUAUUUCAAGUAUGUUGAAAUAUAAGGUUUAAAUAAAAACUCAAAUAUAAUUCAAGUACUAAAGUACAUUUUUUAAAUAAAAUUUAAAAAUACAAUAUAAUUUUUCAUGACUAUAGAUUAUCAUUAACUAAUAAUUAAUAAAUUUAAAAUAAAAAAAUCAACUGGUAUGGUGUGUAAUGUGGUUAUGUCUGGCUCAUAAAAUUGCAAGGAAUAAGAAUUAUAGUAACUUUGGUCUAGAGCUUGAAUUGUCUGCGAGGAACAAGAAUUGAAUCGAGGGGGAAUGAAGAAGAUAUUAUGCAGUGGCCAAUGUAUAGCACCGUCUUCACCCUUUUUAGGCAUUCAUUUUUCACCGUCAUUUUUUGAUCCCAAAAAACCAAGGACUCCAUGUCUAGGGCUACUGACCCUUUUCAAUCCAGAGAAAAAAAACAAAUACUUGUAUAUUACUUGAAGGAAAUUCAUAAAUUGAAAAGAAAAUAAAAAAAGAACAGUAAUUGUAAAGUGAUCCUUAGCCAGUGCACAAAAAAAGAAAAAAGAAAAAAAAGAAAUACAGAAUAACUUACAAUUGCUGGCGGAGAGGAUGGUACUGUCUGGAACUUAUGAUGGCUAGGGAAGAGGACGCAGUCAACGAUAAAAACAAAAAGAGAGGGCUUUUGGUGAUGGUUGAUUGUUAAACGAUUGAGAGAAAGAAAUUAAGAGCCUAGGGUAAAUGUUGCAUGGGUGGCCAAUGCUGACGCUGAGGGCUGGAGGUGAAAAAUUGGUGCAGUAUAUAUACUUUAGUUGAAAUUGUAAAACUGAUUUUAAAAUUGUAAUUUUACCCGAAUUGAAUUGUAGUAUAAUUUUAAUGAUUUUUAAGUUUUUAAAAUGAUUUUACAUGUUUAACAUGUAUUAACUCAUAAAAUUAUAUAAUUUUAUGAAUCAACUCGUAAUUUUAAAUUUUAAAUAAACAUGCUAAGUUGAGUGAGAUUAACUUUUAUUCAAUUUAAUUUAAAAUCUAUCCAAUUAACUAAAUCACAAGUUUAAUAAAAAUGGGAGUAUUUGUUACCAUUAAAUUAAUUAACCCAUUGCUUUCACGAUGUAUGCGGAUGCAAUGCUAACAGUUGCGAAUUUCGUCGAAGAAUUAAUUGCCGAAGGAAGAAGACUUUUUUGUAUGUGGAAAAUUAUUCCAUUUGAAUGUGAAAUUGCAAUUCAAUCACCCAGAAAUCACGGCUGAUAGACAAGAUAAGAAGCAGUGUUUUUUUUUUUUUUCAAAGAUGGGACCGCCGUGUAAUGAACCGCAAAUGGCAACGUAGAGGGCGGUGUCCUAUAAAGAGCCCUUGGCUCCUAAAAUGUAUUCGAUACAAUAAAUUCAAGCAGAAACAGAGGAGGAAAUGGGGUUAAACAGGUUCUCUCUAGCAGUUGUGGUGAUGAUGAUGAUUAAUGCCAUGCUUCCAUUAGAAGGGUGUUUAGAGGAAGAAAGGAUUGCUCUUCUGCAAAUCAAGACUUCCAUGGUUGAUCCAAAUCAUAUGGGAUUUGGAUCCCCGCUACUCUCCUGGGGAGAGGAUGCUCUCUGUUGUAAUUGGGCAGGAGUUACCUGCGAUUCCAUUACAGGACGAGUUAUCGUAAUCUUUCUUUACAACGCAAGAGGUUGGUUCAUAGAUCCUUCAAAGGGAGUUUGGGACCGAAAUGCUUCAAUGGGAGAUUGGUACCUAAAUGCAACUAUGUUUCUUCCCUUCCAAGAACUCAAUAUUCUUGGCUUGAGUAAUAAUGAUAUAGCUGGCUGUGUUCCGAAUGAAGGUUUGCCUCUUAAUUAAAGAUUGCAUUUUUCGUAAUUUUAGCACGGAAAUUCAUAUACAUACAUACAUACAUACAUACAUAUUCUAAUUAAUCAAAUAAUCUUUUAGGUUUAAACCAUAACAACUAAUUACUAGAAAUCUUGCAUGCAGGUUUCGAAAGACUAUCAAGACUUACCAAAUUGGAGUCUCUCUAUUUAGGACUCAAUAACUUCAACAAUAGCAUUCUAUCAUCCUUCAAAGGCCUUUCUUCUCUUAAACAUCUAUAUCUUGAGAGUAACCAAUUGAAAGGAUCAAUAGAUAUCAAAGGUGAGAAACACACUCACAUAAAGUUAUGAAUCGAUACUAACAACGGGCCUAAAAGUUUCCUUAAUUUAUUGCUACUCAGAAUUUGAUUCAUUGAGCAAGCUACAGGAGCUAGACCUGAGCCGAAAUGAGAUCCAAAAUCUUGUGACCUCGACAGGUAUCACCUACUUAAAUCCUCCUACAUUUGAUUGCAUGUUUCUAUACCGCACGACCUAACCUUAUACUGCUUCAAAUAUAUAUAUAUUGAAAUUGAAGAUAAAACUGAAUAUUUAGAAAUUGAAUGCAAUUUAUUUUUGAAAUUAAUCACUAAUUGUUUGCUAUAAAUAUCAUGCAGGCUCUGGAGGACCAUCAAGGCUUAACAAAUUGGAGACUCUUGACUUAAGCUCAAAUAAAAUCAACGAUAGCACCUUAUCAUUUCUUGAAGGGCUUUCAUCUCUCAAACAUCUAUAUCUUAAUAACAACCAGUUGAAAGGAUCAAUAAAUAUGAAAGGUAAGGCUCACACAAACAUAUCACAUCAGAAACAUCAAAAUCUUGAUAACAACUUAUUGAAAGAAUCAAGAGAUUCGACUCGAAAUGACACACACAUAUUCUAUUCUUUGGUAUGUUAUAAUAUGAAGUUAUGAACCGAUCCCCAUAACCUUCAAUCUGAAAAUAACAGGCUUAAAAGUUUUAUGUUAACUAAUUAGUAUUGUUUGCUUAAUUUCUUGCUACUCAGAAUUUGAUUCAUUGAGCAUGUUGGUGGAGCUACGACUAGGAGGAAAUGAAAUCCAAAAUUUUGCGACCUCAACAGGUACCAAUUAAUUAAAGUGCCUCUUUCCAUUUCUUUUUUUUUUUUUUUUUCACUUUUAACUUUUGGCAUUGUCAUAAAGGGUAAAACCUGAAAAUUCUUCACCCAACUCUUUGCUUAUUCUAGAUUUUAAAUUAACCUCACCCAUGCCAUAAUACUAUAUAUAUCAUGCAGGUUUUGAAAGAUCACUGAGGCUUAACAAAUUGGAGAUUCUUGAAUUGAGCUUCAACAAAAUUAAUGACAGCACCCUAUCAUUCCUGGAAGGGCUUUCAUCUCUCAAACAUCUAAAUCUUGAUAACAACCAAUUGAAAGGAUCAAUAGACAUGAAAGGUUAGUUACAUACAUACAUACAUAUAUAUUUCUCUUUACAAGUGUUUAGUGAUAAGAUGAUUUUAUUUAAUUUUUUGUUUGUAAUUUUAGAAUAUAGUCUUGAAAUCACCUACCUAAUUGGUACUAAAUAAUCAAAACAGAUGUUAUACAUGAAAAUAAUAAAAGUCCCUUACAAUAAUUACUAUUUUUUCGUAGAAUAUUCUUAAUAAUUUAUACAUGGAAUAUUAGAAGAACUAAAAAAGAUAUAUAAGAAAAGAACAUUUAAUACAUGGAAUUAGGAUAUCUUUAAUAGUCUGUCAUUAAAAUAACAUGGACAUGGAUUAUUUUUAGAUGAAUAUAAGAAUAAGGAUUCUAUAUUUAUUUUUGGAUAUCAAUGAAAAAUAGUAUCUACAAAAGCGUUUUUUUUUUUUUUUAAUUUAAGCUAUUGUAUAAUAGUAAGCCUUUCUCCUAUUAUCUGUAAUUGAAGACGAGUCUGCUUAGCUCAAUUUAAAUAGAUUUUCUCAUUCUCCUCCGGUCUAUAUAAAUCUACCUAUCCAUAUGGUGAUAAUAAAACCCCAAAACAUUAAAGCGUAAUAAUGUCCUCCAAUCCUCAUGUGAAAGCUCUCCUUUAAAUUUAAAACUUACACAUUCUUAGACGGUGCGUGUGACCAACAAUUUUUCAAUUUGACCUUGACAACCUAAUUUUUUUUUUCUCCUUCUUGAUUCUGCAUCUGACCCUUCAAAGUUUCAAAACAGCCCUUCAAUUUUAUUUUUCAGAUUUGAUCAUUUGUUUUAUUUUAAAUAAUUCAUAGAAUUGAAUUUUUGUUUAAUUUUAUCCUCUGAUUUUUUUAUCUGUCAGAUUUAGUCAUAAUUCUUUUGAUUGCUAUUUUUUUAAUUACUUUUGUAAUUGAAUUUAUUUUUUAAUUGCAUCACUUAACAUUAUGUCAAGUUCGGUCCUUAUUCUUUUAAUUGAUAUUUGUUUUGUUUUAGAUCUUUUUUUAUGAAAUUUUUUUUUCAAUUUUAUCUUUCAACAUUUUGUUGAUCGAGAGUUUGACUUCAUGAUUUUUUCAAGUUUGCCUUCUAGGAGAUUAUUCUUGCCUUAGGACUCGAGUCACGAGUUUGGAAGGUUAACCCAGGUUGAUUCAGGUCUUUUUUUACAAUUAAUUUUUUCAAUUUCAUCCUUUUAUGCAUGAGAUUAUCCUGAUCUUAUGUGUCAAGUCACAAGUUUCAAGUUAACAUCAGUUGACCCAAUACAAUUUUGUUUCGUUUGAUUUAUCUGCUGUUGUUGCUUAUUUUUUCUUAUCAUAUUAUUAAAUCAAUAGAGCUUAUUAAAUCCAAUAAAGUCAAUGACCUGACUCUCAAAUUUCUCUUGCUUCUUUAAAAAUGUUAUCAUCAUCCAAGAAUCCCUUUUUUUUACGUCAUAAAAAAUUUGAUCCUUAUUCUUUUAAUUGAUAUUUGUUUUGUUUUUAGAUCGUUUUUUUAUUAAAAUUUUCCUUUUAAAUUUCAUCCAUUUGCAUUUUAUUGAUCGGGAUUUUGUUGAUCGAAAAUUUGGCUUCAUGAUUUUUUAGGUUUGCCUUUAUGAAAUAAUUAAUUCUGGUAUGAGGAUCUGGUAACGAGUUUAAAAAGUUAACUCGAGUUGACUUGGGUCUUUUUUUACAAUUGAUUUUUUUAUUCCAUCCUUCUGUUCAUGGGGUUACCCAGAUGUCAUAUGUCGGGUCGCAAAUUUCAUGGGUUAACCCAUGUUAACUCAGGCCAAUUUUGUUUUGUUAUAUUUAUUUGUUGCUAUUAAAUUAACUGAGCUUAUUAUAAAGUCAGUGAACUGACUCUCAAAUUUAUCUUUAUUUUAUACGCUUUCCUUGCCUAAGAAUCUUUUAUUAUUUACCUUAUAAAAAGUUUGUUCAACCCGCAAGUUAGAGCAGGACACCAAUCUAGUUUCUACUAUAUGUUGAAUAUAAAAAGAGCCUCCAUUCAUCCUAUGUUGCUCGCCUUCACACAUCCAUUCUGAAUUGAUCCUUAUAGGCUUCAAUUCCAAAACAAUACGCCCUAUAAUUUUGUACUAAUAAACUAGUUUUGGUUAACUUCUUACUACUUACAAAUUGAUUCUAUAAGCGUGUUGUAGAAUCUUGUAGUCUGCAUUAAAUUGUAUGCUGAAUUUAUUUUAACAUGGAUACUUUUCAGGCCUUUGUGAGUUAAAACAACUCCAGGAGCUUGAUAUCAGCUACAACGAUCUCAAUGGUCUGCCUUCUUGUCUCACAAAUUUAAACAACCUUCAAGUUUUAGAUAUCUCUUUCAACAACUUUUCUGGGAAUAUAUCCUUGAGCCGCAUUGGAAGUCUCACAUCCAUUCGAGAUCUAAAACUGUCAGACAAUCACUUCCAAAUACCAAUCUCACUUGGCCCAUUUUUUAACCUUUCAAACCUCAAGAAUUUGAAUGGUGACCAUAAUGAGAUAUACGAGUCAACAGAGCUGGUACACAAUUUGAUUCCAAGGUUCCAGUUACAGAGGCUUUCUUUGGCAUGUCAUGGAUUCGGUGGGACAUUUCCGAAAUUCCUUUACUAUCAGCAUGACCUUCAAUUUGUUGAUCUCUCACACAUCAAAAUAAUAGGAGAAUUUCCAAGCUGGUUGUUACAGAAUAACACAAAACUUGAAGCGCUUUAUUUGGUCAACAGUUCUCUUUCAGGAUCUUUGCAAUUACCAAAUGAUUCCCAUGUGAAUUUGUCACGUUUAGAUAUCUCAAGAAAUCACAUCCAAAAUCAAAUUCCCACUAAAAUUGGGGCAUAUUUCCCGUGGUUAGAGUUUUUAAACCUGUCUAGAAAUUAUUUCAGUGGUAGCAUUCCCUCUUCGAUAAGCAAUAUGAGCUCAUUGGGAGUCUUGGAUUUGUCCAAUAAUGGCUUGUCAGGCAACAUACCCGAGCAGUUGGUUGAAGGCUGUUUAUCAUUACGUGGUCUCGUGCUUUCAAAUAAUCAUUUGAAAGGCCAGUUUUUCUGGAGAAGUUUCAACUUAGCAUACUUGACCGACCUGAUAUUAAGUGGGAAUCAGUUAACAGGGAUUCUUCCAAAUAGCUUGUCUAAUGGUUCUAGAUUGGAAGCAUUGGAUGUCAGUCUCAACAAUUUAUCUGGUAAGAUACCGAGAUGGAUAGGGUAUAUGUCUUCUCUUCAAUAUUUAGACCUUUCAGAGAACAAUCUUUAUGGAAGUCUACCGUCCAGCUUUUGUUCUUCAAGGACGAUGACAGAAGUUUAUUUAUCUAAAAAUAAACUAGAAGGAUCACUGAUUGGUGCACUCGAUGGCUGCCUGUCGCUGAAUAGAUUAGAUCUGAGCCAUAAUUAUUUUGGAGGUGGCAUUCCCGAGUCAAUUGGUUCUUUGUUAGAGUUGAGCUUUCUUCUUUUAGGUUAUAAUAAUCUAGAAGGUAAAAUCCCAAGCCAACUCUGCAAACUAGAGAAAUUAAGCUUGAUUGAUCUUUCUCAUAAUCAUCUGUUCGGUCAUAUUCUUCCAUGCCUACAACCUACCAGCAAGUGGCAGAGGGAAAGGGAAACAUCUUUAAAUCCUUCAGGCAAUUCUCUAGGUCGUGAGAACAGGGGACCACAGAUAGUAUUUCCUGUUCCCGCCGUGGAAGACCCUUCUAUGAAUAAAUCUGUAGAGUUUACAACAAAGAGCAUAUCCUAUUCAUUCAAGGGAAUCAUCCUCAAGUACAUCUCCGGUAUCGAUCUCUCCUGCAACAAUUUGACAGGAGAGAUUCCUGUUGAGCUUGGAAACCUCAGCAACAUCCAGGUGUUGAAUCUAUCCCAUAAUAGUUUAACAGGUCCAAUACCACCUACAUUUUCAAACUUAAAGGAAAUUGAAAGCCUGGAUCUUUCCUACAACAACUUGAACGGGGAAAUUCCUCGUCAGCUUCUCGACUUAUACUUCCUAUCUGCUUUCAGUGUAGCCCACAAUAACUUAUCAGGCAAAACGCCAGAGAUGGUUGCACAAUUCUCAACAUUCAACAAGUCUUGCUAUGAGGGAAAUCCGUUGCUUUGUGGACCACCACUCGCCAGAAAUUGUACUAGAGCAUUACCGCCAUCACCGCUGCCAAGGUCUCAGACUCAUAAAAAAGAAGAAAAUGGCGUUAUUGAUAUGGAGGCUUUCAUUGUGACAUUUUCAGUGGCAUACAUCAUGGUCCUGUUGACAAUAGGUUCAGUUCUGUACAUAAACCCACGUUGGCGACGAGCAUGGUUUUACUUUAUUGGGGAGAGCAUCAAUAAUUGCUAUUACUUUCUUGUGGACAAUCUACCUGUGCCAGCCAGGUUCAGACGAUUUCAGCCUUGUGUCUAAAAUGGUAUUGACUUUGUGUAUUUUGUUAAGUGUUUACGUUUUAUUUCAUGAUUGAUCAAUAAAUCUGAACCCUUUCAUGGGCAAUUUGGAAAUCUCUGUUGCAGAUGUAUGGAAUUUGCAGACAUGUAGGCGAUUGACAAACUGAAUUUCGUUGGAUGAAGGUAAGAAAAUCUCCGCAAGUAAUAUUUUCGUUAUGUGCUUCUAGGACUUGCAUGGUGCUCAAUUGUCUAUGGAGCUAGAAACAAAGAAACAUCAAAGUUCAUAGUGGGACUGGUGCCUCCGGAAGCUCUGCCAAGGUCCGGGUCAAGAUUCAAAUGGUUUGAUGUACGCUUGAUAAUUCCAGAUUUCCAAUAUUUUUAGUAAUCAUGAUCAAAUCUAAGGAGUUGAAAUUUUAGAUUUGAAUUUUAUUUUCCCGUAGAGUAUCCAGGACAAAAGCUCAACAGCCAGAGUUCGUAUUUCCUUUGUUUCUUAUGAACAAAUGAAGCAUGCAGUAGAUCUUGCUCUUGUCUUUUCUUAAGAUGUGUACUAUAAGAGUAUCCAUUUACCGUAAUCAUGUUCGGGGACACUUCACAUUGCUAAUUAAAUUCACUUUACAUAUGAUUGAAGAAUUAAACUAAUGGAAAUCCAUCUUUCUUGUAGCUAAGGAACUCAAUCAACAAAUUAGCAUUCAAAUUCAAUUGUUAAAGCUGUAAGAUGUGAAUGUUCAUCACACUAAUUGGAACAUUUCGAUCUAUUUCAAAAACUAACCACACGAGACGAUUAAUGCAUGUAAUUUUUUUUUCCACUUAUAACUUGUUUUCUUUCAGCUUUAAAGUCAAAUAACAAAAGGGUGCUUAAAUGUUAAUUUUUGAAUAUAGUAAAAAUGUGAUAUAGUGUAACUAGAAAAUAUAAAAGUGUUUUUUUUCUUACAUCUUAAAAUUAUUUUGAAAAUGUUUGGUCAUUUACAAAAUAGAAAAUAACCUUUUUUAUUUUAUAUAGAAUUAUUAAUUAUAUCUUUAGAAUAGGAUCAAAUAUUUGAAGUUAUUAGCCAAUUACUCUAUGUUGCGGAUAUGAUUUGUAUCGUGAACAUAUUUUUUGAUAUCAUGAAAAAAAUUAAUUGAAAAUUAAAAAGUUGAUGUGUACCUUUAAUAAAAUAAAUUGAAAAUAUAUGAAUUAAUAAAUAAUAAAAAGAAUUGUUAAUACUAAUUAAAAACUAAAAUAAAAAAUUGAAAGAUAUUUGAUCUCAUGAGUGGAGUGCUCUUUGAAUUUUUUUUUAUUAUAUAAAAAGAAAUAGGUUUUUUUAAUAAUUUAAAUUUUAUAGAGAGAAUAUAGUUGUUAGUAUAAAUUCUCUUUUUAUUAUUAAUCUAUUUUAGAACAUGAUCAAGAAACGGUGAAUUCCCAAUUUUCUAUAACUAACUUUUAUGCUCAUAUUUUUAAAGUGAUAACUAGGUAUGACCGGUCAAGCUAAAUCCCAAAUUAUUGUCAUAAAUUUGAUGAUCCUUUUACCAUGAAUAUAAUAGUUAAGGGGAAAAAAUAGAAUGAAUGUUGUUUUUUCUAUUAUAUGAUGAACUUUUUAUAUAAAACUCUGAAUAUUAAUUAGGAUUUUUAUUUACCUCACCUAGGUGAUUAGUUUUUAUCUAUUUUUAUAUUUGGUGCUUGUUUAUUUUUACUUUUUAAAAGUGUUUUUGAAAAUAAAUUUUUUAUUUUUUUUAUUUUAAAUUGAUUUUUUUUUGUGUAUUUAGAUUUUUUUGAUGUUAAAAUAAAAUUUUAAAAAAUAAAAAUAAUAUUAUUUUAAUAUAUUUUUAAAUAAUAAAUAUUUUAAAAAUCAAUAGUGGCGUAAAUAGAAACCCGGUUAUUUUCACUAAGGCCCCGUUUGUUUGCUGGAAAGUAGUUUUCUUUUGGAAAGUGAAUUCCAGGAAAAGUGAAUUCCGGGAAAGUAUUUUCCGAUGUUUGGUAGUGUAAUGAAAAAUAAGUUGGAAAACACUUUCCAGUGUUUGGUUAUGUCAUGGAAAAUGAGCUGAAAAAUAACUUAUUAAUGUUUUAUUUUUCUCAAGUUUAUUACAAUAAUGAGGAACAAAUCUUACAAAUUAAAAAGUUGAAUGAGAAUGAAAUUGAAAAAAAAUAUAAUUUCAUAAAUUAUCUCAAAUAAAAUAAAUAAUAAUCAAAAUAAUAGAGAUCAAAUCUAAAAAAUUAAAAAAAAUAAAAGGUGAAUAAAUUAAAAUAAUAAUAAUUAACAUUUCAUAAAUUAUUUCAAAUAAAAUAAGUAACAAUCAAAAAAAUGAGGACCAAAUUUGACAGAUAAAAAAUUUCAAUAAAAAAAUGAUAAGAAAAACGCAAAUAGCAAUUAUAAAAAUAAGGACCAAAAUUAAUAUAAAAAUUAAAUUUUAAGAGAUGGAAUUGAAAAAUAAAUAUUCAAAACAAAUUAUAUAUAGCAAUCAAAAGUUUGAGGAUCAAAUUUGAUAUAAUCAGCAAAUAAUGACAUUUCUAACCGGAAAGUGUUUUCCGUCCAAAUUUUUCAGGAAAACACUUUCCUGAAAACCAAGCCAAAUUUUUCUUUGACUGGAAAGUGUUUUCCGUUGACCAACUUUUCUAAUGGCAAACAAACACAGGAAAGUUUGGAAAGUGGUUUCUCGGAAACCACUUUCCGGAAAACAAACACAGCCAAAAGGAAAAAUAUUUUUCUGGAAACCAAACCAAUUUUUUUUUUACUAAAAAGUGUUUUAUGUUGACCGAAAAAUAUUUCUGUUGACCAACUUUCAUAAUUACAAAUAAAAACAGAAAAAUUUUAAAAGUAAUUUUUUUAAAAGUAAAUGAUAUUUUUAUAGUGUUUUUGAAAAUAGUUUUUUGUUUUAAAUUGAUUUUUUCGUAUUUUUAGAUUUUUUUAUGUUAAAAUAAAACUUAAAAAAAUAAAAAUAAUAUUAUUUUAAUAUAUUUUUAAAUAAUAAAUAUUUUAAAAAUCAAUAGUGGCGUAAAUAGAAACCCGGUUAUUUUCACUAAAAUGUACCACGAAAUAAACAAAGGCGAAGGGAAGAGUGGAAGGGAAGCAACGUGAUAGGUAGAUAGGGGACACUCUAACGUGUUACCAUUGAAUUGAGGGACCUCUUGCUGCCACUGUUCUUGAUGUCCAUUGAUGCAAAUGCCGAAGAAAGAAGACUCUACUGUUCGUGGAGAAUUAUGACAUUUGAUGUGAUAUUGCAAUUAGCUCAUUUUCUCAGUUGACUCCAAGUCAAUGUCUGAAUCUCCUCUUUUAUGCCUCAUUCUUCUUCUCUUUCAUGAUAUUUGCAGGUGAGAAGCAUCCGCAGUUUCUUGGAAAAAGCCUUGUGGAUUCAUCUUUCCUGGUAAACCAGCUGGUAUGAAUAUUUUCCUUGAUGUUAACGUGAGUUGUAAUAGAACAACACAAUCUUAUCAAGAUUCAUUGAAUGUGUGUGGUAGAUCACGAUUCUAUUUUAGAACAUGAUAAAAAAAAGUCUAUAUUUCUAAAGUUAGAACUAGGUCUCACACGUCAUGUCUAAUCCUAAAUCAUUAUCCUGACCCUUUUAUCAUGAAUAUAAUCCAUGAAUCUAUUUUAGAACAUCAUCAAAAAAGGGUGAAUUCUCAAUUUUCAAUAACCAACGUUUUAGAUCGAGCGUGUUUGCCUAUAUUUCUACAGUGAGGACCAGGUCUCACACGACGUCAGGUUUUAUUUUAAAUCAUUAUCUUACUAUUGAUGACCAUUUUAUCAUGAAUAUAAUAAUUUAGGAAAAAAUUAAAGCUUAGGAUUAUUGUGAAUUCAAACAUUAAACUACUUAUAUUUGAUAAGAAAUACAAAAUAAAUGUUAUUUUUUCUAUUACAUAAUCAGUUUUUUAUAUAAAAUUCUGAAUACAAAUUAAAAUUUCUACUUGAUGGUUAAAAAUUAAUCUAAUUUUAUUGUUGCAAUUUGACAUGAUUAUAAACAUUAAAUUUAACCCAUUCUAUUUUACAUAAAUAAAUGAUAAGAUUGGGUGAAGAAUUAUUUGAUGUUUCCAUGGAACUUUGAAAGAAUAAUAAUAAAGAAUAACACUUUUGAGAGAUUAAGAUUAAUUUUCAAAUCAGACAUAAUCAAUUGAGAGAUUAAUACAAACUAAAAGAUGAUAAAUAAAUAACUACCAAUCAAUUUGAGACAAAUGCAAAAUGAUGCAAGUGGACGCUUGAAAAAUAGACCAAUGAAGAGAAGAGUAGAAGCAACGUGAUAGCUAUACAGGUGAGACUCAAUAAUGUGCGGUGAUAAUUAUUAUUUUUUUAAUUUUUUAUUUAGAAAUAUAUUAGAAUAAUAUUUUUUAUUUUUUAAAAAAUAUUUUUAAUAUUAAUACAUCAAAAAACAUAAAAAAAAUAAUUAAUUUAAAAUAAAUAAAUAAAUAAAAUUUAAAAUUUUUCAUUUUUUUUUAAAUGUAAAACGAAGAGGAUAUAUAGUCAAGCUCUUGGUGUCACUAUUAAUUAUUGAUGUCGAUUGAUGCAAAUGAUAACACUAGCGAAGAAUUAAAAGGCCAAUAAUUAUGCCAUUUGAUGUGAUAUUGCAACUGCCAAGACACCACGGCUGAUAGAUGUAGACAGCAGUAAUGAACAGGAAAUAUUUAAAAAAAUUAAAAUAUUUCAUGCCUUCACAAGCCUUGGUUUCAUUUUGUCAGUUGACUCCAAGUCAAUGUUUAAUUUUUUUUAUAAAAUAAAAUAAAAUAUAAUUUAAUUAAUUAAUUAAUAUAUAUGCAAGUUGAUUUGAAUAUUCACAUUGAUUAAAAAAUUAAUCAUAAUUCUCUUUAAAUAAAUUACUCCAAGAAAUUUCAAUGAACCGCUAAAAUAAGAAAGAAAAUAAAAAUGUUAAUAAUGGUAAAAAAGAUUUUAAGUUUUUUUUAAAAAAAAUUACUUAUUUCUUAGAUAUUAUAAAUUAAUUUAAGAGACCCUUUUUUUGAAACGUACUAACAAUCCAACACAAAGCCAUCUGAAAUAUUUACAAAUAGUUAUAACAUUUAACUUCAGAGAGAGUGGUUAUUUUUAGAAUAUUUUUUAUUUAAAAAUAUUAUAAAAUAAUAUUUUUAUUUUUUAAUAAAAUGUGUGUUAAAAUUCAACGACAAACACCCCUUACUCUCCUAUUGACUGUAGAGAUAGAAUGAAACUGCCAAAUAUAUAUAUAUAAAUAAACAUGAGGUGGGCUGUACCAACAUAAUCUCAUCAAGGCUUUUAAACCAUUUUAGAACAUGACGAAGAGACUGGUGAGAAAUCCCAGUUUUCCAUAACCAACUUUUAGAUAUAAUGCUAUAUUUCCAAAUUAAAGACCAAUAAUGUUAUAUAUUUUUAUACUUCGUUCACUAAAAUGUAAAAAAAUGAUUUUUUUUAAAUAACAAAAUGACAGUUCAACCUCAAACAAUUUCUUAAAUAAUAUAUAAUGUUAUAGAUUUAAUAUAAAACUAUUCAUAUAAUCUCAUUUAAUAUUUUAAUUUUUUAAAUAAUAUCAGAGUUAUUAAAUACAUUAUGAGAGUUAAUAUGGAGCAAGGUUUAGAUUCAGGGUAAGUCAGGAGAAUUAAUCCAAAUAUUUUUUUUUAAAAAAAAAACUUUAAAAUAACAUUAUUUUAAUUAAAAAAUAGAAAAAGAUCAAAGAAAUUUUUACCAAAUUUAAACUAAAAUUUACCAGAUUAAUCGAAUCAUAAGUACACCUGAGUUUUUAACUGCAUGUAACAAAAAUUCUAUAUAAUGGCCAUCGUUAGUUUGAUGACUGCCUGUGUAGAUUCUUGUGGAAAAGAUCAAAAUACUUUCUUUCUUGUCUUCACAGUGGUUUAGAAAAGAAACUUAAGGUUAACCGAGUUUUAUUUAAGAGUAAUCAUUUUACAUUGUUCUAAAACAAAAAACAAAAAUUGAAACUUCAUGGAAAUUGAUGGACUGAGUCACCUUCCAUAAAAGAUCCACUUGAUCAAAGAUGGGCCCGCCGGACGGCAAUGCAUGGUGCUCUCCCCUAUAAAGAGCCUUUGGCUCCUAGGAAGUAUUUGAUACAUUAAUUUCAAGCAGAAACAGAGGGGUACAAAUGGGAUUCAACAGGUUCUCUCUGCCAGCAGUGGCGGUGAUAAUGAUGAUUAAUGCCAUGCUUCUAUCACAAGGGUGUUUGGAGGAAGAACGAAUUGCUCUUUUGCAAAUCAAAACUUCCUUUGGUGACGACCCAAAUGACAUUUCAUCCCCGCUAUUCUCUUGGGGAAAAAAUGCCCUCUGUUGCAGCUGGGAAGGAGUUACCUGCAGCAAUUCCACUACAAGACGAGUCGUCGAAAUCCAUCUUUUCUUUGCAAGAGAUUGGUACUCAUCUAUGGGAGAUUGGUACCUAAAUGCAUCUAUAUUUCUUCCCUUCCAAGAACUCAAAGUUCUUGACUUGGGUGGAAAUGGCAUAGCUGGCUGUGUUGCGAAUGAAGGUUUGCCUCUUCAUUAAAGACUUCAUCUUUCAUGAUUUUAGCACGAAAAUAAACAUAUAUAAACUGAAAUCGAUUUAUUCUUUUAAUUAAUCAAAUAAUUUCUUUGGCUUUAUACCCUAACAACUAACUAGAAAUCUUACGUGCAUGCAGGUUUCGAAAGAUUAUCAAGGCUUAACAAAUUGGAGGCUCUUUAUUUGUUAAACAAUAACUUCAAUAAUAGUAUCCUAUCAUCCAUGAAAGGGCUUUCAUCUCUUAAAUAUCUAAAUCUUGAUUUCAACCGGUUGCAAGGAUCAAUAGACACGAAAGGUACCUAGACCCACACAAACACAUCAUCACAAUCAAUUGAAAAAGACUCGAAAUGUUAGACACACACAUGUUCUAUUUAUUCUUUGAUAUGAAGUUAUGAAUUGAUCCUUAUAAGUUUCAAUUCGAGAAUAACAAGCCUAAAAGUUUUAUAUUAAUUUUUCUCUUUUGUAUGAUUUUCUUAACUUAGAAUUUGAUUCAUUGAGGAACUUGAAGGAGCUAUUGCUGGCUGAAAAUGAGAUCCAAGAUUUUAUAACCUUAACAGGUAUCAAUUAAUUAGUGCCCAAUAUCCAUCUUACGUUUAAUAUUUCAAGUUUCAGAUUAAGUAUAUUUGUUCUCUUUAGUGCUUAUUUUGAUUUAAAUUUUAUUUUUAUUAUAUUUUAAUCCCAAAAAAAUAAGACAAGACAGGAAGGGAUAGGUAGGUCAUGUUCCUACCAUAAAAAAACCAAUCAUGAAUUUUUUUUUUUGUCUACGUGACCUAGGAAAACAUAUCUCUCUGUGCUAGAUAAAAAAAAAUCUAGUUGUGCCAAAGUGUGAAUAAUAUAUUAAUUAUACCAAACCUCUAUGUACCUUUAUUUAAAUCAAGCUACAUCACAAUACUACUUUACAUUUCGAGCCUGUUUGGUGUUAUUGUUGAAUUGUUAUUUUAUUAUUUUUUGAAUUUUUUUGAUUUAAAAAUAAAUUUUUAAAAAUAAAAAAAAUAUUUUGAUAUGUUUCAAAUAAAAAAAACAUUUUAAAACACAAUUUUUACAUACACACUCUCAAAUAGGUUAUGUGAUGAAUAAUUAUUUAGCUUGAUACCUGUUAUUUUUUUUUUUAAUUUCUAACUACACUUCAAAUAAUUAAUGAUUUUGACAUGAGUGAUAAUCAUGUAGUUGGUUUUCAAAUCAAAGACUUGUUUCUUAAUUAAAUUCUUUGAAGACAAAAAUGAAUAUUUAGGAUUUGAAAUGUAAUUGAUUUUUUUUAAAUUAAUUACUAACCGCUUGCUAUAAAUAUCAAGCAGGCUCUGAAGGACCAUCAAGACUUAACAAAUUGGAGACUCUUGAUUUAAGCUCAAAUUACCUCUACGAUAGCACCUUAUCAUUUUUCAAAGGGCUUUCAUCUCUUAAAUAUCUAUAUCUUGAUCACAACUGGCUGCAUGGAUCAAUAGACACGAAAGGUUACAUGCCUACAUAUAUUCCUUUAUAUAUAUAUAUAUAUAUUACUAGAUUUUUUUACAAGUGAUAAGAUGAUUUUAUUUUAUUUUUUGUUUGUAAUUUUAGAAUAUAGUCUCGAAACUACCUAGUUAAUUGGAAUUAAAUAAUCAAAACCAAUAUUAUACAUGAAAAUAAUUAAAGUCCCUUUUAAUAAUCACUACUAGCAACGCACUUCCACAACUACCAUACCAUCUGUUUUCUAUAAUAGUUUUAGUACUUUAUUAUUAGAACAAUAAGGAUAUGUAUUUUUAACAGUAUUUCUAAAAUUUAUUUGGUUUUGUUGUGCUUUCACAUAAAACACCUACUUUAAUUAAUUAUAAAAGAAGCAAGGAAUUACAUGAUUAUCUCGUAAUCAUCUUUUACAUGUUUUUUUUCUAGAAUAGCAUGCUUGCCUUUUCUAAAAACAAAUUCUUUAUCGAUUAUAAUAAUCUUUUACACUAUUUUUUUACUUUAUUAAUAUGAAUAACUUAUUUUCUUAAACUCAAAUUUACUCAAACGAUAGGAAUAAAUUAAGUUAAUAUUGGACUCGUAGCAUUUUUUUCAAACUAUUAGAAGAACUAAACAUGUAUACAAGAAAAGAAUAUUUAAUACAUGGAAUUAGGAAUCUUUAAUAGUAUAUUAUUAAAAUAAUAAGGAAAUGGAUUUUUUUUCUUUAGAUAAAUAUAUGAACAAGGAUAAUAUAUUUGUUUUUCAUAUCAAUGGAAAAUAAUCCUUAUUUUUUUGAUUUAUUAUUUUCGUUCUUCGUUCUUUUAUAAAAGUUUUGUUUGUUUUCAAUUUACUCAAUCAAUUACAAUUUGUCAAAUAUUUUGUUUUCAAUUCGGUCUUUAUUCUUUAAUUUCUAUUUUUUUACUUAGUUUUUUUGUUAAAAUUUUAUUAGUUUUCAAUUUCAAUCAAGGUUUAUGUUAUUUUUUUUUAAUUUGGCCCUCAUUAUUUUGAUUUGUUUUUCUAUUUGUGAAAGUUAUUUUUAUUUUCAAUUUAAUACUCCAAUUGAAAAUUUUUGCUUGCCCUUUAAUUUAUUUUUAAUUUUAAUUUUCAACCUCAUUCUUUUAAUUAUAAUUUUUUUAUUUUGAAACUUUUGUGUAAUUGAUUUUUUUUCUUAGUUUCAUCCUUUAGCUUCUCAUUUGUCAGGGAUCGAGCUUCAUGAUUUUUUUAUUUAUAGUGCUUCCAAACUAAUGACCCAGGUCACAAGUUUUAAAGUUAAUGCGGUUCAACAUUCUUUUUUCUUGCUCAUUUUCUUUUUUAAUUUUAUCGUUCUAUAUUAUUUUAAAAAUAUAUUUUUAUUUUUAUUUUAAUCAAUCAGUUUCAUAUGUGUUUUUAUUUCUAUUAUCUUUUUAUUGAUUUUAAUAAAUAAAUUCAGUAAAUACAACUGGGUAAAUAUAUUAUUUUACGUGAUCAAAUAUCUAUUCUAGAUCUAUCUUUUAAUUUUUCAAGUUUUUAUUGUAGUUAUUGUUAAUGAUUUUUUUUUCAUUUAUUUACUUGGAUGAUUAUCGAUUUAUUUAAUUAGAUACUAGCAUAAGCUUUUUGAUUUAUAUUUUGAAUUUUUUAUGUAAAAAAACACAUUAAAAUAUCUUGCAUAUUCAGUUUUCCUUUUUAAAAAUAUACGACUCGCAGUGAAAUAUGGGACAAAUAGCUAUAUAUAUAUAUAUAAAAGAAAGGGAUGCAAAUCUAAGUGUAUUCAAUGGGAAAGACAUGAAUUGUUUAAUAGUCAAUAUAUUUAAACCUAAACCCAUAUUUUGUAUUAAAUUUAUAUGAAUGCACAAGCCAAUGUGAGGGUGUGGAACAUGCAUAUAAAAUUAUAUGCAGAGAACUUAAUUGUAAUCGACGUUCAAACUAGUUUGAGGAUAUCUCUUACCAUUAAACCGAUAAAAUAAAAGAUUUAACAUGGAAACUGGGUUUCUUUAGCCCUAUGUAUAGACAAAAAGUAGAAAAAAUAAAAUAUUCAUGCCAAAGUUGAAAAAAGAGAAAAAUAUGAGAAGAGGUUUUAAAUAAAUAGUUUGAAUUUAGUUUAUGUUAUCACAUAAACCAAUUGAAUUAUUUAAAAUUUAUAUUAGAUAUUUUUAGAUACAAUGUAAAAAUAAUAAUAAUGAAGAAAAGCAUCUCUUACACUAGUUCAAUCUUUAUUAAUAAGUCCUCCAAGUUGUUUAAAAGUUUAUGAUAAUAUAGGAUUUGGAUUAUGUAAUUUUUGAAACUUUAUUAUUUUGUUAAUUAUGCUUUUUCUUUCUUAAUAAAAUUACAAAAUCAAUUUAUACAAUAGUAUCUCUUUAGAGUAAUAAGAAUGUCAUUCUAAAUGCAUCAAGAAAAUUAUAUAUAUAAUUUUAUUACUUUUUUUAUUUAUUUUAGUUUUAGGGAAUAAUCUCUUAAAACCAAUUUCAAAUUAAUAAAAAAAAAUUAAAAAUUGAUACGACGCACCAAUUAAAAAUCUCAAAACCAAUUUCAAAUAUAAUCAAAUCAUUAAGAAAUUGAUUACAUGUGAAUAAUUAAACAACCACAUUAUAUUAUUACCUCAAUGCAGAGCCAUAUAACUAGUUUAGUAAUAUUUUCCUAGUCCUCGCAUAUAAGAAAAGCCUUCAUUAAUCCUAUAUUGCUCGCUCUCUGUACGAUCCUAUAGUUUGCAUUAAAUUAUUGUAUGCUAAAUUUCUUUUAACAUGGAUAAUUUGCAGGCCUUUGUGAGUUAAAUCGUCUCCAGAAACUAGAUAUUAGCUAUAAUAAUAUCACUGGUUCUUUGCCUUCGUGUUUCUCGAAUUUGACAAACCUUCAAGCUUUAGAUAUCUCUUUCAACCACUUCACUGGGAAUAUAUCCUUGAGUCUCAUUGGUAGUCUCACGUCUAUUCGAGAUCUAAAACUGUCAGACAAUCACUUUCAAAUACCAAUCUCACUUGGCCCAUUUUUUAACCUUUCAAACCUCAAGAAUUUGAAUGGUGACCGUAAUGAAUUAUACGAGUCAACAGAGCUGGUACACAAUUUAAUUCCAAGGUUCCAGUUACAGGGGCUUUCUUUGGCAUGUACCGGAUCCAGCUGGACAUUUCCGAAAUUCCUGUAUUAUCAACAUGACCUUCAAUUUGUUGAUCUCUCACACAUCAAAAUGACAGGAGAAUUUCCGAGGUGGUUGUUACAAAACAACACAAAACUCGAAGAGCUUUAUUUGGUCAAUAAUUCUCUUUCAGGAUCUUUUCAUUUAGCAAAUCAUUCCCUUGUGAGUUGGUUGUCACAUUUGGAUAUCUCGAGAAAUCGCAUCCACAAUGAAAUUCCCACCGAAAUUGGAGCAUAUUUCCCGAGGUUAGUGUUUUUGAACCUGUCCAGAAAUGAUUUCAGUGGUAGCAUUCCCUCUUCGAUCAGCAAUAUGAGCCUCUUGGAAGUCUUAGAUUUGUCCAACAAUGGCUUGUCAGGCAACAUACCCGAGCAGUUGGUGGAAGGCUGUUUAUCAUUAGGUGUUCUCGUGCUUUCAAAUAAUUAUUUGAAAGGCCAGUUUUUUUGGAAAAAAUUCAACUUAACAUACUUGACCGAGCUGAUAUUAAAAGGGAAUCAGUUAACCGGGAUUCUUCCGAAUAGCUUGUCUAAUGGUUCUCGUUUGGAAACAUUGGAUGUCAGUCUCAAUAAUUUAUCUGGCAAGAUACCGAGAUGGAUGUUUUCUCUUCUAUAUUUAAACCUUUCAGAGAACAAUCUUUUUGGAAGUCUACCAUCCAACUUUUGUUCUUCAGGGAUGAUGACAAGAUCACUGAUUGGUGCACUUGAUGGCUGCUCGUGGCUGAACAAAUUAGAUCUUAGCCAUAACAGUUUGACUGGAGAGAUUCCUUUUGAGCUUGGAUACCUUAACAACAUCCACGUGUUGAAUCUAUCUCAUAACAGUUUAACAGGUCCAAUACCACCUGCAUUUUCAAACCUGAAGAAGAUUGAAAGCUUGGAUAUUUCUUACAACAACUUGAACGGGAAAAUUCCUUAUCAGCUUGUCGACUUAAACUCCCUUUUUACUUUCAGUGUAGCCUACAAUAACUUAUCUGGCAAAAUACCAGAGAUGGUUGCACAAUUUGUAACAUUCAGCGAGUCUAGUUACGAGGGAAAUCCGUUGCUUUGUGGACCACCGCUCACCAAUAAUUGCAGUGGAGAAAUAUUGCCAUCACCGUUAUCAAGGUAUGGCUUCAUUGAUAUGCAGGCUUUCUAUGUGACAUUUUCAGUGGCAUACAUCAUAAACCUGUUGACAAUAAGUGCAGUUUUAUACAUAAACCCACACUGGAGACGAGCAUGGUUUUACUUUAUUAGGGAGAGCAUCAAUAAUUGUUAUUACUUUCUUGUGGACAAUUUACAUGUGCCAGCCAGGUUUAGACGAUUUCAGCCUUGUGUCUAAAAAGGUAUUGGCUCAGUGUAUAUUGAUCAAUAAACUAAUCUUUAUAAAUGGUGUUAAUAUAUGUUCAAACACUUUGUGGCAUCUUGCAAAUAAUUUUCUGUUUUUUUCUUACCUUACUACCAAGCAAACUUGCAAGGAAGCAAAUCAUUUGUUUUUUAUUCUCCUUUCAAGACUAAUUUUUGUUAUAUAGUUGCACCUGCCUUUGAAUUAGAGAUUUGUUAAAACUUCUUACUUUUGAUGCGUUUGAGAGAAAAUAGUAUACCAAGACUCAAGGCAUGGAAAAGACAACAAUAAUGCUGGAUUUUUUUAUUGAGUAUUUGCUUGAACAUAUAUACAGUGCUAUGUUGACUUUACUGUUACAGCUAAUAAAAUUACAAUAUGAUUUCUGUUAUGAAAAAAUAUGAAGGGUCAUGUUGGUGAGAUAUCAUGAGAGUUGACCGGUUCUCUAUAUCCAAAGAGUUAUAAUUAAUUAACAAAAUAAAUGCUAUAUAUCCAAUAAAUAUUUUCAUAGUUUUAAAACGUGAAUAGUCAUAGUUACGAGUUUGUGUGAUGUGCUUAUUGAGAUAAGUCUUAAUAUAGAUAUAAGUAGGCUCUAUAUUAAGUGUUAUUUGUUUUGAAAACUUAAUUUCAGUGUUGAUUAAUGUAUUAAGUGUUAAUAUAUGCUAUUAAUAUGAUGAAAUAAAAUUCAUUUUUUACUAUCGAAUGGGUAUAUAUGUUUCCUUGGAAUGAAUAUCUAAGGCAUUUACUAAAACUUUGUAGUUACAUUUGAAUUCUGGAGUGUCAUGUGGUAAUUUUGAUUUGUAUGAUAAAUAUCUUUAUAUUAAGAUUAUAUUUGAGAGUGCUGUAACUUUUGUUUUUCAAUGCUUUUCAAAAGUAUUUGUUUAGAAAAAACAUUAAUUUGAGUUUUUUUAUUUUUUAAUAAUUUUAAUGUGCUGAUAAAAUAAAAAUGCUUUUAAAAAACUCACAGCACCAUAAAACACUAAACAUUAAAUUAUAUUAUGUGCAAUGAUCAAGUAUGUUAAAUGUUAGAGUUUAUGAUUUAGUGUAUUAUAGAAUUAGUUUUUUAGAGAUUAGGGUUUAGAGUUUUUUAAGGGGUAAAAUGUUUAUCUGUUUCUAGAAGGUUUAUAGUGUUUUAGAUGUUAGGGUUUAGGAUUUAAUAUAUUUUAGUGUUUAGGAUUUUUUAAGGGAGGUUUAGGGUAUUAUAGGUUUAGAGUUUAUGGUGUUGCACGUCACCGGCACAGCAUCGGCUGGCGAUUUUUUUCACAGCAUCAGCUGGCGAUUUUUUUGACAGCAUCGGCUAACGAUUUUUUCUCUCUCUCGUUGUUUGCUUUGAUUCGUCGAGAGUCGCCACCUAGUAUUUAAUUGAGAACUACUAAGAAACCUGGAUAUACUAGUCUUGUCAGAGAUUUACAGGUAAAAAACUAGUUAUGGUUAAAAAAUAUAUUAGCACCCCUAACACAUCCUAUCUGAUCCUAUCUGAGGUAAGGUGCUUCAUGGCUUUAAUGUCUUAAAAAAGUUUUAAAAAUUUUAUCCUUUCAUCAAAUUUUAAAAGUACAACUUACAUAUAAAUUCAUACAACUUACAUAUAAAUUCAUAAUUUUUUAUACGCACAAAUCAAAAUAUUAAAUUCUUUUUUAUUCUUUACAAUUUUAUCAUAAAAAAACAUCCAUAGAAACAUUCAAACACACACAUCCACGUUGACUAUAUUUUUUUUCUUUUUUCCUUUCCUUUCUUUCCUUUCCUUUUUUUUUACAUCCACAUUUCAAAAUACAAAUUCAAAAAAAAAAAAAUUAAACUACACAAUUUCAAAUUUACAAAAUAGCCCCUAAAAAACAAUCUGGAAUUACAAGGGAAGGUCUUCUGCACCCCCGGAACAGUGGCAGGCAGACUUCUGGAGCUGCAAGACAGUGGCGGCAUGUCUGCUCCAUGCGCCGCCUUCACUGGCGGCGCGUGAGAAAAUCCAAGCAACGAAGGGAUCUGGAACGGCUUCUUCCCUUCUUCCUUUCCCUGCCGGCGGUGACUCCCACCGUCACCUGCAAAAGAAGAAAAGACACAAGCCAAGUUUCGGUUCUAAUCUCCUUUUUAGAUCUGUUCCCUUCCGUCUUCUUUCUUUCCCUUCAGAUCUGUUUCCACUGCAGAUCUUCUCCUUUACAAGCGGUCGAUGGCUCUGAGUUCAGGGCGUCUUUGGUCGGAUUACAGAGGCCGAGGGGCGUGGCUUGUGGUCGGCGGGCUCUGUUGAAACUGCUAUGUUUGGGCUGCUACCGGAGGAGAAAGGACUGUUGGGCGGGAGCUGGUGAAGAUGGAGACGGUGGGUCUGUGGUCGGCUGCUGUGGUCGGGUCUGUUUGUUGACCCGGAGAGGUAGGCCGAUGGGUCGGCUGAGAGAGGAGAGGAGCCUGGUGAGGGGGCGGUCGGCUUGAUCUUGGCGAGCUGGGGCUGUUGAAGCUGCGGUGAAGGAGAAGCUGGGUGUGGCCUGGUUUGUGUUUGGCAGUGGGCAAGUGAGGAGGAAAAUCGUCUGGUCAGUGGGGUUCGGUGAGGCUGAUUUGUGAGGGUGGGGAAGAUCGGCUGUCCGGUUGAGGGAGAAGAGAAAAAAAAAAUCAAAAGGGGGGAUGAGGGGCUGGCGGCUGGUUUUCGGUGAGGGAGAAGAAAAGUUAAUCUUUUAGGGUUUCUCCUUUUUUUUUUUUUUUUUGGUGUUGCCUCACCCCAAAGUCUCAAAAUUACUACCUUGAUGUGGGUUGAAGGCAACUAUUUAUAGGUAAAAUAUUACUUGGGUCUCAAAAUUGGUCCCUUAAUUUUUUUUUUAAUAUAUUUUUUGAAAACGAGCAAUAUCAACGUCGACUCAAAUGAGAAAAAUCAAUGAUUUUAAAAAUAAUGCGUGAAAAGUCGAACGCAUUUAAAAGACCUUUAAAACUUUUUUAGACGACGUUGAAAACGCUAAAAACGAUGCAAAUAUAUUAAAAACAUAUUUUUUUGGAUUUUGGUUGUUUUUCGCUAUUUUUGGAUUUUUUAAAAAUUUAUCGAAAAGGUGGGUCAAAAAUUGGAUAACAACAUAUGGUAUUGUAAGGGUUAGACUUUAAGAUUUAUGGUGUUUUAAGGGUUAGUAGGGUAAAAGUUUUUAGGGUUUAAGGUUUGGUUUUUUGGGGUUUAGGGUAUCGUAGGGGUUUUAGGGUUUUUUAGUGGCAGGGUAGUGUAUUUCAAGGGUUAAAAUUUUAGGAAUUAGAAUUUACAGGGUUAAGACUUUUUUGUAGGGUUAAAGGUUUUUUAGUGGUUAGAGUUUAAGGUUUUUUAAAAAGGUAAAUGUAGGGUUUAGGAUUUAAAUUUUGAGUUUUUUAGGGUUUAGAAUUCUAGGGUUUAAGGUUUUCUAGGGUUUAGGGUAUUUUAAGGGGUACAAGUUUAGGGUUUACGGGUUAAGACUAUUUUAGGGUUACAGUUGUUUUACGAUUUAAGGUAUUUUAAAGGUUAAAGUUAGGGUUUUUUUUAUAAUGGUUAGGGUUUAGGGUAUUGUAGUUUUAGGUGUUUUAGUGGUCUAUAGUUUAGGGUUUAGGAUGUUUUAAGUGUUAGUAGUUGUUAUACGGUUUUUCUAGGGUUUCAGGGUAUUUUAAGACGUAAGGUUUAAAGGUAUUUUAAGGUUUAUGAGUUAGGGUUUAGGUGUUAAAGUUUUUUGAGAAUUUAGAGUAUUUUUAGUGGUUAGUUUUGUUUAGGAGUUAGGGGUAUUUUAAGGUUUGAGUUUAAAGUUUAUGAAUUAGGGUUAUAGAGUUUUUUAAGGUUUUGAAAUUUUUUGAUUUAGCUCCUAAUUCCACCUAUUGAAAAAUGUGUUUCAACUUUUACGCUACAUUAAAAAUGGAUUUUGAAAAUAGAAAGAUGUGAAUGAAUUUCUUCAAUAUAUCUCGAACUCUUGCAUCUAGAUGUAUUUGAGAUUCAUUAAAUCAAUCUUGAUGUCAAAUUUCUUCAAUAAUAUGCAAUAUGAAGUCAUGAAAUCACGACCGCCAAAUAAUGUCACAAUUGUUGAUGGCUUCUGUAGAUAACAUGCAAGUAUCUAUUUUCCAUGAAUACCAGUCAUUUGUCAAGCAUUCUUCACAUACAUGAACUUCAAUACUCGAGAUGUUUUUUAACUUCUCUACCAACUAUAUAGUUGCAAUGAAUAACCCAGACUUAAAUGCUCUGAAAAUGAAUACAAGGAAAUCAAGCUUAAGAGAAUCGUGUCUUUAGGCAUAUCAGUAAUGUCCUGUUUGAGAAAUUUGCUAGAAAGAAUAUCAGCAAUGUCUUUAGGUAUUACUGAUAUUCAAUCUGGUUUCAAAUGUUAAUCGAAAUAUUCUCUUCGUACUACAUCAAAGGAUUUGGCCUCGAGAAAUUCCCACUGGUAGGAUUAGUUUACAAAAUAUCAAGAAUGUGAUAUUACAAAUUUACAGCAGUACUCCCCAAAUCAGUUGCUUGUUGCAAGAAGGACAAAAAUCAGUAACCCCUUAUAUACAAUAACAACUUUCGAGGCAUAAAAUAGAGAGAAAAAAAAAAAGGAUGCCUUUGGUAGUGCAAAAAGAAAAUAUUAGGUAGCAGGAUUACAUACAUGGAAUCACUUGAAAACACUGCUAGUUUUUCACUCUUUCAAGCAUACAUGCAAGCAUCUACAUACAUGAGGUAUUGAAACAGCGUCUAAUAAGCAAAAUAGCAAUACACUUGUUGAACAUAGAAUUCAGCCAAGCAAGAAUGCAAGAUAUAAAUAACAAACAUACCAUGCAUGCAAUGCAAAGCUCUCUUGUGUCCAGUGGGGACGAUUCAUCACUGCACAAGGAUCUGAUUUCUCAAAGUCUGAAACCUACAACAAACCAGAGUACAUAACAGUUAGAAUGCUAGCAUUCUAAUUUUAAUACAAUACUAGAGAAGUCUGAGAGAAUUAGGAAAGAAAAAUGUGACAUGUAUAGGCAGUAGUGAAAUUUGUUCAAGAUGCAAUCCAUAAAAGGCAUCAUGCAUCCAGCUACAGCUAACAAACUAGGCUUUGAUCUGUAUUUGCAUAUGGAAAUGUCACCAUUCAAGAGAGGGGAGGAUCAGUACAUGAAAGAAAAGAAGGGACACGAAAUGGAGAGAACACAGAGUCUGUGAACUUCGGAAUCUUAUUAAUACUUUAGCCCUUUUCUAUUUCAACAGUCCUACUCUUCAAAAUGGGAGACGACAAAACUGUUAACAAGCAAAUCUUAUUAACUGAAGUGCUUAAGUAAGGAAUGGUGUUACGGAACACGGAAGUGAUUUAUGAAAUCAUUUUAGUAAAAAACACUAUUUAUGUUUGCAUAGACAAAAUAACACAUUGAAGAGUUGCUCCAUCAGCUCUCAUUCCCUUGAUUCCAGAGCAAGAAUUCAGAAAUCAAAGGAAGAGACAAAUGCCAACAAACAUAAUUCCCAUCAGCUCUCAUUCCAUUGAUUCCAGAGCAAGAAUUCAGAAAUCAAAGGAAAAGACAAAUGCCAACAAACAUAAUUCUCAUCAGCCACACCAACAAUGUAUCUAUAAAUAACAUUAUCAGAAGCAUAUAAAGAGAGAGAAAUGCUAUAAAAUUGGAUGAAUUUAUCUGUCAAAAUUUAAUCAUAAAGCUUUUCUAUAAAUCACAUAUGGCAUCAACCUUUUCAAUACAUAUUUUCAUAUGCAAAAGAAAGACUAUUAAAGAGGAUGAAAAGAUGAUGCACACCUUACACGAGUGAUCAAUCAGAUGAGCAAUACUUCCAGCCCUUGUGAUUAAUCAAAUGCUAUAAAGUUUGAUCUAAACAUACAAUUCCUGGCACCCUACAUUAACAAGGAAAAGAAAAGGUAAACUUCGAUCUCAACACCUUUGUAGAGGACUUCAACAUAUUAAGCAAUCAAUCUAUAAAAAAAUCAUGUAUUUGUAAAAAUCAAUUCCAGAAAUAAUCACAUUAGUCUUAGGAUGAUAGUUUGUAGUCGUGCUAGAUGACAAAUACAUGCAUACAAAGAGUAAGGACAAUGGCAACAUUCUCAACAGAAAUAUACCACCAAUGAACUGUAUAUAAAGCGCUCUUUCCACUCAUCUAUUGGAGGUCUGACAAGUUCACCAGUAUAUUCAAUCACAUAAAAAUCAUGUAUUUGUAAAAAAUCAAUUCCAAAUAUUAGUCGAAAAGAGAACUAUCAUAUCACAUCAGCAAAAUUAAUUUACCAUAUCCCUAGGCCCUAUAAGAAUGGCAAAGUGAUGAUUGUUAGAUUCUUUAAGAAAAUAAGGCAAGGCAGAAAUCACUCACAACCCAACUGCCUAUUUCAAUCAAAUAAGAUUCCUAAAAUUCAAAGAAGCAGCAUGAUAUUUUUAGCUUAGCUGGGUUUUCUUCCAAUAAUAUCAGAAGUAAGACUUUAAAGUGAAAUAAAAAAAGGAAAAGGAAAGAAACUGACCCCCAAAACCCCGGCCUACGCCAAAGCAACAAUCAACUUUAAACUAAGAAAUGGUGUUGCAGAAGUGAUUUAUGAAAUCAUUUUACUAAAAAAUGCUAUUUAUUUUAGUGCCAUUUUUUAUGUUUGCAUAGACAAAAUAAAAGAGUUGCUCCAUCAGCUCUCAUUCCCUUUAUUCCCAUAGCAGAAAUUCAGAAUUCGAAGGAAGAGACAAGUGCCAACAAACAUAAUUCCCUACAGCCAUACCAACAAUAAUACAACAAUGUUGGUUCAAUAACAUGAGCUAUGAGUGAUAGUUUUACUAUUAUAGGCUAGUUACAACAACAUUAGUGAAUCCAAAAGAAAACAAAAAUGUAUUUUUUUAAAAAAUUAGGAGAGCAGUUGAUUAUUUUUUGAAAAUUGUAUCCUCUAAGACGGGAAAGCCAACAUGCAGGAAUAAAACUUUGAAGAUUUUGCAAUUAAUUGUAAAAUAUUAUGAGCAAUCAUGAUAUUACAAUUAACAAAAACAGCAGCUCAAUUUUGCAUUUACGCUUAAAAUUGAAACAGAAGCAUUACAGCAAAGAAAACCUAUCAAGAAAAAAAGUUAUCUUACCACUUCAAUCAAGUUUGAAAUUUGAUCUCUCUCUUUUGGUUCAAUAAUUGACCAUAUUUAUUGACCUGCUCAGGUCUUUUAACCUGCAUACGUUAAUAGGGAAUUCAUUUACCUGCAUGGACAGAGCUUUAAAACACAAACAUAAACAGAGUUUCAAUUUUUUUGAAAGAAAAGGAGAAACCAGUUUCAAAAAUUUAAACCCGGUUAAAUAGAAAGUGAAAUUAAAAUCUUGCCAAGAAAUAAAAUCCAAUCAAUCAAAGGGUUUCUUGUUCUCUAAACCCUAAUUCUUUAAGAAGUAAAUAAAAGAAAACACUUACCACGAAAUCUAAAAGAUCCAAACUUUAACUCUGAAAAUUCUCUAAUCCCAAGAUAAAUUCAAGAAAUCAUAAGUUGCAAUGAACAAAAAACUAAAGAACAUAUCAAACAGAGAAAUGAAGCAAAGCUUACAUGAAAAUAACUAUAAUAUAAUAAAAAAAGAUUUACAAAAUUAAAGACCCCUCAAAGACUAACCAAAAUAAAGCAAGUUCACAGACAAGAAGAACAAAUUAUAUAUUUAUAGCGAGAGAGUGAGUGAUGGAUACCUGCGGAGAACUUGAAUGACAUAAAGACUCUCUCUUUGAUCGAAAUUGAAAUUCCCUAUUAUUACAAGAAGAAUCAAACCUUCUUACAUAAUGAUGCAUUAUGGUUUCUCAAGUCAACCUCAUUUAAGAGACAACGCGUGAAAGUCAUAACCCGAAAUGGGAUUAUGUCUUUCUCGGUACCCAACUCUAAGUUAAGGAAGGGGAUGACUGUGCUCAACUCUAUGUUGAACCUGGAUGCGACCGCUCCCAACACAUGUUGAGCCUGGACGCGACUGCGCCCAACCACAUGUUAGGCCUGGACGCGUCUGCGCCCAACCCCACGUUGAGGGCUGGAUGCGACAGCGUCCAACUCCAUGUUGGGCCUGGACGCGUCCUAGCCCAACCACAUGUUGGACCUGGACGCGUCCACGCCCAACCCCACGUACGUUGGGUGGACAUGACCGUCCCUGAUCAUUCUUGGGUGCAGUCGCGAGCUAGACCCGUUUUCUCUUGGGCUCCGGGCGUGAAUUGAGCCCAACGUCCCUCAGAUUGAGUGUGUAACUGAAGGGUCACUCUACACUGAGCCUCCCAUACCCUAAACCUAGAUUAAUAAUUAUGAUGCCCAUCAUAAUCUCAUUAAAUACGAACAAGCCGGUCAUGCUUACAUUAAUUAGAUGUGAUGGUACAAGUCAUGGUUGUUAAAAAUGAGUUUUGACUCGUAAAAUCGCUGAUUUUACGAGUCAAAAUGCAUAAAACGUGUAAAAUCGGGGUUAAAACUUGAAAACCGGUAAAAUCAGUCAAACCCGGUCAAACUCACAUAAAAUCGGGUCAACCCGUAAAAAACAUAAAAACCGGUCCGAUUUCACGAUUUCACGUGAAAUUUAAAACUCGUGCCCUGUGCUGAGUCAGCACCUCCUUUUCCCAAUCCCCACCCCACCCGUGACCGACACGAAUUGAAAUUGUGCAAGUUGACUAAGGAAGCCAGUACUACAACGCUGGAACCAAAGGCCAUGGCUUCGUCUUCCAAGAACUAGGCUUUUAUUAUCUGAAGAAGAAACGAUCAUCAUUUGGAGUGGAGAGAGAGCUGAGGGAGAACCCAACACCACCAUGUUAAGGGGACCUUUGUUGUCCACCUGAUGACUUUGGUUUUUUAUGAAAGGAUAAAGGAUUCACCAUCUCCAUCUCCCCCCCCCCUUUCUAAAUGCGCAGAAGCAAGAACCAUCACAACCAAGAACAGAGACCGACUCAGACACGCCUGUCUUUUACAAGGCUUUGUUGGUGGUAUUGUCAACUUCUCUGUCCAAGGUUCCUCUGAUCCUUACCUCGUCGGGUAAUUUUAUCGCCACCCCUCUUUCCUAGUUCUAAGGUUCCUUUCUAUGAUUGAAUUGCAUUCUUGGAGGUAAAAAGUCUCAUUUCAGUGCUAUUUAAUGAACUCACAGUUAUGAGUCUUGUUUAGAGUUGGUAAAUUUGUAUUUAUGCAUUUCUUGCUCACAGGCACACUUAAAAUGAGAUUGUGGUGGAUGUUGGUUGUGAUUCUUUCUAAAAGUGGAAGAAAAGGAAACGAAAUGGGAUUUUUAUGCAUGUUGGUUUAAUUAUAUUUAGUAAAGAUUGAUUCUUUGCUUUUGUUUGUAUCCAAAAAAAUUGAUUUUUGUUGUUAUUUAUAUUGUGUGCUUAAAUUAUUAUACUAUUGACUAAUUUUGAUGUUCUUUCCUUUUGGGUUUCCAUUGCAAUCAGGGUCACAGGAACUUCAGAGACCUUGUAAUGUAUCUGUCUUGGUUCUCUUCAGUUUUGCGUGCUGUUCCACAUUGUGGAAUUUGAUAACUAGUAAUUUUUUAGUACUUGAUGAUUAAACGCCUUGAUAUACUUUGAUUCUUGACUUUUUUCUUUUGCUUAGACUUUAAUUUAAAAAAGUGAAAUUGAGUUCUCCUCCUAGAGAAUUUAAUGUGCAGAUUGAUACUAGAAGUGAUAUAGUGAUGUCUUAUGGGUCUGCUGCAAUUCUUGCAACAACUGCCCGCAUACGAGUGGCCUUGGAGUAAACUUUCUUUCCUUGCCUUGUCAUUAGUCUUUCUAUACAUUUGCAGAAUUGGAAAACUUAAAACUAAGGUUCAACUUCCUGCGGUAUGAUGUUUGUGUUUUGCAGAUUCAGCUCAAUUUCUUUGAUUCCAGCAGCUCAUCAACUUCCUAUGGUACUGGGUCUAUAAUGUCUUUUCCUUUUCUGUCAAUCUUUACACUAGUUCAGUUUUUUUAUAUUUUUAUAGUGAAAAGAGUUGUAAUGUAACCUAGUUUCCAUAGAAAUUUCACAUGCCCAUUUAGGCAAGUCAAUUGUUACCUAGAUUUGUAACCAAAAAGUUUUUAUUAAAAUUGAGAAAUUUAGUUGUUGCUUGCAUUGUGGGGUUGUUGGCAGCCUCAACAUUUAUUAAAUAUCUAAUCCUUGCAUAAUUAGCAUAUCUGAUUAAUUUGUGUUCAAGUGUAUUGAACUGAGGAUUAACAUGCAUAUUUAACAUGCAUGCUCUUCAUUUAUUAAACUGUGAUUUUACGAUUUUUAGUUAAAAAAUUUUGCUUGCGAUUUUACGAUUUUACGAUUCGAGUUUAUAUUGUAUGUUCCGUGUCGUGUUAAAAAAGCGUUUUUGACAACCUUGGUACAAGUAGUAAGAUAAUAUUAUUUUAAUCAUACAAAAUUACUUUUCGACCCCUCCUUGCAUGAGGCAGUAAAAAUCAGGUGAUAUAAAAAGAAGGGAGAAAGAGGAGGAAAGGACUCAUUCUCUUCUCCUCACCUUUAGACCUUAUUCUCCAACCUUUUCUAUAUAUUCAUAAAAGCUUUUUAAUAUCUUUAUUAAUGUCGUUCUUUACACAAAUAUUCUUGGUACGGACUUGAUCUUUGGAGGGUCCCUCAUCAACACCCCAAGGAACUUUAUGCAGGUAUUUAUUCUAGAAAAAUUUGAUAUCCCUAUAAAGAGAGAUUUGCCCAAGAAAAAACCUACAUGAUCUUGAAGUGGAGGUUAUUAAAUUCACAUAAAUAAUGCAAGAGAAUUUCUAGAAAUAAUUUAUCCUAAAAUAUUCCCUAUAAUUUUUAUAAACUCAUCACAUAGAAUUUGAACGGAUAAAAGUUUACUACGGCGAGAGAGACUUUCUUCUGAGAUUGAAAAAUGUUGAGAACGAGAGAAAGAGGCUGUAUUAAUUACGGAGAAUUCAAAAAAAACAAAAAACAAAAGACCGUUGCAUUAACUGAAUGACAAGGCAUUUGGUUUUCUAUUGCUUUGACUGGUUUAGGUUUUCUAAACGACGACGUCUUAUAGGCGCAAACUUGUUGUGUUUUUCUUCACUAAUAAAGUCAAGGAUGCAUCUUGUUGAUCAAGGCACUUGGAUAAGUUUUAGUUACGGUUUAUAUGAGUUUGACCUGAAUUAACUUACAUUAAUUUAUUUAUUUUAUUUUAUAAAACAAUAAUAAUAUUUUAAAAAAACUAAUAAGUUUUUUCAAAAUUAAUUAAUUUAUAAGUCAAUUCGGGUUUUUUACUAUCUCAUAUCAAUUUUUUUUGUUCAAUUUAGUUCUAAAGUUACUUGAAUUAUAGGUCAACCUAUAAAAUAAAAUCCGAUCAGAUUUUAAAACAAUAAUUUUGUACCUAUACAAUUAUUCAAAUGGUUUGUGUUAAUAAUUUGUUUGAUAAGACACUCUCGUCGUAAAUAAUUUUAACUGGGACCAAUUGCUAAUUACGUGAUUAUCAUAUCUGUCCAUUUUGGCUGCGGCGCGUCCAAUUGCUAAUUACGUGAUUUAUUAUCUCUUCUCCUUUUUUAAUUGUGAGAAGUAGACAUAUGAAUAAUAAAUAAAUAACAAUAAAAAAAACUAAAAGAGAAAGAGGGUAGUUCAGUUAUUGUAACACUAGACUCAUUUUAUUGUGAAUUUUAACAAUAAAAUUAUGAUUUUAUUCCUUAAUCAAAUAACAUUUAGCCUAGUUUAUGGGAAUUAUAGGAUCCUUUUAUUUUUUAUGAAUAGUAAAAAUAUUAAAAUACCCUUGAAGACAAUGAAUAUACAUGUGAUAGCUAGAAGCAGUUUUGAUUUUUCAAUUUUGAAUGCACAAUAAAAUUAUUGAAAUUUUGAGUUAAAAAAAUUAACGGACGAUGCUGGGCCUCAAUUGUUCAUAGUAAUCAAGCUCAACCCUAGCUAGUUUGAUCCGGCAAUUCCUUUUUAGUAGGACAAAAAAAGUUGGUUAUAAGAAUAAUUCAAUUUUUGUCUACUAUGAUGAAAGACGCAGGUUUAUGAUAUAACUUACAAAAUUCUAUAGGUAAUAAACCUCAUACAAAAUUAAUUUCUUUUACCAGUCGAUUUGUAGCUAAAUAAUAUUCUUGCAAAAUAGGUUAUGAAUUCAAAUCCCGUGUUAGCAACUCAUCGGUAAUAUUAAGAGAUAGAAAAUUAAUAUAUGUGAAAAGAGCUUGUAAAUAUAUGAAAUAUUAACCAAAUUGGCCUCCAUCCCAGGAGAAAAAAACUCAAAACAUGGGUCAACAAUCAGCAAUUACCUACUGUCUAGGCAUGAAAUCUCUCACUCUAUACAGAUAUGUGUCUGUGUGUGUACCAGGAUAUUAGCUCAAGCUCAUGUGAUGGCAAAUACUGGAGUAGCCAAAAGUUUUAAAUCCAUGGCUACAUUCUGCAUCUUGAUUGUAGAUGGAAAACUUUCACAAAGCAAAUAAAAAUGUUAAAAGGCUUCGGCCAAUGAAGACAGCACAAUUAAGAUGAUCUGAUACAAAAAUUAAUGCAGAAGGAUUUAAAUAGUUACCUUCAAGGUGACUGCAUCUAUUUUAAUAUAUAUUAGAAAUUUUGUAAAUCUAAUUUUUUUAACAUAAAUUUAAUGUAUGAAUAUUUUUUCUGUGAACGCAAGUUUCAUCAAAACCUAUUGAGUGUGCGGGGUAGACCAUAAAUCUAUUUUUUUUUUUAGUCUUUUUUUUUUAGUUUAACGUGGGUGUCCGGGCCAGCUUGCGCGCACCUCGACUAAUCCCACGGGCCCUGAAGUUAACGACCAUAUAAGCUUCCAGUGGCCAUCAUAUGAGCAACCACAGGGCUCGAACCUGAGACCACAGAAGGAGCAAACCUCUUGGUCCCAAGCUUUUACCACUGGGCCACCACCUAAAUUUUAGACCAUGAUCAAGAGACUAAUGAAUUCUUAAUUUCCAUAGCAAACUUUUAUGAUUUUCUUUUUCAAUGCAAAAACCAUAUCAAUUAAAGGAUAUAUAUAUAUAUAUAUAUAUAUAUAUAUAUAGACACACACUGCACAUAGUAGAACGUACUAUAAGAAAAUAAUUUUCGAAUCAAUAAAUUACCUUCCUUCAAGAAGAGCAUUUUCAAACCUGGUAUCAAACAACAAAACCCAUGAAUGAAUAGGACUGCAUGCAACAGGAUCACAUAGCUACAGAUCCCAUAACGAGAAAGUCUCUAUUAUUUAUCUCAGUGAAUACCAGGUUUUAAAUUGAAAGUUAAAAAAAAAUGUGAUUGUUAAAACAAGUUAAAAAAUUAUUAAAAAAAUAUGUUUAUAUUUUAUAUAUAUGAUUGAAAGCUUAAAAAAUUAUGAAUGAGUUAAAAUCAAGUUUAAAAUCUAUUUAAAAAUUAAAAAAAUUGAAAUAAACUUUCAUCAACAAUUUAUUAUUAUUAUUAUUAGUAUUUUUAUUUUCAUAUUAGACACAUAAUAAUUGAAAAAUAAAAUAUUAAAAUUCAAAUAAAAAUCUAUAUUUUAUUCAAAAACCAUGUCAAAAUUAAAAAAAUAAGUGAAUCUUUGGAGAGAUGCUCUCCCGGUUGGUUGGCAUUUCUUAAGAAUCAAAAGCUUCCCAGCUAUAUGGCAUGGUACUACGCCUAGGACAGCAUUGCAAUUUUUCUUCACUCCUCAAUUUAAAAACAAGGAGCAUGACAUCUUCAAGAGCUUGCUCCCAAGUCUUCGAAGCCCAUUCUUUCACAAGAUUCAAAGAACACAAUAAUUUUAUAUUUUUAAGUGCAAAAUAAAAGUAGUAGGCCAAAUGCUUAGAGGUCAGACCCAUUUAGCCUUGCUUUUUAGUUUUUUAUUUAAAUAAAAGAAUAAAAGACAAGUCAUUCGCUUCUUAUUUGUUUUUUAAAAAAAUUUAAAACUAAUAAUAUGUCGUCUGUUAAGUCAUGCAACGCGUUGUUCUUUUGGCCAUUUUCUGACAAGCCAACUACGCAGAAACUUGCUUUUGGUUUUUUAGGCCAGACAAAUAAUUUUUAAAUUAAUCUUCGACCACCAAGCUUUUAGAAUAUCAUCAAGAGACAGCUAAUAUUCUAAUUUUUCAUAACCAGCUUUUUAAAUUUAAUAUCUAUAUUUUCAAAGUGAGGACCAGGUCUCGCAUGUCAGCCCAAUACUAAAUUAUUAGUUUAUUAUUGAAUAUUGAUGACCUUUUUAUCAUGAAUAUAAUAAUUUAGGAAAAAACAAUUAAGUUUAGGAGUAUUUUGAAUUCAAACAUUAUCAAUUUACUAAUGCACAUACUGAGAGUGAGAGUCGUGUAAUGGCGCCCUCAACGGUAGAAGCAACGUGAUGGCUAUGAAUGGUGCCACACUUGGGGUCCGUCCCUUCCCUGUGAUGCUUUUAUCAAAAUCCUUCCGACCACCUCUAUUGUUCUCUCUAUGCUUAUGCUUUUCUUUUCUUUUUUUAUUUCAAAAAAAAAAAAAACUCGCACAUUUAUUUAUUUUUCUUUUGAGAAAAUAGCACGGUUAUGCUACCACUACAGCGUAAUCAAUAAGAAUUUACCACGUUAUACUACUUUUAUAAAUCAGACAUAAUAAUUCAAUAUUAAUACAAACUAAAAGAUGAUAAAUAAAUAACUACCAAUCAAUUUGAGACAGAUGCAAAAUGAUGCAAGUGGACGCUUGAAAAAUAGACCAAUGAAGUGGUCUUUACGCUCAAUGUGUCUCCCACGGCAAAAUAAAAAAAAUAAUAAUAAUGCAAUCAGUCAGAGCCUGAUUAAUAUUGAAUUAUUAUGUCUGAUUUAUAAAAGUAGUAUAACGUGGUAAAUCACUCCAAGAAAUUUCAUUCAACCACCAAACUAAGUUUUUUUAAAACGUGCUAACAAUCCAACACAAAGCCACCUAAAAUAUUUACAAAUAUUUAUAACGUUUAAGUUCAAGAGAGUGGUUUUUUUAGAAUAUUUUUUAUUUAGAAAUGUUUUAAAAUAAUUUUUUAUUUUUUAACAUUUAUUUUUUACGUUCACAUAUUAAUACUAUAUAAAAAAACUAAAAAAAAUCUAAUUUAAGACAAAAAAAAAUAGAUUUUAAUAAAAAGUAUGUUAAAAUUCAAUGCCAAACACCCCUUACUCUCCGAUUGACUGUAGAAGUGGUCUUUACGCUCAAUGUGUCUCCCACGGCAAAAAAAAAAAACAAUUGAAUUUGAAUGGUAAUUUGUUGAUUGAGUUCCUUGGCUACAAGAAAGAUGGAUUUCCAUUAGUUUAAUUCUUGAAUUAUAUGUUAAGUGAAUUUAAUUAGCAAUUUAAUUAGCAAAGAUGGAAAACCAGAUUUCCUAACAAAAAUCAUUACGCUGGACGGACUAAUCAAGGAUAGCAAUUGGGAUGAUUUAAGCACCAACACUUUGGAUGCUCUUGAGAAAAGACAAGAGCAAGAUCUACUGCAUGCUUGAUUUGUUCAUAAGAAAUACAGGAAAUACCUUAACGUUAAAAAAGAAUGUGCAGGUAUUGUGAAUGUAUUUUUUGAUACCAUGAAAAAAAUUAAUUGAGAAUUAAAAAGUUAAUAUGUACAUUUAAUAAAAUAAAUUAAAAAUUAUAUGAAUCAAUAAAUAAUAAAAAGAAUUGUUAAUACUAACUAAAAACUAAAAUAGAAAGUUGAAAGAUAUUUCAUCUUGUAAGGUGUUUUUUGAAUUUUUUUCAUUAUAUAAAAAGAAAUCAGUUUUUUUAAUAAUUCAAAUUUUAUAGAGAGAAUAUAAUUGUUAGUAUAAAUUCUCUUUUUAUUAUUAAUAUAUUUUUUAAUAAAUGAUACCAAUAUUUUUUUUUUUGGGAUUAGAAAUUAACUUGAAAUUAUAUUUGUAACAUUGAUACGCUACCUAGUUACUUGCAUAAACAAGUUUACAGUCUAAAAAACAUGUGAUGAAGUGCUAUAAUGUAUACUAAAAAUAGAGUUUCAACAUUAAAAAAAAUCACAAAUAUGAAUUUAAAAUCUCUUAUAAGAACUCUCAAUAUUUAAAUCUUUAUAUUAUAAUUUAUGGGUUCCAAAUACAUGAUAUUAGCCCCUCAUUGCGAGCACAAUGAGACUGGAUGCUACAUAAUUGAUGCAGGGUAUUUUUUCUUCUUCUAAAUACCUUGUUUUAUUUUAGUAGAUAUAACUUUAAAUAUAAAUGUCAGAUUUAGCUGAAAGUUUUUUAAAAUAUUUUAGAGACUAUAUAUUAGAUUAAAUUUGUUUAACCAUUCAAGGUCAAAAAAGCAUUUAAAUAGUUAAGACCCAAAAAUUAUUGUUCAUGAUUUAUAAUAUUUUUCUAGUUGAUUUAUAUUUUGUUCUUAUUUAAUUUAGAAAAUUUUUAUUAUAUUUUUUUAGAUUUAAAAAUAAUUUUUUUUAGUGUUUUCUGAUCAUUUUAAUGUGAUAAUAUAAAAAAUAAAUCUUAAAAAAAUAAAAAAAAUAUUAUUUCGAUAUAUUUUUAAAAACACACUUUGAAAAAUAAUUGUUAUUAUAAUACCAAAUAGCUCUCUUAGACCCAAAAAAAUGGGUAGUUAAAUUGAUUUUAGUGCUUUCCCUUCAUUUUUUAGUUUAAUAAUAAUUAUUCUUUUUUCUUUUUCAUUUUUAUUUUAGACCACAAGUAUAUUAUUAUUUCAAUUUUAGCAACCAUUAUCGAACAUACUUAGCCCUUCACUUUUUAAUAUUGUUUUUACAUAUUUAACACUUUACCUUCAAAUUUUACUCAUUUAAUAGUUUUCUUCAAUUUUUUACCAAACACAACUUAAAAAAUGAUAAAUGAUAUCUUUGGCGUGGGUGAGAGUCCGAUAUUGAUCACAUAUAUAUCUUAUAGAACUUGGAUUAAAUUUUUUUUAUGAAACUUGAAUUUUUCAUGACCUAUUUUUAACUUCUUGUUUUUCAAACAUGUUUAAGAAAAAUAAAAAAUUGAAAAAAGCACAAAAAUUACAAAAAAUAAAAAUAAAUCAGGCAGUGAAAUGACAACAAAGAAAAAAAAGGGAUCAAAAUCGAACAUGGUGUUUAACUGUGAGUCUGAAGGGAUAAAAAUAGUUUUUUUCUAAUUUUUUUAGCAUAAAUUUAAUGUCUGAACAGUUUUUUUUUGUUUUCAUGUGAAUAUGAGUUGGGCUAGACCAACACAAUGUUAUGAUGACCCAUUAAAUGUGUGUAGUAGAUCAUGAAAUUUUGUAAAUUUAUUUCUUUUUUAGCAUGAAUUUAAUGUCUGGAUAUUUUUCUUGAUGUGAAUGUUAGUCGGGCUAAAUCAACAAAAUUUCAUCAAAGUCCAUUAAAUAUGUCCGUGGUAGACCAUGAAUAUAUUUUAGAACAUGAUCAAGAUGAUCAAGAGACGACCAAUUUCUAAUUUUCCAUAACCAGCAUUUUAGAUAUAAUGCCUAUAUUUCUCCUCAUCAGGGGGGUUAUCACGAAUAUAAUAGUUUAGGGAGAAAACAAAAAUUCAAAUAUCUAAGUAACUUAUAUCAGGUAGGACGCAUGGAAUGAAUAUUAUUUUUUCUAUUACAUAAUCAGUUAUUUACAUGAAACUCUGAAUAUUAAUUAAGAUUUCUAUUUACCUCAACUAAGUGACUAGUUUUUAUUUAUUUUUAUACUUGGUGUCUAUUUAUUUUUGUGUUAUAAAAGUGUUUUUUAAAAAAUAUUUUUUUAUUUUUUUCUUUGCUUCAAAUUAACUUAUUUUGGUGUUUUUAGAUUAUUUUGAUGUAUUAAUGUCAAAAAUAAAUUUUAAAAAAUUAAAAAUAUUAUUUUAAUAUAUUUCUAAAUAAAAAAAUACUUUAAAAAACAAUUGUUAUCACAAUAUAAAUCACUUCUUAAUUCACUAAAAUGUACCACGAUAUAAACAACAUCGAUAUUCUAGAGGCGAAGGGAAGAGUAGAAGCAACAUGAUAGGUAGACAGGGGACAAUCAAACGUGUUACUAUUGUUGUUAAAAUCACGAGUUAACUUGUAAAAUCGUAUGAUUUUACGAGUCAACAUGUAUGUAACGUGUAAAAUCGAAUUAAAAACUCUAAAACCAGUAAAAUCAGACUUAGUUCGUGCAAAAUCAGUAAACUCGGUCCGAUUUUAUGAGUUUACUAAAUUUGUGAUAUGAACUAAGUCGAGUCCAAAUUUGACCUUAAAAUAUCUGCUGAUCAGUUUUGCGAGAUUGAAUAUAUGUUUCAAACUAUAUAUUAGAUAGAGCUGAAAUUUUACAGAAAAAUAUUAGACACAUGAAAAUAUAUUGUGGUAAAUUUUCGGGUCAAAUGGAGUUCAGCAACAUAAUCUUUUAAAGGGUCAAAGUUAGCAGACGAAUCUUAUCAAAUAUAUCAAACUAGACUUUCAUGUACUGUUUGGGACAUAUCUGGAGCUACCGGUAGAACUUUAUUGCGUUUAAAAUUGUUCUGAAAACUAGACAUCUGAAGCUUUCCAACCAUAUAUCGUAAGCCCAGUAAUUCAUCCUGACAAGAGAAAAUGAUAUGUUUGAAAUUAUGACUCAAAUAUGCCAAUAAUAUAUGAAAAUUGGAGAUUCGAGCAACAUGAAGAAAUUUUAACAUGAAAACUUUUUUUAUUAUUCUAUUCUAUUUAUUUAUUUAAUUUUAAAUAAUUAUUUUUAAUUUGAAUUUUUGGUAGAUCAUUAAACAUUAUUUAGGAGUUUAUUUUUUUAUUAAAUUGAUGUUGGUUAAUUAUUAGUUUAGACUCAUUAGCUUGCAAACCCAAAUGAGUCUAUUAGAACUUGUUGUGAUAGAAACAACCAGAUAGAAACAACCAGAUCAUUAAACCAAAUUGAUGUUGGUUAAUUAUUAAAUUGAUGUUGUUAUUAAAUACUUUCUAUUAUUUAGUGAUUCUUUUAUAUUGAAAAGUUUUGUUGAAAGACUUUUUAUUUCUCCAUGUCAUUAAUUUAUUGAUUCAUAUUAUCUAUUUUUUUAUUUUUUUUAGAUUAUUUAUUGAUUAAAAUAUUAUUGAUUUAUUUUAUUAGAUUUUAAUGUAAUUUAGUUUCUUAAAUAGAAUUAUAAAUAUAUAAUUAGUUAAAAAAUUAUUUAUAAUUUUACAAUUUAAGUUUAACAUCUAAAUUUAUAUUAUAUUUUUUUUAUCGUGUUAAAAAAAGUGUUUUUAACGCGUGUUACAAUUGAAUUAAUGAACCUCUUGCUGUCACUGUUCUUGAUGUCUACUUGCUGUCGCUAUCAGGUUUCGGCAAUAAAGCCAAAGAAAGAAGAGUCUGCAGUACGUGGAAAAUCAUGUGAUAUUGCAAUACCCGAGCACCCCGGCUAACAGGUGCAGACAGCAAUAAUGAACAUGGAAAUUAAAAAAUUCCUCUCUUAUUGUAAAAAAUAAGCACUAUCAUCCAUGAGAACGACAACGUUGUUCAUUUUCUCAGUGGACUCGAAGUCAAUGUUUAAAUCUCCUCUUUCAUGCGUUGAACAAUUCGUUUGAGAACAGGAUUAUAAUUGUUUUUUAAAAGUAUUUUUUAUUUAAAAAUAUAUUAAAAAAAUAUUUUUUUAUUUUUUAAAAAUUAUUUUUAAGAUUAGCGCAUUAAAAUAAUUUAAAAAUAUUAAAAAAUUAAUUUAAAAUAAAAAAAAUAAACCAUCAACAACCUUCCGAAGUUGGGUCACCCAAUAAAUAUAGCUUUUCGCUCAACCAGCGAAGGUAUAGAUUUUAUUGGACGACAAAUCACGAACAUAAUCAUUCAUUUUUUUCCUUAUUAAUUUUCAAAUAAGUUAUCGAACACAAGCUCACACGGCUAAAACUAGUUCUCUUUCUUUCUAAUCAAAUUAAAAACAAUCAUAAUUCUCUUUAAUUAAAUUACAAAUCAGGUGCAACAUAUUGAUGGUUUUCCUGCAAGUCUUAAGAUUAAACGAGUUUUAUUGAAGAGUAAUAAUUUUACAUUGUUCUAAAACAAAAAACAAAAAACAAAAAUUGAAACUUCAUGGAAAUUGAAGGACUGAGGAACCUUACGUCACCUUCCAUAAGAGAUCCACUUGAUCAAAGAUGGGCCCGCCGUUCAAUGAACAAGCGACGGCAAUGCAUGGUGCUCUCCCCUAUAAAGAGCCUUUGGCUCCUAACAAGUAUUUGAUACAUUAAUUUCAAGCAGAAACAGAGGGGUACAAAUGGGAUUAAACAGGUUCUCUCUGCCAGCAGUGGCGGUGAUGGUGAUGAUUAAUGCUAUGCUUCUAUCCCAAGGGUGUUUGGAGGAAGAACGAAUUGCUCUAUUGCAAAUCAAAACUUCCUUUGGUGACCACCCAAAUGACAUUGCAUCCCCGCUAUUCUCUUGGGGAAAAGAUGCCCUCUGUUGCAGUUGGAAAAGAGUUACCUGCAGCAAUUCCACUACAAGACGAGUCAUCGAAAUCAAUCUUUACUUCACAAGAGAUAGGUCAAUGGAAGAUUUGUACCUAAACGCAUCUAUAUUUCUUCCCUUCCAAGAACUCAAUGUUCUUGACUUGAGUGGAAAUGGCAUAGCUGGCUGUGUUGCGAAUGAAGGUUUGCCUCUUCAUUAAAGACUUUAUCUUUCGUAAUUUUAGCACGAAAAUAAACAUAUAUAAACUGACUUAUUCUCUACUCUUGCUGCAUCAAAGAUACAGCAGUGUAAGAGAAAUGACUUGCGAUUGAUGCAAAUUUAUUCAAAAAGACCAGAUAUCAGAAAACAAAAAAAGCACAACUGGAAGCAAUUUUGAUCAACAAACAGAAACGCAUUAUUUAGUAUGACAUGUCCAAAAAGUUUUUAGUGACAGAUACUGACUCUGACAAAGCAUGAGCCUUUCAAUACUUCAAGCAGCUCAUCUGGUGUCUUCAAUUUAACCCGUUCCUCAGUUUCCACAAUCAUGCUGCUUAUAUUUAGCUGAGUAAUUGGUUUUUCACUCUUGGCUUUCUCCACCUUAGGCAAGAAGCAUAAAUAAUUCUCACCAUUUUUGUUGGGUAUAACUAUUGACUCCUGGUCAUCAUCCUGCAAAGUUGUCGGAUUAAAAAAGCAAAUCAUUUUUUUAUAUAUAAGUUACAGAAACCAAAUUCCAACACAGAGGGAACUAAAAAGGAAAAUAAAUUAAGGUUAUCACAUUCACAUAGAAAGCCAAAGAAUGGUCAUUAGGUUGUUGCAUGAACAUUCUUCACACCAAAGAAACUCACAGGCUCCAUGGGAUGUAGAGAAACUAAAAGAGAAAAAAACUUAUUGUUAUAUCAGUUUGAGUCUGAAACUUAAAAACUGACUUUAAAAUAGAGAAUCUGAAGCAAUUUAAAAUUACAACAGAGUUAAGCAUUUGCAAUGUCAUAACACGGUCACUGUUCAAUCCCUCAAUACCCAUCUGCUGCAGAAAAUGAACAAGGAAACUCUCUUGACUAUCAAAUAAUACCAACCCUCCGUUGCAUGCAAACUUCUUGAGAAACAUUCAUCUUCCAGAUCCUAGCCAAGACAGUUUUUCUCUUUUCAAGUCACAAACUUACCGGCCCCGAGUCCCAGGUUCCCAUCAUAUUCUCAUUUUAACUGAUCAAAGAGCAUGUGGCGAUAACAGUGUUAAAAGGCGCAUUUUUGAAACAUGGACAUGCAAUCUAGCUGAUGACAACGACAAUGAACAGACUAGCAUGAUACAAAGAUAUAUGUAGCACAGAAAGGAAAAAAAAGGCAAAAACCCUACGCUUACUUACAGGAAGAAAAGGAGAGUCUUCUGAAUGAAAGUCGAUCUGAUAUUUAGGUUCACGAGAACUGCGAAAUGUAGCACCUGUUAAUUAGCAGAAAGUUAACAUAACGGAUUUAGAAAUACACAAACAGAAGAAGGAUAUAACGCAACAACAUUAAUUUAACUAGCUUGCUUAACAUGCAAAACACAAAAACACCCUUGUAACUGACUGAACAUAUCAAAACAGGACUUGAAACCUCUAAAUUCUUAAAUAGUGCCAUGACAACUGCCAGCAACAGUAAUGGCUGAAUUACAACCCCCCAUUUAGUUAUCCGUGUUUUCAUUCCUUUCAAAGCUUCAUUCAUAACCAGUAAACUACUUAAUGCUUUGAUAUAAAACAACUAAACAAUAAAAGGCCAAGCCGAUUCAAUACCACAGCGUAUUACAAACUAUAAUUAACACCCUUUCCCUCUGAAUUCUGUCCAAAAAAUUACCUUCUAACCAAUUAAAGGCACUCCAAUGUUCUCCACACAAAACAUAAAAAUCUUUGUUGAAAAAACAUUGCACGAAACAACAAAAACAUUCCAUGAAACACAUUAAUAAUUAAUUAAUCCUAAGAAACCAAGUUCUUCAAAAAUUGAGAAAUCAUAGCGAAACAAGAUAAACCCAUGUCAAAAACAAUAAAAUCUCAAAGACUCAUUAAUCUUAUGUUUACAAAGCAAUCUACUUUACAGUCAAAGUAGCAAUCUUUUUACCUACAUGACCAGGGAAGAUCUGAUCAGCUAAAACAUGGUUGCAUACAGUGUAUAACACCACAAUUAACCACAAAAAUCUCAUCUUUCUACUCCCUUUCUGUGGUUUAUUUUACUUUUAUUGAAAUUUUAUGAUUAAUAAUCUAAGAACUUCCAAAAAAAUUGCAGAUUUUGGGUUUUGCGUUAAGAAUAGAAGAGGAAGAGGAAGCGUUCCUUUGUGAGACUGAAUCAUGUGUUCUUGUUGCUGAAUUGAUUGGCCAAUGAAGAUUCGCCACGUAACAAAUAGUGGGCUGGAUAAACACAUCUAGUCCAGGCUUAUGAUGAUUAGGCUUUAAGAUCGAAUUUGGGCCCAACUGUUUGAUUGGAGUUACAAUCAUCAUAUAAAAAAUUUCACAAUUUCCUGAGUUAUUAUAAUUAUAAUUUAGUCAACUCAGUUCAUCAAAAACAUUAAUUAAUCAGACCUUUUAUUAUAUAUAUGAUUGAAUACUAUCUUGAUUAGUACUGAUCAUCCUUAAUAAAUAUUUUUUCAAAAUUACUAUCUUUUCUAAUCAUUUUUUUUCCAUUUUACCUACUUUUCUUUCUUUUUUCUUUUUUUCAAAAAAGGAAAAAAAACAUAAUAAACUAGAAAACACUGAAAUUUAGGAGAUAAAAGAUUUAUAAAUGGAUUUAAAUACAUAAUCUUUUAAAUAACAAGGACUAACUAAUUAGUUUUUGUUAAAAUAUCAAGAAUAAGUGAUAAUUGAUUCUGAUUUUUUACUUGUUGAGGUGCUUGGUUCUUCUUCUUUUUAUUAUUAUUAUUAUUAUUAUUAAAACAAAUCCAUUCGCCAACUACUUUAUCCUCCGGGAUGGUGAUAUAUUAUAUCUCCCAUUUGUUUAUUUUCUUUUUCUUUUUUGCUGAGGUGUUUUAUAAACAAUGACUCAGUGGACCUACGGCGAACUAGUUGCCAGUUCAAAUGGCAAUCUGGUUUUAAAAAUAUAUUUCACGUCGUAAUUGUUUUAAUCCUUGUCUAACUCUAACUUAAAUGCAAAAUUACAGGCUCUCAAAGAACUACAUCACAAAAAACAAUGACAAGCAAAAUGAAAAGAUGAUAAUAUAUUUAUAUUGUAUUGACAUGGAUUUCCAAGUAAAUGUUAUAACUUGAAUAAUAAACAAUCAUGAUGAAUUAACUUAGUUGUACAAUUUAUUUUUUUUAUUUUUUUUUAAUUAGACUUGAUUGAGUCUUAAUUGGUUUUGAGAUGAAUUAUAAUUAGAAUUAGAUUGAAAAGUUAUAAAAAAAUUUAAAAUAAAAUUUUAAAAAUAUUUAAUAUUUUAUUAAUUUUAAUUAACAUAAAUUAACCUAUAAAACUCAGAUAAUCCCCUCAGGUGAUCCCUCUGCGCAACAUGUCUUUUCUCUUAUUAUUCUUCCCUACCAAGUCUUAAUCGGGCCAGACGGAAUUUAAGGAGUUAUAAAAAAAAUUGGAACCAAACGAAACAAAAAUAAAGACUUAAAUCUAUGACCAAAUUGAAUUGACUUAAGAGAAAUUGGGGCGAGAAAAUAAAAGGAAAGGAUUAAAAAAAAAAAAGUUUGGUUUAUUUGGUCAAAUAAUGUCUUUCUUUCUUUAAAAAUCUUGAAUUUAAACCUCAAUUUUUUUAAUAAAUAAAUAAAUAAAUAAAGGUUUUGUUAUAUUUUUUGACGCGUGUUCUCGAUUUGUUGGUGCAGGGAUUUUUCAUUUUCUAUUGUGGAGGGGUGUAGAAGGAAAUUAACUUGAAAUUUCAACACCUCUAUACACCGACCAGUCCUCGCCUUAUUUUAAUGGAGGAGCGGUGAGUCGUGUUUGUUUGUUACCCUCAAAACCAAGAAAUUGCGAAGAAACCGAAGGGAAUAAAGAAGGGUCAAGGAGUUGACGAGCGGUGACGUGUGUUUGUUUUGUCACGCCUCCUUUCGUUUCUAGACACGGAAUCUGGAGUGCGAUAAACUUGUUUUUUUUUUUUUUAAUUAAAAUUUAUUUAUUUUUUAUUUUAAGUUAUCUAUUUAGUAUUUUUAAUUUUUUUUAGUAUUUUAAUAUCAAAAAUAAAUUUAAAAAAUAAAAAAAAUAGUAUUUUAAUAUAUUUUUAAAUAAAAAAUAAUUUUCACAAUACUUCCAAACACUAUAUAAAAAAAAUGGGGGCUUGCUUUUGCUCAAGGGAAAGGGAAAUUCCAAUUUCUUGCUUUGCGAAAACAAAAAACGAUUGUCUUGCUUCACAAGGCUUCUGCUGUUGCCGGUUUUAUCGUAGCAAAUUGUUAGUGUUAUGGUAUUCUUUAAAAGUAUUUUAAAAAAUAUAUAUUUAGAUUUUUUUAUUUGAUAUCAAUAUAUUAAAAUCAUUAAACAAUAUUAAAAAAUUAAUUUAAUAUUUUUUUAAAACAAAUACAUUUUUAAAAAUAACUAUAAACAAAAAUUAUGAUUAAUAAAAAUAAUUUAUAAAUUAGUUGAACCAGAAAAAAUAACAUAGCUUGAUUGUUACCUUUUUUUAGCAACACAAUUUAAUUGAUAAUAGUAAAACUGUAAAAAACAAAUUAUAAAGGUUGCGUACUGAAAUAUAUAUUUAGGCUUGUCUUGCUUUGGAUUGCAUGAGAGGGACACACGUGAGAGAAAGAGGAAGACAACAGGUGGAGCAGCUUGUCGUCCACUCACGGUUUUUUUUGCCACAAUAACAACCAAAAAGGCAAUGCAUGUUGUACACAUGGUGUGACGAGGAAAGGCCUCAAUAAAUUCCUUUUUCUUUUUUUAAUUAUUAUUAUUAGCAGAAACCCUUUUCUUUUGAUAAAAAAGAACAUAUAAUGAAAGAAAAUAAUUUACAGAGAGCAUGUGGAGGGUCAGAGCUUACAUAACUUGUAGAUUUUCCUUUUAAAGGGAUUAAAAAAAGGAAAAAAAGGUUUUGCAAAAUAUUUUUAAUUAAUUAUAAUAGCUUUAAGUAAAACAAUCAUAAAUAGAUAUUCAUACAUCAUGUAUCCAAUAUCAUUACAACAAUGGUACUCAUAUAAAAUAAUGAUUAUCUAUAUAUUUGAGCCUGUUUAGAAGUGUAUUUGCAGUUGUUUUUUAAAGUGUUUUUUUACUUAGAAAUAUAUCAAAAUAAUUUUUUUUUAUUUUUUAAAAAUUAUUUUUGAAAUCAACGCAUCAAAAUGAUGUAAACACACACAAAAAAAAAUUUAAAGUAAAGAAAAAAAAAUUUUAAUUUUUUUAAAAACGCUUUUAAACACAAAAACAAACAGAGCUUAGUUGUUGAGUGCGUUGAAAAUCUUUGUUUUUUUUUAUUUAUAAACAUUCUUUUAUUUUGAAAUGAUGAUUAAAUGAUUGUAUAUAAUCUAAUAAAAGGCAUGAUUAAUGAUGAUUAAAUGAUUGUAUAUAAUCUAAUAAAAGGUAUGAUUAGGGAAGGGAUAAAAUUAGAUAGAAAUACUUUUUUUAAAAAAUAGAUAUAAAUAAAAUAAAAUUUAUGAUCCUAUAAAAAAUGAUAAGAAUGUUAUUAGAUAUUUUUUAAUUUACAUAAAAUAUUUCUUGAUAAGAUAUAACUAUUUUUUUAUAAAAAAAUAAAUAUCUAAAUAUAAAACAAAUUAUUUUUUAUCUCAUGACGUGCACAAAUAAUAAAAAAAUUCAACUACAAGUGAAAUUACGAAUUACCCUGUCCAUUCCCAUUUAAAUAACUAACAAUUCAAUCCCUUGUAACUAAAAGACAACUAAUAAUAAUCGUUUGCCAGCAAAAGUCACUUGCUUUGAAAUCGAGGCCUCCUAUUUAAUGACUUUAUUUAGUAUUUAAGAUUUUAUUUAAGAUGUCCCUAUUUAUUUGAUUAAUUAAUUAAUUAAGCUAUAGGAUUUCACAUGCUUGAAAUCGAGGUCUGCUAUUUAAUGACCUUACUUAGCAUGUAAGAUUUUAUUUAAGAUGUUCCUAAUUAAUUAUUAAUUAUUAAUUAAGCUAAAGGAUUUGGAUUCAAGAAAAAGACAGCCUAUUUUUAUGUGGCAACUAGUCAAAUCAAAUCUUUGCCCUUCACUUCUCAUCAAACGUCCCCAAGAUACUUGGAAUUUACGUCAUCAUGGGCCUUACCAUUUUUUUGUGUAUAUAUACAAAACUUUUUUUAAAAAAAAAAACAUUGAAAGCUUCAAAAUAUUAGAAAGAAAAUAAAAAUACGUGAGACAAAAACAUUGCUUUAUCAGCUUUUUUUUUGUGGCGUUUACGUUAAGCUUGUGAAAAUCUUACACAUUAUAAAAGUACAAGAAUUUGGUCAGUUUUCUUACCAUUUUUCGUUUUUUUAUCACAAGCGUACGAGCUUUCUUGUUCCUUCAACCUUCUCUUUGCAUUUUCCUGAGAAAAGGGAAAAAAAAAAUCUCCAUUACAAGUUUUCUAAUUUCAAGAAUUCAUUUCCCAGAUAAGUCUUAAUUUCUUUUUGUUCAAGCAAAGUAUCAAGUUGCAAUCUUUAGCUGAAAGAAGGUUUCUUUUCUUUUUAAGAUUUUGUUUUGCAUCUCUCUGAAUUGGGAUUUGUUUGUUCUCUGGAGGAGAAAGAAUUUGUCUUGAUUUGGAGGGAUAGACAGAGUUUAUUACUUUUCCUUUCGUGUUGUUUGGUUUUCUGGUUUUGAAGUCAUUGUGUGCUUAAAAAGAGAAGAGCUCAUUUGAGAUUCAAGGGAGAAAUUUAGAUUUUUGACGUUUUUUGUGGGAAUUGGCACCAUUUUGGAGGAAAAGUUUGAAUUUGGUUUGUGGGGUCUGCUGUAUUAGAGCUUGGUUUUGACUUGCCUGUGUCUGUGGUCUGUUGUAUGUUAGUAUAUUCUUGAUUUGAGUUGUGAAGAUCUGUUUACCUCAUGCUUUUGAAGUUCUAGCCUAUCUUGUUCCUGCAAUUUUAAAGCUUUUACACAGAAGCGGUUGUUGGGUUUCAGUUAUUUAUCUUGUAGGUGAGUUCGGUUGUUAGUUUGUGAACUGUUUGAUUAGAUUGUUGUGGAUUUUGAGGUUUUAGUUUGGAUAAUCAUAAUAUAGUUAGUUGAUAUUGAGUUGUAGUUCUUGGAUUUUGGAUUGUCGGAUUCCCAAUGGCGAAGGAGAACGGAAAGAAUAAGAAACAGGUAGGAAGACAAUCAAGUGAGAAUGAUAUGAAGCAACCUAAGGUUGGGAAUAAUAGCCCUAAGGCGCUGGAUAAGGACACUGCAGUCUUCAUUUCCAUGUCACAAGAAUUGAAGGAGGAAGGGAACAAGUUGUUUCAGAAGAGAGACCAUGAAGGAGCCAUGUUGAAGUACGAAAAGGCCAUCAAGUUGCUUCCGAGGAAUCAUAUAGAUGUAUCCUAUCUUCGGAGUAAUAUGGCCGCAUGUUAUAUGCAGAUGGGUCUGAGUGAAUAUCCCAGGGCAAUUCAUGAGUGUAAUUUGUCGUUAGAGGUCACACCAAAGUAUAGUAAGGCACUGUUGAAGAGAGCAAGGUGUUAUGAGGCUUUGAAUAGGCUGGAGUUGGCUAUGAGAGAUGUCAGUACGGUUUUGAAAAUGGAGCCAAAUAAUUUCAUGGCAUCAGAGAUUUCAGAAAGGGUGAAAAAGACAAUUGAGCAGAAGGGGCUAAGGGUGAACGAUACAGUAAUUGAACUGCCUCCAGAAUAUGUUGAACCCCCUGUUGCCUCAUCUAAACUAGCGAAACAGAAGACAAAGAAGAAGAAGGGCAAAAAAGUAGAGGAAAAAAAGACUGCAGGUGAAACUGAGCAAAAGAUGGUUGGGGAUGAAGUUGAGGGACAGAAUGCUGGGAAAGAAAUUGAAUACAGUAGAGUUGAUAGCCAACUCGAGGGGAAGAAAGCCGAGGAUAAGGUGGUGGUGGAGGAAAAACUGAGGAAAACGGAAGAACCUAAGAAGUCUGUAAAAUUGGUUUUUGGGGAGGACAUAAGAUGGGCUCAGUUGCCUAUUAAUUGCAACCUCCUGCAACUUAGGGAAGUUAUUGCUGAUCGGUUUCCAGGCUCAGAAGAGAUUCUUAUCAAAUACAGGGACCAUGAAGGUGAUUUGGUUACAAUAACCUCUGAUGAAGAAUUAAGGUGGGUAGAAGCAUCAGCAGAAACCCAGGUUUCUAUCAAGCUGUAUCUGGUCGAAGCCAAUCCUAAGAAAGACCCAUCCUUUGAUAGACUUAAGCUGGAGGAGGUGCAAAAACUGGAUAUCAAACAAAAGCUUGCCACUGAGAAUGGGAACAUGGAAAAUGGCAAGCUGUCUGAAAACAGAUCAUAUUGCUUUGAUGAAUGGAUAGUAGAGUUUGCUAAGCUGUUCAAGAACCAUGUCGGGUUCGAUUCUGAUUCUUAUUUGGGUCUUCAUGAACUCGGUAUGAAGGUGUAUUCAGAUGCUAUGGAGGAAACAGUUACUAGUGAAGAAGCGCAAGACCUUUUCAACACAGCAGCAAGCAAGUUUCAAGAGAUGGCAGCUUUGGCACUGUUCAACUGGGGAAACAUUCAUAUGUCCAGGGCAAGGAAGAGGCUCGGCUUCACUGAAGAAGCUUCAAGAGAAUCAAUACUUAAAGAGAUUAGAAAGUCAUAUGACUGGGCGCAAAAAGAAUAUAUAAAAGCAGGGAAGAGAUAUGAAGAAGCACUAAGAAUCAAACCAGACUUCUAUGAAGGUCUUCUAGCUCAAGCGCAGCAGCAGUUUGAACGGGCAAAACUUUCCUGGUAUUAUGCAAUUGGAAACAAUGUUGACUUGGAAACAUGGCCUUCUGAAGAGGUUGUCCAACUUUAUAACAUGGCUGAGGACAACAUGGAAAAGGGCAUGGUAAUGUGGGAAGAAUUUGAGGCUCAACACCUGAACAUUUCCAACGUAGCGAAGGUUAAAGCCCAGUCUCAGAAAACUGGGUCAGACAAGCUAUUUAAAGAUGUGUUCUCAGAAGAUGCUACUGAGCAGGCUAGGAACAUGAGGUCCCAGAUUAACCUCCUUUGGGGCACCGUACUAUAUGAGCGGUCAAUUAUGGAAUUCAAAUUAGGCCUACCAGUCUGGCAAGAAUGCUUGGAAGUCGCAAUCGAGAAGUUUCAUCUUGCUGGAGCUUCCCCCACAGAUAUAGCUGUUAUGAUAAAGAAUCAUGUUUCAAACGAUAAUGCACUGGAAGGUAUAACUUUUGAUUACUUAUUAGAAAUUUUGUUUAAGAAUUAUCUCUGAGAUGCUAACAAAUAUAUCUGCUUAAAAUUCACCAUUGCAGGUUUAGGAUUUAGAAUUGACGAGAUAGUACAGGCAUGGAAGGAGAUGCAUGAAGCUAAGAGGUGGCGGAAUGGGGUUCCCACAUUCCGGCUAGAACCAUUACUUCGACGUCGUGUUUCCGAUAUUUAUCAUGCCUUGGAGAUUUUAUGAGUUGCAUCCAUCAAAACUUUACUAUGAAUAGAUGACUUCUUGCUUAGGUAUGUACAUGCAUGCCAAAAACACUCUCGUUAAUCAAGUUCUUUUGCAUAAGAUGGAAAAAUUUCUGUGAUACCUUGGCUGCCAGCUACCAUUUAUAUGUUAUGUGCAAAUUUCAUAUAGCAGCUGCUGUCUAAUAAUUGAUAGAGUGACCUUUUCUCCGUUUUUAAAUCUCUGCUAGCAACCACUUCACAAGCAGCUCUAUGUGGUCACUGCUUUAAUUUGUUAAAUAGUUCGAUCUCAGGAAGGGACAAUAUCCUUUGACUUGAUGAAAAUGGCUUUCAAGAAUUCAAUGUGAUUUCUUGUCUGGGAUUUUAGUGUUAUGCACUCUGGUCAGACCAGUGAUAGGCUUUGCGUUAUCUCUGCCACUUCUGAUUAGUGCAUGCUUACCUCUUACCACUCACCACUUCAUAUUUCAGUCUCCUUAAUUAAUUUGUUUCUUUGGUUCAUCCAGAGGUUAGAUGCCUUUUUGCUCAAGAUAACCAUUGUUGCAUGUUCUGCAGGUAUCUUCUCCUUAAAAUUCAGUUUCAGCCAUGUAUUUUUAGAAACAUCAGAGGUGUAGCUGCUGUAGUAAUGGGAUUGUAUUGCAUGAUAUUAGCAGAAACAGAUUCUUCCAUUUGUUUACACUGACGGGGAUAAGAUGAAGCUGCUAAGGUUUCCCUUUUUGUUAAUUUCUGCCUCCCCACUUUUUAGACUGACAGUCAACAGGAGAUGGUAUAUGUUAUUCAUUUGUCAAGUAUUCAGCAAUUAUACAUUGUUUGUUUGCCGCUAUGAUUUAUAAUCUUGAAUUUGGUGUUCUUUGUAAAUGUUCAUAGUCAUGCUAGUUAGUUAGGUUUCAAGGAAACAAGUGUGCUUUUCUACUGGAUUGAGUCCAGUGUCUCGUCUUACAAACGUUUGAAAGAAAAUCGGUCUUGUUUUUUUCUUUUGAUAGAAAAUCUUUCUUUACUUCAUACGCCAGAAACUAUAUCUUGACAGAUUGCAGCAUAUGCAUUUGUGUAGCAUAUGAAAUCUUUGUAGAAUUGAAGUUGGGUUCGUAGCUCCCAUCAUUUGCCCUACACAACAUAUGGGUCCCUUUAAAAUUGAUUGUUAAGUUAUUAAGAGUGUAACAUGUGAGCAAAAUUGGACCUCGGAUUAUUUUAAUCCAUCAAAUACUCUCAUCGGCUGAGCUCGGUGGAAACCACAGGACAGCAGUAACUAGGUAAAAAGGAUUAUACAGGUUCCAGUACAGUGAUAUCUUAAGAAUCGAAGAUGGUGUCUUAUUCAGAUGAAAUAUUAGAUAAGCCCGGUUUUGCAUGAGCACCUACUCAUGUAAACAGGGUGGAACCCUAUAUCAAGUGAUGAUAUAGAUUCACUCACACCCCACUUUGUGGUGUGAACUCAUUAGACAUUGUGUCACGAAAAUGGCAGGUGAGCCAAGCUCAUGCAAUGCUUUCUCGCCGUAUUGCAAUAAUUCUCGUCUUACAGGCCCUUCGACAUGCCUCUUUGGUGACCCGCCAGAGGCAAGGUCAGGUGAGACUUUACCCCCAACAAGAGAUUUCAAUGGGGUUAAAUAUCAAUAUGAAGUACGGUAUGACUCAUACCUCUGCGAUAAGAACCUGAAAGUUUUAAGCGCUGAGGAUGUGUUUUUGCGCCAGAUGAUACUGAUAGAAAGGCCUCAUAAUAAAGAAUGAGUGCAAUGCGUAAACAAAAGAUAUCUCCACAUGCAUGGUGCAUUGAUGAAGUCGUCCUGUGCCAUCAGGAUAAAAUAUUUGAAGUGGACAGGGGAUAGAAAUUAGGGGUGAUUAUUUUUUAUUUGUUUCGGUUUUUAUCAAAAAAAAGUAACCAAACUGAAAUAUUUUUUUUAAAAAAAAAACCGAAACCGGGUCAAACCGACCGGUUUCGGUUUGGUUCGGUUCGGUUUUUUUAGGACAAAAACCGGUUUAGCUCAGUUUUUCCGGUUUUGGCUCGGUUUUUUCCGGUUUUGGCUCGGUUUGGCUCUUUUUUUCCGGUUUUUUUCAGUUUCGGUUCGGUUCAGUUUUUUCGGUUUUCUGCUUAUAAAACCGAAACCGAACCGGCUGGUUUUUUUUAAAUUUUAAUCGGUUUUUUUUUUCGGUUUGGUUUUUUCGGUUAUUAAUCUGGUUUUUUCGAUUUAAUCGGUUUUUUGGUUUUUUUGCUCACUCCCGAUAGAAAUGCACACCCUUAAUUUGAGAAAGGGUGUUUUUGUGGUUUUUAACUUGUUUUUUAAUGACAUUUAUUAAUUUUAAUGAUUUGAUAUUUUAUAUAUAUACAAAACAUUAUUUUAGAAAGAAACAUAAUCACUCAGCGACAGAAAACACUCACCGUUGAAUGGCCGUCAACCCAGAAACAAGACCGGAUUCCUACCCAACCAUAUAAACACAAAGGAAAUUACACUAGAAAAAAAGAGCUGCCAAGAAUCCUUCCAAGAGCUAUAUUAUUUCCAGCAUGGCUAAUUAAUCCUAACAUAAUAAAGGGAUAAUUAUAUAAAGCCUACUGAAGGGAGGGUCACAAGACAGGCCAAUUUAGGUUUAAGGUGCAUUUGUUCCGGUUCUCUUGUAUAUGAACCUUCACUCAGUAGCUUCACGCAUUACCAGCCAUGCCAUAAAACUAUUUCAAAUAUAGCCAUGGUGCACAACAGGUUCCAAGCACAUGGAAUCUUCAUAUAAAUAAAAGUGAAGCUUAUGUUUCUUUUGACAAAGUGGUGGACAAGUAAAGUACAUGAACCAAGAGGUUUGCUCUUUCUGUGGUCUCAGGUUCGAGUCCUGUGGUUGCUCAUAUGAUGGCCACUGGAGGCUUACAUGAUCGUUAACUUCAGGACCCGUGGGAAUAGUUGAGGUGCGCGCAAGCUGGCCCGAACACCCACGUUAAACUAAAAAAAAUAAAAAUACAUGAACCAAUAUAAACGUAUGAUCAUACACGGGAGCAGCGUUUUCAGCAGUAUUUUCAAUUCAAGACCAAAUCAAACUAAGGACAGUUUGUUUUUAUGUAAUCAACAACUAACUGAAUUCUGCAUGUGCGUUAUUUUUUAAAACAUUUUUAUAUUAGCUAAUACUAAUGUCACUGCUGUUAGUUGUAUUCCAUUGUUAAGCCUUCAAGCUGCAAAUGUCUCUGGUACUCGAAGCUAACAUGUUGAUUCUUCUGCACGUAACGUGAACAGAAAUUGAAUUAACAACUCUAUUGAGGAAUUCUAAAAACCAAAUCUUACAGGGGAACGUGGGAAUUGUUUAUGUUUAAGACCUAGUUGAUCAAAUUUAUAAGUUUGGAAUUCAUUUUAGAAUUAAAAUAUAAUGUAAGGACCAAAAUUAAGUUUAUCUUUUUUUUUUUUUUGAGUUUCUGUGCUUAAAAAACGUUGAAAACACCAUGCUUGUUAGCUUUACUGGUGUAUUUGUUUAGAGCUCUAGACUCUGAUGUCUUAGUAUUUUCAAGAUGAUUUUAAAUUAUUUUUUUAUUUUAAAAAGCAUUAAAUUGAUAUUGAUGUUUUUAAAAUUACUGAAGAAAAAUUAAAAAAUCAAUUCAGUAUUUUUUUUAAACAAAAAACACUCCAGCUGCAUCACAAAACACAUAUUAAACAAGUUAUAAAUAAAAGAAAAAUUGAAGAUAAAAUAUUCUGAAAAAUAUUCUCAUGCGACUUAAGAUAUUUUUAUGAAUUCAAUUUCCAAAAAUUUCCGUGUAUUAAAUGGGUGAAUCUAAUUAGUAAAAUUUCAUAAAUUCAAUUGUUGAAGUUUUAACAAUGAAUUUACCUGUUGAAAUUUUCUACAAUUGGAUUUACUAUAAAGAUUUUUUCUUUAGCUUUUGCUGUAUGAGAUAUUCGAAACAGAUAUUAACUACUAAUAGGUUAUUUGACAUUGCGAUUGAAAUUAUAUUUGGAAGUGUUUUAAAAAUAUGUGGCUUGAAAAAUAUUAAAUUAAUAUUUUUCUAGUAUUAUUUUUAAUAAUUUUAAUAUAUUAAUAUAAAAAAAUUAAAAACAAAACUAUUUUAAUAUAUUUUCAAAUAAAAAUUACUUUUAAUCACAAUACCAAACCCAUAUAAAAUUGAUCCAAGUUAGGUUUAAAAUUAAUCCAUCAAUGCUAUUAAUGGGCUUGGCAAGAAUGUUUUUUCCUUUCUAAUUUUUUAUUUUAUUUUAAGGAAAUAGUCAAAUAGAUGAUAAUGAAAGUUUUGCUAAAGAUUCAUUUCCAAAGGAUUUAUUUUAAACAGUUUCAUCAUUAUUUCAGAAGCAAACAUUAGACAACUCCAUAAAAGCUCACCAUUGCUUGUAUAAAAAGGCACUCCCAUUAAUUAUUAGGCAAGUGGAUUCAAUGCCUAUGAUAAGAGAUUAAUUACACGCAAUCAUUGUUUAUGAUAAAGAUUUAAACUUCAUUACAUUGAAAUUUUAUGAAUUGUUUAACCUUUACGUACGUAAUUUAUCUUUCUUAAAAUCAAAGAGAUAUAUCUAAUUUUGAUAUAUAAAGUUAUUUGAAAAUCUAUUUAUCUUCUAAUUGUAGCGUUCUUCUUUAAUAAAAAUAAAGAGAUGGACCUAAUCUUUAUAUAUAAAAAUUGAUAAAAAAAAAAUACUACUUUUUUUUGUUUGAUAAAUGUUUCUAGCAUGAGAUGUAAAGGAUUACCUCUAAUUUAGAAUGGAUUUUGCCUUGGAUGGUGAUAUAAUGGUGAGUUUAAUUCUUGCAAAAACUAGUUUAAGAUACCACUUAGCCGUAAACCACAAUCCACCUCUCUUGCGGAUGCUGAUUUCUUUGUUGAAUAAACCUGCACCAAAUUUGAAGUACGAAAUAAGAACAAUCAGCAACAAGUUAAAGAGUACAUGCUUGCAACCCCACUUCUAAAUUAUUCAAAAAAGUGUAUUUGACAAGCUUAGCUCAGGUUAUCAAGAACAGUUUUGACUAUAUUGUUUGGAAAAAGAUGUCUCAUCUUAGUCACUGCUUGACAAUCAACAUUAGGCCAAUGAAGCAAAACAAAAUUCAAUGGCUGGUAGCACAUGCAACACUGCAGCUUUGCGGAUAGGGAAACCCCGGAAAAGCUAUAAAUUAUGAAAUUGGAUGCCAUUCUGGAGAAUGCAGAUCCUGCCAUAUGAACUUUGAAAAGGGAUUUGUAUAAUUGUAAGAAAUAACGAUGCGAGAAGACAACAGCAAGUUACAUGGUAAGGUACAAGAAGCAAUAGUGCUCUCUGUAGUAGUGUACCCACACAGCUAAAUCUGAUUUUCACUAACAGCUGCUACAAACAUUUAAGAGGGUAAAUCUGUACAAAAAUUGAGCACCUUUAGGGGCAAAAAAGAGCACCAAUCAAUCAAAUAACAAAAGCUCAAUCACAUGGGUUUAUGAUACAAAACAUAUCAAUUUCAGCUUGUAUCACAGUAUCAUGCAGCUGCAACAGUUCGGGCACUGCUUCUUCCAAGACCAAGACCACCCAAACCCAAGGGUUCGGUGUCCGAUUUAGACCUCCCUUGGUGAUCGUGGCUGCAGUGGGAAGAAUGAACAUGACCAUGAUGGAUUUUACUUUCCGAAUUCACAUUGAUGGAAACAUGGCCAUUGCCAUUCAUGUGAUGAGAAUGAGCAUCCCCAUUUUGCAGGUUUGAAUUCCUUGACAUGUGCAUCAUUCCAAUCCCCUCAGAAUGUGGAGAAUCUUCAAAAUACUCCACAUCUUCAUUGUAACCAUUGAUCAAGAAAUCUGAACAAUUCUUUUUACAGCCAUGAUCAAAUGGGUUUCUGAAGCGACCCCCUGGGCCCCUGAGAUAGCUAUAACGCAGUACAUUUGCCAUUUCAUUGGUAGUUAUAUUACGAGAUAUCUGUCACAGGAGAAGAAAUGAUUCAGCACUAUUCAUCUAAAAGUGUUAAAAAUGACAGCAUGAAUCACCUUCAGAGUUCAAUGGCAAAGCACAGCUUGUCAACACAUGGAACAUUCAUCACAAAAGAAGUUUGAAAACAAAAUGCUCUUUUAAUUAUACAUCAUUUGAUAUCCUCUUGAAGUGUAUAUCUCAUUUAACGCAUGCUAUCCUACCUAAUACACUCCCUUAGUAUAAAAUAGUAAAUUACAUGAACUCCAACAAAACAACUUUUUUCUUCAGACACAGCACACAGUAACAGCAAGAAACUGCACUUAACAGUCCAUAUGGUUACCGGUAUGCAACUCUAAAGUGCAUCACAAUAGCAUAUCAUGUGAAAAUAUAAGCAUGCAACUCAAGCUUAUGAGUUCAAUUACUCUGUAACAGCUGCUACAGAACAAAUCACCCAAGACAAUCAGUCAGAUAUUCAGCACUUGCAGAUGUUUACAGGAUUUACCUGAGAGGCUUGUACAAUGGUUAAUACUGCCACGCCAAAGAAGAGGAAGAAAUCCAUAAUCAGAAAUGAUAUAGCACCAAUAUGAUGAGAUACAGCAUGGUUUAUCCAUGCUCCCAGAGAAGAGGGAGCCAAAGGAUCAGUCAAAACUCCUGCAUACCGCAAAUCAUUCUCAAUCAGAAACUUCCCCGUCCCACCAAAAAUAUAUAUAUAUAUAUGCUUAGAAAUGGCUAAAUCUGAAAGGCUAAUCAGUCACAUACUUGUGAGAGUCACUCCACCAGUUAUCAACAUUGCUGAAACUUCCAGAACAAGAAAUGCAAAGAAUUCCCACUUGUUUUUCUGCAUCAGACACAAAUAUGCCACAUUAUUUUAUAGAGAGGUAAAUACAGUUGAAAAGUAUCUACGAUAUGAAUCUUCAGUGCAGGUUAAACCAUGUAAAUUUAAAUGCCAAGGUCCCCCUAAGGAAAGCUCAGGUCGUGUGCAUAUGUAAUAAACUAAAUGCAAGUAUCAAGCCAUUAUUUUUAUGCCUGCCAGUCAGACAUGGAUUCCAAACAGUCAAAGAUCAAUUUAUCUGGCUGAAUGUUAUCAAACUAAUUGCCAGGGAAAUCAACUGAGAUCUGUUUCAUGAAUGUGUGACAUUAACCAUACAUUCUCCUUGUUGAUAAAAGACGAAGUGGAAAUGUGAGUUGAAAGAAAAGACAUCAAACAGUAUUUACGCACCUUGCCAAUGCAAUUAGAUACCCAAGGGCAAUGAUGAUCAAAUUGUUCAACACAUCGAUCACAUGUGGAACAGUGCUUUGCACGAAGAGGUCUGACAAUCUGAUUAUUAUUUGAAAUUGGAUUAAUUAACAAAAUGUCACUAAACCGAGCAUCAAUCAGAGAAAGCUAGAUGAAUUGCUCAUCGAGCAAGAUCCAUAUAGGCUGCCAAAAAUCAGUACCUUGCAUGUCGCACAGAGCUGAGACCAAUUCCCAGUGAGCAAAGCAGGAUUAUUUAUCUCAAUCUUCAAAAGUGGCUCCUAGAAUAAAAAGCCAAAUAUAAAUACAGAAGUGAUCAGAGAAUAUACAGGGCCUGCGUUUUUGUUUAGAAAAAGAAAGACAAAGAAAACUCUGCACGACUUCAAUAAAAGAACUGACUAGAAAACUAUCUUUCUACAUGCCAAAGAACCAUGAAUAGUAAUAAAUAUAAGCAUGAUUAAUCUAAAAGGGAUGAAACAUACAUCAUCUUUCAUAUUUUGUGGAUCGUGCACAUUCAUUCUAAUGUAACCCGGAUCCUUCCUGCCAAGAGAUAAUCGAAAGAAGAAAGUGAAAUAUCAAUUGAGAUUGCUAUGUUCAAGUUUGGUGUUACAUCAUAAUUUUGUGUAAUUCACAUUGUAACAUGAACAAAAAAAAUCAGGCAUGGAUGCAUGUAAUCAAUUGGAGAUGUGAUAUGCAAUAAGAUAAGCAAUAAUUAUGUAUAAAGAAACAUACUGAAAGGUGUGCUGAAGGUGAUCAUCAUAUCUUGGGAACAUGAUGCAAAAGUAAUGUAUGUUUUUCUCACCAAACAUGGGUGUCUUUAUGAGACAACAGAUGAAUACGGCACAACAGCCAACAGAAGAAGGUCUGCUAAACUCAAAAGGAUCAAUGUACAUUGGAACACUGUGACCAUAAAUUUCCAAUAGUGUGCAACUGUUUCACAAUGCUGCUCCGAAUAAACAAACUAAAGGCAUUUCAUGAUUGAUUUAGGUCAGAACAGCCACAUCUAGACAUGCAAAGAAUUUUUUCCAUGUUGCUUAUAAUUUAUACAGUGCGUUUAAUCCAUAUUGCUUCACAAACAGUGGUCCUACUGUAUCUCAACUAUAUCAAAUUGCUCACUCCACAAAUAUCUGAAUUUGAGCAUUGCAGGAAUGCAUUGCCCCCUGAGCAAUAUAAUGGAGGCCUCAAAUGCAUAGAGGAUCUACAUUCUUUAAAUAUUUCUCUAUUUUUAUUAAUGAUUUUCUUUAGCAACAGAAAACGAUAAGGAAUAGAAAGCAUAGGCAACAGUUCUAGCAUGGAUUUAUUCAGCUAUACAACACAUAGCUAGAAUGCACAAUAGAGCAUACCUGCUACACCUAUAAAACAUAACUAGUCCAGCAGUGACUAGGAAAACAGCCAACCAGGCAAGAAGGCCAAAGCCAGCUGUUAACUUUGGCAGAUUUGAAGCUGUACCGAAAGUUAUUAAAUUAAAAAUGUAAGACAAGGACAUGGUAGUGUAAUCUUGAUGAUAGGAGUAAAAAUACACUGUAACAAAGAGAUAAUGGAAGAUACCCAAGAUGACAGCGUGAACAUAGGUCACGAGGAGAAGUAAUAUUAUGAACCAUAACACAGGUGCUAGCCCCAACUUUGAGAGGCGUCCCAGUCGACUGUUCCCAUCACACUGUUUGUCAAGCAACCUUCUAGCAUUUCCCUGCAGACUAAGAUUUAUUAGAAAAUAUAACUUGAAGAAAAAACUUCAGAGCCUUUCAAAUGACAACAGAGCACUAAGAAACUUGGAAAAGUAAACAGAAAACUCAUCAAAAAAUUUAAAAUUCUUAGGAAAAGUAAAAAUUCAAACAAAAACAGAACACUAAGCCACACUUGGAAGGAAAUUGAAAAAUAAAUGGGAGAAAAGGCAUAGGCUAUGUAUAUCAGGUCUUGUCAUAUUCAGGUAGAUCAGGUUUCCAGGUAAUCAUCCAUACACAGAAAGAUCCUCCCACAGUUCUCCUUCAUCAACUGAGAACUAAUGAUUCUAUCUAAAUCUUAGCUGGCUUGCAAAUAGCUAUUACCAGUUCAUCAGAGAAGGUCUAUUACAUGUCUGCAUUGAGAUAGUAUUGUCACCACUAUGGAGGUACCUACAAGGAAAUACUAGAGUCCACAAAUAGACUUUCAGAUGAGAUUAAAUAUAUUUAUCGAAAUGGAAGGGUUUCUGUCAAAAAGGAUAUCACAAUUAUAGAGACAAAUCAAGCCUCGAUAACCUAGAACCACACAUCAUUAGUAAACUAUAUUUCAAAAUAGGGAGGAUGACCUUUGCCUACAUGAGAGCCAAAGAAGUGAAUGAGGGUAGAUCCAGAAAGAAUAAAAGUCUUUGAAAUAGAACACUUCAUAUAAAUGGAUGCAACACAACAUAGAAAACCAACAAGAUUAGAAUACAAGCUUCCAUUCACUGUGGAAUCCUACCAUUACAUUGUCCUUGCCACAUCCGCAAGUUCCCAGGGUGCCUCUUGAAACAGUUCUAGCAUACACUUCUUUUAUUGUUAUCCUUCUUAAUCAUUGCAAUAUUAUUUUACUUCUGUCUUUAAGACAUAUUAUUUCAAUGGUGAAUCACUAACCACAAAAGGCAUUUGAGCUUCACAUAACAUAUAGAAAAAACAAUAAAUCCCUUAAAAAGUAACAUCACUAACCAAUUUAAAUUAUUUUUAUUAUGGAACACAUACAAGGAAAAAAGCAACUUGUCGAUGAUUCUUGUCAGAAGCAAGUUGUGCCGGUGUAAGGCCAGUGUUAUCAGUCACCAUCAAGUCUUCCUUCUUGCCAGCCUGUACUAACACUGUGCAUGCCUCCAAGUUACCCCUAAUAGCAGCCCAAUGGAGAGGAGUGCAACCUGAUGUAUAAAUGAAAUAUAGUAAGGGAAUAGACACACUUAUCCAUACAGGUUAACACAUGUAUAUUUCAUCUAUUUCUUUCUAUAUUGACAAAACAGAAGUUCAACAUUUGGGAAGCUGAUUUACCCUCUCUAUCCUGGCGUCCUCUAUAAGAAUCCAGAAAUAAUAGAAGGCGUAUACAAUCAGGAAAACCUUUAUAAGCAGCCCUAAAAUAAUCCAAGAAAGAAACAGAUUAGAAAAAAAAAUCAAAGCACCACCAAUAGCUGAUAAAAAAGAAAAUAUGGUACGAAGUACUCGGUAAAGGAGCUACUUGAUACAGAAAAAUAAUGACCAACAAAGGAAUUGAUAAUGGCUUAACAUUUAAUAUGGAAGCUAAAUUGUUGAUUUUAAGCAAGUGUGACGCACUGAGAUAUUUGUCAACAAAACCAAAAGCAUGGACAGGUGAUAUUCUUAUAUAAAGGCUAUGCAAGCUGUUAUGUCAUUGUGAGCAAACCACAAUGGCAUAUACCAAGCAGGAAAAUGUUGAAAUAUAUUAGAAAAAAAAAACAAAAACAAAAAAAACAGUUUCAAGUAAACAAUAAUCUCUUCAAUAAUAAAAGGGAAGGGGAAGUUCUCAUAUACCAGUGCAAAGGGCUUCUUCCAUCAACAUCAGGAACAUCAGGGUCAGCAUUCCAUUUUGAGACAAUGUGAUAGAGAAAAGCCGUCUGACCAUAUUGAGCUGCAACAUGAGUUGUCUGCAUUGAUGUCAAAUUAACAACCAGCAGAUUGUUAUCCUCAGAUUUCACAGCUAAGUUCUAAUUAGAGCAACUAAUAACUGGCUAUAUCAGGACAGUAAAGCAAAGCACGGCAUCUAGAAACCUCCCUUUUUAUGCAUCUAGCAUGAUUCAAACAGUCCAAGUUAUUGCAUAGAAAUAGUUAUCAGUUAUCUUGGGAAGGCAUCUCCACAAAUAAAGGAGGGCACUGCAAAAGUGUGAUUGCCUAUAUCUUGAUAGCACAAAUUAAAGGGAAUAUUUAAAAAGUUAACAAGCAGCCAGAGCUUAUAACUAGAGAUAGAAUCAACAAGUUCACUGGACCCCUAAAUAUUCAAGACUAAAAAAAACAGGGGCAGAAAAUAGUAUCAUUGCACUUCUUAAGUUCAAGUUCUGAUCAAUUCAGCAUUCAAACAGGAGAAGCUGAAACCCUGUCUAACAGAUCCCAGAUAAUAGAUUGCCAUAGAAUUGCUCCUUAAAUAUGAAAAAUUCAUCCCAUUUUAAAUGUAUUUUCUGUUGAUAUAUUUGGAAGUUUUCCAUCACUCAAAGAAUCUAUUAAAUGGAUGAAGUUACCAACAAUCAAAUGGUGAGUCCAAAAGCUGGCUUGUAAUGUUGAGCUCGGAAGCUUUACUAGAGCAAUAAGCUUCCUUCAAGAGAAAUAUGCAAACUUCACCAUUUUGCAGCACAUGGUCCAUUUUCUAUGCAUGACCAAUGUUUCGGAUCCUGUUUACAAGUGAGAGAAGGUCCUCUCAUCCAUGUUACAGAAUCUCUCAAUAUAAAUUAGAUGAGCACAGCCACCUGCUCUGGUUAUACUGUGUUCAAGCAGAAACAGGCUAUCAAAGUUUUGCAUAUUUGAUGCAUGACCUCUUGCACACCGGAUAUAGAAUCUCUUGAAGAAGCAUAAAAGAGAACAAAGAAAGAGCAAACCAAGGGAUCUGAAAACUCAGUUCAAUCCAUGUCUUCAAUUAAAGUAAAAACAAAUUGACCAAAGAGUAUUAGACUUCCCUACUUAUUACCAAAUCCAUGACCCAAUCAGAGGGGGAAAAGAUCAAUAUUAUUCACCAAAAAAUAAAAAAGGGGCACACCUUGAAGGGGAAGUGAAGAGCUCCUCAAAUGAUCCUACAUUAUAUCAAUUUUGCAUAAAAUAACCACAUCAAACUCCAGCCCUCUUGGUUGCUAGCCCAAGACUUCUAUCGUUACAACAGAAGUUCAUCCUCACAAAUUUAUUUCAAGAAAUAAAAACCAACACUAGGGUGCGAAACAACACGACCAAUAAGCAGUUUUCAUGAUUAAGGAUGUAAACAAUCACUGUGACAUUAUUUAACACUAUCAAUUAACAAGAAAAUAAUUUGCACAGAAGCCACAAAUGCGUCCCAAAGUUUUUAGAUAUUCAUUCUUUUUGUAUAUGUUCAUCCUUAAUGAUAAACUGCGACGGAUAAAACAACAGACGUACAUGCAUUAGUGAAUUUCCAUACCCUAAUGACACGUGAACAAAGCUGAUGCAUUUAUGACUAGGUAAGUGCUAGAGGUGCCAAGUUAAAAAAAGGUAAUAAUUUCACAGCACAUAUAUCACUUCAAACCACAAUUAUAAAACAGCUCUUAUCUCUCCCUUAAAUGAAGCAAAUGCAUAUUUACACAACAAAGAUGACACUAACCUGAUAGCCAUACAUAUCAGCAGCAUUUACCCUCGCACCCUCUUGCAGUAACAGCUCAGCAACUUGAAUUGCACCCCGAACUGCAGUCCAAUGCAAUGCUGUCUGCCCUGUAUGAUCUGUUGCAUUUACAUCUCCACCAUGCUGGCAAAAAGAAAAGGAUCCGGUACCAAAUUAGUCAUCAUCCUAUAUCAUCAACUCCAAAUAAGUUACCAUCAAUAUCAUCCAUUGAACUCUCUUUGAUCGAUACAAACAGACUAAAUGACAGUAACUUUAACACAAUAUCAACUUUCCAGGAUCAAAAUCAUCACUUUUUACCCGGAAAAAUAACAUAAAAAGAACUAACAAACAAACCAAAUCCAACUAUUACCUCGCUCCAUUAAUGCAUCAAACCCUAACCAAACAAAUUGCACUUCAUUCAAAACAUUCAAACUAAAAGACACGAACUUUACUACAAAAUCCAACUCCCCAAAUCAAAAUCAUCACUUUUUAUCAAGAAAUGAACUAACAAAAAAAAAAACUUAAACACCUCAAUAAACUCUUCAAUGCAUCAAAUCAGACCCACCAGCCAGGCUAAUCAAACAAGCAAAGGAAACAAACCCAUUAAAAAGCAGAAAAAAUAAAAACGAACCAAUUCAAGAAACCAAUAAAAAAACCAAAAAAAAAGAGAGACAAACCUCAAUAAUAUACUGAGCAGCAGCAGAGCGAUUAUUCAAAGCAGCCCACUGUAAAGCAUAAUAACCAAGGCUAUCAGGUACAGAAACAGAACAACCUUCACUCUCCACCAAUCUAUGAAGCUUCUCUAAAUCUCCAUAAGCAGCUGCUGUGUAAACAUCAUUUCUCAAACUCUCUUCUCCAACAACAGCAACCCCAUUGUUAGCGUUGCCUCCAUUGACAGCUGCUGAUUCUCGAUCGUUGGAUUGGACCACCGCAUCUUCCUCCACUAUCUCUAUCUCCGAUGACAUCUUUGGAGAUGUGAAUUUGUUGAUUGAUUUGACGAUUUGCGUUCUAAGUUUUUUAGCUAAAAAUGUUUAGGGUUAUUGGGUUACAUGGCCUUCCUUGUUGACUGGGACGGACAUCAGGAUUGUAUUGUAGUUGCCUAAUAGAGAGAGAGGAAACCAGAGGGUUAAAGCCAGCCAGUUUGCCUAUGAUUAUCUUCCUUCUUCCUAUAUAGACAUUUUCUCUCUUUUUCCCCCUUAAUAAUUCAUUUGUUUCUUUGGAUAUUUUUAUCUUUUUCUUUAUUUAUUUAUUUUUUUUUCAUUUUUGCAUGAUAGCAUUGCAUGGGUCCAUGGUCAAAUGGACAGCCAAUAUGGUGCUUGUUAAACUCGUCUUAAUUUGUGGAAUUUAAAUAAAAUAAAUAAAAAUAUUAACUCGUUAAAAUUCUAUCAACAUGGUUAGGUUGACCUUACUAAAAUUCAGUAGGGUCAACUCUAUCAAAAUAAAAAAUAUAAUGUUAUUUUAAUAAAAAUAAUUAAUUCAUGUUGAUUUGAUAAUCCUCAAAUUAAAAUAAUGACUUAAUAACUUAGAUUUUUCUUUAUAUUAAUUUCAUGAUCGAGAUUAACAACUGUCACCAAUUCAUUGGACACAUUAAUUUAAUGAUUUUAUUAUUAAUAGAUUAGUGAAUGUAAACACGCGAAAACUGGCAUCAAUCGUGGUUAUCAUCUUCAUUGUUGUUAUCGCGGUGAUUCGCUUUUUUAGUUUUGGAAAUAUUGGAAUGGUUAAACUUUGAUUAAUUUUCAUUAAAAAAACUAAAAUAUAGUGAUGGUGAUUUGAGGAAUUUAAAAUUGCUUGUUCUAAAAAAAUGGCUAUUUUGGUUUAUUAGCACUUUUAAAAAAAAAUAUUACUGAAAUAAUAUAUUAUAAAUUUUUUUGAUAAAAUCAUAUAGUUUGUAAACAUGACAUUUAUAAAUUGUUAGUAUUUAAAAUAGCAACUUUUAUAAAAAAAAAAUGAAAAGAUCUAAAAAGAGAUAGAAAAGAGAGAUAGAAAAUAAAACCUGGAUAUUGUUAUAAUUAAAGCUUCAAUUAUGAUAAUGAUGUUGUAAUUAAAGUUUUAGUAGAAGGUUUUUUUUUCUUUCUCUCUCAUCUCUUUUCUUUUCUAUUCAUUUUAUAUAAUUUUUUUAGAAAUUACUAUUUUAAAUAGCAACAGGGUAUAAAUAUCAUGUUUAUAUAUAUAUAUAUAUUCUGCUAUUUUUUUCAUCCUAUGUUAUUCUUUCUAUAUUUUUAACUUAUUAUACUAAUUUUUUUUUUUAAAAAAAAAAUAGGAAUAUAUUUUGAGGAAGGAGGAGACUUUAUUUUUUUAUUCUUAGAAUGGAAUCAACCCUACCAUUCUUACCUACUCUGUCGAGAAAUAUCUAAACACCUCGCCCUGUAAAUUUCCACGCAAGAGGAUGGCAGGUUCCUCCUCCAUUAUCCAAGAAAUAAAACGUUAAAUCUCCUACACGGAUAAGGAAAAUCAAUCAUUUUUUUUUCUUUCAAGAUCAUAGGAAGACGUGUGCAUGAGUUACAGAGAUCUUUAACUUAUUUCAAGAUCAUUGGAGGAGGUCUUGAUGUCAUGAAGAUCAUCGACUGUGGCUUAUGGAUCAAAAAAUAGGUUAUUCCUACGAGUUUUUUUUAUCUAAAAUGAAAAUCUUAGAAAAUACAGUGUUUUUUCUGGGAAAGAAAUCAUGUAAAUUUCAUGCCACGACUUAAUAGUCUUGUUGACUAAAGCAAGUGGAGGAUUUAAUUAUGAAUUUGUUGAUACAUUGGGGAUCUAAAAUAAUAUUAGUACAAAAUACUACUAUUACCAGGAAAAAAAAACAAAAAACAAGUUGACUAAAACAAAAAACAAGUUGACCGAAAUUGAGAGAGAUGCAAAUAAAUUUGAAAUUAAGAGAGAUAUGCAAUAGAACCCGCUUGAGAUGGUAGUGGGUUUAGUUUUUUUUUUUGUAAUUUUUAAAAGUGUGUUUAUUAUGAAAAAAAUAUUUUGUAUUGAUUUUAAAGUGUUAAUAUCAAAGAUAAAAAUUUGAAAAAAAAUAUUUUAAUAUAUUUUUUUAAAAAUAUCUUAUAUCACAUUAUAAAAUAUGAGAAUUGGAGGUUGCAUAAAAUAAUAAAUAAAUAAAAACUUGGUUUUGAGGACAAUUUGUAAAUGAAAAUAUCACUAGCUACUUGACCAUGGGAAGGGGUUAGGGUCUCGAGUGGCUACUAGACCCUCAGGAAAGUGGCUUUUAUUUUAGUAGCCAUUGAGUUGGAGUUGACCUCGAAUAACAGCUAAGUGUUGACUACGCCUCUCCUGAUUAUCAUGUAUGUGCCUAUCAAAGCUUGUUUUUUUCUUCUAGAUUCUCAGAGCUGGCUUAAUUUUCGAUUUUUAUAUCAUGAGCUGAGGGAACUAAUUAGGUUUUUGUAAUUCAUCCAACUGUUAAUUUGGUUCUUCCCUCUUCUUCUGAUGAUUAAUGUUUGAAUUGUAGGCAUGUCAUGGCUCAUAAUUUACAUGAUCAAUUUGGAAAGAUGAACUGAUUUUUACAAUAUCGAAAUGAUCCCUUUUAUUAAAAGUUAGUAUCGGUUCAAAUAAUUUGUUUUAAAUUAAAAAAAAACUAUUCAAAUUAAUUUUUUUAAUGGAACUAAAUAAUUGAAUUAAAUUGAUUUGUUUGGUUAUUUCAGUUUUAUUUAAAAAAAAUCAAACAAAUCAAACGAACAUUAGCUUUUAUUUUAUAAUAUGUUUUUUUCAAUUUUGAUUUUUGAGAUUGAAAUCGAGUUCAAUUAUUUUAUUUUUACGAAAAAUAACCUUAACUAUCAAAAAAAUAAUUCAAGAAACUAUUUAGUGUAAUUAUUUUUGGAUUGAUUUUUUCUUCGAAUAAUUUGUUUUUCCCUUUUUCAUAAAAUUAGAGACCGAAUUGAUUAUUGACUUGGGUUAAUUUUUUAGAUAUAAGAGGUUUAUAAUAGAGAAUUUAUAGUCCAGCAUCUAAUAUACAUAACCAUCUUGUUGGUGGUCUAAUAGUAAGAGUUUGUGAUUAAGAGGUUUACUUCUCUUGUGGUCUCAAGUUCGAGCCCCGUGAUUGUCAAUAUUGAUGGUUACUAGAAGUUUACUUGAUCGUUAAUUUCAGGGCUCGUGAGGAUUAAUUGAGGUGCGCACAAACUAGCCCAGAUAUCUCACAUAACUCAAUGUGUGUGUAUUAAUUUUGCUAAAGUUUGCUUUAAAAAAAAAGAAAUUACAAAAGGAGAAGUAAACAAUGCAUAGGAAAUUAACAAUGAAGAAUACAAACUUCACCAAUUCCACGACAAAACGCACACAUGACACAUCAAAAAAGAAACGAAAAAAACAAAAUCAAUAAAUUGAUGAUUAAAUAAAAAUAAUUGACCCGAAGAACAAGCCAUUAAUUAUUAGUUAAUAUCUAAUCUGGAAUCAAGACAUCACUCUUGUUUUCCUCCCCUUAUUUGAUGAUUAAUGGCAUCAUCCUCACCCAUUCUAAUGGACUCUAUGAUGAAGAAAAUAUUAAUUUUUAAAUACAUUAAUCCAAGUUAUAGAAAAAGAAAAUGAAUAAACGACAAGCCAUCCUGAAAAAGAAAGAAAAGGAAAGAGCUAAAUGCAAGAUGAGGUUUCUAGUCUCUGUGUGCUUAGCAUUUGCUCCUAGGGGAAGCUAGCUGUGCAUGGUUGAUCGUCCCAAACACGGUGGAAUCAGUCUGGACCGGCUGCAAAAUUUUGCCCGCCACCCCAAUUUCCUCUCCCACAACCACUAAAUAAUCCCAGGUCCACCAGCCAAGAUUAUCCCAUCUCCACCAGCCCGGAACCUCCCUGCCCCACCAGCCCAGAAUCCAUACACGCCACCAAACUCUUGUGACCAGAUACAAAAAUGUCAUGAAGCUGGCCAGACAUGCUCGGGUGUGCAUUCCUUGCGCCUUAAAAUCCAAACCCUAUAACCAACCAACAAUACUAUCUAAAUCUUGGUUGGGAAAGAAGGAUAAAAAAACAGUCGUGCAGACCGCGCCAAAGAGACAAUAAGCAGUCAGAAUCCAUACACGCCACCAAACUCUUGUGCCACACACAGUCCCAUCUUUGACUAUACAAAGUCAGGCUACACAGACCAUAUAAAGCAAGACCAAACUCUAUACAUAACAGAUCCACGUUCCGUGGACGUGCUACUAUGUGGUUCUUGUGCACAUGAACAUUAAUGGAUCUCCGGAGGUGGUGCUGGUGGGUUCUUGGGCUAAUAUGGCACGAAGUGGCUCGAGGAAGUAGUGGGUUCUUGGGCUCAUAUGGCACGAAGUGGCUCUAGGAAGUCAUGGACUCUUGGUUAGAGACUUCUUUUACAUAUUAUUGAUGGAUCAUUUUGGGUCAACAAGGAUGCUGCCUGAGACUGUCAUAGAAUUCUACCUUUUCAGACUAGUUUGGAGUGAACAUAACCUUCUAGAGGAUAAUGUCUUCAUUACUAUAUAAUUUAAAUCUAAAUAUUAAUAUGAUUACUUUUUUUAAAAAAAUUUAUUUAAAAAUACAUCGAAAUAAUUUUUUUAAAAAAUAUUUAUUUUUUUAUAUUAAUAUAUUAAAAUAAUUUAAAAAUACUAAAAAACAUUUAAACCAAAAAAACCUUUAAAAACAUUUUUAAAAUACAAAAACAACAAUCGAAUUGUGCCCAGGACCCUUGGCAUUAUAUCAAGCAAUUAUUUCUCUGCAACUGAAGAGCCCAAACUUAACAAUAACAUUCUUCAAACUCGAGUAUUUUGUAGGAUUUUGUUCCAUCAGUUUUAUAAACCCUUCUUGAAUCUUGAAAAAUAUCCUUGGAAUUGAAUCCGAUAGUCUAGCAUGCUAUCUUACAACUCCGUUCCUUGAAGGGGCAAGUAGAUAAACACCAACAAACAUACGACACAAAAAAAAUUCAUAUAUAAAAGGGUCCAUCUGCAUGUGAUGGAUGACCACGAAAACAUCUCAAAUUCAUAGUUGUAUCACAGCAUUGCAGAACAGAGAUAAUUUACUGUUUAAUUCAAACUAGUAGUAUUAAAAUAGAAUUCAUUGCCCGCAUAGACGUCUGUGGAGAGUACAGCUGCAGGGGAAGAGCAAGAUGCACUCAAGCAUAUGCUGACAUAACCUGCAAAAGGAUGAGUAAUCGGAUAAAUCACCAUAGUAAUAUCAACAAAAAUCUUAUUGUAAGAUUAAUCAUAGUUGCAAUUUGAGAAUGGCAUAUUACUCAAAAGAACAUGCUGCUUUAUGAACUUUUCAAACAAUGUUAUGAAUACACUAUCCCUUUGUAAGUGGAAGAGCGGCAUGAUAAACAAUGUGCAGAGGACUUACAAGCAUGGCUAGAGCAGAAAGAGGAAUACACACUACCUUGCAUUUGCUAACUAAAACAUGCACCACCACUGCAAUUUUCCUCACCAUUUAAGAAACAUGAGAAGCAAAACAAUAAACAUGAAAAAUAUGCAAGUUCCUGUAUGGAGAAACCAAUCAAAUGCAAAAGAAUAGUCACGCUGGGUGCUUGUAGUCUGGUUGCUAGCAAGUUGAUCAAGAAUGCAUGGUAAUAAACUUGAUGAACUCUUUCGAGAGCCACAUGGAACAACUAAACAACCCAAGGUAAGAACUGAAACAGAUUUUAGACUUGGUAAAAGUGGUGAACAGUGCAAAGAAACUGCCUUGGAGGCAAGUGAGUAACUAAACCAGUUGAUCAAAUUGUUUAGUGGUUUCUGAGUCGAAGUAGAUGGCUUGUGAAAACUUUUUACUUAAUGCAAAUAUGGAUGAGCUCACAUGAAUCCCAACCCUACUCAUUCAGAGGAUAUUAAAACAUAUUGGUUUUUAAGUGCGAAGAGCACUGCAUAUAAGCAAAAUUAUGUUGUUCUGUGGUGACUACAUCUCAUCACUGUUAUCACAGAAAAAUCUUGCUGCAAGUAGCAUGUUCACAACAAAAUCUGACAGCUGAGAUUAGAUUGAAGAUCUAUUUACGGUGCCCAACUAAGUCAUCAAAAUGAGUGAUAACAAUUGCAAAACAGAAUCAAUUAUCAACAGUAUGGGAAAAAAGUAACCACAUGUUAAUCAAGAAAACUAGAACAUGUUCUCUGAACAAGUAAUGUAGAAGAUGCAUCAUGCAACAGGCACCUGAAUCUCAGACAAUGAAUAUGAUGAAGAAAUGUCGAACAAUCAGUCACCUGGCAUCUAGUUUCAAGAAAACAUAGCCAGGUUACAUGAAAGAAUAUAAGAAAAAACAUAUAAUAAAUGGUUUCAGUGGCCAUUGACAUUUCUCAGGCUCUGACAUUUACCCAGAGCAAAGCUAUAAAGCUAGAUCUCAUUAACAAUCACAAAGCAAAUCUUAAACCCAUCAAACAGAUACAAACUCCAUAAUUCGGCAAGCAAUAGUCCUCUCAUAACACCCAAAAUCAUCUAUUCAAUAACCACUCAAUGGUUAGAGAUUCAAACUUACAUUCAUUACUUAAUAACCACUGAUCAAGUACGCGGUGCAAUUAUCUAAAGCAACAACAAUAAUACAACCAAAAGAACAAUGACUGAUAAACAUUCAACAAGAAGCAUUUUCACAUCAAGAAUCAUUCAAUACAUCAAAAAGAACAAUAAAACAUGUCCAAAAAUUAAUCUUUCACUUACUAAGGCAAUUUCCCAGCUCGAAAAAUCGCAAACUUUGACAUCUCAGAGUACUUAUAAUCAAUCCCAUUCUCCUUCAAAAACCCUUCAAGUACCCUCUUGACUCUUUCAGGAUCAUCAUUCUCACACUCAAUCUCGUAACACACUCCAAAACUAAACUUACUCUCAUCAACCUCCAACUUCAACCCUCUCCACUCAUAAACAUCCCUCACAUUCUCAAACCCACCUAAACACACGAAACCCAUUUCCCCAUCAAUCCCAAACUCAUCUUUACACCUCUUAAUAAUCCUCGACUCAGUCAACCCCAACUUGCUUGCUUCCUCCACACAUUGCUCCCCAGUCAAUGGAUCUAUUUCCUCCUCAUCCUCCUCGACACGACUCACCCCAUUGAUCAGCAUUGGCUUUGCCUUGAGAGACAAAACACAACGAGUUUUUUCGUUGUUGUUACUGAAUGAACGCAAGCGAAGCACUGCCCUUUGAGAAGCAAGAAUGCCAUUGGCAGAAUCAAAAAAGACAUUUUUUUGGUUAAGUUUUUUUAUGUGAAAUGGUGAAAGGAUUUCUUUUAAGCGACUGUGAUUGACUGCAUCAAGCAGACGCAAUUUCACCUCCACCUCCAUAAAGGGCUAAAUUAUUUUGUGGAUUUUUUUGCAAAAAAGUUCCGAUCUUUUUUGUGGGUUUUUGGUAAAUUUUAUUUAUUUAUUUUUGUGGGGUUUUUGGUUAUGGGGAGAGGCCAAUCCGGUUGGAUUUGGAAGAGGGGUUAGGUUUGGAGUGGUCAAGGAGGUGGAGGAGAGAUGAGGUGCUGGUGGCAGUGGUGGAGGAGGAAGUGGUUGUGGUGGUGAUGGUGGGCUUUCGGGAUUCUUCAAGUUCUUCUUUGUCUUCAAUUUUGACCUGGAUUUUUGUUGGUUUUCUUCUUAGCAUUUUUGGCUGAGGGAAAGAGAAGGAGAGGCGGAUGUGUUUGGCAUCUGAGAACAAGUUCAAUGAAAUAAGCCUGGUGGGAAAGUUUUAUCGUGGACGACUUGUCAUGCUACAUACCAAUUAUUAAGUUGGACGACUUGCCCUGCCACGUACCAAUUAUUAAGGUGGACGACUUGCAGCUCAUGCAAUACAAUGGCUUACCAUAAAAUCCCUAUUUAUAAAACUCGGAUGGGCCGGAAGGUUAGUCUAAAAUCCGAUUGACCUGUGAUUAAAUUAGUUCCAGUUGAAGAAAAUAGAAUAAAUAGUAAUUCAGCCUGACUUGAUAAAAUAUUCAAGUCGACUUGCAAUCUGGUUCAAUCUCGAAUAAAACUUGACUUUUAAAUUGUUUCUUUUUUUUUUAUAUAAAAACAAUAUAAUUUUGAUCUUUUUAAAAAAAUUGAGUCAAUAUAAAUUGAUUUUUUUAAUAAGUAACUUAGAUCUUUUCUCCGUCAGAUUUUAUAAUAAAAAAUAAAAUAUAAAUUGAUUUUUUAAAUUAGUGACUCGGAUCUUUUCUCGAGUCAGAUUUUUUUUAUACUAAUAAUUAUAAAGUUCACGAUCAUAUUAAUAAAUAUUAUAAUUGUGAAACUUGGUUGGAUUAGAACGUCAACUCGAUGUGCUAAACUUAAAUAUGUUAUUUUAUUAAAAAAUAAUUAAAUCAAUGUUAUUUUAAUAAAAAUAAAAAUAAAUAUUAUAAUUUUGUUUUCUUAUUUAUAUUUAGUGUCACAUGCUAUCUUAGUACCCUCACCAUCACUUCAUGCUAAUUACCAUUUUAUUGCAUCUGAAAACGGAAUGAGAUUUAUUAAAAGAAAAAAAUAGUGAAGCCAAGGCUCUAACUAGAUUUCAAAUCAUAAAUUUAUCAUAUUAACUCAAUAAUUCACCGGACAUCCUUUGGGAAGCAUAUGUGUUUUCUUUCCUUUCUUGAGUUGGUAAACAAAUCUUGCAAAGCCGAGAGCUUGAUCAUCUCAAUGGGCCUGUUCUCUAUGCCUGGGUUUCGAUAUCUUCUUCAAGCCUAAGUCUUGGACUCCUUGUGGUAUAUCUCUCUCUCUGGGGCUGCUUUUUUUUUUUUUUUUUUGUUUCUCUUGCGAUUUCUCAGACAUUCCUAUCUUUCCAUUACCAAUCAGAUCCGCUUGACGAUUGCAUUCUUAUCCAGAGCAAUUUGUUUGUUUCUUGACUUUUGCUUCCUUAAAAAAUCUGGUCAAAUCUUUCGAUGGAUACAUAAAGUAUAUAUCCAACCAAACGAAAGAAGAAUAGCUAGAGCUAGGUUCUAAUGAAUACAGGACAUAAGGUUAAUUAUCAAUGCAAUCUUAAGCCAAAAGGACCUACUAACCAUGUUUAUCUCUUUUGGGAGCCCUAAUUUGGAGGCAUGCCAUGAAGUAGACUUCUAGGCAUCAAUUUUAAAUUAAUACUACCGACAGGUUGAUUCAUUGUGAUUUAUGAUAUAAAUUAAAAUAAAUUUUAAUAAAAAUAAAAGAAGAAUGGACUCAAUAUAAUUGGCUGGGAAAAACAAAAGUUUUUAAAUAAAAAAAUUAAAUUAACUCAAAUUAAUUUAAAUUAACUUGAUUGACUCGUGAUUCGAGACUUAUUGUAAGUAAUAAAAUUUGAAAUAGAGUUUUAAUACUAUGCUUUUAGUGAAUGAUACAUUGUGUUUACUCUUACCCCUAAUAUAAAGACGGUGAGUUCUCAUAAAGUUUCCAUUAAACUUGUAAUUAAAUUAAAAUUUAAAACCAGUCAAAGAAAGCUGAAAGACAAACUCUCCAUUUCAAUUAUGGCGUGUGGUGAAAGGCCCUUUCUUUUCUUUUCUUUUCUUUUCUUUUACUUUUUUGUUAAGCCUUUUUCUAUGCGGCACAAAAUUCAUAUGCCGACAGGGGCUUUGUUUUUUUCCUGGGUUCCGGACAACGAUAGAGCAAUAGAGACCCAUUUAAAUUAAUUGUCUAUUGCAAUGGUCAAGAUACGUGAUGCAUGCAUGUGCUUGGAAUCAACCUAGAUUUGGAAAUUCCAGCUCAGAAACAAGAAAUGAGUGUAGCAAUCGUGGAAUGUGUACAGUAGUUUUAAAUUUAAUUUUUAAAAAUUAUUAGUUCAAGUUUAAUAAAUUUUAAAAUUAUUAAAAAUUUAUAUAAUCAUUAAUUUUAAAAACCAUAAAAUUUGUUAUGUAUAAACUAAUCCGAUUAUUUAUAUUAAUUUUUUUAAAAAAAAGUGCUAGGAGGGAGUUUCGUUUGUAGAAUCAUUAGUAUAAUAUGAAGUGACCUAACAAAAAAGGGAAAAAUUAUUAAGAUUUAACAGGUUUACUGAGUUGUAGAUGAAAAUUACAGACAUGCGAGUCGCAAGUAACAUACUAUACGAUAACUGUAAUUCUAUCUGCCCUGCACUGUACCCACUCAGGCAUCAUCAUCAUCCAGCCGAUGAUUUUUAGAAACACUCUCGAGAUCUGUACAGAAAAUGACAAACAAGUACAUGAAUGAUGAAUCACUAUAUUUUUUUUAGUGGCUUCAUGUCAGUCUUUCUUUGCUUUAAUAAUUUCUUUUCUUCUUUUCUUCUUUUUUAUCUGCAGUGAAACAUGAUUGUGUAUUUGGUAAUAACUUGGACGUGGAUGAAAUAACGUUUGUGUUAGAGAGGUAUACAGCACUCUCUGUUGCAUAAAUUUUACGCCUUCAAUCUUUUCUGGAUAGAGACGAUGAUACAUGGAGUGCGCUUGUUCAGGUUCUGCAAAAGCUCAAUCGUCCCAUUCUGUAUUCUGUGUCUCUCGGAGCUAUCCCGACACCAGCCAUGGCGAAAAAUAUAAGUGGGCCAGUCAACAUGCACAGGGUAACAGGAGAAGUUGCUGAUCAUUUCGAUUUUUCAAGGUGGAUUAAAGUUUUCAUGUAAAACAACAGCUUAAAGUUCAAAUUAUAUACAGAUCGUCGCUCCGAAGUGGUGCUUUUCUUGUAUUCUUUCAUUUUUUAUGCGAUAUCUUGAUCUUCUACUCCUGGGACUUUGCUGCUGCUAACAAGCUAGAUUGGUGCCAGGGGCUUGGACACCAGGUCAUCUUGACUCAUGACACCAGGUCUUGACUCAUGACAGAUGCUUUGCCUAUCCCAUAAUAUAAAAAUAAAGGGAAAUUAAUAGCUUAGGACAACAGGAUGACUGACAUAUUUGUAACCUUUUAAGGUAUUCACAUCACAUGCACCAGCUUGUUCUAUGUUUCCCCCUCUCCUCUACCUAUCCUUUCUUCCUUUGGGAAUGAUUCAAAGCUUAAACACCAGUAUAAAGUCUAUAUUUUUGUUCUAAUAAUGUGCAUAUCAAGUGAUUUUUCAAAAAUAAAAUGUGUAUAUAUAUCAAGCAGAAAAAACGUAUUAUAAUUUAUGCUAGAAAAACCGAUAUUUCUUGUCAAGAUGUAAAGUUAAUUUAAGAUUAGACUCUAUUAAAACCAAAGUAAUUAAACUUCACCGUCACUUUGAAUUGACUCAAGAAUUAGCCAUGGUUUAAUCCGGUUGACCCGUAAAUCAACAUGCUAUUUAAUUUAUUUGAUCAAAAUUUAAAUUGAUUUUUUUUUCAAAACAAAUCAUUUCAACUUAAAAAUAUUAAAACAAUAUUAUUUUUAUCGAGGUUAAUUUAAAUUAACUCAACCGAGUCAUGAGCCAAGUUAAAUUUAAUAAUUUUGAUUAAGUGUGUGUUCGAUAAUGUGGUAUAUGAUGUUCUUCAAUCGAAAAUACAUUAAAAUAAUAUUUUUUUUUAGAUUUUUUUUAUUUUUUUACAUUAACAUCAUAAAAAAACAUUAAAAAUAUUAAUUUAAUAUUUUAUUAUGCAAAACAAUAACUUGAAAAAGCAUACAGAACCAAAAAAAAUCAAACACUUCCUUAACCUAGAAAAAAUCUAAAAAAAAAACUCGAAAAAAAGAAAUUAACCAAACAAGUGGGUCCCAAGAUCACACUUUCACAGGGAGGCACCUUGGAAAAUUGAUCGGCAACUAGCUGCUUUCACGAAGCAAAGCAAAAGCAAGGGCCCACUCUGAAGCAAACCUCUCAUCAUUCUAACCAGCAAGGUUCCAAAGGCUAAAGAAUAGAAUACCAAAAGCUAAGUAUUUGCUAAUCAAACAAAGUAUAAAUAAUUACCAAUAAAUUUCCCAUCUUUUAUACCAUAUUCACUUUUAUAAGGUCCAAUAAAAAAGAUUUAAUUCUUUUUUAGCUUUAGAUUAUCUUUUUAGUAUUUUUAAAUUGUUUUAAUAUAUUAAUAUUAAUAAUAAAAUUUAAAAAAUAAAAAACAAUAUUAUUUUAAAAUAAAAUUUUAAAAAUAAAAACAGUUAAAAAUCAAUCUCUACCCUACGGUAACUGUAUCUUACUUGUGAAAAUCUAAAUAUUUUAUGUCUUUUAUUAAACUCUAGCCUGCUGUGGCUCACCUCUAGUAACCACACUUCCUCUGCCACUUUCAUGGCUACCUUACACAUAUAAAGAGAAACCCUUAGAUCUUGAACUUGUGUUUGCUUCCAAAAAGAUGAUUUAUUUGCAGAACUGGCAAAUGGGGCUGUGCUUGCUGGUCUGUAUCAUUAGCUGUUGCUUCAUUUCUGUGAGUUCACAAAGUGCUGUUGCUGGAAAUGAUAAUAACAGUGUUGUUGAAGGAACUGUUUUCAUAGAUGGAAAAUCUUCCAUUGGAAAGAUUGAUGAAAAUUCCAUUUGUGCCACCUUAGAUUGGUGGCCACCUGAGAAAUGUGAUUAUGGGACAUGCAGCUGGGAUCAUGCUUCUCUCAUUAAUCUGGUAAUGAUUCAUUUUAGCAUGCUUCUGAGGUUGUUUUUUAGGAUUAGAUAUCUAAAUAUGUUGUUUGAUAGUUGCAACUGAACUUGAAAUGCUCGUCCUGUCCUGCACUUAUCAAAACUUAACUGGCAUUUUACUAUUAGAUACAGAGUUGUUCUUUAAAAUUUCAAGAAGUUAUUCUCUAAAUAUUUAAUCUUUUAGAAUUUUUUUUAUGUUCUCUCAUGCAGGAUCUUAACAACAGCAUCUUGUUAAAUGCCAUAAAGGGUGAGAGACUGAGAGCCCUUUGAACCAAAGCAACCUUUUCUUCUUCUUGUUGGCCAGAACUCUUUUUAAUGCUUUUCAGAGUCCUAAUUGCCUCUCUUUUUUUGGCACUAUGGUCCAGCUUUUUCGCCAUUGAAAAUCAGAAUAGGGGGCACUUUGCAAGAUAAGGUCAUUUAUGACACCGAAGAUAAUAAGCAACCUUGUGUCCAAUUUGUCAAAAACACCAGGGAGAUGUUUGGUUUCACUCAGGGUUGCUUACCAAUGUAUAGAUGGGAUGAACUUAAUGCCUUUUUCAAGAAAUCUGGGUAACAACGAUGUUCUCUUCUGUUUCCUGUUAACCUUACUUUACAAUUUCUAGCAGCUGAACGUCCUCUUAAUUUUGCAAAUUCAGGGCUGAAAUUAUAUUUGGGUUAAAUGCUCUCACUGGCCGAUCCAUGAAAUCUGAUGGUUCUGCAGUAGGAGCUUGGAACUACUCUAAUGCAGAAUCAUUUAUAAGCUAUACUAUCAAGAAGAACUACUCUAUUUAUGGCUGGGAGCUCGGUAAGAACACCCUCCAAUGCUUUCUCGUCGUUGAUGCUAAUGAUUGAUGUUUCAUGAAAUCCAUGAAAGUAUCAUUGCUUUAUUGACUAUAAGGAAAUGUGAACUAACUACGAUCAGUUUAUAUUUUGCUGAGAUUAAUUUAUCCAAACCUACAACAAGUCCUUUUCUGCUGAUCAGGAAAUGAAUUAUGUGGGAGUGGUGUUGGAACAAGAGUUGCAGCAGCUCAGUAUGCUUCUGAUACAAUUUCCCUGUAUAACAUAGUGAAAAAGAUUUACAGCAGCAUUGAACCGAAACCGCUAGUUAUAGCACCUGGAGGAUUCUAUGAUGCAAAUUGGUUCAAAGAGUUUGUAGAUAAAACAGGCAAUUCUGUAGAUGCUAUCACCCACCACAUAUACAAUCUUGGUCCAGGUAUCUCUUUGAAGAAAACGACCUGACUUCUUUGGUCUCACACCUUGGACAAUAGGUCUAACUUGACAUGAUUAUAUCCUCUUUUGGUGCAGGAGUUGAUACACAUCUCAUUGAAAAGAUCCUUAACCCAUCCUAUCUUGAUGGUGAGGCUAGGACCUUCAAUAGCCUCCAAAGCACUCUCAAGAGUUCUGCAACUUCAGCAGUUGCAUGGGUUGGUGAAUCAGGAGGGGCUUACAACAGUGGCCGUAACCUUGUUACCAAUGCAUUCGUGUUUAGUUUCUGGUAAGGGAGGUCAAAAUUUAUGUUAAAAAAACUCCAGCUUUUCUGUUGUGGAUUCUAAGUCCAGGGAUGUCAAAACAGGUAUUUGGAUCAGCUUGGGAUGGCAUCAUCUUAUGAUACAAAAACGUACUGCAGACAGUCAUUGAUUGGUGGCAAUUAUGGUUUACUCAACACUACUACUUUUGUUCCAAAUCCGGAUUACUACAGGUAUUCGAAAAUUACUGAUACUGGCAGGUUGCUCUGAAAAAUUAGAUAGCAGGAUAGAAAUGAAGAGGUGCAGUGAAUUAUCUUUCCAAUAUCAUGGCAAUUCUUAAGAAAUUCAUUUGUCUGCAAGAAGAAAGAGGAUUAAGUUUUGAAAUAGGUAGAGGAUUAAAUUAGUGAUAAUUUUUCAAAAGAGAGGUAUCUAUGCUUAUUAUGAAUUGAAUUUUUUCAACCAAGUUGGCUUCAUACCAAGAUGAAACCUCUUGUUUCCCACUCUGGAAUCUCAUAUUCAGUAAUAAGGUCUCUCAGAAAUUCUAAUGUUUUGCUUUCUUCAAUGCAGUGCUCUUCUUUGGCACCGCUUAAUGGGAAGAAAUGUUCUAUCAACCAGCUUUUCUGGAACGAAAAAAAUUCGUGCAUAUACUCAUUGCGCAAAACAAUCUGUAAGUUCCACAACACAAUCAUCACACAAGCAGAGAGCUUUAUGAUCUAAUUAGAUUCAUGAUCUUGCAGAAGGGGAUCACAUUACUACUAAUCAACCUUGACAGUAGCACGACUGUUGAUGUCAAUGUAAAAUUCAACAGCACUUUGGGAUUGCACCGUAAACACAAGACUCACAGGUCUCAUGAAACAAAGGUCAUUCGACUGCUUGAAGGAUCCACAAGUGAGAUAACAAGAGAAGAAUACCAUCUAACAGCAAAAGAUGGAGAUUUACACAGCCGAAUAAUGCUACUCAAUGGGAACAUUUUAACAGUAAAUUCAUCCGGGGACAUACCUUCCUUCGAGCCACUACUUGUAAAUUCAUCAAAGCCGAUAAUGGUUGCUCCUUUCUCUAUUGUAUUCGUUCAAAUGUCAUAUGUUCUCCCUGCUUGCAGUUAGGUGGUAGCACUUAAUGGAACUGAAAUUAGUUCCAUAUAGUGUAUAGUGAUUGAUCAAAUAAGACAGAAUACAAGCAGUAAAUGCUACAUUCUUUCUUGGUGAAUAAUACAAUGAAAAUUGUUUUGGUAAAUUGGGAAGCCAUAGUUUUCAUUCUUCUUUAAAAGAAAACCAGUGUCCCUUGUAAUUGCAAGCACAUAGCAUAAAUUUCUUUUCUGCAGUGUGCGCUGCUCGUCCUACAGGAAUGAACUGCCCCAGGACACUUUUUUUUAAUUUAUUUAUCACGCGGUAGAUAAGAGAGAUUGGUAUCACAAAGUUUUUGAGCAUUCCAAGGCAUACCAUAAAACGCGAGCCUUAAAACACAGUAGGACAACAAGCAUGUCAAUUACAUGUUGGUGGCCACCCAAGACCACAAGGUCAACCAUACAUUAUGUUUAGUAGAUUACACUUGGUAUCAAUAUACAAAUGAAGAAGCUAACUAUAGGAGAUGAGGUAAUUUCCACCAAAUGCUAUGAAAAGAAGUUUAAUGAACAACAUAUUCAAUGGUGUGUUCUCUAAUUUGGAUGCUUCAUCCAAGAAUAUCCAUCCAAAGUCAAUCCGUGUUGGAAAAGUUUGUAGGCUUGCUGCUGGCAAAUGCCAACCAUACAAUGGUACCGGUCAAGUAAAAGAAAAUUGAUGGAACGAACAAUGCAAUCUGCAUGGUAAAAAUACAAGGAAUAAAAAAUUACUUGGGAGAAGUUAAUAUAGAAACCUGUCCAAAGAAGUACAUAUAUUAAAACUUAAAAGUGGUCAAGAGGUAACUUACACUCCAUGAAUGAGUUGUAUCUAGUAGAUAACCAGUCAAGGGAAUCCCUACAAUUCCAGGUAUUGCUCCGACAGUGUUGGUAAUGCCCUGCAUAAUAAAAUUGAAAAGAAAAAAAAAAGAUCAACAUGGUUAAAAGGAAGUUAUUUUUGCUUUACAAAUUCAAGCAAAGGCCUUAAAACGGUGGCAAGCUUACAGUAGUCAAGAUGGAUCCAAAUGAAUGAAUUAUGUACUUGACCUGGAGCUAAAAUUAGAAACAUUGACACAAGAAUGUUUCACGAAAGUUUAAUCUAGAACUGCCAGUUCAUUACAACUUUGCAUAAUUUCCUGAAUAAUCUGAAGGCAGACAUGGACAAAUACUCAUUGAUGAUAGGACCAAAAUCCAUGUAAAAAAGGGAUUUAUGACAAAAUUAGAAUUCCUGUCCUGGGAUCAACCUUAAUUGGAGAAGUGGCUAUCUGGAAAAAAAGGAUGACAGAUCCAUGAACAAAACCAUUAAUUGCAGUGAAUCAGCAUAGUUUUUUUCUCUCUUUUCUGCUUUGCACUUUCACACUAAAACCAACUCCGCCUUGCAAAAGAUAUUAUUGAGUGACUGGGUAUCAUUUCUCCAUGUCAUAAAUAAUGAUGCACAUAAUUCAGGAACCAUGUGCUGAAUUGAUUUUAAGUCAAGUGAGAGUGAGGCACGUGCUAAUGAAACCUACUAUCAAUCUAUACAGGAGGCCGAUUAGAAAAUGCAUAGCAUAUGCAACAAAAUCUAGGAUUUGUAGGCUUACAUACCAAAAGUAUACUUGCAUAUUCAGGAGACAUAUCUUGAUGCGUACAGUAAAGUCCUGCAAAAAUGAUAAAACUUUGAAUUAGAAAUUAACCUAGCACAAGUCAAUACGUUCCUACACAUAAAAUGAAUUAAAAGAGUUCUCAAGUACUCCACUACCAGACAAGGCAAAGCUUGAGAGGGCUAAGCCAGCAGUGAGAAUCCCCACAAUCUCCCAGGGAGGCAAUCCUAGAUCCACAGAGGAGAGAGUCAUGCAAAGAGCAGGAGACAAAAAGGCAAUUGUUUGGCAAAUCUUUCUCACCUGCAAGGUCAAAAAGGUCAAGCUUGUUGACACAGUGAAGAGUUUCUGACAAGAUGAUGAUUAUAGAAGUGUAGAACUAUAACAAUAGACGUUUGGUUUUGCAGACCGUAGUGAUUUCAACUCCAUUGGAAAUUAACUUGUCAGCAAGCUGUGCGGCAAUGCUAGUCACGAAAACUGAAGCCAAGGGAGGAAGGAUAGAAACCUGAAAUUGUUGAUAGUUACUUCAUAGGAAAAUAAAGUGUCAAAUGUUCUAAUUGCAGUUAAAAAAUCAAAAGAUUGAUGGCUAUCCAAUGUUCAGACUCGUUGGACUGACAUGGUAGUCCCAAGUUCAAGUGUUAUCACCAGUGCUUCAAUAGUAUUGCAUGUAAAGUUCAAGUCCUCAGGGACCUGACCAGUCAAAUUACCAUAAAAAUUUAGGAUAAAACAUUCAUACUGUACUCAAUUUCAGAUUACAACAUGUUAUCUAAAUUACUGCAAGGAAGAUCAAUCCCUCACAGGUAAAAAUGAACACCUUCGUGGUAUGGUACCAUAAUAUACCCUAGUUUCUGGCGCGUUAUAGCACCAGCAUGUCUCUAUAACAAUUUUUCGCAUCAAAAGAUGCUUGUAGAUGGAUGAUUUCAAACUAGUUCUAUGUACAUGGUAAAUAGGAUACCGAUAACAAUAAAUGAGAUGUUGAAAUGUGUGAUUUCUUGUACAACAGAGUUCUUUAUUUUUAGCAAGUAUGACUUCCCACAUUCAUUUCAAAGAUGCAAAAAUUUAAUGUACAUCAAACUUGAAGGUAAUCAUUCUUCCUUGUUCAUGCAAUUUGAGUGCUAUACUCGACUAAAGUGAGAGAAAGACAAUCAUAGAUCUUCAAACUUACCCAUGCAGCUUCUGUCAAAUUCAGGCUCAGCUCCUCACUGCACGGCAUUUCCAUUGAAAGUUAGGUUUCUUUGCAUUACAGCCAUAAUGGCAGGCACAUUGAAGACAUUGAUAUAGCAGUUGCUAAAUUCUCUUUUUCCAGAAUGAGCAAAGAAAUUCAGAGAGUAGAACUGAAAAGAUACCUAAAAUAAGAAGGAAGCCAAGAUAAACAAGUAUAAUGACCCCAACUUCCACAAAAGUGAGCAUAUAUCAUUGCCCAUACAGCUGGGGUUUGGAAAAAUGCCUUCCAUGGAACAUCCUGUCACAAUAGAGACACUAAGAAAAGUAAGCGCAAAUGGUUAAAACAUUUUUUAAGGGAAGGUCCUUAAUUUCAAAAUCAGGUAUUAUACACAGUUCACAAUAAUUUUGAAAACAAUAAACUUCCUAAAUUUCCUCACAAUUUCAUACUUUAGUGAGGAUUGGUACUUUCCCUCAGGAGACUUCACUUGUAUGCUAUACAUAUUUAAACUCAUGAGAGAACAAUCAAGAAUAUCUGAGAGAAUAGCACUUCCUGGAGAACUAUGGUUCUAACCAUUUAGUUAUGAAUAUCAGUAAACAUAUGAUGCUGGAACUCAGGCAGAUCUAUUCACUUUUGCCAUCGAGUAUUAGAGUAUUGAAUGACCCUUAAGCCUAGUUACUUGGGUUUAACUUGACAAAUCAGUGAAACAUGCCACUCUUCAAGAAAUGUUGCAUUUAAGAUACAUUCAAUUUCUCAAUCAGCACCUUCUCCAUCCUUACAGUUUCUAAUAUUAUAUAGGAGAACAAAGAAAAAGAAGAAAGCGUUGUACCUUCAGUGAGCCACCCAACUCUGCAAGAGCAUUACUUGAUGAUUUUUCCGAAUAGAUAGUUUGGGACCCUGUCAAACAUAUCAAGGAAAAGUGCACUUAUGAAUAAGAGGAAGGGAACACAAAGACAAACAGCAAUUUUACAACAAAUUAUUUUUAUUUAGUUCAUAUCAGCACAUCACCUAAGAAUUGAGCCUUACCUAGGAUAACCUCCAAUGAAAGGUCAAUACUGCAGUUGGGCAUAGAAAGUCAGCUGAACACUUGGGGAAACAUGCUACUGGUUUAAAAAUAAUACACUAAGUCCAAUUAGAAGUUUUCUCUCCAGCCUCUAGAACAAGACUUUUUCUUCAGGUAUCAUCCUUCUAGUGGAAAAGAUGAGAUGAAUUUUCAAGAUGGUCUCCAAGGCAACGAUAUUGAGCAGUAAAAGUAUACGCAGCUGAAAUGAGAUACUAAGCAUGUUUUGAACAAUAUGGAGGACAUAUUUUUAUGAUCAAAAUGAUAUUUGGAAUAUAAAGUGGGUUAUUCUCUUGCAACUCAAUAUAUGAACAGUUAUACAAGGCUCCCUAAACAUUAGGGUGUUUCAGAAAUGUGACUCCUUUAGCUUAAAUUUUUUUUAUAUCUUCCGCUGUGAAUUGCUAAAUAUGUAUAAAUUAGGCAAAAUAUUUUUCAUAUGUGCAAUGUCAGGUAGACUAACCAUAUAAUUUUAUCAGAAAGGCAGAGCAGAAUAAGGCAUUAUCAGCAUGCAAAAAGAGAUGCAAAAGAAGACACCAUAUGAUUUGGAAAAUCACACACAAGUGGUCAACUAAUCAUCAUCUACAUACCAAUAAACUCAGAAGCUUUAUUCAUCAAAUCUAGAAUAAUAAAAAUCAAUACAAGUAAAGUGCUCACGUGAAGUAGGUUUGGCAGCGAAUGAAGCCUGUCCCUCUUCAAGAUAUUGAAACCCCAAAAACCUUCAUAAUUUUUGGUGUUGCCAAAAUUAUAAAAUCAACUCUUAGUCAGUUGUUAAUACUAGCAACUUAAAAAGCUGAAUAUAAUCAAAUAAACAAUUGAUCAGUCAGUUCAGAACCAAAGUGGACCAAAAAGCCAUGAAAUAUUAUCUUGUAUUUAACAUGAAAACAAAAGCCUUUAUGGGUAUCAUAAAAGUGUAAUUUCCUUUAGUUCAAGGCAGAAGCAGGUAAGCAUUGAAAUCCAUGAGAUUAGGGACAGAUACUUACCAGGCCACCCCAAGAAAGCCAAAUAUAUAAAAUACAGAUGCCCAACCAAAAUUUUGAAUAAGCGGAGGAGCUAAAAGAAGCCUGCAAGAACUUUAAAAAUGUUAGAAAAUACCAGCAAAUGAAACCAGGAACGCACUUUAAAUUAAACAAAACAGACACAGAAAGAAGAAAAUAGUCAUAAUAGCAUAAAUUUGUCGAUUAAAUAUGUUUAGGACCUCACACACUGAUUCCUUUUAGGUGCAAUUUCACAGGAAGAUGUAAAGUUGUAAAUAGUUUCUCUACUUAUCGAUAAUCACACAAGUCAAUAAGCUGAAUAUGACAUUUCUACAGUUAACAUUCUGGGUGACUCAAAUUAAGAGGCAAGCAGUUUCCUCAAUAGAAAAAAUUGUUGCUAUCACACGCCAAAUUAAACAAAACAUACCCUGUAACACUUCCUACACUUAGUCCCCCAAAGACAAAUGCUACAGCUCGUGAUCGCUCUUCCAAAGGUAUCGACCUGCAUGCAGUGUUGGUCAAUGCAAAUCAAAAGGAGAAAAGAACUCUACACUAGCUCUUCAUCAGAAAUUGGCUUUAUCCCAAUGACAUGCUGGCAGUAUAAAAGAAUGUACAAUGUAAGAAAGUAAGCCAUAGGGCACUGCAGUCAACGAGUUUGCAGUUUUAACAAGCCAAAAAGCAUAAUUUCAAUAGCGGAGAACAAGAAAACAGGACACAGCCUACCACAAAAUAGGCAGGACAAGUCUGAGACAGAUAAUAAGUUAAUAUGAAACAGAAGAAAGCCAAGAAAAAACUUAAAAUACAGAGAUAGGAAACAUAAGUCUCUAUGUUGAAACAUGAAUUGAUAUACACAUUUAACUGAUUAUUAUUGUACAUAAAUAAAUUGUUCAAGGUGAGCAGGACACUCCAUAAACCACAGAAAUAGUCCUAAAGCUCCACACAGAAAAGUUAGCUUCCAAAUAUUUCCAUAAUGAAAUCUUUAAGAAGUUUUCCAUGAGACUACCAAUUUAUAUAAUAAUGAAAAAGAAUGCAACCUGUUCAUGAACAUGACUAUAGGAAAAACUAAGAAAAAGCACGAAGGAAUACUAGUCCAAUUGAAACACAUGAAAACCAAAUACCCAACACAAACAUAGAAAUGGAUGAUUAUGUUUAGCCAGAUACUAUCUAAAAGGUCCACUAAAACAUGCUCCUAUAGAGCUUUGGAUGUCAUACAUGCCUGGCAAUGAGGUCAGUUGCUGCAGAGGGGGAAACUCCUUCUCCUAUUCCAACCUAGAUUUGGAACACAUAAGAGAAAUACUCAAUGAGAUACACGAAACAACUUAUGCAAUUCAACAUUAACUGAAGGAACGUCAAAGAAAAAUGCAUAAGAGUAAUAUGAAAAGAUAGAGAGAGACAGAGACUAAUUCAGUAAGGGAGAAUCUCUAAACUAUCACAAAUGUUUAUGAUGCAUAUUUAACUAGUAAUGAGUUGCAGAUUCAUGAAAAGGUGCGUACAAGUUGGAUAGAAAUACUUGCUCAACAUAUGGAGUAUGGGAGGAAGCUGCACAUACCAAAACCCUUGACAACACAAAUCCGGGCAUAUAUCCAGCAAGAAAAGGAAGAAGUGCUGUAGCCACUGACCAUGUCAAUACUCCAAUCUGAAGAACUUUUCUGCAUAAUAAUAAUAAUAAUAAUAAUAAAGGCAUGAGGCAUGUAUAGCACAAAAUGCACCAGACCCAGAAGACAGGUGAAAGAAAAACCUAUUACCCUCCAACUUCAAAGAGACCUAGUGUAACCAUCAAAACCAUGAACUGCCCAAGUGGAGUCAGCCAUAUUUCCGAAAACAUAUAGAUUUUUACUGCUUUAGUGGAUAGGGUAAUCAUGGAUCAAGCAUUCGGUUACAUUGAGCGGAAAAAAUUACUUGUGCAAACAUAAAAAAUGUAAACAGUUGUACAUUUAAGCACUGGAGGGGAUGAAAUAAGUAUGAAAUCUACAGUCGUAAUGAAAGUGUAUGCAGUUCAUAUUCCCAAAAUGCUACAGUUAAGGUGUAGCAUUUAGAGUUUAGAAAGUCUAAUGGAAAUGAAGCAUAGUAUUUGCAUCGAUUAGCAGAAGUCAGGAUCACAGUCGAGUGGAAAGAAUAUUUCUCUAAAUCUUAAGGGAGGACUACUUGAAUAGAGCAAAUAAAUUGAUGGAAUGCAGAGACCUGAUAUUGAUUUUUUGUCAAAUCAGAACAACCUCCACCUUUAUUAAGGCAAUUUAAGCUUGUAAAAUUAGAAAUAGCACUCGACUUAAACAACUCAGCCCAAAACAUUAAUGCCAACUCAUUAAAUCAGCUAUAUAAAUCCUUUUCUUUCCCUGAUAUGUUCAAUUCUUGGCUAAACUUAUUGUGAUCAGGAACAUCAUUUGGCCCAUAAUCAAACAUAGAAGAUCAUUCAACUAGAUCUCAAUCAAGAGAAGAAGUUAGCAUUACUUGACCAGUGUAAGUAAGUGCAUGGGAGAAGAAGUUAAAUAGCUCAAGGUAAAAUCUUGCACUGAAAGAUACUAAUAUGACCUCACCCUCCACAUGCUUCCAAGUAAUAAAUCCAUUACUGGAGCUUAAAUAAGUGGUCUCCCAUUGCCGGAGCCUAUAAAAAUAGUUUAUUGAUGGGAAAAAUGACCUAUUCCUCUAAUGUGAAAGACAUUGUAAAUACAGCAAGCCAUGAGGAACUAACCUCCCACCAAAAAUCUUAGCAAGCCAACCUCCUGGUAAUUGGCUCAAAGCAUAACCCCAAAAGAAGGAUGAUUGCACUAGCCCAGCCGUUGAUGCAUUCCAUCCAAAUUGGUGAGACAUAGGAAUUAUUGCAACACUCAAGUUCACCUACCCAAUUUAGCAAAUUCAUCAAAACAUACGUUAGCCACAAACACAAGACAAGUAACCAAGUAUUAGCAGCACCAUUAAAAAAUCACUAUUCUUAGUUUAAAACUAACAGAAACCAAGGCAUAUGAACAUAUCAAAUUAGACCAAAAAUACCACUACUUACCUUGUCCAUAUUACAAAUAACAAAGGCAAGUGAUGUAGUGCCAAUAAGCUUAUAUCUCAGAGGGAUAUUCUUCCAUGGAGGCCAUUUCCAAUCAAAACCCACCUCACUAGACCCACUAUCAUCCCCCAAUCUCUGCUCAAAAUCCAAACUUGAACCCCUCUUGGGGUCCAACUCAUCAGCUUUUUUUAGUCCAGCGAGUACAUCAGGGACCCUCUCACCUUCUUUCACGUUCUCUUUCUCUUUAACACCACACCAAACCCUGAACUUCAAGCUGUUUCCAGAGUGAAGGAAAUUUAAAGAAUUGUUCUUGAAUGAGGUGGUUGUUUUGAAGACUGAGGUUUGUGUGUUUGUGUUGUGUGAGAGAGAGCAAAAGCUCUUUGCUUUGAGUGUUAAGUUUGCCAUUUUAUUUUCUCUUGAGGGACGAAGAAAGAACUGUAAUUUUCGUAAGUGAAGACAAUAUAAAGAGAGGAAAGAGUAAGCAUUAUGUUUAUGUCCAUUGACUUCUUGUCAGAGGAAGCCAUUGCAGAAAGCUUGGCAUAUCAUUUGCAAGGACUUGGGGUGGCCACGGAGGAAUGACUUGUGGCUGUUGUUUGUUAGUGGGACCCACCUUUGUCGGGUAGCUAUCGCAUACUACAUUUUUUACUAUUAGUUAUGUAAAAUAUUCUGCAAGUGAUUUUUGUUAUUUUCUCUUAUUCAUAAAAGUGAAAUAGCAAUUCAUAAUAAAUUAUUUAAUAAUAUUAAGUGUUGAUAAAUAUUUUUAUAAUUUUAAAUUAAUAUUUAUUUAAGCAUUAAUAUAUUGGAAUGUCUUUAAACAAUAUUUGAUUUCUCUAUCAUUUAUUUCUCGUUUUUGUAACUUAUUCUACCAUCAUUUGAAUUCUUAUAAAAAAUAUUCUGGUUUUUUCUUAUUUUCUCAAAAAUACUACAUAAUAAGUUUUCAAGAAUAAUAGCAUUUAAAACAUUUUUAACCUAAUUACAUAAAAAAAAAACUUUACAAUGUUAUUAUCAUAUAUACAUGUCAAUCAAUUUAUCCAUAUCAAGAUUUAAGUAAAAUAUACAAUUAAAUCUUUGAAAAUUAAUACUCUUAUAACCUUGAAAGUUUAUUAAUUAAAUAAAUUAAUAAUUUAUUAAUUUAAAUAUUAAUUAGUUAAAAAAUUAUUUGUCAAAGUAUUUUUUUUUCAUUUGCAAAGAGUUUUAUAUUUACCGUGAGAGUUUUGUAGACAAACUUCUUAAGGGUCCAUUAAUUAUAUGGAUGUAGUACUUUUUCGAGGUUUUUCUUGUUAUAAUAAUAUAAUUUUAUUAGAACAAAACCUUAAACUGAAUCUUGGUUAGCGGUUGAUUAAGAUGACAUUUUAGAAGAAAAGUGAGACCUUUAGUUGUUUUUUUUUUUUUUAGUUUUAUCUUAUGUUUAGGGGGUAAUCCUUAAUUGUUUUUUUUUUUUUUAUUGAGAUUUGUUUUUUUUAAUCUGAGAUUAUAGAAUGUGUUUUAAGUAGGAGUCAUUAUUUUUGGUUUGGUUUGGUUUUUAUAAAAAAAAAGUAACCAAACUGAAUUUAUUUUUUAAAAAAAACCGAAUCCGAACUAAAACCGGUUCAAACCAACCGGUUUCAGUUCGGUCUAGUUUUUUAGGAUAAAAACCGGUUCAAACCGGUUUGGCUCGGUUUUUUUGGUUUGGCUCAGUUUUUUCAGUUUGGUUCGGUUUGGCUCGGUUUUUUCUGGUUUUUUUCGAUUUAGGUUCGGUUUGGUUUUUUCGGUUUCAGGCUUAUAAAACCAAAACCGAAUCGAACCGGUCAGUUUUUUCAAAAUUUUAAUCGGUUUAAUCGGUUUUUUUUACGGUUCGGUUUUUUCGAUUAUAUUUUUUUCGGUUUUUUCGAUUAUAUUUUUUUCGAUUUUUAGCUCACCCUAAUUUUAAAAAACAAGGGUUGAUUUUAUUUUAUUUUUAUCUUUUAAAUUUUGUAGAAAUGAAAACGGAAAGGAGAGGUCAAUGGUGAUUGCAAUCAAGAUUGGAGUUCUUUUGCUGAAUUACAUGUUAGUUUAUGGCUUAUGGUUAGAAUAUAUAUUUUACAGGUUUGAUAUAUAUAAUUUUUUAUUGGAUCAAGAAAAAAAUAAAUUAAACUUGAGAAGAAGUUCUUUUUAAUUCGGAAAUACUGAUGCGAGAUAAAAAAAAUUUAAAAAAAUUAUUUGUGUUUUUUAAUUAUUUUUAUUUGUUUUCUGUUUAGCAUAAGAAAUUAAAUAUCAUACUUAAUAAUUUUAUUUUUUCUAGUUUGUUUUUUCUUUAUUUUUAAGUUUUUUAGUCUAUUUAGGUUAGUGUUUGAGUUAAUUUAUUUAAGAAAUUAUAAAUUUUUUAUAGAAGAAAAUUACUUGAAGAGAAAUGCACAAUGAUAAAAUUAAGAAUUAAAGUCAUGUGUGACAACCUUAUUCAAUUUGUUUUUCAAGAAAUAUAUAUAUUUUUUAAAGACUUUUUUUUAAUUUCUAAAGUUUUUAGUAUAUUUAGGUGAGAUUUAUGUAUUUCAAAAACCAUGGAUGAAAUAAAUCAAGAUUUACCUAUCUUGUUUAUAGGAUUCUAUAAAUUCAUUCUCAUAUAUUGAACAUGUAAUUUGUUUUCCUAGAAAAAAAAAAUUUUAACUGAUUUUUCUGUUUCUUUUAAAGAAAUUUUAUCAGUUUUUAAUAUUUCUUAUGUGAGAUUUAGAUAUUUCAAAAACCUCAGGGGGGGAAAAUAAAAUUUACCUAUAUUCUUACAGGGUUCCAAAUUAAAAUUUGGACGAAAAUGGAUGGAAAUGGAACUAUGGAAGGUAGCAAUUGGAAAGGCUACCGAAGUUUUGGGUGAAAUUGAGAUAAUACAGAAAUCAAGGGGGCAAAAUAUAAAAUAAACCUGUUUGACAACCAAAAGGAAUUCCGUUGCCGGGAAUCGAACCCGGGUCUCCUGGGUGAAAGCCAGAUAUCCUAACCGCUGGACGACAACGGAAUACUUGUUAACGAUCAGUAUAUAUAGAUAUAUAUAUACAUCGUUUCACAAGUGGAGUUUAUAGAACCAACUCAGGGUCGAUAGAAGAGAAAAGGCUUCGGUACAAUAGAGGACGUUGAGAAAUUAUGCUGCUAUGUAUCAAGUUUGAGCGCUUCCAAUAAAUGGGAAGAGAGCACUUGGCACAGUAAAAGUAAGCUCCGUUGCCGUCUGUCGGAGGUGGUUUUUCCAGUUCAUGGGCUUCAGCUAGUUCUGUCAAUAGUAAGUUCAUCUUUCGCCUGUGUUUCAGGCUGAAAGUAACAGGCAUUUCAGUGAUCUGUGUAAAGGAAAGGAGGAGACAUAGGCCAGAGCUAAAUCUACAAAUAAGAUUCCUUAAUUUCCUGUAGUGUAGUUGCAACUUGCUUACAAUAUUUUACUCACCAUUAAAAUAAUCCUUAUGGGUUAGGUCACAAGCGCGUGCAGCUUAUAAGAUCAUCCUGUGAUCAGAGUGUAGCUAAGCGAUAAAAAGAUGACCAGAAGAAAACAACAGUAUCUUGCUUUUUUUUCUCCUUUUCCUGAAAAACAUAAUAAUGGUGCAGCUGCACUAGCUGCAAUUGCAUUUUUGCUGAUGAGGUCCUUUUAUUUAUUCAGCUGUCAAUGAGCUCGUAGCUCAACUAACAUCUAUCCUCCUCUUUCCAUCCCCUUAAAGGUCUUGAACUCGAGCCUCUUUCUUAAAGGAAAAUAAAAUGGUAGUAAAAUAGAUAAUUUUUUUUAGUUUAUUGUAUAAAGAAUUGUACUAGCUUUUUAGCUUGUUAGACUUGCAUUAAUAAUUUGGAUGUUUUCUCUAUAGUUAUGAUGUAUUUUUUUUUUAAUUUUUGAGAGUUUUUUUUUUAGUUUAACGUGGGUGUCUAGGCUAGCUUGCGCGCACCUCGACUAAUCCCACGGGCCCUGAAGUUAACGACCAUGUAAGCUUCCAGUGGCCAUCAUAUGAGCAACCACAUGGCUCGAAUCUGAGACUAGAGGAAGCAAACCUCUUAGUCCCAAAUUCUUACCACUGAGCCACCACCUAGAUGGUUAAUUUUUGAGAGUUUUGACUUACAACUAACUUUAUUAUUUUUUGCUAUUACUUGCGUUAAUUAGUGGUUUUGAAUGGAAAUUAUAGAAGACGUGUUUUAGAGUUUAACCAUUCCUGAUGGUUAAAUGAUGUCAUAGAAUAGAAUGUGCUCAUGUCGGAAGAAUGAUGAGGUUUUCUCAAAAAAAAAAAAAAAAAAAAAAAAAACAUCCUAAUGUUUUGUUUCUAUCUAUGUUGGUCAAUGUUAUUGGAUAUUUUAAUUAGUACAAAAAUAUUAUUUUAUGAAUUCAUGAUGGAAUGGUCCGUGAAAAAAAUCUUCUUAUAGAUAUUAGUUUUUUUUAUUAAGGUCUAAAUUCAAGCACAAAUUUAUUUCAACAUGAGAGAACUAAUAAGAUUUUUUCUAGAAAAAUAGAUAUAUUUUUAUGUUAAUUAUAUUUUUUAUAUUUUUUUCUAUUAUGUAAGUAUUAUUGUUUUUUUAGUUUUUUUUAUAUUUAUAAAUAAUAAUUUUCUUAGUUCAUUUUUUCAAUUCAAUAUUACUAGUUUAUUUUUUUAUAUAAAAAAUUAUAGCAUCCUUUUGAAAAAUUGACUUAAAUAAAUAAAUAAAUAUUAAAUAUUUCCCCUAUUUUAAAUCUUAAAAAAAUUUAAAUUAUAAAAAGCAUAAAGCAUAGUUGACCUUCGCUUCCGUUAACAGAUCACAUAGUGACCUGGGACUACAAAAUCAUGUUGACUUAAUUGAAGGGGCUGGAAUUAUGGCCGCCGUCCUCCAAUCUUUGACUACAGCUACCAGAAAGAGAACAAAAAAGAGCUCAUUGCACGCAUCAGCUUCAUAAUAGAUCAAAUUUGAAUUGAAUGGAUCCUAAAUAGCAGACAAGUCCAAAUCUUUCUUUGCUGUACAAUCCACAUGAACUGCUGAAAUUCAGUCGAAGAAAAAACCCUAUUUGAUAAAACCACCUUUACUGCGACUAAAGCAAGUAGUUUUCUGCAGCUGCGGGUGAGAUAACAUGGCUGCCAUGGCAGAGUUGAUAUCAAAUUCAGUCCAAGAAAUGGCUACCAAUGGACAAGAACCACCAGUGAAGUAUUUCUCUAAAGGAAAUGAUGCUGGAGUCCUUGAUGCUCCUGUUCCUUUAAUUGAAAUCCCAGUUGUUGAUCUUGGUCUCCUUACUUCUCCAUUAACCAGUGCCCAAGAACUUGAGAAGCUUAAAUUAGCUCUCAGCUCAUGGGGCUGCUUUCAGGUCCUUCUCCUUACUUUUCUAAACUCACUCUUACUACUGAUAAUUCCCUGUUCUACUCUUGAUCAAUGUCUGUUUCAAUAUGAUUUGAGCAUUAAAGAUGGUCAAAGAAAUGUUGUGAAAGCCCAAGAUUCGAUUGACACUGAUCAACUGGAUUAAUGAAUUGUUAUCAUUCUCUAUUUCACACUAUCUGGAUUGAGUAUUCUAGUCAAGUUUAGGGCUUUAUGCAUUCUGGUUUCUAUUUGAUAACAAAAUAUAAUAAAAACUUGAAUAACUAUGGAUACAACCCAGAUUUUAGAUUACAAUAUGCUUCCAUGUGUAUAACUAGCAUUACUCUUGCGAUAUAAUCAGAGUUUAUUUUGAUGUUUUAGGUAAUAAAUCAUGGAAUGACGAGUUCCUUUUUAGACAAAAUUCGUGAAGUUAGCAAGCAAUUCUUCGGAUUUCCGAUGGAAGAGAAGCAGAAAUACUCCAGAGAAGCUGACAGCAUUGAAGGGUAUGGAAAUGACAUGAUUCUUUCAGACCACCAAACAGUUGACUGGACUGAUCGAUUGUAUCUUACCAUUAGCCCAGAAGACCAGAGAAAGAUCAAAUUUUGGCCCGAAAAUCCUAAAGAUUUUAGGUAAUUAAAUUACAUUACCAAAUUAUUCAGUGAAUUUUCACAAUGUUAAAAGAAGAAUGGACAUAUCUACUGAGUUGCAGCGAUGGAGUUGGUUGAACUUACAGCUGAUAACCAUCCAAUGCAUUAAUAAGAUUUUGAUAAGUACAUGCUAACCUUGUUCUUAACCGUUGCUGCAGGGAAACCCUACAUGAAUACACCGUGAAGUUACAAGAGACAAAUGACUUUCUCCUUAGAGCCAUGGCGAGGUCAUUGAACUUGGAGGAAAGCUGCUUUCUAGACCAGUAUGGAGAACAACCACUUGUGACUGCAAGGUUUAACUUCUAUCCUCCAUGUCCAAGGCCUGAUCGAAUUCUUGGCGUUAAGCCUCAUGCAGAUGCUUCGGCAGUUACCUUCCUCUUGCAAGACAAAGAAGUGGAAGGUCUUCAAUUCCUGAAAGACAACGAGUGGUUUAGAGUUCCCAUCAUUCCACAUGCUCUUCUAGUCAAUGUCGGAGAUCAAGUAGAGGUAAAUCCUAUUACUUGAAGUGCUCUUUGUUCUUGUUAGCAGAAGUGAAUGACAUAGAACAGUAAAUUCUUUCCCCAAUUUUAGCUUUAAUUAUUCAUGUUUCCCUUCACAAGAUUUAGACAAGAAGUCUCACAGAAUAGGUUUGGCUUGUGCUUUAGAAUAUUUUAGGCAAUGAUACUAGUAUAGUUCAUAAUUGACCCUUGCAUAUCUGGCAUGAAAUGAUACACACAGAUAAUGAGCAAUGGAAUAUUCAAGAGCCCAGUACACAGGGUGGUGACAAACACAGAAAGGGAGAGGAACACUCUGGCUGUAUUCUGCAUUCCUGAGUCAGAUAAUGAAAUCAAACCAGCAGAUCAGCUGAUCAGCGAAACGAGGCCAAGGUGAAAGAUUAUGUUAGUAUCUACUUUCAAUACUACCAACAAGGGAAACGGCCAAUAGAAGCAGUAAAGAUUUGAUCUUUUCCAUCUCUUUUCCAUCUGUAAUUAAAGAACUAUUGUGUGUGUGUGUGUGUGUGUGUUAAAACAAUGUUCAAUAAGCUUAGGCAAAGAACGACUGCAGUCCUUGUUUAUUUGUUGUUCUGUGGUGCUUGUUGUCUCGCCUGGAUUUAUCAGAUGAAGAUUGGUGAGAAAAAGCUCAUUGUUGGAGCAAUCUUGAGAUUCAUCCAAUAAAGUAAGGACUUACAGCCUGACCAUUAAGGAAUUGGAAAGAGGAAAAGAGAAGCAGAUAGAAAAAUGCGAAUAAGCUAACAAAAAAUAUCUAUUUUCUGUGCCUCUCUUGGAAAUCAGGUUGUCCAUGCAGCUCAGUCCAACUAAUAAGAUAAUGGCUGACCUGUACACUCGGAAUCACAACAAUGGCACUUCAUCUGGAAUUCUCUCUCAACACCUGAAAACUCCAAAGCGAAUCUCCCCAACAGAGAUGAUUGCUGAAAGUCUGAAAAGAAGUUUCCUAGGAUUAAUUAGUAAAUUAAUAUCGUGGAAGACAAAAAGUAGAUAAUAAGACAAACAUGAUAUCGCAGAGCCACUUCCUUCCAGACAAGAAACAGCAGAUAAAACCAAUGAAAGGAGCCACAGACACCCAAUAGUACUUUCCAGCUUUCCUGCCUUAAACCUAUGAACAAUGUCACCAUCCCAAUGACCUCUAGCUCCUCAAUAGUUCCGUGGACACAUCCUUCACCACACUCAUGUUUGGAUAGAGCAGGUCACUGCCUCUGAAUUGGAACAGCAGAAAACUCCAUGGUACGUAUAGCUAUCCAUAACGGCUAAGUUUAGUUCGAACUCUCUUUCUUUUGUUUCCUGUUCAAGUUAGAAGGUAACCAUAAAUAUCAUCUGCACAGCUAUCAAAAUAAAGCGUGAUCUGCAAAAUCAUGGCUGAUAAUCUUUGUCCUACCAAAUUAGAAUCAAAAUCAAAAUCUGUCCAAGAGGUGGUCAGGAACAGUGAAGAACCGCCUGGAAAAUAUUUCUAUGAAGAUGGUGUUAAUGGAGUCCUAGACAGUUCUCUUCCAGUGUUGGAGAUCCCAGUUAUUGAUACAAGCCGCCUCACAUCUCCGUCAACAAGCAGAGAGGAAGUUGAAAAACUCCACUCAGCUCUCAUUGUGUUAAAAAUUAUGCUUGUAAACAUCUAGCUAGAGGGAAAAUAUUUCUCAGUUGACUCUACAAAUGAGUCAACAAGACACUCGAUAUAAGAUACAAUUGACUUUCUCCUUGGAGCCAUGGCGAGGUCAUGGAACUUGGAGGAAGGCUGCUUUCUAGACCAGUAUGGAGAACAGCCACUUGUGACUGCAAGGUUCAACUUCUAUCCUCCAUGUCCAAGGCCUGAUCGAAUUCUUGGCGUUAAGCCUCAUGCAGAUGCAUCGGCAGUUACCUUCCUCUUGCAAGACAAAGAAGUGGAAGGUCUUCAAUUCCUGAAAGCAACGAGUGGUUUAGAGUUCCCAUCAUUCCACAUGCUCAUAUGUAAAGUCAACCGGUAGAACCGAAAUAUUCUGUUGGUAAUUUGAAUUGCCGGUAGAACCGGCAAGAAAUACAACCGUAGUAAACUAACUCGUCAGUGUUUUUUUCCGUCGGCGAUUUGAAUUGCCUAUGGAAUAUUCACGUCUAAAAAUCAGCUUUUACCUUCUAUUUCCCGCAGAACUUCCAUCAGUGUUUAUUUUCUCUAAAAAAAUAUUCUGUCAACAAUUCCAUCAUUGAGUUGUUAUAUAUUUUGUAAGUUUUACCAAACGCUCAAUAAUUGAUAGUAACAUUCCUGUAGAAUUUCCAACAGAAUAGCCGAUGAAAUAUUGAUUCCAGCAAUUUUACCAAAGAUUUCAAUUUCUUUUUUGUUUAUUAUGAUCCACAAACCAAUAAUUAUAUACUCACAAUAACAAAAAAAACAUCUCUAAAAUUUAUCUUUUACAAAUUUCACAUUGGAUAUUUAUCCAAAGAUGUGUUUCAUAUAAAUAAUACACAAAAAUAAAAUAUAUAAAAUUCUAUACACAAACUUUUUUACUUAAGUUAAAAAAACUCACAACAAAUAUUCUAACAAAUAUAAAUAUAAUACAUUAUAAAACAUCAAUAAAUAUCUUACACAUUUACACAUUUUUAAUAUUAUUAUACAAUGAAAGACAUCUAAAUUAAUUCAUUAUCUUUUAAUCCAAAUCCUUCCUUUUAUUUUUAUUAUCAUUAUGUCCAUCAUCAUCUUUUCUGUUAUUUUUAUUGUCUAUCUCAUCAUUUUUAUAUGCUUUUCCAUGUAAAUUAUUACUUAAUAUUACAUUUAAUUCAUCAACGUCAACUUUAACUUCAUUUUUAGUGACACAAAAAAUUAAAAUUUUUUACUCGGAUUAAUAAGAUAUCUUUUGAUUCGAAUUAAUAAGAUAUCUUUUGAUUAGAAAGUACAAAAUUACUAUUUUUAGAAAGUAUAAAAUUAACAAAACCUUUAACCCCUUUAAGAAAAUCUUUCCAAUACAAUCAAUCACUUGACUCUUAAUACAUUCAAUAAUAAUUAUUCAUUAUUUUUAAAAACUAUAAAUAAUAUAUUAAUAGCAAUAAUUUUUUAGAUUAAAAAAGAUUAUCACCCUAAUAUAACUAACCAAACAAAUCAAUUCAAUCAAAUAGCACACAAUUUUGUAAAGUAAAAUUUAGAACUAAUAACUUACAAUACUAAAAUGAUAAUAAAACAUAUCAGGUUUCAACUAACUAUCAAUUAUUUAUCCAAUUCAAGAAUAAAUAAAAUUAAUUAAUACCUUGUGAUCAAUUACAUAUUAAUUUGUUUUUUCUUAAAUUUUAAAUUGACUAAAACUAAUUGGAACCAACUAAUUAUUUGUCAUUUUUUAAUUUAAAUUUAUUCAACCUAAAUUAAUACAUUUAAUUAUUAUCAAUUCCACACAAAAUUAAUUUUUUUCAAAUUUUCAAUUUAAACAUAAAAUUAACAAAAAAAAAUAAUUAUACUCAUUAAAUUACCUAUCAUUUCUUCAAUUCUAAACACACAAGUUAUAAAAAACUCACUUUAUAUUCUAUAACCACCAAAAUAUAGAGAAUUGAAGCACUCAUGAAUAAAUCUUACCUAAAACUAAAUACAUUGAUUUUUUUUUUCUCAGACCCAUAAUCUAAAACAAAUCCAACAAUUGAGUUACUAAAUUUGGCUCAUCUCAAGCACCUGCUGCUAAUGUUUUUUAAACAAAACAAGAGCAGGGGUUUCCAGGAGUAGAAUAAUGCAUGCGUGGCAUGUCUGAAAUAACUGUUCAUAAUAGUCAAGCUUCUACUUAGCAAAAAUACUCAACUACUGAAAAGAGUUAACAUCAAUUUGAUAAAAAAUAUUUAACGUUGCUCAAUGACCUUUACCGACAAUAAUGAAUUCAUCACUCGAUAGUGCCUGCCUUCUCUUUUUUAUUUAUUUAUUGUAGUGAUUUGGUUCAUCUAGUCCUUUUUAUGCCUGCAAAUUGGCCAACUCUCCCAGCCAAACCUUCCCUGUCAACUCUACUCAAGCCUCGCUUUUGAACUAUUUAACUCAUCUCAAGAUCUAGGACAAAACAGAGAGUGAAUUCCUGUAAAUCUUUUGGUUUAUUUACUAGACAAUUUUCUUUUAAAGUUCUACGAACGUAUUUCUAUACAUAGGGACUUGAGUUUAGUUCGAACUCUCUCUCUCUUGUUUCCUGUUCAAGUUAGAAGGCAACCAUAAAUUAAUAUCAUCUGUUCAGCUAUCAAAAUCAAGCGUGAUCUCAGUGUCUGGAAAAGUAUGGCUGAUAAUCUUUUUCCUACCAAAAUAGAAUCAAAAUCAAAAUCUGUCCAAGAGUUGGUCAUGAACAACGAAGAACCUCCUGGAAAUUAUUUCUAUGAAGAUGGUGUUAAUGGAGUCCUAGACCGUUCUCUUCCAGUGUUGGAGAUGCCAGUUAUUGAUAUAAGCCGCCUCACAUCUCCGUCAACAAGCAGAGAGGAAGUUGAAAAACUCCACUCAGCUCUCAUCUCAUGUGGCUGCUUUAUGGUUUGUUUUUCAAAUACUCUUCUUUGAAUCCAACUACUUUCUUGUGACCAUGCUCAUAUACUAGAUAUUGAAAUCAGGAUCUUAGUUUGACAAGCUAUGUUCUAUAAUUUUUUUUUCUCAAGAGCUGGGUUAUUUGUUCCAGUCAAUAAAUCAUGGAAUCACUGGUGUAUUCUUGGACCAAGUACGUUCAGUUACUGCGCAGUUCUUUGCACUUCCAAUGGAAGAGAAGUUGAAGUACUCCAGAGCAGUUGAUAGCACAGAAGGUUAUGGAAAUGACAUGAUCCUUUCAGAAGAUCAAAUACUUGAUUGGACAGACAGAUUAUAUCUUAUAGUAAGCCCAGAAGAUCAGCGACAGUUCAAAUUUUGGCCUGAAAAACCUGAAAUUUUUAGGUAUGUUAACCAUGCUACCUGAAGAUUAUAAAGAUAAUGGUUAAUCCAACCAUAUAUGACCGUGUAUGGAAAUCGCUCCAUGUACAGUUUAAUCCAACCAUUUAUGACCAUGUAUGGAAAUUGCUCCAUGUAUGGAAAUCACCUCCUAUAAUGACAAGAUAAAAAUAUGAAAUAAAUCUUGAGCUUGCAGGGAAAUUUUGCAAGAAUAUACCACAAAGUUAAAGGUGAUAGUUGAAGUUGUUCUCAAAGCCAUGGCAAGGUCAUUAAACUUGGAAGACAACUGCUUUCUGGACAAGUACGGAGAAAGGGCAUUAAUGCAGGCCAGAUUCAACUUCUUUCCUCCCUGUCCGAGGCCUGACCGAUCUCUUGGCCUGAAACCACACGCAGAUGGAUCAGCAAUCACCAUCGUCCUGCAAGACAAAGAAGUCGAAGGGCUUCAGUUCCUUAAAGAUGAUCAAUGGUUUAGAGUUCCUAUCCAGCUUCCUCAUGCUCUUCUUAUUAAUGUUGGUGAUCAAUCAGAGGUAAAUUACAGAUUUGUCUCAUCAUCAGCAUGCAUUCAAUUUAUAUAUAGAACUCCUUGCAUAGAUACAUUUCUUAAGGAAAAACGAAGAUGAAUAGUAAACUCCAGACUGAGAAACAUUUUAGACAAUAGACUCUCUGCUACUAGUAUUUCAUGCCUUAAGCCUGAAGUAUGAAAUUAAUUCAUGGGAGUUCACUGCUAACUGUAACUAGUUAUGAAUGGCAUACAUAGGUAAUGAGCAAUGGGUUUUUCAAGAGCCCAGUCCACAGAGUAGUGACAAAUUCAGAAAGGGAGAGGACUUCCGUGGCUGUGUUCUGUUCUCCAGACCCAGACAACGACAUUGAACCUGUGGAUGGGGCAGUCAGUGAGACGAGGCCGAGAUUAUACAAGAAGGUGCAAGAUUAUGUCAGCAAGUACUUUCAGUACUAUCAGGAAGGGAAGAGGCCAAUAGAAGCAGUGAAAAUUUAAUUUAUGCUCAUGUUUAAUUUAGCUUCCAAGCAAUGUUGCAUUGCGCAUUGCUGCGGUUCUAACUUUCCUAGGAUGAGAUUCUUAUCUGCCUUGCAUUUCUCAGUUCUCAGUUUUCAGGGUCAACAUUAAGUUCUUUCAUAAAAUGCUCAAUUUGCAGGCUACAAAGAUUCUGCCAUUCGUUGAUGAGCCUAUGGCUCAAUCGACACCCACAUCUCUUUUCUUCCAAAAGCUCUCUAGUUUUAGCCUCUUUCUUGUAAACAAAGGCUCUGCCUUUUUUUGUGGGUUUGAAGUGAAGUUGUGUCUGUGCAAUCCCCCAGAUUUUGCACUGCAAUAUACUGCAGAAGCAUGUAUGACCUUAACCAUGAUCGAGUCCGGGCGUCUUUCAAAGCCAGGCCUAAAGAGAAGGAAAAAAUUAUUAUCAAAACCCACUUACAAAAAGUGCCAAAACAAUAUUACGGUUCAGGUAAAAGGAGCAAAGACAAUUCAAAAUCUUUGAAAGAUAAAAAAAUAAUACAAUAUUAUAUGAAAAAAUAUCAAAAUAUUUAAUUUUUAUUUAUCUAUGUUUCACAACCCUUUCUAUAUAUUACAACCCUUUAUAUGUUGUAUUAGGCUUGCCUAUAUAUAUAUAUACAGAAAACUCCAAUAACAGGGUAUGGAAAAGAUAAAAUAAAAAAAUUAUUCUCUAUAAAAAAAAAUAGAAAAGCAUAAUAAUAGAUAAUAAAAAAAUAAAAUUAACUAAGAAAAAUAUUAUUUUCCCAUAAAAGCUUCUCUAUUAGUCUCUUGGAUGAAGGAAGUUGUUUUCCAGUUCAAAUCUUAAUUGAAAACUAUCCUCCGUCACUAAUGUUUUUUUCUUUUUUUUAUGUAUGACACAUUUUAUUGUGGAUCCUUAACAUCUUCAUGCGAGCCUUUCCGUUAUAGAUCUUAAUAUAAUAUCUUUAUACAUACUAUUUCAUCGUGGAUCCCUAAUACGAUAUCUUUAUACGGGCCACUCAAUCGUGGGUCUUAUCAUCAAGAUUUUUAAUAAUAGAAACUAAUGCAAACAAAAACAACACACUAGGUCUUGUACAUAAAUAACAUUAUUUCAUGGAUGUUUUUUUUUUCUUUCAAGGGAGAACCUCUACAUCCCUUCCUGCAUAAGCACACCCUACUUUAUUACCUCUUCCAACCAUGAUUAUUAAAUAAUACACAACAACUAAUCACUAGAAAUCAUCGAACUAUAAUACAUGUCAUCUGCGAUCUCUAACCAAAACCACUAGGAAUCAUAGGAUAAGGGUUUAUUACAAGUCAAACCCCUCGUAGGCAAAAAAUACCGUAAUUAUGGGAGAGACACCCAACAUAUUUAUUUCUUAUUCCCCAUGUCUUAAUCGCUACAAGACUAUUGCAAUCUUUUAUAUAGAAAAAAAAAAACUAGAAAGCCCUAAUAAUAAUAAAUAGGAAAAAUAAAAUAAAAAACUAUUGAAUAUAAGAAAAAACCUAAAAGAAUAUAAUAAUACAAAAUAAAAAAAUUAACUAAGAAAUAUAUUUAUUUUUUAAAAAAUAUACAUCAUGAUUAUUGAAUGGUUUAAAUAUAUUGAAUUUUAGAAGAAUAGAGGGACCACAAAUUUAUAAUUUAAAAAGCUUAAGGACCAAAAAUGAAAUUUUUACACCAAUUUUGAAACUACCACCCGUUUCUUCCAUUUUUCACCAUAGUCCUUCUUCUUUCAAUCUUGCAAUUGCUCCACAAAUCUGCCGUUGUCAGAAAUUAAACUCUUACUUGCAUGAUUUGGAAUGACAUUGCUUGCACUUGCCCGGGUGGAUAUUUCUUCAACGAAAAUAUUUACAGGGUUUUUACAUAUAUAAAAUUUCUAAUAAUAUAUCACUAGAACCAAGGUCAAAAUUUAUUUUUAUUCUUGAUAUUUUAAAAUUAAUUUUAUGAUUUAAUUUAAAUAAAUUUUUUUCUUUUAAAGAAUCUUAAAAAUGUAACUAUUAUUAUCAAAAACUAAAUAUGAAUAAUUAUCCAGCACUUACUUGAAAGAAAACAAAAUGGGCCGUUCCAUCCUAGAACUCCUCGAUAAUGGGCCCCAUCUGUUCAUAGUGAUACUUAACUGGGCUUUUCCUUUAAUAGCCCAUUAAUUCUCAACAAUUGGAUCUUAGAUUCUUGAAGCGCCCCGCGCUCUCUCAUUAUAAUUUAUAUAUACGCUCCUUACGCACCCUCGACUGAUCACGCGCAGUCACACUGUUCGCACACCCCGCCGUCGACCGCUAUCAGAGCAUCGUUUCUGAAGGUCAGAAUUUUCAGUCCUCUAUGGCCUUUCGUUUCUCUGCGAUAUUACAUUUUUGCUUAAAAUUGCUUCUUAAGCUCUGGCAUUAGUCUUACAUCGCUACCAUCAAGUUCCAAUUUUGUAAACAAAUUUGGUCAUUUAGGGUUUAGGGUUUUUUUCCUUCUAUUUUUAAGAAGGAAGAGGCAUGGAAUUGAUAGAUUCUUGAAUUUGUUGCAAAAUUCAUCUCUAGCAAGCAAAAAUGGAGAGGAUUUCUGCAGCUUGUGCUAUGGAAUGGAGCAUUGAGCUUGAGAAGGCCCUUCGCUCUAAAAAACCUGGUAAGUAUACACUUUUACUCUAUUUUUAAUAAUCUGUAUGUUAACUUGGAGUUGCUGAUGCUUCAAAAAGUUUGAAUUUAUGCAAAUUCAUUAAAGGGAUAUUGAGUAAAUGGUAAUUGAAAGAGUUUUGCCAUGUUUUAGGACAAACUAUUGAGGGCAUACAACGAAUUGGCAAAAGAAUUCAGGAGUGGAGUAAAGAACCCAAACCAACUAUGGCAGUUUAUAACAUGUUUGGGUUAGUUACAGGAGAGGAUAGGCUCUUUGCCAAUACAAUUCUAUUACGGCUUGCUGAUGCAUUCAGGUUUGGUGACAGAGAAACAAGGGUUUCUAUAGUAAAGGUUUUCUUGUUGGAGCUCAAGAGCCGUGAUAAUAAGAAAAUGAAAGGUAGACAGUAUAGAGGGAUUUUGUCAAAGGACAGGGUGCAAAAUCAUGUGGAACUUCUGAAAAGAGUUAAAAUAGUUUUUGAUACCGGAGAUGUUGAUUCAAAGGCCUUGGCAUUGGCUCUCUUUGGCUGUUGGGCUCCUUUUGCAAAAGACAGCGCUCAUAUACGAUACCUCAUACUUUCCAGUAUGAUCUCCUCUGAUGUUUUGCAGGUGAGGUCAGUAUUAUGUCUGUUGUGAAAAUUUUAAGUUUGUGAUUGCUUGUUUCUGCUAUGCCACUGUGGUUUCUCGCUGGGUGUUUGCUAUUUUAAUUAAAGGAUUCUCUUUAUCAUACAGUGUAACUGGCCUUCAUUCUUUUCUUUCUGCAGGUACAGGCGUCAUUAUUUGCUGCAGGUUGCUUUUGUGAGUUGGCAGGUGACUUUGUCCCUGUUGUCUUAGAGAUGUUGGUUAAUAUGGUCACUUCAUCUGAAACAUUGUUGACCAUAAGAUUAGUUGGAACACGAGUUUUUGCUAAAAUGGGGCCCUCAUAUUCUGUUGCAAGUAGAGCCUACAAGGUUUUAAGUCUCUUCUCAUCCAAUUUCAUAUCAGAACAUACAUGUUUGCUUUGUUGUUCUAGACAAUGUAGUGAGCUUGUAGUUUGUUGUUCCAAGUAAUAGUGAAUAUAUAGCUCUCUGUGGAGCUUUAUACGUGUUAUAUUUAGAAAGUUUGGAUGACUCACUACAAUUGAAUCUAGUUAUAUUGUUUGAUAAAAAAGACAUUUAUGCAUGUAGUAAAUUUAGGAAGUUUGGAUGAUCUUCCACAUGUUUUUGUUCACCAAACAAUAUCAUUAAAAGUCACCUGUAGUGGAUUUUAUAAAUAAAGAUUAUAAUACAGAACAAAUAUUACAAAAAUAUUCAACUUUUUGACUAUAUACUAUUUUUUUUUUUAAUUUUGAUGUGGUUUUAAUCGAAAGCAUGCCCAUUUUUGAAUGUUGGUUGAUGCAAUCUUGUUACUGUUAUUCUGAUUUUUUCCCUCAUCUGAACUGCAUGUUAAUACUUUGCUCCUUAUCAGAUUAACAAACUUGAAUUAAGUUCACAUAUGUAUUGAAUGUAACCUCUUAGCAUAUAAGAGCUAUUGGAUGAAGAUUUAAGGAAGAAAUACCUGGUCACCAGUGUACCUUAGUGAUUUACUGAUAAUACAGAAUUUACAUAUCAUGGCGUGAUGCAACUUAGUGCACUUAUGGAAUGAUUUUAUGCGCUAAUAACUCAUUCAGUCAAGAUUGCUUGUCAGUGUUGUACAUGUGAAUCUGUAUCUCGGAGUUUAUAAAAUAAUACUAACUAUUGGUCUGCUACAGACAGGCCUAAAGUUGUUAGACUCUUUGGAAGAAGACCUUGUGGUUACAAUGCUGGUUUCUCUCACAAAACUUGCAUCGAAAUCAACCCUUCUAUUAUUGGAACAGGUACUUGUUUGAAUCUCCUUGGCGAAUUGUGGGUGAUUUUGUUUGGUUCGGUAUUUUUUUCUCUAGUUUAUUGCAAACUUGUAUUAUUAUACACUUUUAAUACCUUUUUUGGCUUUUACUUGGGAAAAACUAUAGCCUAGAGGCCAAAUUACAUUCAGAAUAAUGAUAUAUUUCUCUACUAAUUUAUCACCCACAGAAUUUAUUCUUCUUCCAUCAUGCUGUGAUAGCUUUAUGCAGCUUAAGUUUUCUAUGCAAUCAAGUAAAAUUUAUUGUCUUAUUAUUAUUGAGAAGUAUAAUGGUUACUUCAUUUGUAAGUAGUUUUGCCAUCUGUUAACAGGUGGAUUUGCUUUUACCGUUCCUUAGCCAAGAGAAAGAUUUGCUAUUUCAAGCAACAGCUUUAAGAUGCCUUCACUUCAUAUUUAUGAGAGGAGUUGUUUACUCUUCUGUCAGUGCACAUGGAAUCAAAACAUUUUCCAGAAUUGUAGACGAAGCUGACCUUCCAUUAUCCAUGCAAUGCGAAGCUUUACAAAUUCUGCAUAAGGUCAUUUCUGAAUCCAAUCUUUCAAGUAAUGAUUUGGCAUUUGGUAUUUUCUUUGAGACAUUAUUUAAUUGCAGAUGCUUUUAUAUAGACUACAUAAUCUACCUCAAGACAACAUGCUUGAAUUAUCUCCUCUUUUGACUACCAUUGAGAAUUCAGCCGAGUCUUCUAUUAUGUCAAAGAGCCUUCUAGCCAUACAUAUUCAAGCAGAUUUAUCAAUGAAGCUCAGCAGAAGAGCUGAAAUGGAAUCUGGUGGGAAUUCUUUCUCUCCUCUGCUAACACGAACCAUCUCCAUAAUUAUUGAUCGGGUUAUUUUGCUGGUGAAGCCAUUGUUAGUUCUCUGCCAGGCUGGUGCAGGAGUCCUUCAGGAAGUUCAAAGCCUGCUCAGUCUUUUACUUUCUUUGGUUAGAGAACAUCCAGAUCUGGGUGUCUCUGUACUGGAUAAAGUUAGGUUAUUUAUUGAGUAUCUUGUGGAUGUACAUGAAGGCAACAUAAUUAUAAGGCAAGAAAGUUUAUCAGUUCCAGAGGUUUUUGACUUUAAAGGAGAAAAUGUGGGCAUUAGUUUGAAGCUGGCAUAUUAUGUCCAUAAAUUUUCUGUUAGUUGCGUUGAAAUUAUGAAUGAAGCUGGUGCCAUCACCACCCAAUUAGUUGACAAAGUAAAGCUUUUAGUUCAGUCUGUGCAUCGCUGCGGUUUAUUUCAUUGGUAUGUACUUAUAAUGUACUCCAUACUGCUGCACUCUCAUUCCAUGUGGAGUUAUGUAGUUCAUAACAAGAAGGAAAGUUGCAAUCCUGAUAGCAACUUGAAUUGUUCACUUUGUAGUGAGUUGGUUGAGCGUGAAUUUUUCACCCUUGAUUGUGCAAAAAAACUGCUGACAGAGAGGGAUAACUGGUCUGCUUAUAAAGCUGGGACAUUUGCAGCAUGUCAGGGAGCAUGGAUCACAGCUGCAUUUGUAUUUGAGCAACUAACAAGUAAGGUUCAGUCUGGAUCCUGCUCUUGCUGGCUAAAAUCAUUAACUCAAUUUGCUCAAACUGAGAGUAAAUUCCAGUUCUAUCCCAUAACACAAUGGGGUUUCAGUUUGGCAGAUCGGUCAAAGAUGAAUGAAUUUCCAGUUAUGUUUUUCCAGGACUUUUCUGAUGAACUUGGUCAAGGUGCUGUUGAGAAUAUCCGUGACCCUAAUUAUACUGAAAUGCUUCGUCAGGCUCAUCAUGGACUUUGUUCUUCAAGGAAAACAUUAGAAUCCAUUGUCACAUCUGAUAAAUCAUUCUGUUUCCAGAGAUGGUUUUUAGCUAUAAGGGUGGAACUUCUAGGAACUAUGGCGGAUGUUGUUAAAGUCUUGGGUGCCACCCCACUUAGUGAGGACAGUAUUAGCAACAGUAGAAAGGGUGAGAAAAAAGAUGAGUAUCUCAACUCUUUGCGACAAAUUACUCAAUCAUCUUUCCGGUUGAACAGGCUGGUGCAGGAAUAUGAUUUAAUUUCCAUGUCUUUCAUUGGAAUGGACAGCAAAAGUUCAAAGAUCAUUUCUACACUUGCAUUAAGUUGUUUGCUGUUGGCUUUUGCUACUGGAUUUGCUAUUUCAAUUUCAGACCAGCUUGCGAAUGAAAUUUUAAUGCCUUGUGAUUCGGAAAACUCCAAGCACUAUUUACAAGGAAUGCUGGUGCGAAAUUUAAUUAGGCGGUUAUGGCACUUGGACCAAGAUACAAUUUCACAUCUGUGCUUGGUUUUAGGUGUUGGUGUACAGCCUAAUGAUAAUUUUCACCAAUCUAGAAGUCAAAGAUUGAACAUUAGUGGUGAAGAAAGAGAUAUUCUUGAUGUUUGCAAUUAUAUUGUUGCUGGCAUUGUUGCAUUAAAAGAAGAGGCAAAUAGAAAGAAAAAUGAGGAGAUUCUCUCCCAAGUUACCAAGGAUGGUUUCCAACUUCUCUUGAACACUAUCACGAAGUGGAUGCGCAUCCCUUUUCAAGUGCCAACAUAUUUCUUUAAAAUAAGGUAUGCUCCUCAUGUUUUUCCACAGUAAUUAUCUAUUUUUAUUUCUCCUCUUCCUUCCAGAGCAUGUGAGGGUCAACUCUAAUGCUCUUUUGCUACCCUUAAUACACAAGGUGAUAUUUGUUCAUUUAUCUUGAAAAUUUCCUUUUUCCUUUUUCUUUUUGAUAAUAUGUAUGGCAAACCACGAGGCAGCAGAGAUCUUCUUUAGCUUAAUGGUUUCUGAGACACACCAGUUUUUAACUGAUUGUUUCUUACUUGCUCAUGAAGGUCUUAUGGAAAACCCAAAAGACUUGUAUGUUAACCAUAUGAUUUCAGCUAUUCUUCUCCCUCUAUAAGCUGCUUCAGGUUUGUGGAAGAGUGGAUUCUUCCAUUUUCCCGAGGUCUUUCUUAUCUUUUAAUUGCUCCUUAAUGAUCAGUUUGCUAUCUUCUUAUCCAAAGAACUGUGAUUGUUGGCAGAAUUUAAUUUCACUUUUAGUGGAUCCUUUUUCAUUAAAUGAACUCUAGGACAAGUGGAAUAACUUCCAUGCAAAAAUUUGAAAAUUCCUUUCCUUAGUUUAAUUCUUGCACCCAUGUCAUCGGUUCUAACAUUUGACUUUGACAUUAAAAUUCAGGCCUUGCAUCGGGUCAGAGCUCUUUGUCUUCAAUGCAGAUACCAGAAACUCGAAUCAGUUGUCUGUCUUGCCAGGCUUCAACUUAUCGCUGAAUCUUUGUAUUCAAUUAAGAAAUCUGCCGCCAGAUCUUCCAUUCGUAGUCACCAGGUCUUAUUGUGUCCUUUAUUCUAGUAUGUCUUUUCAAGAGUGCAAGGAAAAUGGAGAAACCAAGGGGCAAUUUCUGUGGGAAAAUGGACCUUUGGACACUGACAACUUGAUUCAAAUGAAUGAAAAAUUGUUUCAUCAUGUAACAGAGUGUACAAAGAAGACUAGUAACAGUAAACGUGGCAGGGAAAAAGACAUUGAUUCUGAUGAGAUUAUUACUGGAUUUGUGUGUUUUGAUCUAAUCGAUGCAAGGAAAGGGUUUUCAAAUUGCCUUCUUGAUGUUUCUCAUUUUCCAGUAGGAUCUUAUAGAAUCAAAUGGCAGAGCUGUUGUAUUGACAGUCAAGGUUCCUAUUGGAGCCUCCUUCCAUUAAAUACAGGACCAGUGUUUACAGUACAGAAGCCCACUGCUGUAUAAUUAUCCACAAGUCGUUUUGACAAUGAUUAAAACACAUUUAUAGACCUGCCGACUUGGUUGCCAUGCAUGGAUCACAAUGAAAGGUGUAGCAUAUAGGUCAACAAUGAGAAACCAAGUACCAUAGACAGGAAAAGAGGAGCUUGGUCUUGGCAUCGCUGGAACUAUUUGAUGAGAUGAAUUUCAUGUUUCCUGUAAAGGUGAACCUUGAGGAGCAGUCUCAAGUCAAGUGCCAUAGCUACCUCAGAGAUUUCAUGGGGAUUCUCCAUUAUGUUUGAAUAUGGUGCUAACUCUGCUUAUUUUAUGUGGUUACUUGUAAAUGUGAGGGAGAUAUUUCAACAUCAUUAAUGGGGUUACUUUGUUUUUGUGGGGAGGAGCCACAUCAAAUAUCUGCCAGUUCUUGGCUAUGAUUUGGCACAACAUGUUAUUAACUACUCGUAUCAGGUACUUUUGCAGAAGCCCUGUCCUUUAGUUACUUGUCUGAAUUUUGUAUUGUUAUCCUUUAUAUUUGAAAUUUGCAUAGGAUUGUGAAUGUGAUUCAAUCAAUCAAUUUGGAUUCUGUUCUCCACUUUUACUGUUUGAAGGGGCGGGUGGGUGAGGGCCUUAUUAUGUCAUUUUUAUAGCAUGAAAACCAUAGAUUGAAUAAUUUGGAUUCGCAUUUGCAUUUUUAGGCAGUUCCUCUGUGAACACCUUAUGAAACUUUAAAGCAGUGACUCGCUGCCACAUACUGCAAUAAACAAAAAUAUCAAGUUCAACCAUCCUCUGCAACAACAGUGCCAAGCCAUUACAUGUUUGAUGCGUCUAGGUAAGGGGAACCAUGCUUCCCUGCUCAAAGAAAGUAACUAUGUAAUUCUUACCCGGAGGUUGUGUUCCCUGCAAAUAAUUUAAGAAUUAUCUUCGGUUUGUAAGAUCGUUGGAUAAUAAAUUCUUAACAAGGUUGAUUGCUCUGUUCUAGGCAUCUGGUUUUCUAGUGGACAAUGGUUUCGAUGCAGGUUCAGUGAUUGUCAGAACAGUGAUUGCUCUUUUCGUGGAGAUUUUGGGUUACAGAACUAUUGGGGUUCAAGGUGUUAAGCUUCUGAAUGGCGAAGAAAUUCAUUCAGCAUUUGGGAGAUAACUGCUGCAGAUAUUUGUACUCCUGGCAGGGGAUGAAAUUUGUUCAUAGGAGAAAAUCUUUAAUUUAGAACUCAAGCUCAAGUCGUUCAUGCUUGGAAGAUCAGAACACUUUGGGAACUAUUAGUUAGCUGUGUGAAAUUGAUGACAGUUGUAAUUUUGUGUGAUUGUUUUGAUUGUAAGAUUACUAGAUGCGCAACUGGAAUGCUGUAGAAAUGCUUUUGCUUUCAUGUAGAGAAAGUAGGGUAAGCAAUUUUUUUUGAAAAACUGAUUAAAUCAAGAAAACAAAAAAAAUUAUUGGGAAAAAUUGAACUGAAAAAAAAAAAAAGAAUUAACCUAUUAAAAAAUAAAAAUAAAACAAUUGGUUCGGUCUUGAUUUUAAUAGUAUGAUUGAACUAGUUCAAUCACCAUUGAAACAAAAAACAGUAUAAAUAUGAACUUUUCUUCCAACUCUAGAGGCCAGGUCAAACCCAGCUGCCCCCCUCCCUCAAAUUUUCUCUCAGUCUCAGUUCUCGCACUCUGGUUUCUAUGUAUUCUUGUCUUCUCCAGUUUUAAGGUUCAAAGUCUCCAGAGAUAACAAAGGUAACUAGCAAUCUUCUAAGUUAUAUCUUUCUUUAUUUUGCUCAAUUCAAUGUCUAUAUCUCCAUUUCCUGUUUGGCCAAUCUCAUGGGAACGCUUUGUUUAAAGCCAUGGAACCUAUCAAAUUGAAGCUAUCAAGCUCAUCUUCCAUGGCCAUCCACUAUGCUAGUCUGGUCACUCUUCCUUUCUACUAGUGUUUUAAUUGUUUAUCUAGCAUAUGUAUAUAAAUGGGUACACUAUUUCAAUAGAUCACAUUCAUUCGCUUUGUUUCUUUACAAUACAAUAGCAACAAAGUCUGUAAAAAAAGCAUAUGAUGCAUUAUUGUUGGAUGCUGGUGGAACCCUUCUGCAAUUGACAAAGCCUAUUGAAGAAACUUACGCUUCCAUCAGAAGAAAAUAUGUUUUUUUUCUUCUUUUUAUGCUAUUACUCCUAUUAUUUACGUUGGGGAUAAUAUGCUAUUUAUGGAUUAGAAUGAAGUGAUUCGGAAUAGGGGAUUCAACACUCAAUAGUUUGAUAAAAUCAGUUUUUCCCGGUUCUUUACUUCAAUUAACCCAAAGGAGCGAAAUUGAUCGAUUGAACCAGUUUUGGUUUUUAAUUUAAAAAUAAAAAUUUUUUGUUGGGUUAUUUUUUAGGGUAAAAACCAAGCCGAAAAUGCUCGAGAAAGUCACUGCAGUGGCUUUGCUAAUAUAUCGAGAAAUCUUUUACGCACAGAAUGCAACUGCUACGCAGCUCUGUUUCCAUUUUCCAUUCACAGCUUAUCUUGCACUUGUCUGUGUGGUUCGUGCAUGAUAUCCAGGACCUUCCCUGUUCUGGCUGAUGUAGUUCAUUACUAAAACUCCUCAGAGCAAUAGUGUCCUUAUUUCUUACAGCAGUCUUCAUGGAAUCAGAAAAACUACUUCGUCCUGCAAAGUGCGAAGAGUUUACUCCACUUAUCUAGUAUGUUUGUUGUGAAACUCGGGUCAUAUGGACAAGGGACAACGCAAAAGUACUUUAUUUCAAUAGAAAACCCACAAACAAGCUUGUAAAGCAUCCAAAAUCACGACAAUAGAUUCUUCUGUUGCCACUGGAUUGAUUACUUUCUUUGCUAAAGAGUCCCUUCAAAAUUACAAUUUUUCUGCAGCCUGCGAAACAAUCCUUCAUAAAUUGCAUCCCCACAUUGUCCUACAAAAGCCACUACAUUUUCCAUUCGCAGCAAAUGGAAGAUAUGGACACCAAACUGGACAUGAUUUUCUAAUUGUUACUUUCUAUUAAAAAAACAAGGGUAGAAUUAAGGUUUAACAACAGAAGGUAUGGGAGCUGAGACAUGGGGUUUUCCAUCUUGAUGGACUACUCUAAUCGUCGAUGAGCUUGGGUUUGUUUCUGUGUUGUUCGGGCGAUGUAUACGAACAGGGGUUUGAGUUGCUCCUGUGAUGUUCGCUUCCAUCCGUCGGACUGGAGCGACUCUAAAUACACGAACAGGGGUCCAAGUUGCUCCUACGAUGUUUGCUUCCAUAGGUGGAGGUGGAGGUGGAGGUGAUGGACGUGGAGGAGGUGGACAUGGAGCGAUAUGAAAUUCACGAACAGGGGUCGGAAUUGCUCCUACGAUGUUUGCUUCCAUACGUGGAGGUGGAGGGGGUGGACGUGGUGGAGGUGGAGGGAGUGAAUGGCCUUUAGAGUUGGAAACUGAGAGAAUAGGUCCAACGUAGAAUAUAGGUGCCGAGGCAAAGGGUUUGUCAUCUUGUUUUGCUUCUUUUGUCAAUGGGUUAGGAGCUUCCCUUGGGAUUUUCGCUUCUGCUGGAGGGGGUUGAGGGCCAUUGAAUGUUGAGAGAAGGGAAGGAGGUUCCCCUUUAAUGGAAGAAACAUGGGCCGAGGUGGGUGUGUCUCCAUCUUGGUUUGUGAUUCCAAUUUCAUUGACAAUUGAAGCUGUCCCAUUGAUCUCCUGUAUAGUCUCCUUUUCAUGUUCCUCGAUAGCAGAAGCUUUAGGAUUUAUAUUUCUUUUCUUAGCACUGUCGAAUUCUGUCAAAGCAAACUCAACCAAAGCCCUUAGCUUACUAAUAGUUUUAUCUCUUAGAAGCAGCUGGUCUUUAAGGCGAACCGUUUCCUUGUCCUUUUGAGCUAACAUGCCCUUAAGGGUCUGUAUUUCCUCUUCUCUAUGAAGUGCCUGCAUCUUUAGGGAACUCGUUUCUUCCAAAAGUUCUUGGUACUUCUCGUAAGGAACAUGGUUAGGUCUACUUGUUAGCCCAUCAACCUCCUGCAAUUCAGAGUAUGUAAUUGAAACAAGCAUGCAUAUGAUGAAAUUAUUAACGAGGAAAUAUAUAUAUGUCUUCAGUUCACCAGCUGCAAACAAACUCUUACCAUUGUAUUGCUUCUUGUGAAUACUUUUGCAGCUCAGCUCAGCUAUGCGCACAGCUCUCUAUUUUUAGACGAAAGGCAGAUACUUACCCAAUAACAUCUCCAACAACAAAGGACUAACUGCAAAAAUACAGGUCAAGUUUUACAAAUUCAUACUCUAAAGCAAUAUUCAUUGAAUUAAUCUGAAGAAACAAUAGCUUUUUUUAAAAAAAAAACCAAUCACUAUAACGCCAACCAACCAUUGAUAAUAGAGUUAGAGAAUUACUGUAUAAAAGCAAACAAAACAAAACGAACUAUUUCUCUGUGAUUAGUAAUACCUGUCUCAGAAAAUGAAACCAUUUCAAAUAAAAUAUCUGGAACUCAUUGGUUGUUUUAGCGGUGAUCAUGUUGCUUGAGGGGCCGAUCAGGAGUUGAAUACUUGAAAUAAUUCAAGUUUUGUUAAUCUCUCCUUGUCGUAGCUAUAUAUAUAUAUAUAGCGCGUAGAAAGAUGAGGUGAUUGUCUUAUGGGAUCAGUCUGACUAUAUAUACGAUUAUUUAUAUUCAUGGCAUAUAUACAGCAGGACGUCAACGGCAAUUAAUUUACGAGUUUAUAAAGUUUUAUUUUGUUUUGAAAAUUCUUGGUCUCCUCUCCAGCAGUAUGUCUUAUGGUUUUCUCUUUUUCUUGCAGAAUUUCAGUCUAUACAAUACAAAAAAUACGUUGAUAGAAUAUUAUUCUAAUUAAUAGUAGCUUAAAUUUGCAAAACAGAGAAAAUGAAACAAAAUAAAUGCCAUAUUUGAAAUUGAAAACAAGAGAGUCCCAUUUAUAAAUUUUUUCAUUAAUCUUGAGUUUAAAAGAUUUCCUCUCUUCUUCCUAGCUUGGUUGGGCCAAUACAGACCCAAUUAAGUUUUCCCUUCUUUUACAUUCUAUCCUUCUCCUCCCUUCCUUUUCUUUUUUUCGAUUCCGGUUGGGCUAGCAUGGCCCAGCUGGACUUUCCAUUCUGUUUCUCUUCUUUCCUUCUUAUCUCCUCCCCUUUUCUUCCUUCCGCCUAGGUUGGGCCAUCAUGUAGACUUUGUGUUAAGCCACGACGUUCAGAAAGAAACCUUGAACCAAAUCCUAAGUAUCAUGGAUAAGGUGAACGUGGAGGACAGUUGCAGGCAUGAAGCAAGGGAGAGAAUGGGUCAAAAGCAGUUGGAGAGUCUCUAGCUUUGUAUUUAAUCUUUCUGUUGCAUUUUUUUCCACCUUCUGUAGAUCAUGUGUUGAUGAUUACUAUUAGGAGCUGAUAGGGUCCUAGUAUUCGGCAGAAGCAGUGUUAUUGGCUAUAAAAAGAUGUCUCGGAGAUCAUUAUGAAUAUAAGAAUUAUUUCAUCCAAAUUGUGGUUCAUUCUCACCCUAAGAAAAUAUUAUCCCUUGAGAAUUUAUUUUAGAUAACCAGUGAACUGGUUCUAUCACUCUGCGCCUAUUUUAUAUAGACCCAACCACCUGCCCUCCCUGUCGCUAAAUGGCAAUAGAUAAACUAGUCAACUAACAAAAUGAUUCCGACCGAGCCAAGUUGGCGAAGUUGGUUUCUUGUAAUCAUUUUCUAGCAUUCGAUGUAAUAUUCACUGCACUUUCGCCUCUCUUUCUUUAUAUAUAUAUAUAUAUAUAUAUAUAUAUAUAUAUAUAUAUUUUAUAAACUUUGAUAACAUUUCUGCAAUUUCGUAAGAAAAGAGUUAUUGUUAAUCAUACACGCUUUUGAUGAUAUAUAUUGAUAGGAGGACCAAUGAGACCCGUGUAAACUUAUAGCAUAAUCUUCGUCAAACAAUUAAGCACAUCCUUGCAAUGAAGGAAAUCCUCUCAAGAUUUUCCAAGAAAAAGGUAAUCACUGCUCAACACAACCUCCAAAUAAUUAAUUAUGUCAAGUUUAGGGUAUUGUUUUCCGCUCGUCCAUCCAUCUUGGUAUACUUAAAUUUUCCCUUCUCUGUUAAUAAUAAAGUCCAUCCAUCCAAUAAUAACGUUGUUGCAAUUCAAGAGUGUUUUGUUGAACAGCAUGAUAUGAUUCAAGAGUAUUUUUUCAUUUACCAUUUUUUUUCACGUUGGAGUUACGUGUAUCGAUGUUGAUUUGGAAUCUAUUACAAUUAUAUUGUUCCUACAGCCUGCUCAAUGUGAAAAGUGCGAUGGGCAUAAGUCUGAUAUUGCGAGUCUAAUCGGGAAGGUAAUUGAAAAGGAUAUCCAGGUAUCAGCCCUUGGCAAGUUGUUAGCUCUUAAAGACGAGGAAAUAUCUCGCCUUAAAAGCCAGCAAAACCCGCAACUUCGUGAGAAGAUAGCUCAUAAAGACAAGAAAUUAUCCCGUCUUGAGAAUCAGCAACUUCUGACAGAAACAAGAAUGAAUAAGCUCAGGGCUGACAUUGAAUUUGUUUUGAAGGAAUUUGACGAAGCUGUUAAAAUAAAUGAAGAAGGUUCUGACAAGUAUUCUGAUAGAAGCCUUAACAAGUCUGAGAAACAUGAAAGACUGGCGCCACCAAUUGGUAUAGCAAACCGACAUGAUGACAAACCCCAAAGCACAACCCCUCUUCCUCAUACUUACGAGAGGUCUCCUCCUUAUUUUCCCACUUUAAAAGGCCGUUCAUCUCCGCUUAUGGAGGAAAACAUCAUGGUAGCGGCUUCAAGUAAUAAUGAUGAACCUCCUUCCAGCUUCUCCAUGUUUAAUGACGAUUCAACUCUGCCCACGGAAGAAAACGUCACGGUGGCACCUCGUAGUGAUAGAACGGCAUCUCUAACUAGCAACUCAUCUCGAACUACAGAACAAAACAUCAAGGUGGCAGCUCCAUUAUCUAGACAUGAUAUACUUCCACCCUAUGUUCCCAGAUUUCAUGCAUCUCCAACAGCAGAGGGAAACAUUACAGUGACAGCUCCAAGUAGUGAUCAUGCCAAUGGAAGAGCAAACGGAGAUGGAAAACUACAUAUUUUUUACGAUAGUCUUUAUAGUUUUCAUAGACCUCCUACUCCUUAUCCCUUUUAUGUCCUGAAGAAGAAAAACAAAAACAAUGUUGUUAAAUAGAGCAGCUACAAGCAACGAGAAAAAUAUGGAGUCAUAAGAAAUACUACGUCCUACAAGCAUCCUUACCAGUACUCUUUCUUCUUUUUAUAUCAUACUUGCAGUUACAUCACGAAAUAUUGAAUAAAUUAUUUAACAGUAUCAAGAACUAAUUAAUCAUAACAAUAUAUAAGUAAGACGGAAGCAAUUGAUGAAUUCUAGGAGUCUAGUAUGUUCAAGUAUAUAUUUAGAUUGAGGAGAAUUAAGUGUCGUCGUAUAUGUCUCGAUCCUUUAGAGUCCAUCUUGUACGCCCAAUUAACUAUAUAUUUGGAAAUGUUUAAUUAAUUCUUAAUAUGAUUUUCUGAUUUUUAAGGGAGUUGUGGUGGAGGAAUUAAUGUUCUUGGCCUUCAUUUUAAUGUUUCUUAGAGAUAAGACCAUUAUUAUCAGAAGUCAUCUUCCCUUCAUAAAAUUACACUGAAUCUAGUUCCUUAUUAAUACUACAACUAUUUAUACAAAUGAAUUACUUGAAUAAUCUAUUUGAUAUUAAUUAUUGGAUUUAAUGAUGAAGAAGCGGGGGGAUUGAUUGAUAAGAAUAAAAAAAAUGUGUAUUUAUGAUGAAGCUCAGUCAUGAAUGUCGUUAUUAUAUUUGUUUCUUAGAUGCCUUUACUAAAUUCUUUAACUAUAUUCCCUUUUUAACCGUUAUAUAUAAGAUUAAUAAUUCCAUCUAAUACACAUAGAAUUUAAACUUUAUGAGUUAAAGAUUUAAUUAUAUUGCAAUAUAGCAAACCUGUCACGGUAGUAGAUUCAAUCUGCUGCAAACUUUCAACAACUGUCGUACCACAAAAUACUUGCAACCAUAUAAACCACCAUGGAUCUUCUACCCAAACCACCACCAUUAGGCAACAUUGCUGGUGAGAACUUAUAGUAUAUCGAAUGGCUUUAACAAAGGUGAUAAGGAUAGAGGAAGAGAGAGGUGAUAAAGUGUAGAGAUUUGAGACCUGCAAUCCAUGAUAGAUGUAUUGAGAGAGAGAGAGAGAGAGAGAUCAUUUUUCUUCUUCUUCAAUUAGAUAUAUAUUUUUUUAAUUAUCUUCUUUAAUUAAGUUUUUGUUUUCAUUUUUCACGUGUAAUGAUAGAUGAAGGGUUAGUGCAAAUCAAAGCCUUGAUACUACUUAAUCUGAAGAAACAGUGGCUUAAAAAAAAACCCACAUCACUACAACCCCACCUUACCAUUGAUACUAAAAUUAGAAAAAUUAAUACUGUAUAAAAGCAAGCAAGACAAAAUGAACCAUUUUUCUGUGAUCAGUAAUAUCUGUCUAAGAAAACGAAACCACCGACCCUAGCUACUGUCUACAGCUAGCACAUAAUUGAAGUAACAACCAAUCAAAGAGAGAAAAUUAAUAUCUAAAUGUAUCGGUCAAAAAAUAAAUCUUAUAGUUGAGACAAUAUUUCAACUGGGCCAUAGACAAGGAUGUAUACCUUUCCGCGUUUUCUAUAGUUUUUUUUUUGUUUUCUUACACGCGUUAAGAAUGAUUCAAUUUGAAAAGAGUUUGUUGUCGGCAUUUGGUAUUUCAUACGGAGAUAAUUACAAGAUUUUACAUUUUAAUUUUUCUUAAUUGACCAUAUAAAUUUUAAUUUUUUGUUUAAAUAUAUCAUUUUAAAAAAUUAAUUGAGUAUUUCCCAUCUAACACUAAUAAAAAAAUUUAAUUGAGAAAAGUUUCUGGAAGGUAUUCGAACUUUCUUUUAUAUAUAUAUAUUUCUUAUAAUGAACUUAAUUUCAAGGCUAUUUAUAGCCUCACAUCCUAACCUAACUAGAUUUUUUAUAAAAAGAAAAUUCCAACACUCAUAAAAACAAUUGUAAGACCAGAACUCAGAACUCCUUAGUUCACAUAUAUCCAAAUUCUGUCAACUUCUGUUUCUAAUUUUGAAUUGAAAUCUACAACAGCAUGAAAAUUCUUGGUUCUCAUCACCAAUGCGUCAUGACAGCUCCGAGUAGUCAUUACAAAGCAACAACAAAUGAAGAUGCAAGACUACAUAUUUUUUAACGAUAGUCUUUAUGGUUUUCCCAGACCUCCUCCUCCUCAUCACCGGAUUUAUAUGUCCCGAAAAUAGAAAAACAAGAACAAUAUCGUUUUCUUGAUGAAAGCCCAAAAGGAGAAAAAUAAAAUAAAUUGAUGUUACACCAUAAAAUAUAAUUUAUAUUAUUCUCUAACACAAAAAAAUCCCAUAAAUUAAAAAGCUUCUAAAUCUCCUACACUAAAUUCCCUAUAUUAAAAAAAACUCAUCCUCCGGUUUAAAUUAUUUUUGUUAUAAUCUUGUAAAUAUUCAAUAAAACUAAGCAUAUAACUUGUCGCAUCUAAGAAAAAUGAGCCUGUAACAUAGCUUUUUUUUUUAUUCUUUCUUAGUGCAAGUGUAAUAUAUAGAGAUUUGCUAGUAACUAUUUUUCUUUCAUCACCAAUAGUUGUCCCCGCCGCAUUAGUACUGGAACUGGUUGUUAAAUUUGCCGGCCAACACCUACUUGUCGACCGCCAUGACCUUGUCUCUACUGGACCCUUGGUACAUAGAAAUUUGACAUAGAAGGCCCUCUAGACCUCAAAAUAAACACUCUUUUCUAGCUCUUCAUAGGAGAUGUCUUCUCAUUCUCUGAUACAUGUACCAUAUCAAAAUUUCCUACCCAAGAAUUGAAUUUAAAAUUUCUCUGAUACCUGAAAUAUUGAUUUCGACUGAACCAUGACGUCGGCAAAGUUGGUUUCAGGCAUUUUCUAGCAUUCGAUGUAACAUUUCCUUUCGUCUCUCUUUCUUUCUCUCUACGAGAACAACGUGUUAAAUAGAAUUUUCAAAACAACUUUGUUUUGAUUUUUUAAAAUAAAAUAAUAAUAUUUUAAAUUUAGUUGUAUCAACCUAAAUUAAUUCAUUUAAUCUGUAGCUAACCUGAAUAUUUAAUCAGGUCAUACGUCAUAUUUCGUAGUAGGUUUAAUAAUUUUGACAAAAACAGAAGACCAACGAAUUAUGUUCAUUUCCUACUAGCAGGUAGGUAGCCCUUUAUUAAAAAUACGACCAGACACGGUCUAAAUCCACUUUUUUUUCCGUGGGAAUUCUGGUUCAUAUGUCCACGUGUUGCUUUAUUAAUUAAAUAAUUCCAAUCUCUAGGGAGACCAGGCACGCUGCAAGCCACGAAUUUUCGGGGGGGAAUGCACAUGGUCAUAAUUGACCCGCAGUUCCUCGCGUGACAUGCUAAAACACCUUCCUUCUCUUUUAUUAAUUAUAUAAUGCUUCAGAAAACAUGAGCAUAAUCAUCUUCAUACGAUUAACAACCAUUUAUAAGACUGCCAUGACACUUUUCUCAAAUAUAUUCAGAUGCUUUGGUGAUGCGUCUAAAAGCCAAAGAAGGGUAUGCACAGGGGGUGUUUGUGUUCUUAAAGAGCAGAGCAAACUAGACAAUAAAAGAUCCGAGACAAAGCGAAAGCGAAGAAAUCAGCACUCAUGUUUUUGAUUUUUCAUUGAGAAGGUAUCCAGGUUUGUAGUUAUUAGCGUUAAGUAGUGACUUGGAUCAAAGAAUUAUGCUACUUAAUUUUCUCUUAAUACAAUCUCAAAUAUUGUGAAGUAGUGGCCUCUGCAUGUUGUUCGUCAUGCAAAGUUUUUGAAUACAAUGUGUGGGAUAUUUGAAUUGAUGGGAUUUAUCAUGUGCUCUCCAAUUUGAUUUGUUUUCGUUGUUUAGAUCUUGAUUCAUGUAUCAAUAAAUUCAAGUGGUUUUGUACCUGUUUUUCUUAAGAGCAAGAGAAGAGCCUCUUGGCUUUGCAACUUUUGAGAGGGUUUUACAUGGAUCCACACUCAACCAUGCCAUACUCUGAGUAUAUCAAAAUGUUUUUUUUUUUAUAGUUGGCAUCAGAUUUGGAGGAUGAUGAUGUCUAGGUUUUUUUUUUUAUUGAAAACUUGGUGUUUUAACACCAUAUUCUUCCGCCUAGGCCUUGCAAGCAAGACCUAGCGGCCUCCCAUGCGUGAAAAUGAAAACCAUAAAUAUAAAUAAAUUGGGGCUUUAUGAUAACAAUUAAAAUAUGGCACAAGGAUGGUGAAAACAUCCUCUCUUCCUCGCCUACGUUGAUCCCAAUUCAUACCAAUUUGUUAGUCAAAUUUGCGGUGGAAUUUUGGUUUUACCGAUGUUGAGAAUGUGGCUUUGAUGCUCAUCCCUACUGCGCUCUUGGGAAGAACCAUUAUCAAGCAAGGGGGCAGUUACAAGUAUGUCAUCCAUCCUCCACCCCUUGCUUAAGUGGAGAAGGCAGAGGAUUUCCCUGCAUGCCAUCCUUUCAGUGCGCCAUGUGAUGAUUUGGCUUUGGAAUGUACUGAUUCCAAGUGCAGUUUUAUCAUCCACGGGGAAAAAAGAAGGUUGCAAGCAUUCAUGAUCCGAAUAGUGAACUGGAAUGGAAAUUUAUAUCUUGAACACAAGAAAAUAUCCAUCUUCAACUACAGCUACUGCAAUUUCUCAACCAUAUGCUCCUCCAUAUUCCCUGCUCUUUAACAUGUCUCUUCAAAUAAGCCCGACAACACCACAUGAUCGAUCACUCAAUCUCAAACACAGUCUCUCAAACUAAAAGUUCUAUAUGUUGGUAUCGCUUGCUAUCCAUUGCCUCAGUGUUUACUAACUAAGCAUGUCUCUUCUAUCAUAGAACCUACUUGUUUCUCUGAAGCUUUUAAACAUCACCAAUGGCAUACAACCAUGAACAUUGAAUCUAAUGCUCUUGUAUAUAUGAAAUAAUACAUGGGAUCUUGUACCGCCUAAGCCUAGUCAUAAUCUGGUUGGCAACAAAUGGAUAUUAUCAUCACAUGGUGUGGACUACACAAAAACCUUUAGUCUCGUGGUUAAGACAUGAACUAUAUAUACGAUUAUUACUAUCUUUAGCCAUCGCACGACAAUUAAGUAUUAGGUAAAUUGACAUCCAAAAUACCUUUCUACAUGGUCUACUACAAGAGGAAGUCUACAUGUAACAGCCCCAAGGAUACAUUCAUCAUGACUUUCCCAAUCAUACUUACCAGUUUAAGAAGAGUUUAUAUAUAUGGCCUGAAACAGGCUCCUAGAGCCUGGUUUUAUAGGCUAACAGACAUUGUACCUCCUUAUUCACCCUUCACACUGCUGAUUUCUCUGUUUACAUCCUCAUAUAUGUUGAUGAUAUAAUCAUCACCAGGACUAACUCUACUGAAAUUGACAAGUUUAUUCAGCAACUUGGUGUUGUCUUUCCAGUUAAAGUUUUUGGAACUCUAUCCUAUUUUCUCGAUGGAAGCCUUGUUUAAUGGACAUGAUCUGUUUUUUAACGGAAAGAAAAUAUGUAGCUGGCUGGCCUAUUACAAUGAGUUCACAUACAUGAAGUCAAGCCUUGUUCCACUCCUAUGAGUACCACUUGUAUUCUAUCACAACACUGUUGGUGGAUUACAUUACUUGGGAUUCACUCGAUUAGAUGUUGCUUUCAGGGUCCACUGUGUUAGCAAAUCCAUGCAUCAACCCAUGGAAAAUCAUUGGCAAGUUGUCAAACGCAUCCACAACAAGCUAUGGCAUUUGUUUCAGAAGUACAUCAGAUCACUCUUUUCAAAGGUUCAAUGAUGCUGACUGGGCUGGUGAUAGAGAUGAUAGACAUAGUGUUGGGGCCUAUUGUAUCUGUCAUGGAACCAAUAUGAUCAGUUGGAGCUGCAAACAACAACAAACCGUUGCUCGUAAAUGAAUCAAAAUAUAAAUCCCUCUUAAACACAGCAGCUGAAAUACAUUGGCUCCAAUCCAUUCUCCAUGAUCUAUAGCUUCCCUUUGUAACCAGUCCAAAACUAUGGUGUGAUAACAUUGGAGCUACCUACUUGUCCUCUAAUCCGAUUUUCCAAGCCGGACUAAACAUGUUGAAAUUGAUUUUCACUUCGUUAGGGAUCAAGUUUUAGCAAAAAACACUUCAAGUCUCUUUUCUAUCUACUAGGGAUUAGCUUGCAGAUUUAUUAACUAAGCCACUGUCAACCAUUCGUUUUCAGCUACGGCAGGACAACCUUCAUGUUCAAGAACUGCCCAUUCGGUUGAGGGGCCGUGUUGAAGAUUUAAUUCAAAACUGAAAUUCCUUGUUGAUAUUUCAGGCUAACCAAUUUGGUUGUUAACACUGUGAUAUUAUCCUUUGGUUUUAAUAGAUAACUCUUUCUCUUGAGAAAUUCUUCUUCUUGUGGAUUCCUACAGUUUUCGACCGUCAAAGGGAGAAAAAGACUACUGCGUUUUUCUCUCCAAUUAUUAAAAAAAAAAAACACCAAGCUUGCUUUUCUCUCCAAUAGUUAAAAAAACACCAAGCUCAUUAAGCUCUGAUAUCAAUGGUUGAAAACACUAAAUCCAAGCUCUGCAAGUAUUUGGUGAACCUCCCAAGCUUUAUUGAUUAAUCACUUUUAUCAACACAUUUAUAAACACAACUCUCUAUUCUGAUCUCUAUUCUGAUUACAUUGUCCCUUAUAUUUAAAGGGAGAUUACACCUCUGAUUAUUCUAAUCUAACUAGGAAUCUAACUAUCUAAUUAAACAAUGAUUAUAAUAAAUUAGUCUAACACAAAUCAUUUUUGAUAAAAGAUUCCUACAUUAACUAGGAUAUUAUCUAAUAGAUAGCAGAAACCCAGCCACCCCUGAAUCCAUCCAUUUUUAUUUGUCUCAUGUUCAUUAUGUGUCAUUGCUUUCUUGAUGAGUACUUCCUAGGUAUAUAUACUCUUUUUUAUAUAUAUAUAAUACCUAGGUAUAUAUACCAAGCCGUAUCUCUGUAGACUUGUUGGGUAACUCUAAAUUUGAGAAUUCUUUUGUGAUAUCCGUUCUUGAUCUCGUAUAGUUUACCACUUUUUCCUUAUCAUUCGAAAACUGUGGUUGGUCACAGGUCCUUGUUAAAUGGUGAAAUCCACUGUGGCUUAGGUAUCUUAGGUCAACAGUUGUCAAAUCAACUGGUCAGAAUUGUCAACUGGUUAGGUCCUUCACCUUCAUGAUCUGCAGAUGCCAUACGUUCUCUGCUCUCUUCUUGGUUUUUCAAAGCAUAGUUUUACUUGAAACUCUCAUUUGUUUGAUACUAUCCAGAGAUGGAGAGCCAUGACACGAACCAAGACUAAGAGCAAGAGCGAGAAAUUUCCACCUUCUCGUCAGGAGGCAGAAGUUGGACAUCCUAUGGAUCAAUCACAUAUUCGAUUCAAAAUCAUCUUCUGUUUAAAAUGAUGGUGCCAUUGGUGGUCCUCCCAGAAGAAGGAAAACCAAUAGAGAAGAUCCUCAGAUGGAACCAUCUCGGAAAUUUAUCCGUCCAUUUAAUCCAGCACCUGUAAGCCCAUCAAUGAAACUAUUAUUCAAGGGUAAAUCAGGGGUUUUUGGCAUUCGGAGGUGGUUACAGUUAUGAGUUGAAUUUUUUCCCUUUGGAUUAUGUGCUUUGUUUUCAUUUUGUUUCUUUUAAACUAGGAUUAGAAGUGUUCUUCCUCAUUCAUCUCUAUUAACUGCAAGCCUUGAUCCAACCAUAGAUAUCCUGCACCGUCAAAAUGAUGAUAACCUACCAGCAAAAACAUAACUAGUCUUCCAUGCUUUCGUUUCUUAUUUCAAAGCAAAAAAAGACAUGUCUCAGACAUGUAAAGUAGCUUGUCAUUCAAAAUCAAAUUGGUGUUACAAGAAAAUAAAGUUUUUAAUCCUGAACAUUAGUUCAAUCAGAUCUCAUCAUGCAGGACAUCAUUAGCAUUGCUUUUCUGAUUCAAUUCGUUCAUUCUCCUCGCCUCUCUUCGUUGCGGCGAAAUCUGCAAAGAACAUUUAGAUACAAUUAGUAUCCAGAAACACAAAAACUAGAGCUACAAAAAACAUGGAUAAUAUGAACGUAAUGGUUCUGGUCAGUAAAUGGCUCUACUCACCUCUGUAACCUUUUCCGGAGAUAUUGAUAGGUCCAAGCAAUCUGCCAUAUUAGGUUAAGUAGGAUUACAACCAUAAUCAAAGCUCGAAGUGGAAAUACAUUUGCAACGCUUGUAUCGGUAACUGUCAAAGAACCAUCUCAACCCAAUAGCUUAAGCUGUUAGGUGAGGUUUUAGGAUAUGAUUUAUAUUAUUCUUUAACACACCCCCUCAAGUGAAAGCCUAUUGGGCUUGAAACUUGCACAGGUCCACAUUACCUUGUGUUUGAUUUUUAUCAAAUAAAUAGGAAUGGUGAGAUUCGAACUCGUGACCACUUGGUCAUCAAGGCUCUGAUACCAUGUCAAAGAACCAUCUCAACCCAAUAGCUUAAGCUGUUAGGUGAGGUUUUAGGAUAUGAUUUAUAUUAUUCUUUAACAGUAACUAUAGCCACCCCAAAUACAAACUCUGCUGCAGAAAUUAGCAAGAGAAUGCACAUCAUAGGCAACAAAAGAAGUGAAGUACAUUGCCAGUCCCACAGGAAGAUUUCAGUCAAUGCUACAACCACAAUUGUUGCUAUUGACAAGAAAAAGCACAUCGAAUUGCACAAGAUAAAACUAAGGAAUUGGCUUUUGCCUAGUUCCCAACUUAUGGAUAGUCCAGGCUUGUGUGAGUCACCUUCACUGACGCUCGCCAACUCGAACAAACCUUAGAAUAAUGAAUUGCUCCAUGAGUUGGGAUCGGUGUCAUUAUUGCCAUCAGCAGCAGCAGUAGCAGAUUUAGUAGCAUUGGAUGAAGCCCAUUCUUGCCACACAAUGUUUGAAAAUGGGUUUUUUAGUUGGAAAAAUUAGUAACAUGGAUUUUCAGCUAUUUGGUGGAUAAAAACUAUACCAGAGACGGCGCAUGUUGUGAAAUGACAAGUUAAGGACGGCGGAUAUAUAUACACUGGGCAUCAAACAUUUCAAGUAUAUAAGAACUUUUGGAUGAUCCAUUGUCAUGUAUAUUGUCAAACACUUCCAUAUUAUUUAUUUAACAUUUUUAUUUUAGUAAUUUCCAAAGAAUUCAAAUAUAAUUUACAGAAAACACGUUAUGUUAAAUAAAUUAUUAAUAAAAAAAGCGUAUGAAAAAUCCUCAACCCAUAUGAAAAUCUCAUGUUUUCAUAAAUUUAUUAGCAAACACUAUAUUAUGAUUUACAUGAAAAAGCUUUAACCUCAUUCUAUUUAUACUUAAGAAAUAAAAUGUUAAUUUAUUUUUUAAAUGUUGGGGAAAAACAAAGGGUAUCGGAGAAAGUCAAAGAAAAGAAGAAAUAAAAAAGGAAAAAACACAAGGAGUGAGGAAAGGGGCUUAGCUCACGUGUUGUCAAGCCCAUGCAUACCUACCCAAGCGACCUAGCUAGACCCUCCUCGACGAAAACAAGGAAGGAAAGAAAGAAACAUGCACUCCACAAAAUUUGAUAUUUAUUAUUAUUAUUUUAUCAUCACAUAGAAUAAAAAGAGAGAUAUUCGAUCAAGUAGAGAAUUUGGGAGCAUCCAGGUGGAAACAAGGGAGAUAACAUACAUUAUAGAAAAACUUUGUUUUAAACCGAACAAGGCCGAGGGUUAUGAUACAUUCACAGUUUGGAGAAAAACCAAGCAAGCCCAGUUAUAUAUAAAAGUUUGGACAAGACCACGCCUACGAAGGUAUGAAUGAGUUUGUUCUGGGCACAAGGAACACAUCAAUGAAAGCUACAUUAUGUUCCGCCCAUUAACCUUCAUAUCAUUCAUGAGGAAAGAAAAGAAGAAAAACACUACCACCAGGCCACAGCCGGUUGAAUAAUCAACAUUUGGAUUUUACAAGUGGGAAAAAAAAAAAAAAAAAAAAAAAAACCCAGUUAUCGAGCAGCAACCUGAGCAGCACCUGCAGAGAAAAAGAUAUUCAAAACUUAAUGCUUGUACACGACUAGGGGAGGAGCAAAAGCAAAUGCAUACUGAAACUUGGCUAACCUAAAGAAGUUAGAACUGUUUUUUAUUUUAUUUUUGCAAUAUUAAGACCCAAGUGCUACAAAAAUGGACACUAAUUCCCCUGCUUCCACGAUAUGGAACCCAUCUAAAAUCACAAUAACUUUCAUAUACCUCUGGCGCACAAGUGUGCGCCUAAAACAUCUGAUGUCACUUCCCCUCUACUUUUUCUUUAAUUACGAUUUUCUCUUCAAUAAUUUCUUCCUUCUUCCCAUUGUAAUGCUUAAAAUCUCUCGGAAACAUAUACCAAACCCCCCCUCUUUUGAAUGUUGCAUUGAAUUGAUGUAGUUGUUGAUUGGUGUUUGGAAAUUCAUGAUAAAACACGCAAUUAAAUUAUGAAAAAAGAAGAAGUGAAUUUUCAAUCAAAUGCCUUUGUAAAACUAGGACGAGAGAUUUCUAUUUUUAUAUGAAGAGAUAAGGUGAUGGAAAAGAGAGGAGAAUUAUUGAAGAAAGCAAAGAAGAAUGAAAAAGAAAGGAGAAAAAUCAGAGAUAUGGCUAGUGUUGGUAGGUUAGAAACUGUAUUGGACACGUAUGAGGUGUGAAGGUAAUGGUAAAGAGAAUCAAAAAGGGCACAGCCUAAAGGAAUUAGGUAACUUCCUAAGGAGUAAGAAAUUAUUGCCCUUCCUAAAAUAUUUUUCCUCGCAUAGGAUGUUGUAUUCAGGGUCCAUGUAUCUCCAAGGCACAAAUCAGAUAGCAUAUUAAGAAGCAGAAAUAUUAUUUAACAGGUUCGAUGCUAAAAUAACAGAAGAGAAGAAAAUAGUUUUCCAAUCAUUUUACAGAAUGCUGUGCACAGGUCAAUUUUUUUCCAGAAAAUUUGUUCUGUAUACAGAGUCUCCAGGGAAUAAAAAAUUUCAGAGACUCAAUAUUACAUGCCCUGAAAGACUGCACUUAACAUACAAGUAAUGAAUACUAACCAUUUGUCGCUGCCUCUUCUUCCUCCUUUUCUUCAUCAAUUGUUUUCCAUACGAUGUCUUUCAGUCCAGUUGAGAGGUUCUUGUAAAACUGUCAUUUAAACCAGUUGAAUUCAAAAUUAGACCUCAUAGCAAUUAAGGAUAAAAGGAGGAAUUAACUAACAAUACAGUUGAUGGAGCAACAAUGGCAGUGGAGGCAGCUAUACUUUUUUAUGGCCCGUUAAGUCCACCCUAUAAGAGCACACACGCAAAUCUAGCCUUCAGCAGACUCCAAGAGAUUACAUGUCCCAUAAAACAUGCAAAUGAAUUUAGCUUGGCCUUAUUCUUGAGCUACCAAUGCUAUAGUGAACAUUUUAACUUUGCCUUGAGCCUGGAAAUCAUUUUUAAUUCAACUUGGCCCAGUAAUGUAUAAUUCCAUAAGCAUGUUUUUUGUUUCAGUAAUGGUAAUAAUAACUGGAACAUGAAAUGGGAAAAGCUGAAUCACAAAUGAUGUAGUUAUUGGCUAGUUCUUGGCAUCAAUGUGUACGCCAUCAACUGUGGUUGAGUAUCUCAAGUACCCCUCCCAGUCAAGCCUCUCUUUUUACUAAAAGCUUCAUCUUGUCAUAAUUGUUUUGCAUGAAAACUUAAAUAAGCAAACCAGCUAAAUAUGUACUUUUCAAGAACAGCUCCAUUCAGUUUGCAGCCAAACCAUGGGUUACACACAUGACCUAACUGCACAGGCAUGAACUGAUUGAUGUAAAAGAAUACAGAGACCAGACAUUCUUUGAUGGAGAAAUUAUUCAUUACUGUUUUAAUUGCCACAAGAGCACCAGUUUUUAAAGGCCAUACCUUGUGAAAUUCCAGGGUAUCUCCACCAGACUUGCGAACCUCGACCAUAUAAAGAGAAGGGGCCACUUCAAAGAUCUGAAAGAUAGAGAAAUCUUACACCCAGCUCAAACUACUACAGACAAGUUUGUCGCAGAAAUCAUUUCCUGAAGACAUACCUCUGUUGCUACAGAUAGACGACCCUUACGCCCAUCCUUGUCCCCUUGAAGCUUCAUCUGCAAUUUGAAACAGAAGAGCUGUUUCAGCAGAAAAAAUAAUUUAACAGUUGACUGCCUAAUAAAAUCAUAGUUCUGAAGACAUCCUCUUUUCUCAAGCACAUAAAAUCAGGAGUCCACUGAACCAUAUAGAAAAACUUAAAUAUUGAAAAAUCCAAUUCACUUACGAAGGUGAAAGGACCAGAAAAGGAUAUUAAAUUCACUUAAAUCUUUCAGGAUUCAAGUUUGAAGACAACUUGAUGAAAACCAUACAGACAUAACAAGUUGGAUGCAAAAAGACUGCAGGAAUCUUGCUAAACAUGAAUUAAACAUUCCACUUAAAAUUUUCAUUUAUUAAAGGGAGUGUUAUCAAACCUUGAAGUUAUUUUUCUUAACAUCAAAACCCAAAGGCGCUGCUGCUGCUUCAAUUUUUGAGAUUAUCUCACUAGCAGAAUGUUUGGAUGUGAAUCUUGAUUCCCGUUUAACAAGCCCCUAUUUUCCAGAGGAAAAGAAAGUCUCUUGAGUUCAUAGUUGUGAAACUCAAAGAUAACUGCAUAUUCAAGCAAAUGGCAUGGCUCAUUAAACUAUGAUAUUUCAACAACAAAAAAAAAACUUGCACUGGAGACAUAGAAGUUAUUUCUGAUUUUUGCUCGGCAACUAUUUCACAAAAUUGAGCAGGCUAAAUAUUUGAACAAAGUAGGAAAAUGAUCUAAGACAUGGUUUUAAGUAAUAAAAGUUCGAGUGUAUAAUACUAAAGAGUAUUCAACCAUCAAUCCUUGAAAUAAUUUUAAAUUGAGAAGAUCUCAAUGCCAACAAAUGUGACAAACUGUCAGGCUCUCAACUUCUAACAUUUUACAGAUUUUGGCUUCAUUUACAGAGAACAGCAAAAAGUUCAAACAUACCAUUUGUUUCUCAAAAAGACUACUAAGGUUAAGACCCUGAGAGGUAGAGAUGAGUUCAAAUGCAUUCAUGGUUACAGGAGCCAUAGGCCCUAUAAACCCUUCUUCUCGCCUCUCCACAACUAGGUUUCGAGAAUCCUGUUAACCAAGAGGAACAUCAAGUACAAACCCACAAGUGGUGCACUAAGAUUGAAAGCAUGAUGCACAAGUGAACCACAAGAAUUACCACUGAUUCGUUGAAGAUAGAGUUCACAUCGUCGAGGCUAACAUUAGCUUGUUCAAAAGCAGGUGGCUUAUAUCCUUUCUUAAACCAUUCAUUUUCAAUAAGCUCGGCAAUGGUGAUACGCUGUUUCAUACGAUUAGCAUGUACAGUAAGUUGACAAGUACCUAAAAUUACAAUGCAUCAUUCUAGAGAAGGAAAGAAGUACAAUAAAUUUAUAUGAAGGGAAGAGGGGGGGCAAACUGUCGAGGGAUUAGGGUCAAGAAUCCUUUUGAUUAGUUUCUUUGCACUUGAGGAGAACCAUGGAGGACACGUGAAGUCAGCCUUGAAUAUCUGCAGUCAAACGUAAACUGUAUUUAGCCAAUGUAAAAUACAAUAAAGCUCCAUCCAUUUAGGCACUGCUGAAUACACUAAUACCACAUUUAGCUAAUCUUACACAGCAACAGAAGAGGUUUACAAAAGCAGACAUGCACAAAGGAUCUGAUUGCAAACCAUGGGUCCACGAUAAAGUUCUGUUUUACAAACCAGAAUCAGAUAUCAACCUGCCAUUCAAUUCCCUAUUUGAGUUUUUCACACAUGCUCUCAGAUUUUGUGGACGGCUUGUAAGAAUAUGUCAAUGGCAUAAACUGUACUAGCGAUCAUGACAUUUUGCAAAAUAAUCAGAACUUGCUCAUGAUUGGCUUGUCUGAAAGCUCUCUCAACCUCAUUCUUACAAUGAAUGAGCCAAAUCCAAGAAGAAUUUAGGGUCUUCAUUUUCCAAGUCAUACUUUCCCAUGGCAUAACUCCACCCAUACAUAAUUGAUUUUUGAACUUCCAAAAUUUUGGUUAACUUUCCAAUCAUAAUAGUUGAUAAUAGUUCAACAUUUUCACAGAUUAGGUUCUACGAGGGUUUAAGAGAUCUUGAAGAUCUUUUCUACUCAACCAUUUUCAGGUCAACAUGAUAAAAUCAAUAGGUAAAUAAAUUAAAACUCGAUGCAGUCCUCCACUAUAGAUGGAGUUUGGUUUCCCCAACUCUAGCAUUUUAUACAGGCACAGCCAGCAAAAUGAAGAUGGGUGUGUGCAUACAAAGCGACCAGAAGGAACAGAAACAAUCACCUUUUUGUAUAGUGCCAUCAGGUUGGCUUCUUCAAAAGGUAAGUAGCCAGCCAUCAAGACAAAAAGAAUCACGCCACAUGACCAUAAAUCUGCCUUGGCACCAUCAUAGCCCUUAUUGUUGAUCACCUAGCAAGGUGAAACGCCAAGGAAUAAAUAAAAGAGCAUAAAUGGUUGAAGCUUUAAGAAUUACAGGUUGCAGGAAAAGCUACACACCUCCGGAGCAACAUAAUUUGGUGUUCCACACGUUGUGUGAAGUAACCCAUCUUCCUGGAGGACAAAUAAAAGAUAAACAAUUAGGAAUUCUUCUGAAAUGAAGGGACAAUAAUUGACCAUAGCACAGAGUUCUCAGGUCAGAAAUUAACAUACUCUAACUUGCUGAGGUAGUGCACUCAAUCCAAAAUCCGAAACUUUAAGAAUCCCAUUAGCAUCCAUUAGCAGAUUUUCAGGCUGUAGUUUAAAACCGCAUGUCACAAACUUAGUUUAUUACCGAAACUAAUAAGAGAUUAAUCCAUCAGCUUAACUGAAGAAAUCUAAGGGGGUCAUUCUCAUUUUAACAUUAGAAUAAGAAUCAAGGCAACAAAAUCACACCUUCAGAUCCCUAUGGUAUACACCUCUGCUGUGGCAGUAAUCUACAGCACAGAUAAGUUGUUGAAAAUACUUUCUCGCUUCAUCCUCUUUCAACCUCCCCUUACUUGCCUAACUCAAGAAAAAUAGCACAAAAACCAUAGAAAAAGUUAAGGCUUCCUCAAAAACAUGCAGAACAAUUUCAACAUACUCAUUUCAUACACAUUAAUCUUACAAUUUUGUCGAAAAGUUCACCACCCGUCACAAAUUGUAAAACAAUGUAAAUUUUGGUCUUGCUCGCCAUCACCUACAACAGUAAUCUUUCCUCAAGCUACUUCAACAUCACAAAAAUAACAUAAAAAGAAAGAUAACGACUUGCUUAUUAAUAUUCCAAAAAAAAUUCCAACCUCAUACAUGCGGACGACAUUAGGGUGUCUGAUUAACUUCAUUGUUGAAAUCUCCCGUUUAAUCUGCAAAAAAUAUAAAAAUAAAUAAAUAUGUAGCAAACGACAUGUCUCCCCAAUCAAAUUGACUUCUCUUUCUUUUCUUUUCUUUUUCCGUAAUUCUUAAUUUUCCAGUUCAAUUUUCUCGGUAACCAAACAGAAAAAAAAAAUCAUAAACUAAAACUAACACAAAAAUACCUUCAAUUUAAUUAAACAAAACUUCAGAUUCAUAGAAUUAUAUGAAAUUAAAAAUAAAGAAUAAAUACCUGACCGAUCAUUUUGUGCUUAAGAACAUUCUCUUUAUCGAGAAUUUUGAUGGCAACAUUCUCUUUCGUCUCAACGUUCCUAGCGAAUUUCACCUUAGCAAAAUUUCCUUCUCCGAGGGUCCUUCCGAGUUCGUAUCUCCCCACACGUGUCUUGCUUCCGCUUCCUCCUCCUCCACCACCACCACCACCACCACUUCUAGAAGACGACAUUCUCUAACUAGAACCAGUUAAAUUUCUCUCUCUAAAACUGAAAAUCCUGUUUUUGAUCGAUCAAGAUCUCUUCUUCUUGCAUGGCUGCCAUACCUGUGACUUGGCUACCCUCAUCUUCGCUUUUUAUUUAUUUUUAAUAAAUAUCUAAAUAAGGCAAAUGAUAUUAAUAAAUACAGAAACAAUUUAUGUUAAGAUUGAAAAAGAAAAAAGAUCGAGAGAUCAAAGGGAAAGUAAUAACUACUGGUGGUUGGAUCAGACAACAACCUCAUAAAGUCCAGACAAAAUUGAAAAUAAAACUUUUUUUCUCUGUGUAAUCAGAGAUUUCUUUGGGAAAUAAAUAAACAGAUCAAAUAUUUCUUAUCUUUCUAAUUAAGUUCGGUAAUAAUCGAAUAAUUAAGGGUUAAGGCUAAUGAUGAUAAAGUCUAGGAAACCUCAAUUUAGUUCCUAUCUAUGUACUUAUUUUAAAUUCACUCCCAAGACAAAUCAAUCUAUAAUUUCGGUCCCUGAUGCCUUUCACGUUUCUCAAUUUCCAUCCACCGCGUUUGGUGAAUUAUUGGAGGGAGUAAAAUAUUUAGAAGGAGUAGCUUUGAGUAAGAACGCAGCCGUCUUAAAGUCAACCAUCGCUGUUGAUUUGAGUGCAAUCUGGUCGUUUUCCCAAUUCUCGGGGCCCUUUGACUGUCAAGGUUCAAACUGGACAGGGACGAUUCGACGCCAUGGUCACCUAACCUGUUGAUUCUGAGCCUUUCGAAUCAGAGACGGCGCCGCAACUGUUGAUUCUGCGUUUUCAUUAGGGUAAAUUUCAACUUGCCUCCAAGAUUUAUGUGUUGUGUCAAUUUCAUCUGAAAUCUUGUACUUAAUUAAAUGAUUACAUAUUUUUCAUAGGAAUGGUAACAUAAAAAGUAAAUAUUUAUCUCUUCUCCGAGGUAAAUAAGCAAACUAAAAUUACGAAAAAUUAAAAAAGAAAAUCAAUAGAAGAGACAUUGUUUGUAGUAAAACAAGAAUGAUAAAAAUUGAGAGGGCUAGCUUCACAAGAAAUUUCUAGAUUUUAUUCCCUUAGUAACAACAACAUUAUCUUUUUUCUUUGUAAAUAUUACGGUUAAAUGAAAUUAAUUAUGAAUCUUGCCCUUCAUUGUUUUCUUUUUUCUCCGAAACCUUCACAAUUCUCAUUUAUUUCUCUCUAGUUUCUAUUUCUAUUACAUCUUCUUCUUUUUUUUAGAAAUAACAAUUUAAUUUGAACUCAAUAAAUAUAUAUUAAUCCAAAUCUACUUAAAUAAAUAGAUAUUUUAUGAAUGAUUACCUUACCUGAUUAAAGAUAAAUAUUGUCAAACCUUUAUAUAUAUAUAUAUAUAUAUAUAAAGACCAAACCAAUUCUAUAUUUUUUUUUAUGGUAUAGAGUCUCUCUGUCUCUAAGGUAAACCUUUUUUUUUUUUUUUGAAAUGGAGGCCACCAUAGCUGCUGGACACACUAGCUCUCUUUUCUCCUCCAUCCCAAUUGAAUCUUCUGCUCUUACUGCUCCUUUAUUCACAUUUAUUCAUGUCCUUAUGAUUUCUGCACCACUCUCUUGUUAAAAUACACCACAUGCAGUGGUGUAAGUAACAUAAAACAAUAUAUAACAGAGAGUCUAGACUUCUCCAACUUUUUUAUCUGGCAAAAUCUUUUCACAUAUAUUCUUCACUGUCAUAGGGUUUAUGAUCAUCGUGUGGAUGACACUCAUAGACGUCAUUCUCAAUUCAUCACUAAAACUUUUGGACAACUUAUUAUUAAUCUAGAUUUUGUUAUUUGGCAGUAAGUUGACCACGUUGUCUCCAUUUCAAAUUACUCCAACAUGAUUUACAUGUCAAGAUUUUUAAUCUCUUUUAUCCAUUAAAACUUCUGAAACCAUGUAUUUUAUGUGUAUGUUUUUAACGAGCUGGUUCAUGGACAUUAUUUUUCAAUUUAUAUUUUGUUUAUUUUUUUAUGUUUUAUUUUAUAUGCGCAGAUUUAUGCCUAAAAGCAUAAACGAGUCCUUUUCCUCAAAUCUAGAUCCCUUAUGAAAGGCUCUUUAAAGCAACCGAUGGAUUUUCUACAACCAACUUGAUUGGAGAUGGUAGUUUUAGCACUGUGUACAAAGGAAACAUUGAUGAAGAUGGAACACUAGUUGCAAUCAAAGUUCUUAACCUGCAACGUCGUGGAGCGUCUAAGAGUUUCAUAGAUGAAUGUGGAGCCUUGAGAAACAUUCGGCAUCGAAAUCUGGUGAAGAUCAUCAUAACUUCUUGCUCAAGCAUUGAUUUUCAAGGUAAUAAUUUUAAAGCUAAAGGGAGUCUGGAGAAAUGGUUGCAUCCUACUCAAGAAACACAUGAGAUGAUCAGCAGAUCAAUGAAAUUCAGCAUCCAAACCUUCUUGAGAGGAUCAACAUUGCCAAACCCGUUACGCAUUACCGGCACGCGCCACUCCAUAGCGUCAGGGCUCCGGAGACCCCUUCCGAACACCACCCCGAAAGAAAAUCUAGUUUAUGGGAGAAUUCCAACUUGGAGACGAAUCUACAAAGGAAGAUCUAGUUUAGAGACGUUUAUGGGACAAUUCCAACUUGGAGACCUAUUUAUCUGAACUUCAUAAAGAAUACAAGCAUAAAAAAUAGGUGAAUUAUUGUGGUUUGAUCUGUUUUUGCAACGUAAAUGGUUUUGGAAUUUUUUUUCAGCAAUUUUCAUUUUCUUUUGCGCGCAAGUGGAGGUUAAAAGGGCUUUAUCGUAGAAGAAUAUCCAUCACACUUCAUCUAGAUAUGGAAAUUGUAACUCUGAUAGAGGCUCUGGUAGACUUCAUCUCAUAUAAAUACCUCUAUCAGAGUUACAAUUUCCAUAUCUAGAUGAAGUGUGAAGCCUCUAUCAGAGUUACAAUUUUCAUACGUAGAUGAAGUGUGAAGCCAUGAUCACUUUCUGGUCAAUUUCCUUCAAUUGCUAGUUAAUUUGAAAUUUAUAGAAGUCGGGUUAAGAAAUUUCAAGAUUGAUUUACUAGAUUGACGAGGUUCUUUUUUUUUUUUUUUUUUUAAUUCAAUAUUUCAAUUUUUUUUCCUUUUAGUUUAAUCUUUUAUGAUUUUUUUUUCUCAAUUUCAUAUUUUAAUAUGUGGUUAAUUUUGAAUUAGUUUUUAUAAUUUAUUUUAAUUUACUUUUUAUGAAGUUAUCACAAUCUCAAACAAACAUUAUGGUAUUUCAUUGAUAUUUAAUUUUGUGAGUGUUUAUUUGUGUUAUCAUAUUAUUAAGUAAAAAUUAAUUAAAAAAACUAUUAAUUAAAUUCAAUGGAGUUCAUAAUCCUGGUUAUAAAUUUGGUGGGUUAAGCCAUAAAGUUUGAGUUAGUCAAAUAUUCUAAAAAAAAUAUUAUUUUAAAUUUUUUUAAAUCAAACCAUAUUUUUUAUUAGAUUAUUUUUAAAUUUUUCAAGAUAAUUUAUAUAUUGGUUAACUUUAAAUAUGAAUUGAGCAAUGAGUUAGUCUACAAGAUUUUAAAAUUAAAGUGUUGAAUUAAAUUUAAUAAUAUUAUUAAAUAAUUUUUUAUAAUUUAGAUAUUUUUUUCUUGUUCAAAUAAAUUUUAAUUUGAUUCGCAACAGCAUAACGUGUGUUAUUACUUGCAUCGCGGGCAUAUGAAUAGUUUCCAAUCUUAAACUUGACUCUGAGGCUGGAGUAUCCACGCAUAAACGAGUACUGAACACGUUGGCUGGCCAAUAGUUUCACUGACAAAUAUAACAAUCAACAAAGACUCCAAAAACGCAAGUGGUCACCUUUGAACCACCGUUCUUGAUUCUCCAUAACCAUGUCCCAUUCAUACGGACGUCCAUAAUUUUAUGUUUUAAUUAUCAUCCACUGAAUCACUUCUUUCUAUCUUUCUAUAUCAUGUAUAACUGCAUGCUCUCAAACCAUCUGCGCUCCCUUUUUAGAGCAAAAGGUAUCGAGUCCACCCUACGCGCAUUAUACUUUUUUUUUUCUUUAUAAAUUUGUGUGUUCGUAUACAUCUUCACGUGAAUUUCUAGGAACUCUCUGUUUUGCUUGUUGACGAUAAAUUAUUUGCUGAGUUGCGUGCCUUCACGAAAUCCAGAACACCAGAUCAGAGAUACCAUUGUCCCUCCUCUUGAAUUCGCAUCCUAUAUAUAUGGCUGUUUGAUCUAUAGCUUCUGAAGGCCACCACCAUCAAAGCAGCAACGAAUAAUUAUCACCGCCCUUCAUCCACAUCUAAUUUACCUCCAGUCCUCCCGAAAAUCAGUUUCUUUCAAAAAUCGUACUGAGUCUGCAGUUUCCAAUUCAACAAUGAGCAAUUAUAUUUAUGACGACGCUUCUGUUUUGUCCGAUACCUCUUCAAUCCAAUCCGUAAAAGGGAGCCUGGCCAGAGAAAAGAUGAGCGAUAUGAGCUAUAAGCUCUCCUCUCCAUCCACAUUCAGUAGUGGUUAUACAGAGAAAGAACUCGUAGGCGCAAAAAUGAGUAGCUUAGCUAACGCCCACGAUUGGAGCAAUAUGAGCUAUCAGCUCUCCUUUCGAUCCACGUCCAAUGGUCGUUAUGCAGAAAGAGACGACCUCGUAGGGGCAAAAAUGAGUUGCUCAGCUAACGCCCAUGAUUUGAGCAAUUUGAGCUCUAAGCUCUCCUUUCGAUCCACAUCCAAUGGUCGUUAUACAGAAAGAGACCUCGUAGGGGCAGAAAUGAGUUGCUUAGCUAAAGCCCAGUACGAUUUGAGCAAUAUGAGCUAUCAGCUCUCCUUUCUAUCCACAUCCAAUAUUGGUCGUUAUGCAGAAAGAGACCUCGUAGGGGCAAAAAUGAGUUGUCGUGAUCCUCUUCAUAAAUAUUCAACAUCUACAAGCUAUCCUGUCCAUCGCAGCAAUGCCCACAAUCCAUCCGCAUCUAAAAGCAACGUCAACAAGGAAGCAAUGAAAAACCAGCUGAUUCUUCGCCUUUCUUCCUACGGAAGGUCCAAUCGUUGAGAAAGAUGUUACAGAAAUAAGUACAAAGUAAAUAUUAUUGAUUGUUUGAAUUUAAAUGUGUUAAGGAAAUUAUGAAGGUAACAUUUUAUUAUUACUUUUUAAUCAAAGAAGAUAAUUUUAUUAUGUUUAUUUUUAUUAUAUUUUUUUAUAGGUGUGAUUAUAUGAAUACCAGUUAAAUAUAAUUUUAUCAAAUUAUCAAUAACAAUGUUUUUUUUUAUUUUAAUGCUAAUAUAUGGUUACCUUAAGUCAUCUUCUUUAAGAAAUUAUAGUAAAUAUGAUGGUGAUGGAGAGUUGGUGAUGGUAGGUUAUGUAGAGGCGCGAAAAGAGAGAUCAACGGGAGAUAAAGGAAUGCAUGGGUAAGGCCGUACGUAAGGGUUUGGUUUAUAGGUGUUAUCGGGUUUAUGACAGAGGAGAUGGUUAAGUGGUGUCGAUUCAAUGGAGGUCAGUGCUAGCGUGGCUGUAGAGAGGCUGCUGGAUUUGAAUUUGAGGAUUUGUUGGCGAAAGAGAAGGCUGCAAUUUGAGAGAGAGAGUGACAAGAGAGAAAUUUACGUACUAUAGUUGUCUUUCUCUCUCUCAUCUCCAUUUUCAAGAUAAUCAGUGCUGAAAUCAUUUAGAUGGUAGAUGGUAGUGAUAAAAACUUGAGAUCAAGAGGUUUGUUUUCUUUGUGGUUUUAGGUUUAAGCCCUGUGGUUACUCAUAUGAUGGUCACUGGAGGUUUACAUGGUCGUUAACUUCAAGGCCCGUAGGAUUAAUCGAGGUAGAUACAAGCUAACCCGGACAUCCACGUUAAACUAAAAAAAAAAUCAGUGCUGAUGAGUUAGUCAAAUCUUUAAUUAUACGUGCACUUUGAUUUUGUAGCGAAGAAAAUAUUGGGAUGGGUUUGUGUUGAAAUUAACUGAUGCUUUUUUGCUUAAUUUUGAUUAUAAAGUUCUCAUUGCUGGUUGUCAAUUAGGCCUGUUUGUUUGUAGUUUUUUUAAAAAGAAAAAAUUCUAGAAAAAAAAAUUAUUUUCUAAUAUUUAAUAGUGUAAUGAAAAAUAAGUUGGAAAAUAUUUUCCAGUGUUUGGUUCUGUCAUGGAAAAUGAGCUAGAAAAUAACUUAUUAAUGUUUUAUUUUUUUUCAAGUUUAUUAAAAUAAUAAGGAACAAAUCUUACAAAUUAAAACGUUGAAUGUAAAAUGAAAUUGAAAAAAUAUAUAAUUUCAUAAAUUAUCUCAAAUAAAAUAAAUAAUAAUCAAAAUAAUAGAGAUCAAAUCUAAAAAAUUAAAAGAUGAAGAAAUUAAAAUAAUAAUAAUUAACAUUUCAUAAAUUAUUUCAAAUAAAAUAAGUAACAAUCAAAAGAAUGAAGACCAAAUUUGAUAGAUAAAAAAUUUCAAUUAAAAAAUAAUAAGAAAAAGGCAAAUAACAAUUAUAAAAAUAAGAACCAAAUUAAUAUAAAAAUUAAAUUCUAAGGGAUAAAAUUGAAAAACAAAUAUUCAAAACAAAAUAUAUAUAGUAAUCAAAAGUUUGAGAACCAAAUUUGAUAUAAUCAGCAAAUAAUAUGAUAUUUUUAAAUUUUUCACAACUUCCGAAAAGUGUUUUCCGUCCAAAAUAAAAGAAAAACAUUUUCCUAAAAACCAAGUCAAAUUUUUCUUUGACUGGAAAGUGUUUUCCGUUUAUCAACUUUUCUAAUAGCAAACAAACACAGGAAAGUUUAAAAAAUAAUUUUUAAAAAAUCACUUUUCAAAAAACAAAUACAACCUUAAUCAAUGAAAUUUUACUCGUCCAAAUCUAUUAGUGUAUUAUUUUAAAUCCAUACAAUUCAAGAUCAAUUGAGAUGGUUGAAGUGAUUUGGUACAUGGUGAAGAAGAAGAUGAAGAUGUUUUUAAUUUGAUUUGAUUAGUUUUUUUAUCAUAUAUUUUUUUUUAAAAAAAAGGAUAUCCAUAUCAUUUAUUUAAUAAAAAUAAAAAGCAUUAGAAGACAUACAAAAAAAAAAUCUGGACCAUUUAAACUACUAUGGAUAAAAAAGAUAUCAUUCUAACUAAAACUCAUUUUAUCUAUCUCGUUAACGAGCUAAUUUCUCUUUCUUUUUAAGAAAAUCUUUCACUACAGUAUUUAUUUCUAGGAAACAUUCCAUCAUUAUUCCAAAAGCAACUCUUAAUAGCCAAAAAAAAACAAUAUUUUGAUAAUUUAAAUAUUAUUAUAUUAAAAAAAUAAAAAUAAUACAAUACUAGCGUGUUGCCUCAGGAAACUUUUGGUGGUCUCAUUAAACUCUUCCAAGCAAAUCAACUUGGAGAUCUCCGGGUCUUACUUUUUAUUCGACUCAAGUUUUAAAUAAAAUCAUGUAGGAUUUGAUUAAAUACAACCUGAUUGACCUAGUAAGUUCAAAGAUAUAAAAAAUAACCAGUUAAAAUUUGAUUUGACUUGAAACAAAAUUCAAGACGCUAUUUUCUUUUUAAUAUUGAGAUAAAAAUAUCUUGAAGACAUUAAGAGCAGCUUGAAUUAACUUGUUAACCCACAACUUGAGUCAUGAAUCCAACUUGCUUUAAUGAUUUUUUAAAAAAUUAAUUUUUAUUUAAUUGUAUGAUAGUAAAAAUUAUUACUCACAUCAAACACAACCACAAAAAUUUAAAACAAUGAUUAUGGGUUGUAAAAAAAAAACACUUUCCAAAUAUUAUUUUUUUAAAAUGUUUCUAUAAUCUUAUUUGAAAAAAUAGUAAAAAUUGAACGGCAUUAAGUAAAAUAAUAUUUAAUUACAUUUAUAAUUAGUUUAAGAAUUUAAUAAAAUAAUAUACCUAAUAAAUUUUUCAUUUUGAGAUGCAUUUUGAGGGUAGUAAUUGAAAAGAAUUGGCUAUAAUUGAUGGAAUUAAAAGUACCGAGAACCGAAAUGCUAAAUUGACAUGGCCUGGCAGGUAUUAUUAUUAUUAAUUCAAUCAAUUUGAGCCUAAUUGAAGAAGAUUUGUGAUUUUACAGCCAAUUCUAAACAAAUUUGAGGAAUUUAAUAAUCCAAUGGCCCAAUUGAGAAACAUUUGACAAUUUGGCUUAAUGUUGACCAAGAUUGUAUGAAUUAAAAGCCUGGGAGGAUCAAAGUGUGAAGCGAGCCAAACAUCAGGGGGUCUUUUGACAUUCUCAGUUCCUAAACGUUGUCAUUUUGAGUGCGAUGCAUACAAACCCCCUUCUUCUUCGUCAUCCUCUUCCGCUGAGACAAAAAAAACCUAGCUGCCUGCAAACUUGUUGUCUUCUCUUCCAGUCCAUCAAACGCUGUCGUUUCCCUGGUAUUGCCUCGUCUAGCUAUAAUCUUAUCUUCACCUCGACAAUAGUGAUCGGGAUUAGAGUAGAUUAAUCUCAGGGUUGUUUGUGAGCUACCAAGGAUCAGUCCUGGGCUAUAUAUCAUUUUAUUUAUUCUGUCAGCACGUGAAUCUCUCUACGAAUUAAUGAAUCCUCCAUCAAUUUCUUUUUCUUUCUUCCCUUGUUUAAUUUAUUGUUGUUUCAUCAAACGUUUUUUUUUUUGUGGGUGAACUUUCUAGCUUCACAAAUCUAAUUCCAGAUAUUUAUACCGUAAAAUUAGAUGAAUUAAUAUGGUUUGAUUGUGAUCAGCUAUUUAAUUACGCUAAUUAUUUUUUUAUGUUUGGAUGUUUAAUCAAUCCAAGAAUUCUGAAGACAUGCAUGUAUUUUUUUUCCUUUUCUAUAUAUAUAUAUAUAUAUAUAUUAUAUAAUUCUAUCCUCUAGUUUGAUAAUGGACACCAAGCUACGUCGGAUGAAGUAGAUCAAUUUUUUUUAAAAAAAUGACAACGAGAGGAGAAAAUAAAAAUAAAAACUAAGUCAAUUUUGUUUUUUUAAUCAUUUUUCUUAGAUUUUUUUUAACAGUUACCCAGAUUGUUUUUAAUAUCUGUCAAAUUAACUAAAUUAUAUUUAAACAAUUCUUACACAGUUUUAUUUUAAAAUUAAAUUAAACAAAGAGUAGGAUCGAGAUGUUUUUCUAUGUUAUUUUUUCUUAAUUUCAUCUUCAUACUUCUUUUAUUGGUCGUCUAGGUUUUUUUAAAAUUAGUUAAGUUGAUUGGAUUAUGUCAGGGCAAUUUUUAUACAACUUAAUUUUAAAUACGAGUUAGGCAAAAAUUAAGUUAUAAAUGAUUUUUAUAUCAAUUUCAUUACUUUUUCACAUUGUUAUCCCUAGAUUUUUUCUUACUAGUUGGUCACGGUGUCUUUCAACCAACUAAAUCGAUUAGUUCAUGCCAGGACAACUCUCACACAUUUUAAAUUUAAGCCUGAACUUGAAAAGAAGUCAAAUCAUAAGUUUUUAAGAUUAGCCUCUUAUACCAAAUUUAAUAAAAAAAUCAUAUAAUUCUUAAUGACUCAUAUAUUUUUUAUUAUAUUCAAGAAAUUUUGAUUUGACUUUGUAGGAUCAAUAAACUAUUUUCUCCAAAAAAGUUGGAGGUAGCUCACCAAUAGCAGGUUAAUCUGUAACCAUUUACACGUUUCCAACUUAUACACUAACUUGAGAAAAUGUUCAUGUGUUGCGUGUCUCAAUCAAUAUAUUGUGUAAUUGCAUUUUCUCAACCAUUUGCACUUUUUUCAAAGGAAAACACGGUAUCAUAUCAUGAGGUUUGACAAGAGAACUAUAAUGGUUCAGCGUACGCGUAUUACAGAUUUAAUUUUAUUUUAUGUCAAUUUCUUUCUGAGAAGUUUUACAUGUACAAAUGAAUUUCCAGAAAUCCUCUCUUUUGCUGGUUGACGAUUUCUACUUCACAACUACUCUAUGCUGAAUUGCGUGCCUUGAUGAUAUCCAAAAUACAUGAGAGAUACCAUUAAUUGUCCCUCCUCUUGAAUUAAUUCGCAUCUAUAUAUAUAUAUAUAUAUAUAUAUAUAUAUAUAUAUAUAUAUAUAUAUAUAUAUAUAUAUAUAUAUAUAUCGCUGUUUGAUCUAUAGCUCAUGGCUAAUAUUAUUUUGGAUUUAACUUAUUAUUUAAUCCAUUCAAGUGUGUUGGAUUUGAUAAUGUUAUUUUAGAUUCAAUUAAUUAUUAAAUUCAAACGUAUUAGGCCUAGUAUUUUACCAAACUCGUGUUAGUUUGAAUUCAGGUUAAAUCCAAAUUUAUUAAAUCUAACAUUAUGUAAUAUCCAUUUUAUUUUAAAUUAAUCUAAAUAUAUUAAGUUUGGUAUGUUAUUAUAUCCACAAAAAAUAUAUGUUAUUAUAUCCACGUUGCCUUGAGUUUUUUAUGCCACAAAAAUAUAAGCAAAAAAUAUUGAUUAUAUCAGCUAUCAAUUAUUAAAAUAUUUUUUUCUUUUCAAAAUAGUAUCUUAAAAAUAAAAUCUUAAAAAAAAUAAAAGAACCGACAGAGCCAAAAUAAUAAAAGGAACGAAAGAAUUUAAGUCAAUGUUCCAAAAAUCAAUAGCAAUACUACAUUUUGCCAUGGUACGCAACCUUAACACCGGAAUGGAAAUUGGGGCGAUAUAUAUAUAUUAAUUUUUCCUCCCGUUGAUGUUGAAAUAAGCAAGCUUAGAAAUGGAUUCUGUCAAAUAUAAUAAUAUCAAGUCAAAACAAUUUUAGUAUGCUAUAGAUGUUAAGGUAGGUUUAGUUUUAAUUUUAGGUUUUUUUUUUUUAAUUUUAACAUUUUUGGAUAUUAGAAUAUUAGCAUAUUAUUAUCUAUUUUUUUAAAAUAUUUACACCCAUAAUCUCUAUCAUGGGUCUAACACACUUAAAACUCUUCAACAAAAGAAAUUCAAUAAAAUUUACAUCAUAGUUGUUGGAUAUGAAUUCAGUUUGUUGAAUGAAUAUGUUAGGGUGUGAAGGUGUCGUAUAACCAACUAAUUUUCAGAAAAUAAAUGGUACUAAUGAACACGUUGGGUGGCAACAAAUUUUCACCGACAAUCGUAGCAAUUAAUCCAGAAAUCAAGGUCACCCUUGAAAGUCUUGAUUCUCCAACUUCUUUCCCACCUUCAUAUUUUAUUAUUAUCAUCUUCAUCAUCAUCGAUCAAUCAAGGAAUCCUUAAACACUUCCACCGACUCACUUCUUUCUAUUAUUCUAUAUUAUGUGAGUGCUUUUUCUCAACCAAUUUGCACUUUUUUCAAAGGAAACUAUAAUGGUUCACGUACGUACGCGUAUUUCAGAUUUUAUUUUAUUUUAUUUCAAUUUGUUUGUAUCCGAUAAAUUUUACAUCUUCACAUGAAUUUCCAGGAAUCCUCUCUUUCGUUGGUUGACGACACCUCUUUGCUGAAUUGCGUGCCUUCACGAUAUCCACAACAGUACCAGAGAGAUACCAUUGUCACUCCUCUUGAAUUCGCAUCCUAUAUAUAUAUACAUAAUGGCUGUUUGAUUUAUAGCUUCUUAAGGCCACCACCAUCAAACCAGCAACGAAUAAUUAUCACCGCCCUUCAUCCACAUCCAGUAGUGGUUAUAUAGAAAGAGACCUCGCAGGGGCAAAAAUGAGUAGCCCGGCUAACGCCCACGAUUUGAGGAAUUUGAGCUCCAAGCUCUCCUUUCCUUCCACGUCCAAUGGUCGUUAUGCAGAAAGAGACCUCGUAGGGGCAAAAAUGAGUAGCCCGGCUAACGCCCACAAUUUGAGGAAUUUGAGCUCCAAGCUCUCAUUUCCUUCCACGUCCAAUGGUCGUUAUGCAGAAAGAGACCUCGUAGGGGCAAAAAUGAGUAGCCCGGCUAACGCCCACGAUUUGAGGAAUUUGAGCUCCAAGCUCUCCUUUUCUUCCACGUCCAGUAGUCGUUAUGCAGAAAGAGACCUCGUAGGGGCAAAAAUGAGUAGCCCGGCUAACGCCCACGAUUUGAGGAAUUUGAGCUCCAAGCUCUCCUUUCCUUCCACGUCCAGUAGUCGUUAUGCAGAAAGAGACCUCGUAGGGGCAAAAAUGAGUAGCCCGGCUAACGCCCACGAUUUGAGGAAUUUGAGCUCCAAGCUCUCCUUUCCUUCCACGUCCAGUAGUCGUUAUGCAGAAAGAGACCUCGUAGGGGCAAAAAUGAGUAGCCCGGCUAACGCCCACGAUUUGAGGAAUUUCUCCUUUCCUUCCACGUCCAAUGGUCGUUAUGCAGAAAGAGACCUCGUAGGGGCAUGAAUGAGUCGUCGUAAUCGUCUUGAUCAUGAAUAUUCAACAUCUACAAGCCAUCCUUUCCUGUCCAUCGCAGCUCAGCUAAUGCCCACAAUCCAUCCGCAUCUAAAAGCAACGUCAAUAAGGAAGCGAUGAGAAACCAGCUGAUUCUUCACCUUAAUUUCUUCCAACGGAUGGUGUUGGGACUGUGAGGUUGUUGAAAUUGUCAAAGUUCAUUCGAUUAAUAAUCCCUAUUUACUGGGACACGUAAAUUAAGUUUUAAACUGAUUUCCUUAUUUGUUUACCACGUUAAACAUGGGUUGUUAUGGUUUCUAUCUUAUCACUAUGUAAGGAGGCUUAUAUAAGCCAACAGUAUGCUUUGAAUUCAAUAAGAGAGUUUAUCAUAUAUUUGCUGUGAGUUGCUUUGUGCUUAGAAUUUCCGACGGAAGGCCCAAUCAUUGACAAAGAUGUUAAAGAAAUGACUAUAAAGAAAAUAUUAUUGAUUAUUUGAAUUUAAAUGUGUUAAGGAAAUAAUAAUGAAGGAAACAUUUUAUUAUUACUUUUUAAUCAAAGAAGAUAAUUUUAUUAUGUUUAUUUUUUAUUAUAUUCUUUUAUAGGUGUGAUUAUAUGAAUAUAAGUUAAAUAUAAUUUUAUCAAAUUAUCAAUAAUAAUGUUUUUAUUUAUUUUAAUGCUAAUAUAUGGUUACCUUAAGUCAUCUUCUUUAAGAAAUCAUAGUAAAUGAUAGUGCAUCAUUUAAAAAAAAAAAAAACAAGAAACAAACCCAGUCGUUCUAGUCAAGCCAAAAUGGCCUCAUCGCCCUCACUAAGCCAAAACAUGUUGUCGAUCAUGUUUUAUGGGCUAGGCAUGCACCUCAAGUUAUUUUCUAGUCUUGAGAUGUUAGAACACUUCGCGCACCAUUCAUUAUUACACAUCAAAUUUUAUAUGUAGAGAAGAAAUUAACCAUUCUUCACGAUCAACCCUCUGAUCCAGAAACUGAUCACUCUGAAGGGCAGCUGAUAGUUCGUGAACUAAAUCAUAUUUAGACAAUUCUCACGCGGUAUAAAUCAUAUUUAUACAGACUUGAUGUGUAGGUUUCCCCUUGUUUUUCAAUAUUAAUUGUAUGCAUUGGUUUUGUUAGAGAAACUUAAUUCAAAUCUUUUAUGUUUUGAGCCUAAUAAUAUUUACUUUCUAUAUUUUGAAAAAAUUACACUUUAAUAUCAGUUUUAAAUCACCAUAAAAAUAUGAAAAUGCUCAUCCAAGUCCUUCUUUUCUCUCUUUAACUAAAAUAUAUUUAAUUAAAUCUCUCAAAAUAGUUCUAAUUAACAUAGCACCAUUAGCUUCUGUGUUACUGUUAUUUUUGCUAGAGAGAAGGCAACGAGUUGUGUUGUUGAUUUUGUGCAAUGAUGAUGCUGGUGUGGUUGAAGUUUGCAGGUCUGUGCUGUAUUGGUUUGAGGUGUAGGCUAUUUUAAUGGUGUGAUGCUCUCUCUUUAACCAAAAUCCCUCUUCGCCUCUCUCUCUCAAAACUGUACUAAUUAAAAUAUACAGCUCUACCAUUUCUCAAGCUGCUACUAUUUUUUGGCGAGGGAUGAGAUUACAGUGGGUUAUGUUGUUUUUGUGAAGUGAUCGUGAUGGUGAUCGUGAUGGUGCUGGUUUGGUUAGGGUUUGUGUUUUGUUAGUUUUAGGUGGAGGUUAGUUCGAUGUUAUGAUGCUGCAAAAGAAGAGGGCGAUGGUGCUGGUUUGGUUAGGGUUUGUGUUUUGUUAGUUUUAGGUGGAGGUUAGUUCGAUGCUAUGAUGCUGCAAAAGAAGAGGGCGAUGGUGAUGGAGAGGUUGGUGAUGGUAGGUUAUGUAGAGGCGCGAAAAGAGAGGUCAACGGGAGAUAAAGGGAUGCAUGGGUAAGGGUUUGGUUUAUAGGUGUUAUCAGGUUUAUGGAAGAGGAGAUGGUUAAGUGGUGUCGAUUCAAUGGAGGUCAGUGCUAGCGUGGCUGUAGAGAGGCUGCUGGAUUUGAAUUGAGGAUUUGUUGGUGAAAGAGAAGGCUGCAAUUUUAGAGAGAGAGUGACAAGAGAGAAAUUUACGUACUAUUGUUGUCUUCUCUCUCUCAUCUCCAUUUACAAGAUUGUAUGAAUCAAAAGCCUGGGAGGAUCAAAGUGUGAAGCGAACCAAACAUCUGGGGGUCUUUUGACAUUCUCAGUUCCAAAACGUUGUCAUUUUGAGCGCGAUGUAUUCAGACCCCCUUUUUCUUCUUCAUCCUCUUCCGUUGAGAGGAAAAAAAAAAAACCUAGCUGCCUACAAACUACUUGUUUUCUCUUCUAGUCCAUCAAACCCUGUCGUUUCCAAGAAAUUUUACAUGUACAAAUGAAUUUCCAGGAAUCCUCUCUUUUGCUGGUUGACGAUUUCUACUUCACAAGUACUCUAUGCUGAAUUGCGUGCCUUGAUGAUAUCCAGAAUACAUGAGAGAUACCAUUAAUUGUCCCUCCUCUUGAAUUAAUUCGCAUCCUACAUAUAUAUAUCGUUGUUUGAUCUAUAGCUUCUUAAGACCAACACCAUCAAAGCAGCGACGAAUAAUUAUCAUCGCCCUUCAUCCACAUUUUAUUGUCCAGCUUCAAUAUGUUUUGUGUGUGUGAUCAGCCAUAUUAUUUUGGAUUCAAUUUAUUUUUGAAACAAGUGUUUUAGAUCAAUGCUAAAUCUAAAUACGUUGAGUCUAAUAUUGUAUCAAGUUAACGUUGCCUUGAAGUCAGCUGAUUACUGAACUUAAAUUUAUUAAAUGUGAUAUCUUAAGUUUAGCCAAUUGUUUAAUUCAAAUUAAUAUAUUGGAUUUGGUAUAUUAUCAUAUCCAUGUUAUCUUGAGUUUUCUUAUGCCUAAAAAUACAAGCCAAAAUAUUUACUUUAUCAGCUAUCAAUCCUUUUUAAGUAUUAAAAAAAAUUCUUUUCAAAAUAGUAUUUUAAAAAUAAAUAUUAAAAAAAUAAAAGAACCGACAGAGCCAGAAGAAAAAAAAAGAUAUAAUAAAAGCAACGAAAGAAUUUAAGUCAAUGUUCCAAAUAUCAAUAGCAAUACUACAUUUUGCCAUGGUAUAUAUGCAACCUUAACACUGGAAUGGAAAUUGGGGCGAAAUUAUUGGGGAGGAUAUAUGUGUGUGUGUGUGUGUGUGAGAGAGAGAGAUUUAAAUUUUUCCUUCCGUUGAUGUUGAAAUAAGCAAGCUUAGAAAUGGAUUCUAUCAAAUAUAAUAAUAUCAAGUCAAAACAAUUUUAGUAUGUUAUAGAUGUUUAGGUAGGUUUAGUUUUAAUUUUAACAUUUUUGGAUAUUAGAAUUUAGCAUAUUAUUAUUUAUUUUUUGACAAUAUUGACACCCAUAAUCUCUAUUAUGAAUCUAACAUACUUAAAACUCUUCAACAAAAUGUUUUAUCCGCAACACAAGCUUCAUGUGUCUUUUACAACUCAGAUAGCAUAUUUUUAUACAUUGUAACUUUUAUAGGAGUGUUUGGAUGAAAGUUUUAGAUUGGUGAGGUAUCCAAUGUUAUUUGCCGAGUACUCUAGACUCGUUGCUUCUGCAAUUGUCUGGAAUGGUGCAGGGUAAAUUCCAAAGAUUAGCUUGGAGAGUAAUCUCCAGUAGUACUACCUGGGGUAUUUGGUUGUUAAGAAACAAAAUUGUUUUUAAGAAGGGAACUAUAAGUUUGUUUGAUUGUUUCUCCAUCAUCCUUUAUCAUGUUGCUAUUUGAUUGUAUAUUCUGGAUUCAAACUUCACUUAUACAAGAAAUGACCUCUUAAGAUCUUCUGAUGGCAUCAAAUUAUGAUGUAAUAAAAAAUCUUAGGUAAUCUCUUUGUUUUUUGUUCUAGCAGAUCAGUUUUGUUUUUUUGUUUUUUUUUUCGAAGUUUGUUCCUUUUUUUUUUUAUCUUAUUCCUGUAUUUUACUUUGGCUAUUGGUUUAAUACUCUUUUCAAUAUACUCUCAAUGAUUUUUAAAAAAAUACUUAAAACUCUUUAACAAAAGAACUUCAAGAAAAUUUACAUCAUAGUUGUUGAAUAUGAAUUUAGUUUGUUGAAUGAAUAUGUUAGGGUGUGAAGGUGUAGUAAAAAGUAUUUUUAAUUGAGAAUAGGUUUACAAACAAACUUUGGUUGGAUCUUAUAUAAGGGAGAAUUUAAAUUAAAUAUUUUUUAGAGGUUUAUAUGAGGUCUUAUAGACACUAUAUGUAUAAUACAACGAUAUAACACAAAUAAACAUAAUUAAAAUAAUAUUAGUAAGUUUACAUUAAUAAAAACUUAUUUUAUUUUUAAAGAAUUGAGUACGUGAUCCAAAUCAUUAAGAACACUUAUUUUAUUUUCAAAGAGUCGAGUGAUCCCAAUCGGCUGAAUCUUAUUCUUGUAUUGCGGGCGUACAAAUAGUUUUCAAUUAAAUUUAAACUUGUCUCCAACACCUGGUUUGAGUAUCUGUAUGUGUUUGGUAUUAUAAUAGAGUGUUUUUUUAAAUGUUUUUUAUUUUAAAAUAUAUUAAAAUAAUUUUUAAAUAUUUUAAUCUUAACACAUUAAAAUUAUUAAAAAAUUAUUAAUUUGAUAUUUUUUUCAAAAACAAAAAACACACUUUUAAAUGGAAUCUCCAUGCAUAAGAUUGGUCACGCUACCAUACAUAUAUUAGGUCCUAUUUAUUUCAUAAAAAGUAGUUUUGUAGAAAAUAUUUUCCAAAUAUUUUCAUGUUUAUUUAUUAUUAAAAAAAUUGAUUAAUGAAAAAUACUUUUGAGUUAAUGAAAAAUACUUUUGAGUUAAAGAAAAAUUUGGCUUAUUUUUUAGGAAAGUGUUUUUCUUUUUUUUAAGCGAAAUUCACUUUCCAGAAUAUGUAAAAAAAUAAAAUUUAUUCUAUUAUUUGUUGAUUAUAUCAAAUUUGUUUAUCGAUAUUUUGAUUGAUAUAUAUUUUGUUUUAAAUUUUUAUUUUAUUUUAUUUUAAUUUCUUUAAAAUUUAAUUUUUAUAUUAACUUUAGUCAUCAUUCUUUUAUUGUUAUUUUUUUCUCUUAUCCUUUUCUUAAUUGAAAUUUUUUUUAUCUAUAAAAUGUGGUCUCUAUUCUUUUGAUAACUAUCUAAUUUAUUUGAAAUAAAUUAUGAAAUUGAAUAUUUUUUUAAUUUCAUCAUCUUUUAUCUUUUUUAUUUGCCAUAUUUAAUUCUAAUUCUUUUAAUUGCUAUUUGUUUAUUGAAAUAAUUUAUGUAUGAAUUUUUUUUUUCAUUCUCCUUCAACUUUUUAAUUUAUUAGAUUUGGUUUUUAUUUUUAUUUUUAUUAUUUAUUUUAUUUGAAAUAAUUUAUAAUUUUAUUUUUUUAAUUUUAUCAAACUUCAAUUUUUUCAUAUUUCAAGCAUAAUCAACUAAUUUUCAGCAAAUAAACGGUACUAAAUUAGUACCGAACACAUUGGGAGGCAACUAAUUUUCACCGGCAAUUGUAACAAUUACCCAGAAAUUCAAGGCACCCUUGAAAGCCAUCAUUCUUGAUUCUCGAUAUUCUUUCCGACCUUCAUAUUUUAUUAUUAUCGUCUUUAUCAUCAAACUACGUCGGAUGAUGUGGAUCAACUUUUGAAAGAAGAAACUCCCUUAAUAAUCAGGCAUUUAACCAAGAGGAGAAGUCAGAUCAUAAGUUUUCAAGAUUAUCUUGCUAUGCCAAGUUUAAUAAAAAUAUAAUAUAAUUCUUAAUGACUCAUAUAUUUUUUAUUAUAUUCAAGAAAUUUUGAUUUGAGUUUGUAGGGUGAAUAAACUAUUUUCUCUAGAAAAGUUGGAGGUAGCUCACCAAUAGCAGGUUAAUCUGUAACCAUUUACACGUUUCCAACUUAUACACUAACUUGAGAAAAUGUUCAUGUGUUGCGUGUCUCAAUCAAUAUAUUGUGUAAUUGCAUUUUCUCAACCCAUUUGCACUUUUUUUUAAAGGAAAACACGGUAUCAUAUCAUGAGGUUUGACAAGAGAACUAUAAUGGUUCAGCGUACGCGUAUUACAGAUUUAAUUUUAUUUUAUGUCAAUUUGUUUCUGAGAAAUUUUACAUCUUCCAAUGAAUUUCCAGAAAUCCUCUCUUUUGCUGGUUGACGAUUUCUACUUCACAACUACUCUAUGCUGAAUUGCGUGCCUUGAUGAUAUCCAAAAUACAUGAGAGAUACUGUUGUCCCUCUUCUUGAAUUCGCAUCCUAUAUAUAUAUGGCUGUUUGAUCUAUAGCUUCUUAAGACCAACACCAUCAAAGCAGCGACGAAUAAUUAUCACCACCCUUCAUCCACAUCUAAUUUACCAGCUUCAAUCCUCCCACAAAUCAUUUUCUUUAAAACGUCAUUGUGAGCCUGCAGUUUCCAAUUAUUCAACAAUGAGCAAUUCAGUUAUAUCCAGACAAGGGAGCCUUAUGGGGGCAACGAUGAGCAAUAAGGCCGUCUGCUUUCCAAUAUCCAGAUCCAUUGGUGGUUACACAGAACGUGACCUGAUUGGGGCAAGAGCGAGUUGCGGUGUUCCAGUCCCACGUAGCUUUGUUUAUGGCUACAGCCCCUGGAUAGGGUCUUCUUUCGGUCCUUCCUUUAGGUCAAAUAUCCCUCCACUCCCAUCCAUGGAAUGGAACUGCACGGGGGCAACGAUGAGCAACAAGGCCGUCUGCUUUCCAUGCACGUCUCAAGGCAGUUCAUAUGUAGAACGUGACCUUUUAGGAGCAGAAAUGAGUUGUCAUACUCCUCUCCCCAAUUCUUCAAUGUAUUUUGGCGUCCACUACUACAUCAAUGCUUAUCCACCUCCUGCAGUAGCAGGUGGCCUUUUAGGAGCAGAAAUGAGUUCUCAAGCUCCUCGUCCCAAUUCUUCAAUGUAUGUUGGCGUCCAGCCCAUCAAAAGGUGGGCUUCCAGGGCCGGGAAAUGAACUUGGGAAGUAGCUAAUAUAUAAGUCUCUAGGGUUCUUAUUAGUUGCGAAAAAAAUAAAUGAUGGAGAUGUAUUCAAGAGUGAAAUUUUAAGAGAAAGAAAGGAGUGGUCCUGGUUAAGCGGGUUUAUGCAAGAGUUUAUGGAAGAUCAUAAUAUGUGGUGUACUGUGGGUUCUAUUUAUUAAUUAAAUGUAAUAAUUUCAGGUCUAAAUCUUAAAUUUUCAGAUAUUGUUUGGAUGUUAAGGCAUGUUUAUUUUUUGAAUUUUCUUAAUGUUAACGUAUUCUAUAUAUUAUUUGAGUAUAUAUUAGGAAUAUUUUAGCAUGUUAUUAAUUAUGUUUUCUUUAAAUAUUAAUUAUUUCCAUGAUUUCUAUCAUAAAUCGAAUAUACUUAAAUCUUUUUAGAGACUAAAUAAUAAUCAUCUUGGAAGUUGGAACUAUCAUUUUUCAUUAUUGUUUAUAUAUAUAUUGAAAUAACUCCAUUCAUGAGAACCAAUAGAACUUAUAUAAUUUUGUUCCCUUGUAUUUUGGCAUGGAGGCCUCAAAUCUAUCCAAAGCCUUGCUAUAGGCACCAAGAGAGUCGUCAAUUAUAAGGACUGUUUGUUUUAUGCAAAUAAUUUUUCAAAAACACUUUCUAAAUUUUAUUGUGUUUUUUACUGUUAAAAUUUUAAAAAAUUAGUCACUAAAAAAAUAUUUUUUGAUCAAAAAAAAUUUAGAUUAGUUUUUAUAAAAGUAUUUUUAUUUUAUUUUGGAUGGAAAAUAUUUUUUUAAAAUUAUAAAAAAUUUAAAAAUAUCAUAUUAUUUAUUAAUUAUAUCAAAUUUAAUUUUUAAAUUUUUAAUAACUAUAUAUUUUAUUUUUUAAAAUAUAUGCCAGCUAAACCCCCUAAAUUACAGCCAAAGCUUCUUUGCAAGUCCACUCACAUAAUUUUGACUGAGUGAUUUAAAAGCAGGAAGCGGAAUUGUACUCGACUAUUCCUCUUAAUUAAUUAUUAAAAAAAAAAAAACAACUAAGAGGUAUAGGGGUUUUAUUGUGCAAGAAAGCAUUGCAGCCCCUCUUACAUUUCACUGUCACGGGGAAAUAAUUUUUCAUUUUGGUAAUAGAACUUUUUUUAGGGCGUUUUAAUCCUUUGUGGCUAAAUUGAAGGCCAAUAACUUUCAAUUUGUUAAUAAAGGACAAGAUUCAAAGUUAGGGAAUCAAAGUGAAAAAAAUAGAGAAACUAGAUGGCUUUCUCAAAAUUAGCGCGAAAAGUUAACUUUGAUCCUCUUACUUUCUCAUUCAUAUAUUUUUGGUUACUAUAGUUUUUUAAAAUUCAAUCUUAGUCUAAAAGUUCAUUUUCAUUAUUUUCCGGUCUCUAAUUUGAGAGAGGAGAGAGAAUCGUUGGAUUCUUCUGAUAGAAAAAUAAAAUCUAUAUUGAUACUAAUUCUGACUACCAAAAUGAUUCAUGUUAGUGUCAACGAGUUUCAUUAGAUGAAAUAAGUUUUAUUAAUGUGUUUUUUCACCUUGAAUUUGUAUGAAAAAAUAGAUCAAAUAUCACGAAGUUCUUGAAUUUCACGUUGUUUUUUUUUAUUUUGUUUUUUGGACCAUGUUUUAAAUUGUUUGAGUGCAUAAGCAGUUUAAAUUAGAUCUUUGAUUGUUUUUAGGUGUUUUUAAGAUCAAAAUGGUUAAAAAAUAGAUUUCAAGUGUAAAACACCCAUAACUUGAUUUUUUAGUGAUACUCUAGUUGCUAAAAUUUAGGUUAAGGACGAUGCAUCAUAUGCAAUUUGUUUAAAAAAAUAUUUUGGAUGAACAACAUCUCUUAUGUCUAGUUAAAAAAAAAAAAAAAAAGCUUAAUUAGACACACAAACCUAUGCUAGAUGGUACAUGGUUUUUUUUUUUUUUUUUUGAAGCUCAUACGUGCUAGGCCUAAAAUGAUAGGCUCACGUGAUUGGCAUGUUGUUGUUGUUUUUUUAAUACAUAAUUAAAGCAUUUUAUUAGUGGUUAUCUCUCCUAAAGUUUAUGCUUUGACCCACUUAGUAAAAUGGCAUAAGCCAUACACACACAUGCUUUGAACAUUAGUGGAAUGGGGGUUGACAUAAUUCGAAAGGGGAAGAACAUGUUGGCAAGCAAAAAAGUGAAGGAGUAACGAACCCCCCAAGAAAAUAAAGGACACACCAUGUUGGCUUAAAACAAUGCAAGGGGUGUGAUGAAUGAAGAUCAUCAACAACAUCAAAAAGGCAACAACCUAUGCAUGGAGUAAUUUGAUUUUCAAUCUGAUAGCGCAGCAACUUUAUGUGAAUAAGCAAGGCAGAAAUAUAAAUGAGCCUCUGGAGCAGUGGUGAUAAAGGCAUAGAAAUAAGCAAGGAGCAGCGCAAAAAGGUUGGAGAGACAUAGAGGACAUAGAGGAGAAAUUAUAGAUUGAAUCACAUGCGAGUAUAAGUGAGAGAAGAAAUGCAGUAUGAAACCAAUAAAACAGCAGAAUAUUAUGGCGUGACACCUAAUUAAAAGUAGGUGCAGGAGGGGUACGUAUGGCUUUCUUUAGAAAAACAACCAACUUGGAAACGUCAAUGAGGAAUAUGUCAGGUAGGCUGGUGGGCAGAUUCAAUGUUAAUGCCAUCAAGAGGUGGAAGCUUCGACAUGAAAAGGUAAAAGAGGGUAAAAGCAGUCGAAUGAUGGUGUAUCACCAUAAUGCUUUAAAAAUGGCUGUGGUGAAAGGUAAAGGAGAAGGAGAAGCUGCUCAGUGGGCCUUAAUCUAAGGAUGUUAGGAAUAGAGAGCUGAGGAGAAAAGGUGAGAAAGAGCCAAAGAGGCGCUACUGAAGGAAGUUACCUCUGAAGGAGAUGAAGUUGUGAGUCGUUGCCUCUUAGUAGAUGGUUAUGUUGGAGUGUCAUCUGGAGGCGAGGCAUCCUGAUUUGACUCAAUUUCUUCUCCUACGUUGGUAUUUGUUUGUGGGAGAUGGUUGCACAAUUGAAAAAAAAAGAUAUGGUCACCAAGUUUGCAAAGGUUAAAGGCUGUAGAGAAAAGGAAAAUCAAACGCAGGGGAAUUGGAACUCCUGAUGCUGCAGCCAAGCAUGAGAAGGUGCAGCUCAUAAAAGUCACCCAAAUGCUAUCCCGCAAACUAAUCAAAGCACAUAGUCAAUUCCAUAACUAAAAACUGUGUGAAACCAAAACGAAUAAAUGGUUAUAAAGCUCUCACGCAUAUAUCAAAAGCAAGAAACUUAUUAGAAAAGGAGUAUAGAUUCGAGGCAGUGUACUGAAACUUGUAGGUGACUGGCUGGAAAAAAUUAUGUAAGCAUUCAAUAAGAGAGCAAAAAUGGAGUCUAUUAACCCAACUAUAAGACGCGCCAAGCAUAUGUGUUUACAGCUUUAGAAACCUAGACCGACAAAAGAGCAAGCCUUGGUAAGCGGUGUGUUUAGUUUAGUGUAUGGAUCAAAGGUAAAUAUAAGGGUAAAUUGUGUUUUGGAUUUUAGAAUAUGAAUCAAUCAAUAAACACUUGAGAUGUUCAAAUAUGUGUUUAGUUUUCAACAAUUGGUAUCUGAAUAUAUAAAUGGGAGCAUUCAUAUUUUAAAUAGAAAUCUCAUACUUUCCGUUUAAGAUAAGACAUAUAUGUAAUUAUAUUUUUUUUUUUUAUGUUUGGAUGUUUGCUAACAAUAAUCAAUCGAAUAAUUCUGAAGACAUGCAUACAUGUAUUUUUAUUAUUAUUAUUAUUAUUUUUUCUUUUCUUAUAAAAAAAGAAAAUCCCUUAACAAUCAGGGAUUUCACCAAGAGAAGAAAAUAAAAAAACCUAAAAUAAUCAUAUCAGCUCAUAAAUAUAGCUGUGCGGUUCGGUAAUUAACUCGAAAAAAAUAUAGAGUUAUUAGUGUUAAAUUAAUUGAGAUCAAAUAGAGAAAAGGAGGCUAGAAUUCUGAAUAAUCUGUAUAUUAUGAAUGCAUAGUCUUAACCUAAAUACAAAUAAAGUAUAUAUAGAUCAAACUGAAAGUACUAUUCUACCUUUAAUAAAUAAGACUACAUAAAUAUUAUUUAACAAUUAGCUCAUAAAUACAGCUGUACGGUUCGGUAAUUAACUCGAAAAAAAUAUAGAGUUAUUAGAUUAUCAGAUCAACUUGAAUGAAUUAUUUUAAUUUUAAAAUUAACUUGAUUAAGUUUAAACAAAGUAAAUUGAAUUUUAUAAGUUAAAUUGUUGAAUUUAACUUGAAACUCUAUACGGAAUCAUGGAUUCCCGAUUUCAAUACUAGUAACCAAGUUUGACAACAAUGCUCGAAAUAGGAAAUUCCGUACUUGCCCAAGGAGGGUAUAAGAUAACCUUAAGAGGCAUGGUAGCUCAAAAGGACAAAGGAAGUAAUAAAUGAAUGAGGAUGGUGAAAUUCGAACUCGAGAUCACUUGGUCAUCAAGGCUCUGAUAUCAUGUCAAAGAACUAUUUCAACCCAAUAACUUAAGCUGUUAGGUGAGGUUCCAGGAUAUAAUUUAUAUUAUUCUCUAACAAUCACGACAUCCAGAACACCAGAGAGAUACCAUCGACCCCUCCUCUUGAAUAAUUCACUCCUAUAUAUGGCUGUUUGAUCGAUAGCUUCUUAAGACUACCACCAUCAAAGCAGCAACGAAUAAUUAUCACCGCCCUUCAUCCACAUCUAAUUUACCAGCUUCAAUCCUCCCGCAAAUCAUUUUGUUUAAAAAAUCAUUGUGAGUCUGCAGUUUCAAAUUCAACAAUGAGGAAUUCAGUCAAAUCCAGAGAAGGGAACCUUAUGGGGGCAAAGAUGAGCAAUAAGGUCUCCUUUCCAUCCAGAUCUAAGAACAAAGUCAUUAAGGAAGCAAUGAAUAACCUGAAUCCUAGCCUUCAUGAUUACUUAUCCAACAGACCUCAAGUCCAACCAAUGAGAAAUAAGGCUUCUGUUUCCGAAGGAAAAAUAAGCCACCAAUCCAUGGAAGGCCGGAACUCCACGGUGGCAAAUAUGAGACAUAAGGUUUGCUCUCCAUCAACAUCUACAGGCAGUUCACAUACAGAAAGUUGCUUUACAGGGGCACAAACGAGUUGUCGCAAUUCCGUCCAGUCCAUCAAGACUUAUCCAAUGCCCACAGAAGGCAGUUCAGAUGACCUUGUAGGGGCAGAAAUGAGUUGUCAAAAUUACGUCCAGUCCAUCAAGGCUUAUCCAAUGCCCACAGUAGGCAGUUCAGAUGCAGAAACUGACCUUAUAGGGGCAAAAAUAAGUUGUCACAAUUUUUCAACACAUGCUGACGUCCAGUCCAUCAAGGCUUAUCCAAUACCCACAGAAGGCAGUUCAGAUGCAGAAACUGACCUUAUAGGAGCAACAAUGAGUUGUCAUCACAAUUGUUCAAUACAUGCUGACGUCCAGUCCACCAAGACAGAAAGUGACCUCAUAGGGACAAAAAUGAGUUGUCACAAUUCUUCAACAUAUGUUGACGUUCAAUCCAUCAAGGCUUAUCCAGUGCCCACAGUAGGCAGUUCACACACAAAAAAUGGCCUUAAAAGGGCACAAAAGAGUUGGCACACUUCUUUCCGCAAUCCUUCCAUAUUUGCUCGCGUCCAGUCCAUUACAGCUUAUUUAGCGCCCAUAGUAGGCAGUUCACAUACUAAAAAGGGCCUUACAGGGGCAAAAAUGAGUUGUCACACUCCUCUCCGCCAUUCUUCAAUAUUUGCUGGCGUCCAGUCCAUCAAGGCUCCGUCCUAGUUUAAAAGCCAUGUCAUUAAGGAAGCAAUGAAAAUGAAGCUUUUUUUUUAUAAAGGAACUGUGCGAUCUAACGCGAGAAGGCGUUGAAAAAUAUACGAAUACUGGUGAGGAUAUACAGUGAUUUCGAGAUUUUUGCUUAGUAUGGAGGAUGAUGGUGGGAAAACUUGGGAGUAGCUAAUAUAUAAGUCUCUAGGGUUCUUAUAGUUGCGAAAAAAAUAAAUGAUGGAGAUGUAUUCAAGAGUGAAAUUUUAAGAGAAAGAAAGGAUCAGUGGUUCUGGUUAAGAGGUUUACUGGUGCGGGUUUAUGCAAGAGUUUAUAGAAGAUCAUAAUAUGUGAUGUACUGUGGGUUCUAUUAAUUAAAUGUAAUAAUUUCAGGUUAAAAUCUUAAAUUUUCAGAUAUUGUUUGGAUGUUAAGGCAUGUUUACUUUUUGAAUUUUCUUAAUGUUAACGUAUUCUAUAUAUUAUUUGAGCAUAUAUUAGGAAUAUUAAUUUUAGCAUGUUACUAAUUAUGUUUUCUUUAAAUAUUAAUUAUUUCCAUGAUUUCUAUAUAUCAUAAAUCGAAUAUACUUAAAUCUUUCUAGAGACUAAAUAAAAAUCAUCUUGGAACUGUCAUUUUUUUAUUUUAAUUUAGCAUGCAUUGUUGCAAUGUGUGUGUGUUAUUCCCAGUGUAAGACUUUCGAUUUUACCAAGUAAUGGACAAUUUAAUUUGUUCCCUUGUAUUUUGGCAUGCAGGCCUCAAAUCUAUCAAAAGCCUUGCUAUACGCACCAAGAGAGUCAUCAAUUCUAAGGAGCUGUUUGUUUUUUAAAAUUACUUUAUAAAUUUUUCUAUUUAUUUUUUAUUAAAAAAUAAUUAAUAUAUUUUUAAGUCGAAAAAAAUUCCAGAAAAAAUAUUUUUAAUUACUAUAUAUUUUAUAUUUUAAGCAGAUGCAAGCUAUCAUGUGUGUGGUAUUCACGGUUAAGUCCAAUAUCAAGAGCUAGCUGAACCCCCUAAAUUACAGCAUAAGCUUCUUUGCAAGUCCACUCGCAUAAUUUUGACUGGGUGGUUUAAAAGCAGUAAGCGGAAUUGUACUCGAGUAUUCCUCUUAAUUAAUUAUUAAUAAAAAAUAACUAAUUAGAGGUAUAGGGGUUUUAUUGUGCAAGAAAGCAUCAAUAUAUUUCACUGUCACGGUGAAAUAAUUUUUCAUUUCGGCAACAGAGCUUCUUUUAGGGCUAUUUAAUCCUUUGUGGCUAAAUUGAAGGCCAAUAACUUUCUAUUUGUUAAUAAAGAACAAGAUUCAAAGUUAGGGAAUCAAACUGAAAAAAAAAUAGAGAAACUAGAUGGCUUUCUCAAAAUUAGCACAAAAACAAAAAAAAAAAACUCUGAUCCUCUUACUGUACCAUCAAUAUAUUUAUAGUUACUGGAGUUAUUUUAAAAUUUAAUAUUAAUCUAAUAGUUUAUUUUAAUUAUUUUUUAGUUUUUAAUUUGAGAAAAAAAAAGGAGUCAUUGGAUUCUAAUGGUAAAGAAAAAAAUUAUUAUCAACACUGAUUCUAACCAUCAAAUUAACGAUUAAUGUUAGUGUCAACGGGUUUUAUUAGAUGUGAUGAUUUUUAUUAGUAUGUUUUCCUUUCUUGAAUUUAUAUAAAAAAAUAGAUUUGAUAUAAAGAAGUUGUUUGAUUUCACAUUGAUUUUUUUGUUUUUUUGGACCAUGUUUUGAGUUGUUUAAGGACAUAAACAGGUUUAAUUAAAUUUUUUAGUUGUUUUGAGUAAAAAAUAAUUAAAAGUAGAUUUCCUGUGUAAAACACCUAUGACCGAUUUUUCAGUAAUCCUUUAGUCGCUGAAAUCUGUGUUGUAAACAAUGCGUAAUCUGAAGUUUUAAAAACAAAGUAUUUUGGAUGAACAGCAGAACCAUGUCCCAUUCAUACGGACGUCCAUAAUUUAAUUUUUUAAUUUUUUAAUUAUCAUCCACUGAAUCACUUCUUUCUAUCUUUCUAUAUUAUGUAUAACUGCAUGCUCUCAUACCAUUUGCGCUACCUUUUUAGAGCAAAAGGUAUCGAGUCCACCCUACGCGCAUUAUAGAUUUCUUUUUUUUAUUGAUAAAUUUGUGUGUUCGUAUACAUCUUCACGUGAAUUUCUGGGAACUCUCUGUUUUGCUUGUUGACGAUAAAUUAUUUGCUGAAUUAUAUGCCUUCACGACAUCCAGAACACCAGAGAGAUGCUAUCGACCCUCCUAUUUCACGUACUAUAUAUGGCUCUUUGAUCUAUAGCUUCUUAAGGCCACCACCAUCAAAGCAGCAACGAAUAAUUAUCACCGCCGCCCUUCAUCCACAUCUAAUUUACCUCCAGUCCUCCCGCAAAUCAGUAUCUUUUCAAAAAUCGUACUGAGUCUGCAUGCAGUUUCCAAUUCAACACUGAGCAAUUAUGACGACGCUUCUUUUUUGUCCGAUACCUCUUCAAUCCAAUCCGUAAUAGGGAGCCUUAUCAGAGAAAAGAUGAGCGAUAUGAGCUAUAAGCUCUCCUCUCCAUCCACAUCCAAUAGUGGUUAUACAGAAAGAGAACUCGUAGGGGGAAAAAUGAGUAGCUUGGCUAACGCCCACGAUUUGAGCAAUAUGAGCUAUAAGCUCUCCUCUCCAUCCACAUCCAAUGGUCGUUAUACAGAAAGAGACCUCGUAGGGGCAGAGAUGAGUUGCUUAGCUAACGCCCACGAUUUGAGCGAUUUGAGCUCUAAGCUCUCCUUUCCAUCUACAUCCAAUGGUCGUUAUACAGAAAGAGGCCUCGUAGGGGCAGAGAUGAGUUGCUUAGCUAACGCCCACGAUUUGAUCAAUUUGAGCUCUAAGCUCUCCUUUCUAUCCACAUCCAAUGGUCGUUAUUCAGAAAGAGACCUAGUAGGGGCAAAAAUGAGUUCUCGUAAUCCUCUUCAUAAAUAUUCAACAUCUACAAGCCAUUCUGUCCAUCGCAGCUUAGCUAGUGCAUGCCCACAAUCCAUCCGCAUGUAAAAGCAACGUCAAUAAGGAAGCAAUGAGAAACCCAGCUGAUUCUUCGCCUUUCUUCCUACGGAAGGUCCAGUCAUUCAGAACGAUGUUAAAGAAAUGACUAUAAAGUAAAUAUUAUUGAUUAUUUGAAUUUAAAUGUGUUAAGGAAAUAAUAAUGAAGGCAACAUUUUAUUAUUACUUUUUAAUCAAAGAAGAUAAUUUUAUUAUGUUUAUUUUUAGGUGUGAUUAUAUGAAUACAAAUUAAAUAUAAUUAAUUUUAUCAAAUUAUCAAUAACAAUGUUUUUUUUUAUUUUAAUGCUAAUAGUUACCUUAAGUCAUAUUCUUUAAGAAAUCAUAGUAAAUGAUAGUGCAUCAUUAAAAAAAAAAAACCUAGUCGUUCUAGUCAAGCCAAAAUGGCCUCACGUACCCUCACUAAGCCAAAACAUGUUGUCGAUCAUGUUUUAAGGGCUAGGCAUGCACCUCAGGUUAUUUUCUAGUCUUGAGAUGUUAGAACACUUCGCGCACUAUUCAUUAUUACACAUCAAAUUUUAUAUGUAGAGAAGAAACCAUUCUUCACGAUCAACCCUAUGAUCCAGAAACUGACUCUGAAGGGCGGCUGAUAGUUCGUGAACUAAAUCAUAUUUAGACAAUUCUCACUCGGUAUAAAUUAUAUUUAUACAAACUUGAUGUGUAGGUUUCCCCUUGUUUUUCAAUAUUGUAUGCAUUGGUUUUGUUAGAGAAACUUAAUUCAAAUCUUUUAUGUUUUGAGCCUAAUAAUAUUUACUUUCUAUAUUUUGAAAAAUUACACUUUAAUAUCAGUUUUAAAUCACCAUAAAAAUAUGAAAAUGCUCAUGUAUAUCAAUAAUCCAGGUCCUUCUUUUCUCUCUUUAACUAAAAUAUAUUUAAUUAAAUCUCUCAAAAUAGUACUAAUUAACAUAGCACCAUUAGCUUCUGUGUUACUGUUAUUUUUGCUAGAGAGAAGGCAACGGGUCGUGUUGUUGAUUUUGUGCAAUGAUGAUGCUGGUGUGGUUGGAGUUUGCAGGUCUGUGUUGUAUUGGUUUGAGGUGUAGGCUAUUUUAAUGGUGUGAUGCUCUCUCUUUAACCAAAAUCCCUCUUCGCCUCUCUCUCUCAAAACUGUACUAAUUAACAUAUAUAGCUCUACCAUUUCUCAAGCUGCUACUAUUUUUUGGUGAGGGAGAUUACAGUGGGUUAUGUUGUUUUUGUGAAGUGAUGGUGAUGGUGAUGGUGCUGGUUUGGUUAGGGUUUUUGUUUUGUUAGUUUUAGGUGGAGGUUAGUUCGAUGCUAUGAUGCUGGAAAAGAAGAGGGUGAUGGUGAUGGAGAGGUUGGUGAUGGUAGGUUAUGUAGAUGCGCGAAAAGAAAGGUCAACAGGAGAUAAAGGGAUGCGUGGGUAAGGGUUUGGUUUAUAGGUGUUAUCGGGUUUAUGGAAGAGGAGAUGGUUAAGUGGUGUCGAUUCAAUGGAGGUCAGUGCUAGCGUGGCUGUAGAGAGGAUUGAGGAUUUGUUGGUGAAAGAGAAGGCUGCAAUUUUAGAGAGAGAGAGUGACAAGAGAGAAAUUUACGUACUAUUGUUGUCUUCUCUCUCUCAUCUCCAUUUUCAAGAUUGUAUGAAUUAAAAGCCUGGGAGGAUCAAAUUGUGAAGCGAGCAAAACAUCUGGGGGUCUUUUGACAUUCUCAGUUCCACAACGUUGUCAUUUUGAGCGCGAUGUAUACAGACCCCCUUCUUCUUCGUCAUCCUCUUCCGUUGAGACAAAAAAAAACCUAGCUGCCUCCAAACUACUUGUCUUCUCUUCCAGUCCAUCAAACCCUGUCGUUUCCCUGGUACUGCCUCGUCUAGCUAUCAUCUUAUCUUCACCUCUCCAAUAGUGAUCAGGAUUAGAGUAGAUUAAUCUCAGGGUUGUUUGUGAGCUACCAAGGAGUCCUGGCCUAUAUAUCAUUUUAUUUAUUCUGUCAGCACGUGAAUCUCUCUACAAAUGAAUCCUCCAUCAAUUUCUUUUUCUUUCUUCCCUUGUUUAUUUGUUGUUUCAUCACACGUAUGUUUGUGGGGGAUAUUUGUACCGUAAAAGAUGAAUAUGGUUUGAUUGUAAUCAGCUAUUUAAUUACGCUAAUUAUUUUUUUAUGUUUGGAUAAUCAAUCCAAGAAUUCUGAAGACAUGCAUGUAUUUUUUUUUCCUUUUCUAUAUGUUUUUAUUUUUUUAUUAUAAUUUUAUCCUCUAAUUUGAUAAUUAAGCAAAGAGUAAGAUGGAGAUAUUUUUCUAUGUUAUUUUUUUUUAAAUUUCAUUCUUAUAUUUUUUUAUUAGUCAUCUAGGUUUUUUUAAAAUCGGUUAAGUUGAUUGGAUUAUAUCGAAGCAACUUUUAUACAACUUAAUUUCAAAUACGAGUUAGGCAAAAAUUGGGUCAUAAAGGGUUUUUAUAUAAAUUUCAUUACUUUUUCAUAUUAUUAUCUCUAGAAUUUUUUUUUUACUAGUCGGUCAUGGUGUCUUUGAAUCAAUUAAAUCGAUUAGCUCAUGUCAGGACAACUCUUACAUAUUUUAAAUCUAAGCCUGGAGUUGAAAAGAAAUCGAAUCAUAAAUUUUCAAGAUUAGCCUGCUAUACAGAUUUAAUAAAAACAUCAAAUAUCAAUGAAUCUUAUAUUUUUUAUUAUAUUCAAGAAAUUUUGAUUUGACUUUGUAGGAUCAAUAAACUAUUUUCUCCAAAAAAGUUUGAGGGAGCUCACCAAUAGCAGGUUAAUCUGUACCAUUUACACGUUUCCAACUUAUACACUAACUUAAAAAAAAUGUUCAUCUGUUGCGUGUCUUAAUAAAUAUAUUUGUGUAAUUGCAUUUUCUCAACCCAUUUGCACUUUUUUUAAAGGAAAACACGGUAUCAUGUCAUGAGGUUUGACAAAAGAACUAUAAUGGUUCAGGUACGCGUUUUACAGAUUUAAUUUUAUUUUAUUUCAAUUUCUUUGUGAUAAAUUUUACAUCUACAAAUGAAUUUCCAGGAAUCCUCUCUUUAUUGCGUGCCUUGAUGAUAUCCAGAAUUAAUACAUGAGAGAUACCAUUGCCCGGCCUAGCUCCUCUUGAAUUCGCAUCCUAUAUAUAUAUAUGGCUGUUUGAUCUAUAGCUUCUUAAGACCAACACCAUCAAAGCAGCAAUUCAAAAAUGAGCAAUUCAAGCAUAUCCAGAGGAGGGAGCCUUAUGGGGGCGGCAACGAUGAGCAAUAACGUCUGCCUUCCACCAAGAUCCAUUGGUGGUUAUACAGGUGACCUGAUAGGGGCAAGAGCGAGUUGCGGUGUUCCAGUCCCACGUAGCUUUGUUAAUGGCUACAACUACCCAUGGAUCCAUGGGUGCUCUUCUUUCGGUCCUUCCUUCAGGUCAAAUAUCCCUCCACAACAAUCCAUGCAAGGGAACUACACGGGGGCAAAUACGAGUCUUAACCCAGAAAGUGGCCUUUUAGGAGCAGAAUUGAGUUAUCAGACUCCUUACAAUAAUUCAAUGUAUGCUGCCUUCCAUUACUCCAGCAAUGCUUAUCCACUUUCUGGAUACCCAGAAAAUGAUCUUAUAGGAGCACAAAUAAGCAAUCAUACUGCUCACCCCAAUUAUCCAACAUAUGUUGGCGUCCAGCCCAUCAAUACUCAUCCAGUUCCAACAGUUGGGUGGGCUUCCAGGAUCAGAAAUGAGUUUUCAGAACGUGACCUUUUAGGAGCACAAAUGAGCAAUCAAACUGCUCGCCCCAAUUAUCCAACAUAUGUUGGCGUCCAGCCCAUCAAUGCUCAUCCAAUUUCUACAGUAGGGUGGGCUUCCAGGGUCAGAAAUCAACUUGGGAGUAGCUAAUAUAUAAGUCUCUAGGGUUCUGAUUAGUUGCGAAAAAAAAUAAAUGAUGGAGAUGUAUUCAAGAGUGAAAUUUUAAGAGAAAGAAAGGAUCAGUGGUUCUGGUUAAGAGAUUUACUGGUGCGGGUUUAUGCAAGAGUUUAUGGAAGAUCAUAAUAUGUGGUGUACUGUGGGUUCUAUUUAUUAUAUUAAAUGUAAUCAUUUCAGGUCAAAAUCUUAAAUUUUCAGAUAUUGUUUGGAUGUUAAGGCAUGUUUAUUUUUUGAAUUUUCUUAAUGUUAACGUAUUCUAUAUAUUAUUUGAGUAUAUAUUAGGAAUAUUUUAGCAUGUUAUUAAUUAUGUUUUCUUUAAAUAUUAAUUAUUUCCAUGAUUUCUAUCAUAAAUCGAAUAUACUUAAAUCUUUUUAGAGACUAAAUGAUAAUCAUCUUGGAAGUUGGAACUAUCAUUUUUCAUUAUUUUUUAUAUAUAUAUUGAAAUAACUCCAUUCAUGAUAACCAAUAGAACUUAUAUAAUUUUGUUCCCUUGUAUUUUGGCAUGGAGGCCUCAAAUCUAUCGAUAGCCUUGCUAUAGGCACCAAGAGAGUCGUCAAUUAUAGGACUGUUUGUUUUAUGCAAAUAAUUUUUUAGAAAACACUUUCUAAAUUUUAUUAUGUUUUUUUGCUGUUAGUAUUUUUAUUUUAUUUUGAACGAAAAAUAUUUUUUUAAAAUUAUAAAAAAAUUUAAAAAUAUCAUAUUAUUUAUUAAUUAUAUCAAAUUUAAUUUUUAAUUUUUUAAUAAUUAUAUAUUUUAUAACCCCCCUCUUUGCAAGUCCACUCGCAUAAUUUUGACUGAGUGGUUUAAAAGCAGGAAGCGGAAUUGUACUCGACUAUUCCUCUUAAUUAAUAAAUAAAUAAAAACAACUAAGAGGUAUAGGGGGUUUAUUGUGCAAGAAAGCAUUGCAGCCCCUCUUACAUUUCACUGUCACAGUGAAAUAAUUUUUCAUUUUGGUAAUAGAACUUUUUUUUAGGGCGAUUUAAUCCUUUGUGGCUAAAUUGAAGGCCAAUAACUUCCUAUUUGUUAAUAAAGGACAAGAUUCAAAGUUAGGGAAUCAAAGUGAAAAAAAGAGAGAAACUAGAUGGCUUUCUCAAAAUUAACGCGAAAAGUUAACUUUGAUUCUCUUACUUUCUCAUUAAUAUAUUUUUGGUUGCUAUAGUUUUUUAAAAUUCAAUCUUAGUCUAAAAGUUCAUUUUCAUUAUCUUCCAAUCUUUUAUUUGAGAGGGGAGAGAGAAUCGUUGGAUUCUUCUGGUAGAGAAAUAAAAUCUAUAUUGAUACUGAUUCUAUAACGAUGAAACAAUAUGACUGUUCAUCAAACAAUAUGACUAUUGAUGAAACAAUAUGAUUGUUCAUCAAACAUUAUAACUAUUGAUGAAACAUUAUGGUUGUUCAUCAAACAAUAUGAUUGUUAAUGAAAUAAUAUGAUUGUUCAUCAAAUAGUAUAACUAUUCAUAUUAAGUUUCAAGUUCCAAAUGAUAUUAUAAAUAUCCAUAUAAUAACAUUAGGAAGCCAAAUAGUAGAGUUUGUCCAUCAUGGCUUAAUUUACUACACAAUAGAAACUCACACUUAGAAACAUUAGGAGGGAGUGUUUCUUUCCAAUGUGUGAUAAACAUCUUUUUUUUAUUCAUUUACAAACUACACCAACACAGACCACAUACAGAAAGUAAUCUUAUAGGGACAGAAAUAAAUUGUCAUACUCCUCUCCCAAAUGCUUUACUAUAUGGUGGCGUUCAGUCUAUCAAGACUUAUCCAAUGUCCACAUUAGACAGAUCACAUAGAAAAAAUUACCUGAUAGGGGCAAAAUUGAGUGUCCGUGUUCCUCGACAUGGUGAUUCAACAUAUAUUAGUCAUCCAUUCCGACGUAGCUUAGAUAAUACCCGCAACCCAUCCAUAUCCAAUGGUGGUCGACGUUAUACAAAAGAUGACCUUGUAGGGGCACAAAUAAGUUUCUUGGCUAACGCCGGCAAUUAUCCCAUUCCAUCCACAUCCAAUGGUGGUCGACGUUAUACAAAAGAUGACCUUGUAGGGGCACAAAUAAGUUUCUUGGCUAACGUCGGCAAUUAUCCCAUUCCAUCCACAUCCAAUGGUGAUUAUACAGAAGGAGGUGACCUUGUAGGGGCACGAAUGACUCGUCGUAAUAAUUAAUCAACAUCUACAAGUCAUCCUGCCCAUCGCAGCUUAGCUAGUGCGGGUUUAUGCAAGAGUUUAUGGAAGAAUAAUAUGUGGUGUAUGGGUUCUAUUAAUUAAAUGUAAUAAUUUCAGGUCAAAAUUUUAAUUUUCAGAUAUUGCUUGGAUGUUAAGGCAUGUUUCAUUUUUUAAUUUUGUUAAUGUUAACAUAUUCGAUAUAUUAUUUGAGUAUUAGGAUUUUAGCAUCUUAUUACCUAUGUUUUCUUUAAAUAUUAAUUAUUUCCAUGAUUUCUAUCAUAAAUAGAAUAUACUUAAAUCUUUUUAGAGACUAAAUAAUAAUCAUCUUGGAACUGUCAUUAUAUAUAUAUAUAUAUAUAUAUAUAUAUAUAUAUAUAUAUAUAUAUAUAUAUAUAUAUAUUAAAAUAACUCCAUUCAUGAGAACCAAUAAAACUUAUAUAAUGCAUGCAUUGUUGCCAUAUAUUGGGGGCAUAAAAUGGGAUUAUCUCCAGUGUAAGAUUUUCGAUUGUACCAAGUAAUGGACAAUUUUGUUCCCUUGUAUGUUGGCAUGCAGGCCUCAAAUAUAAACUAGAAAAGUGAUUUUUUAAAAAAAAAAUUAAAUUUUUUUUAUAUUUAUUUGUUAUUAGAAAAGUUAGUCAAUAAAAACAUAUUUUACAGUCAAAAGAACAUUUAGUUUGGUUUUUAGAAAAGUGUUUUUCUUUUAUUUUAGACCGAAGAUACUUUUCAAAAAUUAUAAAAAAUUUAAAAUUUAUAUAUUAUUUAUUAAUUAUAUUAAAUUUAACUCUUAAAUUUUUAAUUACUACAUAUUAUUAUAUAAGUAGAUGCAAACUAUCAUCUGUGAUAUUCACGGUUAACCGUUCAAUAUCAAGAACAAGCUGACGCCCCUAAAUUACAGCCUAAGCUUCUUUGCAAGUCCACUCACAUAAUUUUGAUUGAGUGUUUUAAAAGCAGUAAGCGGAAUUGUACUCGACUAUUCCUCUUAAUUAAUAUUUAAAAAAAAAACAACUAAGAGGUAUAGGGGUUUUAUUGUGCAAGAAAGCAUUGCAGCCCCUCGAUCUUACAUUUCACUGUCACGGUGAAAUGUUUUUUCGUUUCGGCAACAGAAUUUCUUUUAGGGCGAUUUAAUCCUUUGUGGCUAAAUUGAAGGCCAAUAACUUCCAAUUUGUUAAUAAAGAACAAGAUUCAAAGUUAGGGAAUCAAAGCGGAAAAAAAUAGAGAAACUAGAUGGCUAUCUCAAAAUUAGCGUGAAAAGUUAACUUUGAUCCUCUUAUUUUCCCAUUAAUAUAUUUUUGGUUACUAUAAUUUUUAAAAUUCAAUCUUGGUUUAAAAAUUUAUUUUCAUUAUUUUCCAGUCCCUAGUUUGAGAGAGGUGAGAGAAUCAUUGGAUUCCUGUGGUAAAGAAAGAAAAUAUUUUAAAAAAAACCAUCAAUUUGAUGUAUUUUUAAAGUCAAACACACUUUUAAACGGAUUCUCCAUGCAUAAGGUUGGUCACGCUACCAAACAAACAUUAGGCCCUGUUUGUUUUAUGAAAAAUGGUUUUCUAGAAACCACUUUUCAAAUUUUUCCUUAUUUAUUUAUCAUUAAAAAAGUUGAUCAAUAAAAAAAAACUUUUGAGUAAAAGAAAAAUUUGGCUUUUUUUUUAAGAAAGUGUUUUCUUUUUAUUUUCAGCGAAAUUCACUUUUUAAAAGUUGUAAAAAAAUAAAAGAUAUCCUAUUAUUGGUUAAUUAUAUCAAAUUUAUUCAUCGAUCUUUUGAUUGAUAUAUAUUUUGUUCUGAAUUAUUUUUUAUAUUUUUGAAUUUUGUCCAUUAGAAUUUGAUUUUUAUAUCAACUUUAAUUCUCAUUCUUUUGAUUGUUAGUUUUUUCUCUUAUUAUUUUUUUAAUUGAAAUUUUUUAUAUGUAAGAUUUGGUCUAUUCUUUCGAUAACUAUCUAUUUUAUUUGAAAUUAUUUAUUAAAUUAAAUUUUUUUUAAAUUUCAUCAUCUUUCAAUUUUUUUUAUCUGCUAAUUUUAAUUUUUUUUAUUGUUAUUUGUGAUUACUAUUUAAGUUUUUUUGUUAUAGGGAUUUUGUUAUUUGUUUAUUUAAAAUAAUUUAUGUAUGAAAUCUUUAUACGUGCACUUUGAUUUUGUAGCCAAGAAAAUAUUGGGAUGCGUUUGUGUUGAAAUUAACUGAUGCUUUUUUGCUUAAUUUUGAUUAUAAAGUUCCCAUUGCUUGUUGUCACUUUACUCGUCCAAAUCUAUUAGUGUAUUAUUUUAAAUCCAUACAAUUCAAGAUUAAUUAAUUGAGAUGGUCGAAGUGAUUUGGUACGUGGUGAUGAGGAAGAUGAAGAUGUUUUUAAUUUGAUUUGAUUAGUUUUGUUAUCAUAUAUAUUUUUUUAAAAGGAUAUCCAUAUCAUUUAUUUAAUAAAAAUAAAACGCAUUAGAAGACAUACAAAAAAAAAAUCUGGACAAUUUAAACUAUGAAUAAAAAAAGAUAUUAUUCUAACUAAAACUCAUUUUAUCUAUCUGAUUAUCGAGCUAAUUUCUCUUUCUUUUUAAGAAAAUCUUUCACGACAGUGUUUAUUUCUUGGAUAAAAUUCCAUCAUCAUUCCAAAAACAACUCUUUAAAAAAAAGAACAACAUUUUGAUAAUUUAGACAUUAUUGUAUUAAAACAAUAAGAAUAAUACAAUGCUAGCGCAUUGACAUGGGAAACUUUUGGUAGUCUCAUUAAACCCUUCCAAGUGGAUUGACUUGAAGGUCUUCAAAUUUUAUUUUUUAUUUAACUCGAGUUUUAAAUAAAAUCAUGCAGGAUUUAACUAGAUAACCUGAUUAACUUGACAAGUCCAAAAACAUGAAAAAUAAUCAGUUAAAAAUUGGUUUUACUUGAAAUAAAAUUCAAGACGCUAUUUUUUUUUUCAUAUUGAGAUAAUAACAUCUCGAAACCACUAAAAGCAUUUUGAAUUAACUUGUCAACCCACAACUUGAGUCAUAGACCCAACUAGAUUUAAUAAUUUUUUAAAAGCUAAUUUUUAUUUAAUUAUAUAAUAGUAAAAAUUAUCGCUCACAUCAAAACAACCAAAAAAAAAUUUAAAACAAUGAUUAUGGGUUGUAAAAAAAAUUACUUUCUAAUUAUUUUUUAAAAAAAUUGUCUCUAUAACCUUAUUUGAAAAAAUAAUAAAAAUUGAACGGCAUUAAGUAAAAUAAUAUUUAAUUACAUUUAUAAUUAGUUUAAGAAUUUAAUAAAAUAAUAUACGUAAUAAAUUUUUCAUUUUGAGAUGCAUUUUAGGGGUAGUAAUUGAAAAGAAUUGGCUAUAAUUGACGGAAUUAAAAGGACUACCGAGAACCGAAAUGCUAAAUUGACAUGGCCUGGCAGGUAUUAUUAUUAUUAAUAAUUCAAUCAAGAGCCUAAUUGAAGAAGAUUUGUGAUUUGACAGCCAAUUCUAACCAAAUUUGAAGAAUUUAAUAAUCCAAUGACCCAAAGUGUGAAGCGAGCCAAACAUCUGGGGGUCUUUUGACAUUCUCAGUUCCAAAACGUUGUCAUUUUGAGUGCGAUGUAUACAAACCCCCUUUUAAUUUCUUCGUCAUCCUCUUCCGUUGAGACCAAAAAAAAAAAAAAAACCAUUUUAUUUAUUCUGUCAGCACGUGAAUCUCUACACAAAUGAUUCAUCCAUCAAAUUUUUUCUUUCUUUCUUCCCUUUUUUUAUUUUUGUUUCAUCAAACGUAUUUUUGUGCGGGAACUUUGUAACUUCACAAAUCUAAUUUGAGAUAUUUGUACCGUAAAAGAUGAAUAUAUAUGGUUUGAUUCUGAUCAGCUAUUUAAUUACGCUAAUUAUUUUGUUAUGUUUGGAUGUUUGCAGACAAUAAUCAAUCGAAGAAUUCUGAAGACAUGCAUACAUGUAUUUUUUUUUGCCUUUUCCAUAUAUUCUUUUUUUAUUAUUAUUAUAAUUCUGUCCUCUAGUUUGGUAAUGGACACCAAGCGACGUCCGGAUGAUGUGGAUCAACUUUGAAAGAAAGAAACUCCCUUAAUAAUCCGGCAUUUCGUCAAGAGAAGAAAAAAAAAACUGAAGUUAUUUAUUUAUUUUAUUUUAUUGUUAAUUUUGUCUUUUAAUUUUUUUUAUUUGUGGUUCUAAUUAUUUUUUGAUUUGUCAAAUUAAUUGAAUCACAUUAAAACAAUUUGAUUUCAUAUUAAAUAUAUUCAAGAUAUUUUUUAUGUUUUUUUCUUAAUUUCAUCCUCAUAUUUUUUUUUAUUGAUCAUUUAGGUUUUUUCAAAUUCAUUAUACUUCAACUAUUUUAUAUGUAAAGUAUAAAAUAUGAUUAUUGAAUUCAAGUGUGUGGGGUAUUAUAUUUAGUCAAGUUCAUGUUGUUGUCUUAGAUUCAGUUGAUUUUUUAACUCAAAUAUAUUAAAUUUGUCAUACUAUCAGAUCUAUGUUAUCUUGAAUUUAACUAAUUAUUGAAUCUAUGUUAUUUUUUAAAAAUAAUAUCUUAAAAAAAAAUUAAAAAAAAAACGACUGGAAAAAAAAAAGAGAGAUAAUAAAAGCAACUAAAGAAUUUAAAUCAAUGUUCCAAAAAUCAAUAGCAAUACUACGGUUUGCCAUGCUAUGUAAUGAACUUGGGCCCACUGGAAUGGAAAUUGGGGCGAUGUUAUCGGGGAAGGAUAUAUAUAUAUAUAUAUAAUUUUUCCUUCCGUUGAUGUUGAAAUAAGCAGGCUUAGAAAUGGAUUCUAUCAAAUAUAAUAAUAUCAAGUCAAAACAAUUUUAGUGUGUUAUAGAUGUUAAGGUAGGUUUAGUUUUAAUUUUAGGUUUCUUUUUAAUUUUAACAUUUUUGGAAAUUAGAUUAUUACCAUAUUAUUAUCUAUUUUUUAAAAAUAUUUACACCUAUAAUCUCUAUCAUGGGUCUAACAUACUUAAAACUCUUCAGCAAAAGAAAUUCAAUAAAAUUUACAUCAUAGUUGUUGGAUAUGAAUUCAGCUUGUUGAAUGAAUAUGUUAGGGUGUGAAGGUGUAGUAUAAUCAACUAAUUUUCACCGCCAAUCAUCAUAGCAAUUGACCCAGAAAUCAAGGUCACCCUUGAAAGUCUGGAUUCUCCAUCUUCUUUCCCACCUUCAUAUUUUAUUAUCAUCAUCUUCUUCGUCAUCAAUCAAACUCAAACUAAAAUAGCUUGUUUUGUUUGUUUCUUAUGCUUCUUUAGAUGUCGUUGUUUUGGUGGUUACUUGUGCUUCUUUUCAUGUUAUUGUUUAGAUUCUCCCGAAAGAUCUCGAAAGUAUUUAUCUCGACGUUUCAAGUUUCACGUUAGAAAAAUCGGGAUGCGUUUGUGUAUGUUGUACAAUUUCUAUAAAAAAAAAUUAUUAUUAAAUCAUAUUUUAUUAGUUUUUUUAAUUUAUUUUUUUAAAAAAAUAGAUAUAAAAAAAUAGAAAAUUAAACUUAUUACUAACUAAAAAUGAUAAAAUAUUUUUAUUUAGUUUUUUUCUAAUUUUUUCUAUUUUUUUUCUUUAAAGUAUGCACAAAAAUUAACUAAGAGAAUAGCAUUGAUUACUUACUGAAUAUUAUAAAAUCUUUAGGAAAUAACAAUAGAAAAAAAAACUAAAAUAGCUUCAAAAUAUAUCUUCUCCGGAAAGGAAAUCUUUACAGAGCAAAUAACAAGAGGAUAUGAUGGAUCUCUAGCUAUAAUUAAAAUAUAAAAAUUAUUAUGCCGCUAGAAAACAAAAAUGGUAAAGAGCGAUGGAUCUAUCUUUCAAAGGUAUCAGGUAAUGAGGUUUGACAAGACAACUAUAAUGCUUCACUGUACGCGUAUUAGGAUUUAAUUUUAUUUUAUUUCAAUGUCUGUUUCCGAGAAAUUUUACAUCUGCACAUGAAUUUCCAGGAACUCUCUGUUUUACAUCUUCACCACUCUUCGCCGCAUUAUAUGCCUUGACGUCGACAUCCAGAACACCAGAGAGAUACCAUCGACCCCUCCUCUUGAAUUCACAUCCUAUAUAUGGCUGUUUGAUCUACAGCUUUUUAAGACCACCACCAUCAAAGCAGCAACGAAUAAUUAUCGUCGCCCUUCAUCCACAUCUUAUUGAACAGCUUCAAUCAUCCCGCAAAUCAUUUUCUUUAAAAAAUCUUUGUGAGUACUCUGCAGUUUCCCAUUCAACAAUGAGCUAUAAGGUCUCCUUUCCAUCCAGAUCCAAUGGUGGUUAUACAGAAAGUGGCCUUGUUCCUCGACCUCAUGGUUCAACAUCUACUAGCCAUCCAAUCCGACGUAGCAGAGUUAAUGCCCACAACCCAUCCACAUCUAAGAGCAAUGUCAUUAAGGAAGCAAUGAAUAACCCGAAUCCUAGCCUUCAUUACUUAUCCAACGGACCUCAAGUCCAACCAAUGAGAAAUAUGGGGAUCACCAGGGCUAAUAGUUACCUCAAGGUAUCUUCCUUCGAUCCUUCCUUAUGGUCAAAUAUCCCUUCACUCCAAUCCAUGGAAGGGAACUUCACAGGGGCAGAUGCGAGUCUUGAGGUUUACUUUAAAUCCACAUCUAUAGUCAAAGGCAGUUCACAUGGAGAAAGUGGCGCUGAAAUGAGUUGUAAUGCUACUUUUCAAAAUUCUUUAAUAUCUACUGGCGUCCAGUCCAAUAAAACUUAUUCAGUGCCCACAUUAGACAGUUCAUAUAGAGAAAGUGAUCUUAUAGGGGCAAAAAUGAAUUGUGAUACUCCUCUUCAAAAUUCUUUACUAUAUACUAGCGUCCAGUCCAUCAAGACUUAUCCAGUGCCCAUAUUAAAUAGUUCACAUAGAGAAAGUGACCUUACAGGGGCAAAAAUGAGUUGUGAUACUCCUCUCCGAAAUUAUUUACUACAUGCUGGCGUCCAGUCCAUCAAGACCUAUCCAGUGCCCAUAUUAGACAGUUCACAUAGAGAAGGUGACCUUACAGGGGCAGAAAUGAGUUGUGAUACUCCUCUCCGAAAUUAUUUACUACAUGCUGGCGUCCAGUCCAUCAAGACCUAUCCAGUGCCCAUAUUAGACAGUUCACAUAGAGAAGGUGACCUUACAGGGGCAGAAAUGAGUUGUGAUACUCCUCUCCGAAAUUAUUUACUACAUGCUGGCGUCCAGUCCAUCAAGACCUAUCCAGUGCCCAUAUUAGACAGUUCACAUAGAGAAGGUGACCUUACAGGGGCAGAAAUGAGUUGUGAUACUCCUCUCCGAAAUUAUUUACUAUAUGCUGGCGUCCAGUCCAUCAAGACUUAUCCAGUGCCUAUAUUAGGCAGUUCACACAGAGAAAGUGACCUUAUAGGGGCAGAAAUGAGUUGUGAUACUCCUUUCCGAAAUUAUUUACUAUAUGCUGACGUCCAGUCUAUUAAGACUUAUCCAGUGCCCAUAUUAGGCAGUUCACAUAGAGAAAGUGAUUUUAUAGGGGCAAAAAUGAGUUGUGAUACUCCUCUUUAAAAUUCUUUACUAUAUGCUAGCAUCCAGUCCAUUAAGACUUAUCCAGUGCCCAUAUUAGAUAGUUCACAUAAAGAAAGUGACCUUACAGGGGCAGAAAUGAGUUGUGAUACUCCUCUCUAAAAUUAUUUACUAUAUAUGCUGACGUCCAGUCUAUCAAGACUUAUCCAGUGCCUAUAUUAGGCAAUUUACAUAGAGAAAGUGACCUUACAAUGGCACAAAUAAGUUGUGAUAUUCCUCUCUGAUAUUCUUUGCUAUAUACUGACGCCUAGUUCAUCAAGACUUAUUUAGUGCCCACAGUCGGCAGUUCACAUACAAAAAAUGGUCUUACAUGGGCAAAAAUGAGUUGUUACACUCCUCUCCGCAAUUCUUCAAUAUUUGUUGGCAUCCAGUCCAUCAGGGUUUAUCCGGUGCACAUAGUCCGUCCUAGUUUAAAAGCCAUGUCAUUAAGGAAGCAAUGAAAAUGAAGCUUUUUCUCUUAUAAAGGAAUUGUGCUAUCUAACGCGAGAAGGCGUUGAAAAAUAUAUGAAUACUGGUGAGGAUAGGGAUUUCGAGAUUUUUGCCUAGUAUGGAGGAUGGUGGUGGGAAAAGUUGGGAGUAGCUAAUAUAUAAGUCUCUAGGGUUCUUAUUAGUUGCGAAAAAAAUAAAUGAUGGAGAUGUAUUCAAAGGUGAAAUUUUAAGAGAAAGAAAGGAGUGGUCCUGGUUAAGAGGUUUACUGGUGCGGGUUUAUGCAAGAGUUUAUGUACUGUGGGUUCUAUUAAUUAUAUUAAAUGUAAUAAUUUCAGGUCAAAAUCUUAAUUUUCAGAUAUAUAUUGUUUUGGAUUUUAAGGCAUGUUUACUUUUUGAAUUUUCUUAAUUUUCUAUAUAUUAUUUGAGUACUGGGAAUAUUCUAGCAUGUUAUUAAUUAUGUUUUCUUUAAAUAUUAAUUAUUUCCAUGAUUUCUAUCAUAAAUCGAAUAUACUUAAAUCUUUUUAGAGACUAAAUAUAUAAUAAUCAUCUUGGAACUAUAAUUUUUCAUUUUUUAUAUAUAUUAAAAUAACUCCAUUCAUGAGAACCAAUAAAACUUAUAUAAUCCAUACAUUGUUGCAAUAUAUGAGGGGGGGAAACAUAAAACGGGAUCGUCCCCAGUGUAAGGUUUUCGAUUGUACCAAGAAACGGACAAUUUUUUUUUUAAAAGUUUAACGUGGGUGUCCGGACCAGCUUGCGCGCACCUCGACUAUAAAAGCCAUAUUUGUUGAUGAAAAGCGAAAUUUUUAUUUUUGUUAUUAGAAAAAUUAAUCGAUAAAAAAAAAUUUAGUUUAGUUUUUAAAAAAGUAUUUUUUUUAAUUUUAAAUAAAAAACACUUCUCAAGAACUAUAAAAAAAAAUUAAAAAUAUUAUAUUAUUUACUGAUUAUAUUAAAUUUAAUUCUUAAACUUUUAAUUAUUUUUUUUUUUUUUAAGUACAUCCAAACUAUCAUCUGAUAUAUUCACGGUUAAGUUCAAUAUCGCAAUAGCUAGCUGAACCCCCUAAUUUACAGCCUAAGCUUCUUUGCAAGUCCACUCACAUAAUUUUGAUUGAGUGCUUUAAAAGCAGUAAGCGGAAUUCUACUCGACUAUUCCUCUUAAUUAAUAAAAAAAAAAAAAAAAAAAAAAAACAACUAAUUAAGACGUAUAGGGGUUGCAAGAAAGCAUUGCAGCCCCUCUUACAUUUCCCUGUCACGGUGAAAUGUUUUUUUCAUUUUGGUAAUAGAACUAGAAUCUAUGUCGAUACUAAUUCUGUGUAGAGAAAUAAAAUCUAUGUCGAUACUAAUUCUGACUGCUAAAAUGAUUCAUGUUAUUGUUAACGAAUUUUAUUAAAUGAAAUGAAUUUUAUUAGUGUGUUUUCUCAUCUUGAAUUUGUAUGAAAAAAAUAGAUUUUAUAUAAGAAGUUCUUGGAUUCCACCUUGAUUUUUUUUUUUUUCUGGACCAUGUUUUGAGUUGUUUAAGGGCAUAAACGGUUGCACUGAGAUUUUUGAGUUGUUUUUAGGUGUUUUUAAGUUAAAAUAGUUAAAAAAUAGAUUUCGAGUGUAAAACACUUAUGAUUUGAUUUUUUAAAUCUGUAAUUUAUUUUUAAAAAAAUAUUUUGAAUGAACAACAUGUCAUAUGCCUAGUUGAAUUUUUAAAAAAUUUAAGCUUAGGCACACCAACCUAGGCUAGAUGGUCCAUGCUUCUGAUAUUUUUUUUAUAAUGAGGUGAUAUAUUAAGGUUUAUAUUGACAUGUGUUCUUAUUUUUGUUAUUGAUUGAAUUAACCAAAAUUGUUAUAGCAUAACAAUUUGCUGAUCAUGAUGGCUCAACUUUUUCCAAUUUUAAUCCAAUAAUAACUUGAAAGUCCAUUUUCUACUUGUUUUAUACUUAUAUUGAACCUUCACACAUACUUAUUCCUAUGUUUUUUUUACAAUAAAGAAUAUCGUUAAGUCCAUUUAUAUAUACAUCAAUUAAAACUAAAUUUCUUUCACAAUUAUAUCAUUUAUGAUCUUCCAAAAUCCAGGAUAUAUAAAUAAUAGGUUAUUUAGUGUUUGGAUAGUAGUUAAUUAAUAUGUUUAGAUAAUUGAAUUUCUUCUCUUAAGAUGAUAACAUGAGACUAAUGGUAGAAAUUUGAAUACCUAUAAAAACGAUCUCAAUUGAGAAGAUUUACAAACCCUUUAAUGAUAAAGUUAAUAUCUUUUUGGAAAAUGCAAUAAAUGAGUUAAAAGAACCUUAAAUUUAAGGAAUAUGGAUGUUUGUUCUUGAGUUUUAAGAUGGUCAAUACUCUGAAAUCUAUAUAAGUUUAUCUUAAGAGAUGAAAAGUUCCAAGCUCUUACCUGGAUAAAUGAUAAAGUUAAUAUCUUUUUGGAAAAUGCAAUAAAUGAGUUAAAAGAACCUUAAAUUCAAGGAAUAUGGAUGUUUGUUCUUGAGUUUUAAGAUUGUCAAUACUCUGAAAUCUAUAUAAGUUUAUCUUAAGAGAUGAAAAGUUCUGAACUCUUACCUGGAUAGUCCAAGGGGUAUUUAUACCCACUAAACCUUGUCAUUUUCAGAGAAGGGAAUGACUGAAAAGUCCUCUGCUUUCGGUGAUAUUAAUGAGAAACAAAUAUCCCUUACAUAUCAUUAAUGAAAUAAUAAGUAUGGUAUGUCCCUUAAAAGACCCUUUAUACACCUACGAGUAUAGUGAAAUUAUUACAUCGGAUAUGAAUCACUCAUAUAUUUGUUAUAGAUAGAGAGGUAUGGCAGUUUACCAUGCCUUUAAUCUAUGAGAUGAUCUUGGGUCUCACACGUAGUCAUAUAACCCGAUAAUCUUUGAAUCCAAAUGUUUUGGGUCUGUAUAUUUGUCAAAUCCAUGUUUGCCUUGAAUUCGGCUAGUCGUCAAAUCUAAGUAUUUUGAAUCUGGCAUGUUCGCCAGACCUAUAUUUUCUUAGGUCAAAAUAUAGCAUGAUUCUUGACCUUGGUGUUGCGAUAUUGGGUAGCUCUGAGCCUAUAAACCUCAUUCUUAACUGCAUAUGUCAGACGUGAUUCUUUUAGGAAGUCGAGAUUGAUCCUAACACUUUGUUCAUUUUCCUCUGAGGUGUAGUGAACUACCUGGUUGCUUAAACAUCCAAUUCCAGGUGGGAUAGUAGUUUUUGUCCCAUAUGUGAAAACAAAUAGUGUUUUACCGGUAGAUGUCUUUUGAAUCGUUAUAUAGGCCUAUAAAAUCUCAUUCAACAAUUCUACCCAUUCUGACUUAGCUUUUUUUACUCUUUUUUUUAAAUCUAUUAAGCAAAACUCUGUUAGUCAGUUCAGCUUGACCAUUUAUAUGAGGGUGUGACACAGAGAAGAAACGAUAAUCAAUAUAAAGCCUUAAACAAUGCUCUCUCAUCUUAUGAUUGUCAAACUACGUUCCAUUAUUUAUAAUCAAGAUUUUGGAGAGCCUAGAGUGGCAUAUGAUAUUCUUUCAAAAGAAUUAAAUAACUUUGUUAGUAGUUAUCUCUACUAGAGCUUAUGCUUUGAUGACCCACUUGGUAAGCUGGCAUAAGCCAUACACACACAUGCUAUGUUGCCCGUGCGAUACAGCGGGCAGCGAUCGAAACCUCUUCAAUUAAAAGGCAAUCGCUUAUUGGAACUUGAUAAAAAAUGUAUAAGCAGAAAAUUAUCAAAUGCCUUAAAGCAUGGUAAAACAAAAGUAGUGAAUUAUGAUUAGAGAUGCAAAGAGGAAGCUUAAGCGUCAACAUCCCAAAAGAAGGCCUAGGCACUUAAGUGCAUACAAGUAUACGGUUAAUACAUAUAGAGGCAAUGGGUACCAGUAAAAGAGUUUGUAGACCGUGACAAAAAUAAAGAGGUGUGAAGCGGAACAACGCAGCAACUGGCGGCCUUCUAAAAACGAGGACUAAAUCCAUUGUAAGCUAGUUGUCCUGUGUCAAAAGAAAAUUAUAAGUGUUGAACAUUAGUGGAAUGGGGGUUGAUAUAAUUCGAAAGGGGAAGAACAUGUUGGCAAGCAAAAAAGAAAAGGAGUAAUUAACCCCCCAAGAAAAUAAAGGCCACACCAUGUUGGCUUAAAACAAUACAAGGGGUGUGAUGAAUAAAGAUCAUCAACAACAUCAAAAAGGCAACAACCUAUGCAUGGAGUAAUUUGAUUUUCAGUAUGAUAGUGCAGCAACUUUAUGUGAAUAAGCAAGGCAAAAAUAUAAAUGAGCCUCUGGAGCAGUGGUGACAAAAGUAUAGAAAUAAGCAAGAAGCGGCGCAAAAAGGUUGGAGAGUCAUAGAGGAGAAAUUAUAGAUUGAAUCUGAGAGAAGAAAUGCAGUAUGAAACCAAUAAAACAGCAGAAUAUUUUGGCGCAACACCUAAUUAAAAGUAGGUGCAGCAGGGGUAUGGCUUUCUUGAGAAAAACAACCAACUUGGAAACAUCAAUAAGGAAUCUGUCAGGUAGGCUGGUGGGCAGAUUCAAUGUUAAUGCCAUCAAGAGGUGGCAGCUUCGACAUGAAAAGGUAAAAGAGGGUAAAAGCAGUCGAAAUGAUGGUAUAUCACCAUAAUGCUUUAAAAAUGGCAGUGGUGAAAGGGAAAGAAGGAGAAGCUGUUCAGUGGGCCUUAAUCUAGGGAUGUUAGGAACAGAGAGCUGAGGAGAAAAGGUGAGAAAGAGGCGCUACUGAAGGAAGUUACCUACGGAGGAGAUGAAGUUAUGAGUCGUUGCCUCUUAGUAAAUGGUUAUGUUGGAGUGUCAUCUGGAGGCGAGGCAUCCUGAUUUGACUCAAUUUCUUCUCCUACGUUGGUAUUUGUUUGUGGGAGAUGGUUGCACAAUUGAAAAAAAAAGAUAUGGUCACCAAGUUUGCAAAGGUUAAAGGCUGUAGAGAAAAGGAAAAUCAAACGCAGGGGAAUUGGAACUCCUGAUGCUGCAGCCAAGCAUGAGAAGGUGCAGCUCAUAAAAGUCACCCAAAUGCUAUCCCGCAAACUAAUCAAAGCACAUAGUCAAUUCCAUAACUAAAAACUGUGUGAAACCAAAACGAAUAAAUGGUUAUAAAGCUCCCACGCAUAUAUCAAAAGCAAGAAACUUAUUAGAAAAGGAGUAUAGAUUCGAGGCAGUGUACUGAAACUUGUAGGUGACUGGCUGGAAAAAAUUAUGUAAGCAUUCAAUAAAAGAGCAAAAAUGGAGUCUAUUAACCCAACUAUAAGACGUGCCAAGCAUGUGUGUUUACAGCUUUAGAAACCUAGACCGACAAAAGAGCAAGCCUUGGUAAGCGGUGUGUUUAGGUUAGAGUAUGAAUCAAAGGUAAAUAUAAGGGUAAAUUGUGUUUUGGAUUUUAGAAUAUGAAUCAAUCAAUAAACACUUGAGAUGUUCAAAUAUGUGUUUAGUUUUCAACAAUUGGUAUCUGAAUAUAUAAAUGGGAGCAUUCAUAUUUUAAAUAGAAAUCUCAUACUUUCUGUUCAAGAUAAGACAUAUAUAUAUAUUGUUUGAUUCUGAUCAGCUAUUUAAUUACGUAAUUAUAUUUUUUUUUUAUGUUGGGAUGUUUGCUAACAAUAAUCAAUAAUCAAUUGAAUAAUUCUGAAGACAUGCAUACAUGUAUUUUUAUUUUUAUUUUUAUUUUCCUUUCUUCUAAAGAAAAAAAAUCCCUUAACAAUCAGGGAUUUCACCAAGAGAAGAAAAUAAAAAACCUAAAAUAAUCAUAUCAGCUCAUAAGUACAACUGUAUGGUUCGGUAAUUAACUCGAAAAAAAUAGAGUUAAUAGAUAUCAGAUCAACUUAUAUGAAUUAUUUUAAUUUUAAAAUUAACUUGAUUAAACUUGAACAAAGUAAAUUGAAUUUUACAAGUUAAAUUGUUAAAUUUAACUUGAAACUCUAUACGGAAUCAUGGAUUCCCGAUUUCAAUACUAGUAACCAAGUUUGACAACGAUGCUCGAAAUAGGAAAUUCCGUACUUGCCCAAGGAGGGUAUAAGAUAACCUUAAGAGGCAUGGUAGCUCGAAAGGACAAAGGAAGUAAUAAACCCCCUUCUGAGAAAGCAUUAUAAAACUUCCCAAUCCCCACGUGCCCUUCCAGCGACGUUGGAGAACUUGUCCCUUUGGCUGCGACCCUCCCCCAUGCAUUCUUUUUUUAUUUAUUUCCAAUUAAAUAACUCCGAAUGCACUGCGCAAAUUACUGCAGCUGAUUGAUAUAUAGCCAGGAGCAGAAUCCAUUUGUGUUUUCGAAUGUGAACUUGCACCUUUAAGGAAAACAAAAUAGAGGCAACUCAAACAGAAGAAAGCAUAAUACAAUCAAAAUUUGCGACAGAUUUGCAAAGAUUUAACUGUUCUUGCUAGAAAGUAAAAUGACAACUUUUUGUCCAGCUCUCUUCACUAGAUUGAUUAUCAUCAUCGCAAUCAGCCCCUUGAGCAGGGAAAAUUUUCUCCACCAGUCAACAUCAGGAGAGAGAUUUAAAGUCCAUCAUCAACUACGAACUACACAUAUACUUUUGAGGGGAGAAAAAUAGUAGGACAAAACAGUAGAGAUGGGACUGGUGGACCAUUUUCACUGCUUGUCAUGUCUCGUUCUCAGAAUAUCUUGAAGAGCAGGCCUCCGUGUGUGGCGAAGAAUGGGGCAAAGACAAGUGAUUCAACGGCCAUCAGUUUGAUGAGGAUGUUAAGUGAUGGUCCUGAUGUAUCCUUCAAUGGGUCCCCAAUGGUGUCACCAAUAACAGCUGCCUUGUGUGGAUCUGAUCCUUUAGGGCCAAGAGAUCUUGCAUGCUCAGAAACACCAGCCUGUUUCCAACAGAACAAUGCAGGGCAUGUUAGCAUUACAAGAUUUCAGAAUGCCAAAUUACAAAUGAAGGAGUGAUUGCGCCCGCUUAAUGUAUACCUCAAUAUAUUUCUUGGCAUUAUCCCAUGCACCACCAGUGUUGGAGGCAGAGAUGGCAAUCUAAAAUAUUGACACGGGAGAAAUAAAUGUUCAGACACGUUAGCAGGACUCCUAAACCUCAAUAAAUAUAAUCUCAAGUGUAUGUAACUAGAGAAAUUCUGUUAACCAGUAGCCUUUACCUGGACACCAGACACAAGGGACCCAGCAAGGACACCAGAGAGGGUUUCAACACCAAAAAAGAUCCCAACAAUAAGGGGUGUGAGCAUGACAAGUGCACCAGGUGCGAUCAUCUCCUUGAUGGAAGCAUCGGUAGAGAUCUUGACACAGGUUGCAUAGUCAGGCUUGGCAGUGCCUUCCAUCAAGCCAGGGAUGGUGUUGAAUUGCCUGC